rnacentral:lncRNA from 1 species
AAGAAUCUAAAUCAAAUAAGAAUCCUAAUCUAAGUAAAUAGGAAAGAAUUUAAACUAAAUCAGGAUCCUAAUUGUCUUAAAUGCCUUAUGUCAAUUACAUGGAAACUCGGCGAUUAAAAUAGAAAUAACUGAUUUGAUUCCCUAAUAGCCUCCUCAAGAAACGGGAAAGUAUCUGAAAAAAAAAGAAAAAAAUAUAUUUUCCCGCCAUAAUGUUUUUAAGCCAACUCCCUAUUUCAUGAAAGUGAGUAUUUGGAAACUUCAAGAGCCUGAAUCAUGCAUUUAUCAUGUGCGAUUCCUUCAAUGGACCUCCACGAAUUUGAUUGAGCCCAAGUUGCUUGAAUCAAUCCAUUAAGUGCUUCUUUCAAUUUCUUUGCUCGAGCUCUUGUAACGGGUUCGAUGGGAACUUGAAUAGGAUCUGAAUAUACCUCAUCCCAUGUGCUUGUGAUAGUUUUAUCCUUAAUCUCAUCAUUCCCCUCCUCUUGAAGAGGAUUUGUCCUCAAAUCAUCACCUACAUCAAAAGGACUCAAAUCAGAAACAUUAAAAGUAGCACUUACAUUGUACUCACCAGGCAAAUCUAGUUUGUAUGAAUUGUCAUUGAUACGUUCCAAAACUUGGAAUGGGCCAUCCCCUCGAGGUAAUAACUUAGAUUUUCUUUGUUCCGGAAGUCGUUCCUUACGCAUGUGUAACCACACCCAAUCACCGGGUUCAAAGACUAGCUUAUGUUGCCCUUUAUUGGCUUGUUUAGUAUAUUGCUCAAUUCUCCGCUCAAUGUUGAACUUCGCCUUCUCAUGUAUCUGUUUAACAAUUUCAGCAUUUUUCUUAAGAUCUAAGUUAACACGCUUAGAAACAGGUAAUGGAGUUAAAUCCAAUGGGGUUAAAGGAUUAAAACCAUAAACAAUUUCAAACGGUGAAUACUUAGUAGCAAAAUGAACGGAACGAUUAUAAGCAAACUCAACAAGUAGUAAAUAAUUUUCCCAAGUUUUGAUGUUCUUUUUAAUGAUAGCUCGCAACAGAGUAGCUAAAGUUAUAUUCACAACUUCUAUUUGACCAUCAAUUUGAAGGUUUUCCAAAAGUAACUUAAAAACUUAGCAUCCCUAUUAGAAACAAUUGUCCUGGGUAUACCAUGCAACCUCACAAUCUCCCUAAAGAAUAGGUCAGUAACAUUAGAAGCAUCAUCCGUUUUGAGACAUGUAAUUAAAUGUGCCAUCUUUGAAAAUCUAUCUACAACCACAAAAAUUGAGUCUUUCCCUUGUCUAGACCUCGGUAAACCUAGUACAAAAUCCAUCGAAAUAUCAGUCCAAGGUGCACUAGGUAUUGGCAAAGGGGUGUAUAAGCCAUAAGGUUGCACUUUCGAUUUGGCUUGCCUACAAGUGACACAUCUACCACAAAGUCUUUCAACAUCUCGUUUCAUAUGUGGCCAAUAGAAGUGUUCCUGUAAAACUGCUAGAGUCUUUACAACUCCAAAAUGCCCCAUUAACCCUCCUCCAUGGGAUUCUCUCACUAACAAAUCUCUCAAAGAACAGUUAGGCACACAGUUUAUUCUCCCGAAAUAAAUAGCCAUCAUGCCUAAAGUAUUUACCGACUACGGUCUUUUCACAAGCUUGGUAUUCAACACUAAAAUCAUGGUCAUCAGCAUACAAUUCCUUAAUAUGUUCAAAACCAAGUAGUUUAGCAUUAAGUGUUGAAAUUAAGACAUACCUGCGGGAAAGCGCAUCUGCAACAAUGUUUUCCUUACCUUGCUUGUAACGAAUGACAUAUGGAAAUGUCUCAAUGAAUUCUACCCAUCGAGCAUGCCUCUUGUUCAACUUGUGUUGGCCUUUAAGGUGUUUCAAGGACUCAUGAUCGGUGUGAAUCACGAACUCCUUAGGCCAUAGGUAGUGAUGCCACGUUCCUAACGCUCGAACCAAUGCAUGCAACUCCUUAUCAUAAGUAGGGUAGUUUAAGGCUGCCCCACUCAACUUUUCACUAAAGUAAGCAAUUGGUCAUCCUUCCUACAUUAGGACUGUGCCAAUACCAAUACCUAAGGCAUUGCAUUCAAUUUCAAAUGUUUUAUUAAAGUUAGGCAAAGACAAUAAAGGAGCAUUGGUCAGCUUUUGCUUGAUUAUUUGAAAUCCCUUCUCUUGCGCUUCUCCGCACUUGAAUCCAACAUCUUUUUUUAUUACUUCAGUAAGCGAUACGACUAAUGUGCUAAAGUCUUUCACAAAUCAUCGAUAGAAACUAGCAAGCCCAUGAAAGCUUCUCACAUUACUUACACUGGUGGGAAUCGGCCACUCUUGGAUUGCACGUACCUUUUCCUCAUCAAUCUGUAUACCCUGUGCACUCACAACAAAUCCUAGAAACACAAGUUUGUCAGUGCAAAAAGUACACUUCUUCAGGUUAGCAAACAACUUUUCUUUUCUAAGCACAUCUAAAACAUAUUUCAAAUGUACUACAUGAUCGUUUAUGUUUUUGCUAUAAAUGAGGAUAUCAUCAAAAUAACCAAUAGCAAACUUGCCAAUAAAAGCUUGCAAGACAUGAUUCAUAAGUCUCAUAAAAGUGCUCGGGGCAUUAGUUAGACCAAAAGGCAUGACUAACCAUUCAUACAAACCAUAUUUUGUUUUAAAAGCAGUUUUCCAUUCAUCUCAUUCUUUCAUUCUAAUCUGAUGAUAUCCACUUUUCAAAUCAAUUUUGGAAAAUACACAAGACCCAUGUAAUUCAUCAAGCAUGUCAUCUAGCCUAGGAAUGUGAUGUCGAUACUUUACCGUUAUGUUGUUGAUGGCUCGACAGUCAAUACACACCCUCCACGUCCCAUCCUUCUUAGAAACUAAUAAAACAGGAACUGCACAUGGACUCAUGCUUUCACUCACGUACCUUUUUUCCAUUAAUUCCUUAACCUGCCUUUGAAGUUCCUUGGUCUCCUCCGGAUUGCUCCUAUAGGCUGGUCUAUUUGGAAUGGCUGCACCGUGCACAAAAUCAAUCUAAUGCUCAAUCCCUCGGAUUGGAGGUAAACCAUGUGGUGUUUCCUCAGGAAAGACAUCCUCAUACUCCUACAAAAGAGAAGUAAUAGAACUAGGCAAAGUAGGGUCAAAUUUAUUAGUGUUUAAAAAUGCCUCUUUGUACAAAAGUACAAUCAUCGGCUGAUGUAAAAACAACACUUUUUUUUUAUCUCACUCGCUCUCGCGUAGAAAUUCUUUUGUUUUCCAUCUAAUUUUCGCUCAAUGGCUGUAUUUUUCUUUGGUUUUUCUCGCACAUUUUCCUCGGCCUCUUUUUAAAUUUCACUCUCUUUUUCUCUCCUUUUCUUUUCCUCACUCUCUCUCUGUAGGCUCACUUGGUCUCCAUAAACCUGCUUUGGUGUCAAUGGAACAAGAGUGAUGUUGCAUUGAUUAAAUACAAAUGAAUAUUUGUUAGUGAAGCCAUCAUGUUUCACACGUAUGUCGAAUUGCCAAGGCCGCCCGAGUAACAAGUGUCCAGCCUGCAUUGGCACUGCAUAACAAAGCACCUUAUCUUCAUACUUGCCAUAAACCAAAAGAGUCUGUGAUUACUCUUUAACCAAGCAAGCAUCAAAAGUAAAGGAAAGCACAUACAAUGUGGCUAUUUGCAAAAACCCAAUGUUGAAUGGAAUCUCUCCACUUAGCUGGUUGUAGGAUAAGUCCCUACCAAUAAAAAUAAAAGAUCAUAAAUGAACUAACCAAGUUAGGCAUCCUAAAGAAAAAAAGACUUAAAAGAAAAAAAAAAAAAAGAUAGUGGUGCAAUACGAUGAAAUGGGUGUUCCUGUAGGGGAUGAAGCCACUGAGUUGGCUUCCUUUCUUGGGGUAUUAGCUUGUGCAUCAGUUUCAAUUCUUUAUUCUGAUUGGUGUAAAGUUCCUUUAGAGACAAAUGAGUGUUUAUAGAAAUCAGUUCUGGCAAUUCUUAAAAGCUUGUUGCAUUUUACUUAAAGCUUUUCUUGUCAUUUUUCAUUAUUAGUUGUAUGAUUUCUAUUUUUAUUAAUUGACACUUAAACAAUCUUACUCUAUAUUUAGAGUCGUUUCAUUGUUCAUCUUAGAAGUAGAAAGCAGGUAAAAAAAUCAAUUGGAACAACAUUUCUAAACUUCAAGUAUAUGCUAAAAAAAAACUUUAUCUAGAAGUUCAGAAAUGAUAAAAAGAAAUUGUAUAGACCCUCAAUUGAUUACCCCCAAAUAAAGCGGCUAGUUUAGAUAAAGUUUGUCAACAAACAUUUGUCUGAAUCAUUUGAAACAAGUAUUCUAAAGUUAAGACAAGCAAUAUGUUGAUAGUUACAUCAUAUUUACCUUAUAUUAAAAUGAUGUUUCUUCUUUUGCAGAAAACCAGUCAUGUCAAUAAGAAUACGUGAGCUUUGAACAUGUAUUAUCACCACCUUAGUCGAAAAGGAUAUGUAGGAUUAAUGAAAGAAAUUGUAAGUGCAUAUAUAUCGAUAUAAAGGGUAUUUUUAACUAUUAAUUUUUUUACUAGUUAACCAAUCUAAUUUCUUUAUCGAAGUAGGCAGUGCAGAAUUGAGUCUUUCUAAAGACUUAAUUGAUAGGAGUCAACUAUGACAGUGAGCUCGGAUGCUAAAGGAUGGAGGAUACGACCUUGACACUUAACAAGUCAUUAAGAAAUUGGUAAUCAAGUUUAACUAGAACAAAAAUCGUUAUUAUUUUAGAUUUAUUCUUAUUUAAUAAUAUUAGUUUCUUUAUAGUGGGGUGCUAGGAAAAGCUCAAGGAGGACUAAAAAGACUCUUUGACUUCGGAUGCAAGAAAUGACUUACUUGCACAAGUAUUGGGAAAGCUUUCUCGAACUGGUCAUAUGCAAUGCCUGGACAAAUUUAUAUAUGCUUAUGUGUACUUUCAUACCAUUCGUGGACCCAUCCGAAGUGAGAGAGAGGGGACCUGGAGCUUUGAAAAAAUCAGUUGAUGAUUACUUGUAAGAAAUUUGUAGAGAAUUAAAGAGGACACCUCGUCAUUCAGAUGUAGGAAGUUCCGCUUUCCCAUAUAAUAAAGUCAAUGAUAACGACAGUGAGGGCGAUGUACAUCAGGUUAUUUUAUUUAUAAAUUUAACUAAAUUUUUCCUGGUUUAAGAUACUUUUCCUUGUAUAUCUCCCACUUAAUACAUUUUAAUUUACUUACCUUUUACUGAUAAUGCCGACAAGAGCUAGAUAAUUUGGGCAAGUCAACUGAGAAGAAGAGGAAAUGAAAGUCUAGUCAAAAGGAAGAACAACCUAAAGCAUCAACAUUGAGAAAAUAGGGAGAAGAUUAGAAGAAAGAAGAGACACCAAAAAACACUAUUGUUGCCAUUUCGAUGAAGUCUUCUGCCAUUUCGAUGAAGUAAGCAAAAAAUGAUGAUUACGAUAACGAUAGUGAAGAAGAUGCACAGAAAGUUAGUUUAUUUAUAAAAUUAGCUAUAUUUUUCUUGGUUUAAUUAAUUAAUAUUCACAGGAGCUAGAUAAUUUGGGCAAGUCGCUUAGAAAUGCUACAACAACCAUUUUGAGGAAAAGUCCAAGACUGAAUCCUUCAAUUCCAAAGGAUUAUGCAAAUGAUCAAAAGAAAAGAGUUAGAGACAGUAAAAAACAAUUGGAGUUUGACUAUGCUAAUAGUAUAACCAAAAAUCCUAUUGGUAUUCAAAUCUUCCCAAAUUGUGUUAUCUGGACAAAAAUCAUUAGUUCAAAACUCCCUAAUAAGGAUAUCUUAUUAGGAUUUGACAUCAUCCACUAGAUAAAACAUCUUCAAAUUCUUUCCAAUGGAAUCAGGGGCAGAUCCAUGUUCAAAUCUUUCACAGAGAUCCUUAAACUCUACAGUCUGUCUCAAUCUCCACCAUCUUACCAAGAUAUCUUAAUCAAGCUCCUAAAAUACUGUCCAGAAUUUCAUUCUGACUUCAUCCACCCAAAUCCUUUGUGGAAAAACAAGUAUUUCUUUAUUUAGUUACCUUUCAAACUGAAUGAAGACAUCAAUCCUACUAAGGCUACUUAUCCAAGAAUGAGCCCAUUUGACUUAGCCUUAGCCCAAAAGAAAUGUUCACAACUCUUGGCCCAAGGACUUAUCGAACUAACAAAUUCUCAAUGGGCUUGUCAAGCGUUUUAUGUGGAAAAACGUUCGGAACUUAUUAGGGGAAAAAACAUCUUCACUUAUCUAAAAAAUGCCUAGAUCUAGUGCAUGAUUUUGUAACCGAUACACUAUUUGGUGAUGAAGAGUGGCAAGCUACUCAAUAUAGAAAAUUAGAGGCGAGCGUCUCAUUUUUAACCCAAAAUGUCAACCAUGCUUCCACCAUUCCCAGACCUUCACUCAAAAUGUCCAAAGCUGUUCGUCUCAUACAACACCUUCAACAUUCUUCCCUAUUGGUAUUCAAUUUUUUCCGAAUUGUAUAAUUUGGAAAAAGAUUGAACUGUAGAGAUGACUGAAAUAUCCUCAGAAUCUGAAGAUUCUGCGAUGAUGAAAGCAGUUUGGUCAUCUUGUCUUAUUUGAUCUCCUAGAAGAAGAUUAUCCUCAUCUACUCCUCCGGUACCUCCUGAAGAUUACCUAAACAUGGAAACAACUUCAUCUUCAGCCUCAACACCUUCAUCGUCUUCAUCCCAUAUUUCAAGUCAGGUUUUUGGCAAAUUGGCAUUAAACCCUUAGAAAGAUACAAAACCGCUUUUUGCAUCCCUAAUGGUCAUUAUCAAUGGACAGUUUUACCCUUCGACUUGAAAACUACCCCCUCCAUUUUUCAAAAAGCCAUGGUCAAAAUCUUCCAACCCAUCCUACAUCAUGCAUUGAUUUAUAUUAAUGAUAUUUUGUUGUUUUCAAGCACACAUAAAGAACAUCACCAAUUAUUAAAUCAAUUUUUUGAUAUCAUCCAGACUUACGGAAUUAUGUUAUUAGCCAAGAAAAGCACCAUUGCAAUAGAUAAUAUUGAAUUCCUUUGAAUGAUUAUCAAAGACGGACACUACCAGCCAGGAAAGCACAUUGCCCAAUAAUUGCUCCACUUUCCAGAUCAACAACUCACCAGGAAAUAGAUACAGUAAUUCCUUGGAAUCAUCAAUUACAUCAGAGACUUUAUUCCUUAUGUCGAUCACCAUACCAAUCAGCUUUCAGCUUUAUUAAAGAAAAAGCCACCAGAAUAGAAUGAUAACCACACACUUGCUGUCACCACUUUGAAAAAGAUUGCUCAAAAUCCACCACCAUUAAAGCUCAUCACAGAUGGCAAACAGAUACUCCAUACAGAUGCAAGUGACGAAUCAUGGGGUGCUAUUCUUCUCGAAGAAAUAAAUGGCAAAGAAAGCUUUAUUGCUUACGCUAGCAGACAUUUCUCUGACACACAACAGCACUACCACAAUGUGUACAAAGAAAUCUUAGCUGUAAAGAAAUUUGAAUACCAUAUUAUCGGCUAUCAUUUUCUUAUCCGAAUGGACAGCUCAACAUUUCCCAACAUCAUGAAAUUCAAGGGGAAAACAGUUCCAGAAAAGAUGUUGCUCAGACUUAAAGACUGGUUCUCAAAAUAUGACCUCUCUAUGAAGCAUAUAAAAGGAACCCAGAACCUCAUUCCAGACCUACUCUCAAGACUUGCAAAACCAAUAUCACCAUUGCAUUACAUAUCCACAGGAUAUCACUUUCCCAUCAUUUUCAUGGCCACCUCUUUACCAAACCAAGCCUUAACCCACAAGACUUUUCCUCUCGGACAUCCAAGAAUUUGCAAAAAGAUAUGUUUUUAGGUUUUUCAUGAAAGCCUACAUGUUAGCAGAUUCAUUUCCUUUCUCAACUUUCCACCCUGAAAACUUGUUUCUCACAGGUCUAAACAUUGACCCUUCCAGAGAUGUGGCUGAAGAUGAGUUAUGGUACAUCUGGUGCCUAACUAUUCUUUACACCACAAAGUUAAUUCUCCCUGUCAGAACUACCCUGAAUCAUCUCAUGAAUCCUGACAAAUCAACCUCAUUGACCUGGACCCUUCUUGAGUGGUUCUCUGCACUUCCCUAGUGGAGAAGAAAGUUACAGCAAUUAUCCACGGUCUACAACCUUGAUCCAAUGCCUGAAUCAGAAACAAAUAUGUUCACCUCAGUGUUCAUUAUCCACAGGCCAUAUUUCCAGUAUCGAAACACCAACUCUUUUUGGACACAAGACCAAGUGUUCGAAUGGUUCACAACACCACACCCAACAAUCCUUGAACAAGAUAAUAACAUCCAGAAAAACCUUCAGAAUUUCUUUUGCCACCUCAAUCACCUGAACCACAUAAAGACAUAUUCCAUACGUCUUUAGGUCCACAACAUGACAUCAUUAUGAUUCCAACUCCUUCGUCCAUUUCAAAACCAAAACCCACAGGUAUCAUCAUCAAAGAAGAAAACCAAAACCCUUGGACUGACUUCCUACCCUUAAGCCAACAUCUCCAACAGCUCCAAUAUCCAUCGCAACUGGAAGAACCUUCAUUAUCUAGAGCUAGUACUAGCACUUGUCCACCUAAAGUUCAGCCAACCAAUCAGAUGGUGACAUUCCCCACUCAUUGUCCAACAGCACAAUAUUGCCCAUGGCCACCAUGUGGUCCCACUUGCAAGCAUCCAAAGAAAAAAUUAGCAAAAGACGACACAGAUAGCUCCUCUGAUGAAGAUUACAUGAAUCUUUCGUCCCCAUAGCUAUAAGUUUGUCAUGUGUAAUUAUUAAAGUAUGCUGAGUCAUGCUUUAAUUAUUAAAGUUUGCUUUUAUUACUUUAACUUUUAUGAAGUAAAGUUUGUCGUGUGUAAUUAUUAAAGUAUGCUGAGUCAUGCUUUAAUUAUUAACGUUUGCUUUUAUAAAGUAAAGUAUCUUGAUAAGGGUCCUGUCUUAUCAAGCUUGUCUCCUCCUCAUCCUAUAUAUAGGAUGAUCUCUUCCUUUGUAAAUCAGAAUCGGAGAUCAAGAAAUAAAAGCGUGUGUUUCCUAAACAUGAAGUUCUAAACUUUCUUUCUUUUCUCUGUUAAUGAAGUUCUAACAUUCUAAAAGUAAAUGGGAAGAUUUAAAUCUAUUCAUUUUGAAAUUAAGGAAGUAUGCUCUACACUUGUUUUUCAUAAGGAUCCUGUGCAUCAGAAAACUUUUAAAGAUUUUUAUCUGGUUUGGUACCCUGUUUUAAGACAAAAGAGUCUGUUUUGGGUUGAAUAACCUCAAAUGAAAAUGUUGUAAGUUUUCUGUUUUUCCAUCUAAAUAUAUUGGCUGGAAACCUAAGCAUGCGGACUAUUGGUCCAAAUGACGAUCUUUUCGUCAUUGCUUUGGUCUAACAACGCCACGUACUUCAUUGCCUAUUCUGGUAUCAGAGCCUCAAACUUACAAAAGUGGUAUGAUAAGAGUCUUCCCUAUUUCUUUGAAAAAUAUUUAGGCUUCAGAAAUCAGAGAGAAAUUUUCACUCAUGGCAUCUACUUCAUCUAAUGACGCUUCUACUUCUACGAUCACUCCAAUCUCUCUUUCUUCUACUCUGUCCUUACCCAUAUCUUGCACCAAACAAAUUGCCAAUAAAAUAGAAAACCUUGUUGAAUACUCAUAUAUCCCUAAGUUAGUCCAGAUCAAUGAAUCUUCAUUCCCUGUUCUUAGUCAUUAUCAGCUUUACAAGAGAGGAAACUCUUUUACUAGAAGUAUAAGAACCCUUAUCUCUACUAAAAGACCUCAUCCAAAAAAAUACAUCCAGUCCUCUAGAUUAGAUCAGUGCACUCUUCAAGCUAUCACAGCUGGGCAAUAUGUUACUUUGGAAAUGCCUCCAGAAUUGAUUUCCAACUAGAAAAGGGAGGGUUAUACUCAUCUCCAUCUUGGGGGAGUGAGAUUAAUCCUUACCUUACAUGGAAUAAAAGGAUUGCCUGUUACAGCCAGAAUUGCUAUGCUUGACACCAGAUUCAAACAGUAUCAAGAUGCAGUCGUAGGUACUGUCCUGACCACUUUACAUGCAGGAAGUGUUCUUCUCACUUUCUACCCCAAUUUCAAUCUAUCUCUCCAAGAUACCAACCUGUCAACUGCCUUGAAAGUUCAAGUUCAAAUUCAAGGAGCAGAAUAAAUCUCCUCAGCAAAAAUGGCUACCUUACACCAUCAGUUGGUCUAUAGGCUUCAAAAUCACGCCUUAGAUCUUUCCACACCUAACAACCACUCUGAUGCUCUUAUGGUGUUAGCAGAAUCAGACCAAAUUCCAACCAUCAUCCAAAUCCCUAAACAGAUCCUUCACCAUGAACUCAUAAAACUCAUGCCUCUGGAAUGGAUUUCAAAUUAUGAGAAGUUCCAUAACAAUACAGCCCCCAUUCAGACAUCAGAAAGUAUGUUUGAAAGAAGGCCAGAUGGUAUUGUCAGAAUGACUUUUCGGCCUCCACCAAGUACCCUUCAACAAAAACCUAGUGCUCCUCAAGAGCCUCCAAGGUUAUCAUUCAUUUAUUCUUCAAUGAUUACGGUUGUUCAAACAUCCCAAAAAAAUCUGCCAAUCGUAGAAUUUAACUCCGAAGGGUACCCAGUAUACCCUACGAAGUUAAACAGACACUUUCUAUGGGAUGCUCCAGGAUCUGGAAGGUGCGACCCAAAUUGUCCCUGUUGGGAUGAUUGGGAAGAGGACGAUCAAGACUCCAAAAGGAAAAGAAAACCAAAAAAGAAAACUCAUUCUCCUUGUAACCACACAGAAGCAAAACCGCCAUAUGAACCUCCACCUCCACCAGCUCCAUUACCCAUAUACAAAAAAGAACUCAAAUGGAUUGCAAAACAUUGCAAACCUGAAACCUUUUCACCAAAUCUACAUCAGACCUCUACUCCUCAACCCAUUGCAUGCAUGAUGUUUUCUCAUCAUCCCAAGACUAUUCUUUGAAUUUCCCAUCCUUAGAAGCCUAAUCUGAUUCACAAAAAAAGGUUGCGACAAAACCUUUCAUUCCUUCAGCCAUAAUCUUUGGUGGUCACCUAAAAGAACCUAAACCAUUUGAAUCAGUCCUCAACUGGUAAACAUAGAAUGCCAGAGCACAAAAUAAUACAUUGGUAGACAUCCACAAAAGGGUUGAUAAGAUCAAUUUACAAAUUGACCAAAUCGAAACCAAGGUUGACUCAAUAACCUUGCAAAUGCAGCAGAUCUAUCAAAAUUUACAAUCCCAAAUCUCUCAACUUGAUGCAGACUUAAGAGUCAUGCUUAGUCAAAGAUACUAUGGCCCAGAGUUUGACCAAAAGGAGAGAGAAAUUAGACGGCUAAAGGCAGAGCUUGAUCAGAUUGAAUCCAAAAAACACAGGCCUACACUCUUCACCAAAUCACCUCCCAUACCUACAAUCAGUCCAACUUACCAUCCAUUUAGUCCCAUGCUUGCCCCAAUGAAACCGUAUGAUCCUUCCAAACUAUUUGGAUUGACACAUACCCUUUUCAAAAAUAUGCCACAACCACCUCAGCCAAAACCAAAACCUAAGCCCCAACCAAGACCUAUCAAAAUUCAUCAACUAAUCUCCACUACCACACAACAACAAGAUUCUCCAGAACAUACUCCUAUUUUUACCCCACAACCAUCUCAAUCUAAGGAUAAAGAACCCAUGCAUCAAUAUGCUUCCCAUCACAUUGAAGUUUCCACUGAUUCCACAGAAACUGAUACUUCUGUGAUAGAAUCUGAUACAGAAUCUUCACCUUCAACCACUGAUUUGGAAAAGGCUUAUGCAGAUAUUACUAAACUUUUGAUGGCACAACCCGAAGAAACAGAACCAGCACAACCAUCCCAACCAGAAUCAUACUUUGAAAUAACCUCAGACAUUGAUGAGCCAGCUGAAUCCUCAACUAAUCAACCACCUCAGCCUCAAGCUCAAAAUACAUACAAACCAUAGAACGGUCCAUGGUUUACGUUUGAUGACAUUCCCACAGUCAAAUGGAGAGAGAAGUUAUCUGAAAUGUUAGCCUGGUUAGAUCUCCAAAUGAUAAGAUCAGGUGCGACCAUAGAAUUGGUCCUCAAAGAGUUCAUCACCCGUUUCACGGGAUCUCUAAGAGACUAGUUUGACAAUCUUGGCCCCUACAAACAAUUACAGUUUGUGCAAUUGCCAAACGUCUCUAGUGCUCUUGCUAUUCUGCACGAACAGUUUAUUGGAGAACCAUCUGCAGUUUUUGAAGCAGCAAGAAGAGACUAUCUCAACAUGAAGUGUAGUUCUUUGAAUACUAAAGAUCUUGAUUUCCGUUACAAAAGAAUGUCAAUCCUGUUCUACAAGCUUAAUGGAUUCAACUAUCAGAAGCAUGUGUUUUUGGCUUCUUUACCUACGAAAUUGCAACUAGAAAUCAACCGACAACUUACAGUGCACAACUUUUACCUUGACAACAUCUCAUUGGGAAAAAUCUUUCAGAUAGCUAAGGGAUGUUUGGAAAAACUUUGUGAGCAAAAACAGUUCUUCAAAGAACUGGUAAAAGACAAAGAGCCUUUCAGAAACGCCUGUAAGAAACCCUACUUGCAGAUCAAAUGCAAAGAUAAAAAAGAUUGUGACUGCAGUCAUCCACGGAAAAGGCAUUUCAAGAAGAUUAGACAUCCAACUUCCUUUUCUAAACCAAAGUCUAGGAAAUGGAAGAAACCAUACAGAUUCUUCAGAAAAAAAAAAUCUUUCUCUUCCAAAGAACAGGGCAGGAAAAAAUCUAGCAGAUGCUUUAUUUGCGGGAAAAAAGGCCACUAUGCAAAGGAUUGUCCAAACAAAAAAGAAAAGGAAAUGAGAUUGGUAAAGCAUUUACAAGUUGUUACUGAGUAUUCUGCUGAAAAGGAAGUAGAAUCUUACUUCUCAUAACAAGAAGACCCUACUGAUGAAACAGUAUUCGCACUGGAAAACUCAUCUGAUGAUUCAAAAAACGAUGAGUUUCAAUCUAUUUUUCAUCAACAAUCGUUGUCCCUAAACACUACCAUUUCCCUCCAUUAAACUCUAAAUCUUACCUUCAAAGUUUCAAUGACCCAUACCAGCAAUAGGAUUUCUAAAUAUUGGUGCCCAAAAAAGCAUGAUGAAUUCAUAGAUUCUUCCAGCUCAAAACUGGAAACCUCAUACAGAACAUUUCAGAGCAGCUGAUGGAAAAAUGUUCACCACAUAAUUGAUUACCAAAAAUCUCAUUGGUAUUCAAAUCUUCCCAAAUUGUGUUAUCUGGAAAAAAAUCAUUGGUUCAAAACUCCUUAAUAAGGAUAUUUUAUUAGGAUUUGACAUCAUCCACUAGAUAAAACAUCUUCAAAUUCUUUCCAAUGGAAUCAGGGUUAGAUCCAUGUUCAAAUCUUUCACAGAGAUCCUUAAACUCUACAGUCUGUCCAAAUCUCCACCAUCUUACCAAGAUAUCUCAACCAAUCUCCUAAAAUACUAUCCUUUGUGGAAAAACAAGUAUUUCUUUAUUCAGUUACCUUUCAUCCACCCAAAUCCUUUGUGGAAAAACAAGUAUUUCUUUAUUCAAUUACCUUUCAAACUGAAUGAAGACAUCAAUCCUACUAAAGCCACUCAUUCAGGAAUGAGCCCAUCUGACUUAGCCUUAGCCCAAAAGUAAUGUUCACAACUCUUGGCCCAAGGACUUAUCGAACCAACAAAUUCUCAAUGGGCUUGUCAAGCGUUUUAUGUGGAAAAAUGUUCGGAACUUGUUAGGGGGAAAAAGUGAUUAGUCAUUGACUAUCAACCCUUAAACAUGUUCUUACAAGAUGACAAGUUUCAUUUGCCAAAGAGACAAAGCAUCUUCACUUAUCUAAAAACCCAGCCGCUGUAGGUUUUGACAAUUACCAAACCCGCAAUGGUACCCGAUGGAUUUUUUGCGGGUUCUUACAUUUAAAAUCACAAAUGUUUAAUAUGUAAUUUUAUAUUAAUAAUCUAAAAUUCCACAUAACAUACUCAAUUCUAAAUUUAAUCAAUGUAAAUAGAAAAUUAAAAUUUCAAUAUCAAUUCAAUACAAUUUCUCAAAUUUAAGUAUGAAAUACACAAAUCCAUUAAAAAAAACACAAACUAGUAUUAAAAAUAAAAAUUACAUUUCAUAUUAUCAUUUAACACAAGCUCCAAGAGAAGGUUUUCAUUUCAUUCACCACCAUUAGCACCCAUCCAACAUGAUGCCUACAAUAAUGAUUAAAAUUAAUAUUUUGCAAAGAACAAUACUUUUCAAAUACUAUUCCAAACAAAAAAAAUUAUAAUAAUGAAAUAAUUCAUGCAAAAUUAAAAUAAGUAUAUAAUAAUCCAUGAAUUAAGUUAAAGAAUUGGAAACUUAGUUCUUUUUUACCUCAUCAACAAUAUCUUCAUCUUCGAAGAAUUUGCUAUUUCCUACUUUAUUAGAAGAAUUUGCUAUUUCCUACUUUAUAUGCAGUAAAGGAAGUUGGGCGUUGGCUCACUGUCAUAAGCUCACGACUAAAGAAGUGAAGAAUGAAGAUAGAGAUGAGAGAUGGGUGCGCUGCUCAAGUUGAAAUCCCUUUAGUUUUGUUUAGGUUAUGACUAUUAGGGCCAUGUAUGCUACUUGCAUUGUUAUACACAGUAUAUGCAUUUACAUUUUGGUUAUUUGGCACUUUGCAUAAUUGCAUUAUUUUCUUUAUUUAUUUUUUAGAUUUAAUUAUUUUUCAAUUAAAAUUAAAUUAAAAAUAUUAAAAAAAAUUACGGGUCUGGCGGAUAUCCAUGUAGAUAUUCGCCGGAUAUUAGGCUAAUACCAAACCCACCCACAUUCAAGUGUAGGUUUCAAUUUGUAAUACCAAACCCGCCUGCAACCUGCAAAAUUAUCUGUAGCGGGCAGGUUUGGGAGGGAUUGCGAGUAUAAUUAUCAUCCCUACUUAAAAUGUUAUUGCAAGGAUACCUAGGACAGAAAUUUUAACUAUCACAAGACUAAUUAGAGCCUAGUAAGGUCUUUGCUAUUUUUAUUGAUCUUUUAAAACACAGUUCUGGUAGCCAGUGACUUUGUUUGGUUGUAGUUAAAAAUCAUAGAAUAGCUUUAUUUUUAACAUAAAUGAUCUCAAUUAAAUGUUUGGUGUAAAUUUGUAAAAGAGCGGAGUUAUUUGCACUCAAAAUGUUAUUUUGAAGGAUAAUCUUUUAUCAGCCAAUAUAAUAUAAUUACUUUGAAUACUCAUAUUGUACACCUGUUCACUUUAUAAUUAUCUUUCUUUAAACCCUAAUGAUCCCCUUUUGAUUCUUCAAAAUAAUAAUAAUAAUAAUAAUGCUAGAAAAAAUUUCUUUGAAAUUAAUUUUUUUUAAAACUGUUUUCUAGCCUCACAUUAAGACUUGGUGAGCAAAGAAUUACACUGCUCAGAUAGCUCCUAACAUAUCAACGGCUUCGACCUUCGGGUACGCGGCAAGCAAAUAUACCAAGAUGAGUUUUUCCUUAUAAAAAAAUGGCAGAAAUUAAGCUCCUCCGAUGCCCUAAUUAAUCCAUUCAUGAUUAGCUUUGGUUUUAUUACUUUUCAUUUUGGGAAGAAAAAUUAAUGCUUAAGCAUAUAAAUCUCUAUGUAAUAUUAACUUGAUUAUCUUCACCAGCAGACUGGUAUGUUGAAUAGUUUCAAUAGUUUUAUGAGUGCAUAGAGAAAAAAAAAAGAUUGUUAAUCUAAAUAGAUAUUUUUUACAAUUUAAUGAGUGUAUAGAGUAAAAAUUAAUUUUUUAAAUUUAGUUAUGAGUGUACAAAGUAAUAAAGUGUUUAGAAUAAUAUUUUUAGAGCACAAAAAAGGCCCUACCUUUGUAAAAAUCUUAUCAAAUUUGUGACAAGUUCAAAUUUUGACUAGGGAUGGCAAUGGGGUGGGGUGGGAGUGGGGAGACCUAACCCAUUCCCUACCCCAUUAAAAAUUUCACCUACAUUCCCCCACCCCUUCCCCAAUAAAUUUAGUAGGGCAGGGAUGGGGAAUCCGCACGUGGGGAAUGAUUUCCCCAUCCUCACCUCAUUCUCUAUUUAAUUAUUUUAUAGUAGGUAUAGAUAUAUAUUUCAAUAAAUUAAAAAUUAAAGAAUUAAAUAAAAUCUUUACCAUAUUGAAAAAUUUCAAAAUAAUAUCUUGAAAAGAUAUUAAAAUUGAAAAAUGUUUGAAGAGAGCAACACUUUAAGAGAGAAAAUAAAAUAUAACAAUAUUUUGGGGUUGAAUAAGAAUUAUAUUAUAAGGUUUUCUUUUAUUCAUAGCUUAUUUAUUAAAAUAAAAAGAAAAUUUAUUAAAAAAUAUUUAUAUGUAAUGGGGAUUGGGGUGAGGGCAUUGCUUAUAAGCUCUGGGCAGCCCUCACCCUUUGAGAGUUCUUUUGGGGUUGAGUUAGGCCCAGGCCCAACGUAGUAUCAGAGCCUUUGCCCGAGAGAGCGGGGAAUACCAUUCGAGGAGAGUCCAGAGAAGGUCUGGUGAGAACUCAAGAGACUACUGGACACAAGACUUGCUAGUGCAUGAUUCUGUAAUUAAUACACUAUUUGGUAAUGGAGAGUGGAAGACCAAACCCCACCCUAUAAAGAAGUUGGGGAUUAUUUUUCUUCCAUUUCCCACCCCAUUGUCUAAAAAGUAUUAAAAAUUCACCCUAAUUAGGGUGGGGAACCAUGGAGGCCCAAACCCAUAGAAAAUUUUAUCAUCUCUAAUUUUCACUACCAUAAUAAAAAAAUCUGCAUGGAAACGCAAUAAAAAAAUUGUAAAAAAAUUUAGUACAUAAGCAAUCAAACUGAGGGUAAGUGAAUAAUUUUUUUAAAAAAUAAAAUUUUAGUUUAAUACGCUAAUUGCUAGUGCUCUGCUCAACCAACCUCUCAAGACUGAGCCUGGCUCAACUCCGAGCAUGAAUGGGCCAAAAGUUUUCAAAUUAGACUUGGACUGCCUCGCCCAAUUUACGCAUAUUGCCCCAUGCAUGUUUGUUCAUUUAUUUAUUUAUUGUUUUUAUUGAUAGAGCACGUUUACUCAUUUUGUGUGUUCAUCUCAAUUUGGGCGCUAAGGGUUCUAGUUCGAGCACUUGUGUUGGGGCUCACAUAAUUGAGUAGAAGUAAUUUUUUUUUUUAAUAAUUGAAUGGAUAGAAUAACUAUAUCACUCUAAUUUAGAGACCCCCAUACAUUCUAAGAGACAGGAUGGAGUGCCCCAAACGGAUCCUUAAAUAAAACUAACACUUGGUAGGAAAAGAGUGCACACAAACUUUCACUUAUUAUCUAGUUUGCAUUUUAGAAUUUCAGUAGGAGUUUCUACGAACAGCUUCUUUCUUCAAAUUUUAUAUCACGUACAUUUAUAUGUACUGUAGCAACUUCUUUAAUUCUUCAAUAAUGAGGUUGGAACUUAAUUAGCUGAUAAUGAAUUUGAGUUGCAAGUAGGGUCGUUUUUACAGCAAGCUAACAAAACCAUCAAGGGGGGUUUGUGGGGCCUGGGAGUUCCAACUUGUGUUUUACUGCUUACGUAAAAUGAAAGGCUAAAAUAUAUGAUUGCUCGUUGGUUCUUUUAUAAAAAGAAGAGACUUUUGAUCUUUGAGAUUUGAUGCGUUUUGACUUUUGGACUUGCACCGGCAAACUUCUCUUUUUGGAUUUAAAGAUAAAUUUCCCCACUCACAUGGUUUGUUUCCGGAGCCAUCACUACUCAACUUUUGCAGAAAUUUCUGAUCAAAAGAUGCCCAAAUUGAAGGGCCCAAGCUCUUCAACAUUUCCAUUCAUGAUUAGGGUUUGUUGGGACUAACUUUUUUCUUCAUUAAUAAUAUAUUUUCUUUGUUCAUAGCACAAGAAAAAAUAUUAAUUAUUUUUCAUUAUAUAAUACACGUACAUAACAAAUCCCUCUUCUUUCGAUCCUUCUUCUGCAAAAGAGUGCGUCAAUUCUUGGAAGCUUUUUUCUUUUUUUGUAAAUAUUAACGCUUUUUCUUAUCUUUCUUCUUUCUAGUGUUUUAGACAUGCUACCACUUACAACCUCUUUUUGGUCACUUUCUGUUUGUUUUUCUCUUUUCUUUAAUUGAAGGCUUUUCCAACCACAUGAGCAUGAAGAUUCUAUGCUUUUGUACUCAGAUCAUGGCCAAAUACUUGGAACACGUACGUGCCAUUCAUUUGACCUUGAUUCCAUGAAAAUUCCUGCCCUAGGACGUCUUUCCGGAAAUUCCUUUAUCAUUUCGUCCAAGAGAAAUAAUUCCUCUAAUUCUAUGAAUUUUUCUAGAAUAGCCUUUUCUUGAAUAUCAUUCAAAAAGGUUUCGGAUUGACUAGUAUUCCACCAAUUAGUAACCCAGGAUUCCAGACUUUUAUUAAAUGAGAGAGGGAUCCACCAGGGCAAAAAUACUACAAAUACUAUAGAUGAAAGAUAUCUAAGGGGAAUGGAUGCGUUAACCACUCACAGUUCCACCAUCCUUCACCUCUUUGGAAAAAUGAACAAUUCUUCAUUCACCUUCCCUUCAAACUCAAUGAAGACAUAAACCCCACAAAAGCAUCACACCCGGGUAUGUCUCCUUCAGACCUCUUACUUGCCAAGCAAGAAUGCUCUCAGUUACUCCAACAAGGUCUUAUUGAGUGAUUAGGUGAUUUUUCAACAUUCCUUUCAGGGGGAUACAAAUCGCGGUUCAAAAAUUUCAAGAAACUUAUUUUCUUGCUAACUCAACGGUAGAGUACUCGGCUUUUAAGUACGGCUAGCAUUAAAGCUAUUCACCGAGCACAAGGAGAGAGAGGGAUUUGAACCCUCGAUAGUUCUUUGGUAAAAAUGCUACUUUAAUCUCUAUAGCUCGAUCCAAAUAUCUAGAGAUGGCCAAUGGAAACAAGGUCCCUGUGUGUUCGUGCCCGUGCCGUGCCGUGCUUAAAUUUUUUUACUUAGGCCUGGCCCAGCACACGUGUCGUAUUCAUUCAUGUCGUGCCCACACGUGCCAUAAAUUUUUUUCUUUUUUUUAAAUUUUUUAAGAGCGCAUGGUAAACUAUUGGCGUAAUUUUUUCAAGUCUAUAUAUUUUUCUUAGGUUUAUGCCUUUAUUCAAAUUUAAUAGAAUUAAAAAUUCAAAACUCAAGUCUAUAUUUAAUAAUAAUAAACUAAUAAUAGUAAGAAAUGUAAUAUUGAUUAAUAAUAAAAAUUUUCUUAAGGGUUAACUUAAUUGUUAACUUGGACUUACAUAGAGUCAUAAAUUAUAGUUCACAAUAAUAUUAAUGCAUAUUUAUAAAACCAUGAUAUUUAUAAAUUUAUUCAUUAAAAUCAUGUUAUCAAUUAUUUAUUUAAUAAAUUAUAAAUACAAAUCAAUUAUAGUAAUUUUUUUAAAACUAAGAAUAAUUUAAUUUAAAAAAAUCCAAUUUCCAGUUAUUUGUAAAAUUAUAAAAUUUUAAAUUUACUUUCAUUCAAAAAUAAAACGUGCUUAUUGCGGGUUUUUUUAUCAUGCCGUGCUUUUAAGGCCCACGAGCCUAAAAUUCUAAGCGUGGCCUGACCCACAUACGUACCAUGCUGUACUGUGUGCCUCACCGAAACGUUCUCAUGUCAUGCCAUGCUGUAUGGACACGUGAUGUCCAACCCAUUGGCCAUCUCUACAAAUAUCAAGUUACCCUUGUAUUUUCAAAAUUACACAGAAGCUCUUUGUUGUAUAUUUGUUUUCAACAAAAAUGGAGCCAAAUACUUGUAUUCUUUGCAAAAAGUAAGUGAGACACCCGUAAUAUUUUAAAACUCAUCCAAACUACCCUUAUUUCUCUUAAGUGUCAACUUUAUUUAUCAUUUUACAAUUUUAUUCUUGGUGAUGGUAAAGCUUAAAUAUUUUGGGAUAUGAAGAAAGUAAAAAUGACUUAUAUACCAUUUAUAAAAUUGACUGAAUGAAAAAAAUGAAAAUUAUGGGGAACGUUUGAAAUAAAAAAGAAAAGUUGUAAAUACACAUAAUAUUACCCAUUUUAUUAUCAAAAUGUUGCCAAGUUCACUAGUACCCAAACAUUGUCUAAUUUGUAUUUAUAAGAUGUUUUAUUUGAUUCAUGGUCCUAAAACAUUGAUGCAGAGUAAGAAAUUGAAGAAAUCCUAAUUAGAUAGAAAUUUAUAAUAUUUAGAAAUACUUUAAUUAGUUUUCUAGUUUAAUUGGUUGUCUAUUUAGAGUUUUAUUAUUUUGGCAUUGGUUGUUUGAGUUGCAUUUCUAAUUUAGGCCUAAGUUGUAGUUCAUAUAAAUAAGCAUUUUUUGUAGCUUUUACAAGUAAGCAUUGAUUUUUUUGUCAUUGAUUAUUUUGUCAUUAGUUAUUUAAAAAAAAAAAACUAUAGAUUUGAGUUCAAUAAUAUUUUUAGUUCUGAAAGCUCUAUGUGAGUUUUUCAGUUUAGUUAAUUCCCAACAUUUUGCGAAAUCAAUGAUUGUUAACCCCCUAAAUUCACAAUAUUUUUUUGAAUGAAUGCAAACUGUAGAUUUUGAUGUUUUCAAGAAUCAACGAAGUAUUAGAACAUUAAACUUCCACUGCAGCAAUUUCAGCUUCAACACAUACCAUUUCUCUUUUUUUAAUCCUUAAUCUGAUUUGGCUUUAAAACAAAAACAGUACACCAUAAUCACCACAAAAGCUGCCAUGCACAGCCUCCAUUAGUCUAGCUCUUUUUCUGUUGAUCAACCACCACCACGAUAGUUAAAAGAAGCUGACCACUAAAAUUAACCAUGAAUGUAACCUUUCGCCACUAAAUCACCAACAAAAUGAUUAAAAUCCAUACACUGCCAUAGCUUUCGUUCACUCAAUUUAACCGUUCGUUGGCCAAGGCCUCCACUAUACACUACCACUAUCAAUCAACUCCUCUCCAUAAGUACAUCCUUUCUAACUAUUCACCACUAUCGAUUGAUGCACCGAUCACCGGAAUCAAAGCCAACACAAACCGUUGUUACUUGUCUCAAACUUUCGAUCAAACUACCACUUUUUCAGACAAACGACCACCACCAUCACACUUACCAUCGUCAGAUCUUCUAGAUCCACCCUAUCCUUAUCCAAUUUUUUAUUACCAUCACCGGUAAUCCUAUCUUUUACUUAUUUAUAGUAUUACCAUAAUAUUUUCUAAUCAUCAUGAAGAUUUAUCUUCAAAGAAGGUAUUUUGACUAGAUUGUUGAGGGCUUAGCGAUUGAUUGCUCAAGAUUUAGAGAAACUACAAAAUAGGAAAUCAUACACAUAAAGUAGAGAUAUAGUUGACGAAUUGACGAAGUUGUUUGUGAUGAUGCAAUUAUAAAGAUAAUAUUAUUAAGGUAAACUAUGACUUUGCUUUGUCAAUGUUACUUCAUCCAAUGAGCAUAUUGAUUGGCCAUUUGCCAACCUAAAUUUCUCAAGAUCCUCUAACAAAUUCAAAUCAACCGGCAAAAUUUGAUGAUUAUGUUGAUAUUGUUGAGCAAGUGGCGGUAACUAUUGAUACAUCUUAUGAUCUUGUAGAGUGAAGAGAUGUACUUUUUGAUAUAAUCUCAUAUGGUUCUCUUGAUUUGCCUAAAGAAGACAAAAAGAGUUGUUGUGUUAUCUUUCAACAGUCAGUAGAUUAUGAAAAGAAAUUAUUGUCCUCAACUAUGUUAAAGUUCAAAGCAAAAGUACGAGAAGGUAAUGUUAGCUAUUGGAGUGAUUGGAUGGACAUUGUUACCAAAGUUAGAAAAUUCAAAGUUCGUUGUCUACAUCAAGGAUCUAUUUUAAAAAUUAAUCCUUAUAGAUGUGAAGAUAAUCUUAGAGAUUAUAACAAGAAAAAUUCAACAAAGAAUUUUCUCCAGCACAAUGGGAAUGAUGCAAAGCAAAAAAUUGAAGAAAUCCUAAUUAUAUUGAAAUUUAUAAUAUUCAUGAAUACUUUAAUUAAUUUGUAUUUUAGUUUCAUUUGGUUGCUAUUUAGAGUUAAGUUUUAUUGUAUAGGCAUUACUUAUUUAAGUUCUAUUCCUUAUUUAGAUAUAAGUCCUAUUAAAACAGGUUUUCUAAUCAAAUUAAAAUAAGUCGUAGUUAGUAUAAAUAAGUGUCUUUUGUAACUUUUUACAAGUAGGAUUUGGUUAUUUCGUUAUUGAUUAUUCCUUGCAAUAAACUGUAGAUUUGAGUUCAAUAAUAUUUUCAGUUUUAAAAGCUCUGUGUGAGUUUUUGAGUUUAGUUAAUUCUCGGCAUUCUGUGGAAUCGAUGUGUCUUAACACUUAGGUUCAUGUAUUCUUUCGAAUCAAUGUGAACUUAGACCAUUCAUGUGUUCCAAUGUUCUAAAAAAUCAAUGGAAUAUUAGAGCAUUAAACUUUUGUUACAUAAAAUAUUUAAGAUUUACAUCCAUGAAGGAAAAUUUUGUAAAAUGAUAAUAAAUUUGACACUUACUAGAUUUCAGGGUGGUUUGGAUGGGUUAUAAAACAUGAGGGAAACAUCUUUGGUAUAUUUUCUCUAGAUGACAUGGGUAUUGAUGAGAUUAAGGAUAAAACUAUCACAAGCACAAGGGAUGAGGCAUAUUCAGAUCCUAUUCAAGUUCCCGCCGGACCCGUUACAAGAGCUCGAGCAAAGAAAUUCAAAGAAGCGCUUAAUGGAUUGAUUCAAGGAACUUGGGCUCAAUCAAUUUCGUGGAGGCCCAUUGAAGGAAUCGCACAUGAUAAAUGCAUGAUUCAGACUCUUGAAGUUUCCAAAUACUCACUUCCAUGAAAUAGGGAAUUGGCUUAAACAUUAUGGUGGGAAAAUAUAUUAUUUUCCUUUUUCAGAUACUUUCCCGUUUCUUGAGGAGUCUAUUAGGGAAUCAAAUCAAUUAUUUCUAUUUUAAUCGCCUAGUUUCCAUUUAAUUGAAGUAAGGCAUUUAAGACAAUUAGGAUCCUGAUUUAGUUUAAAUUCUUUCUUAUUUACAUAGAUUAGGAUUCUGAUUUGAUUUAGAUUCUUUCCUAUAAGGGAAGAUUUAGAUUCAUAUUUGAUUUUUGGGUUAGGAUUUAUUUCCAAAAGUUCUUGUAACCAACCUUAUAUAAAGUACUCAUAUUCAAUAAACAAAAAAGAAGUUUUUUUGAUGCAAUUGGUGAGAGAGUUAAUUCCCUUUGGUUCUUUACGAACUCUUUGAACUUAUUGAAUUUCUGUGGCGUUCAAAUUCUUGACUUAUCAAUCAGACCAUCCAUAACUGAUUGUGGCGUCUUUACAUACAAAGGUUCGUGCUUUCAAUAAGCAUUGGGUCGAGGUUCCAUUCCAUUCCUGGUUUAGAUUCGAUCUUGGGAACUAAAUUGACUAGGGUCGCAUCAGUUCUUGACGGGGUUCAUAUCAUCUGGUAUUAGAGCCUAGGCUUCAAGGUCAGGAUCCAUCUAUCUUUGUUGUUUUUCAUUCUUGUUUGAAUUUUUCAUCUUGUUGUAGUAUCUAUAAAAAAAAAUAAUAAUAAGUCGUGAAAUCUCUUGAAUAGUUCCGCAUGAACAGUAUUUUUAGAGUUUUCUUUUAAAAUCAAUUUUGCAUCUUUGUGGUUUAAUUCUCCUUAAAUCCACAAGUUUUACCUAUUCCUUUUCCUUAAAAAAAAAAUUCAACCUCCUCUUAAAAUCUUUCAUUUGUUUUUCAUUAUUUGUGUCUUGGAAGUAUAAAAUAAGUUUUACCCCAUCGGUGAAAAUUUUGCCCAAAAUCAAAACUCGACUUUCGUACACUUGCCUUCUUACUCUUGAAAUUAAAUUCUCCUUAGUUGUCAUCUUUGUGAAUUGCUUUUGAAAUCCUAAUAUUGCUUUGAUUAGUUUGAUAAAAAUCGAGUGAGGAUUAAUAAGAGUGAUUGUACUAUUUUGAUUAGUUUGAUAAGAACCUCAAGGCAAAGAGCAAAACUUUAUGAAUUAAAUAAAAAAAUCUAUUUAGGGAGACAUAUUAAGUCUCAUCUCUUAAAAGAACCAUGCUAUAAAAGUAGAACAGAAAACACAAUGAACGUCACUAAAAACAAAUAUGAACUCUCCUUCAGAAUCAAUAUUGGUGAGAAUCGGUGCAUGUGGUAGAAUGCUUAGUAAAAGCAUGAGCUCAUGUACAAGAAAUAUAAAACCUACCAAGGGUGAGAGACCUAAAUUUGAAAAUGCAUCAGUCACAUUAACCCCAAAUUUCGAAAUAAUAUUUCUAUAUAAUAUCAUAUAAAAUAAAAAAAAUAUAACUCUAACAUGAAAAAAGUGGAAAAAGAUAAUAAUUAAAUAUACAUAAAGGUAAAUGAGCCAUACCUGAUACGAACCCCGUCAAGAACUAACGCGACCCUAAUCAAUUUAGUUCCCAAGAUUGAAUCAAAACUAGGAAUGGAAUGGAACCUCGACCCAAUGCUUAUUGAAAGCACGAACCUUGGUAUGUGAAGACACCACAAUCAGUUAAGAAUGGUCUGAUUGAUAAGUCAAGAAUUUGAACGCCACGGAAAUCCGAUAAGUUCAAAGAGUUCGUAAAGAACCAAAGAGAAUUAACUCUCUGAUACGAACCCCGUCAAGACCUGACGCGGCCCUAAUCAAUUUAGUUCCCAAGAUAGAAUCUAAACCAGGAAUGGAAUGGAACCUCAACCCAAUGCUUAUUGAAAGCACGAACCUUGGAAGACUAGGGGUGGGCACAAACCCACAACCCAUGGGUUUACCCAAACCCAAACCAAAUUAAAUGGUUUGGGUUGGGUAAAUCAUGAAAAUGGGUUAGAUGUGGAUUUUAUAUAGAAAACCAUUUCAUUAUGGGUUGGGUAUGGUUUACCCAUGGGUCAUGGACAAAACCCCAACACUCAAAUUUUUCAAAUGAAAUAAAUGAAAACAAAAUAAAUGAACACAAAUAAGUGAAAGGCCACCAUUAAAUUUUUUACGGCGUGAUCAAUUGUCAAUAGUUAGAAAAUGAAAAUAACAUGUAAAAAUAAAUUUAAAUUAAAUAAAUAUUGUUGUAAAUAACAUAAAUUUUUUUUCUUAUUUACAAAAAUAAUUCCUCCCACAUGGAAGGAUCAUCAUAGAAAGAGCAGGAGACUCUACUAGUGAUCAAUAAUAACUCGGCUUGGACUGGAUCCAAUAUGCUAGAUGGCGGCUAAUUUUUGGUCAAUAAUUGAAUGUAAUGCCCAUAUUAGGCCCUGCACAAAACUUUGCUUACCAUAUAAUGAAAUUAGAACAUAAACCAUACACACUAUAUAAUAAUAACGCAAAACUACCAAAAUGAUAAAUAAAAACAAAUAUUGCAUAAUUAAAUAAAUAAAAAGUGGCAAAAUUUAUUAUUAGAUUGUUAAUGUCAUGUUUGUGAAAGUUUUAAUUAAAGUGUACGUUCUUAUUUAUUGAGAAAUAAUAAUUUUUGUGAUUAAACUUUAUUUUGAUUUUCUAGUAUUCUUUAAUUUAAGGAUUAAGUUAUUGUAAAAUUUAUAAUUUUUAUCCACUAUAUUUUUUUAUAUUUUAAUAUCAAUUUAAUAAUUAAUAACAAUUAAUAAUUAUUAUAAUUUUGAUAUAAUUAAAUUUUAUUAAAAUAAAAAUUAUUUUGAUAAUAAAAUUCAAACCAAACCCAAAUGGUUUGGUUUGGGUUGGGUUAAAAAUAUUUGGGUUGGAUCCAAAUUUUUAUGGUUUGGUUUGGGUUGACUUAAAAUCCAACCCAAACCAACCCAUGCCCACCCCUAGGCUGAAGACGCCACAAUCAACUAUGGAUGGUCUGAUUGAUAAGUCAAGAAUUUGAACGGCACGGAAAUUCGAUAAGUUCAAAGAGUUCGUAAAGAACCAAAGAGAAUUAAUUCUCUCACCAAUUGCAUCCAAAACUUUUUUGUUUAUUGAAUAUGAGUACUUUAUAUAGGGUUGGUUACAAUAAUUUUUGGAAAUAAAUCCUAACCCAAAAAUCAAAUAUAAAUCUAAAUAUUCCCUAAUAGGAAAGAAUCUAAAUCAAAUCAGAAUCCUAAUCUAAGUAAAUAGGAAAGAAUUUAAACUAAAUCAUGAUCCUAAUUGUCUUAAAUGCUUUACAACAAUUAAAUGGAAACUAGGCGAUUAAAAUAGAAAUAAUUGAUUUGAUUCCCUAAUAGCCUCCUCAAGAAACAGGAAAGUAUCUGAAAAAGGAAAAUAAUAUAUUUUCCCGCCAUAAUGUUUAAACCAACUACCUAUUUCAUGGAAAUGAGUAUUUGGAAACUUCAAGAGUCUAAAUCAUGCAUUUAUCAUGUGCGAUUCCUUCAAUGGACCUCCACGAAAUUGAUUGAGCCCAAGUUGCUUGAAUCAAUCCAUUAAGCACUUCUUUGAAUUUCUUUGCUUGAGCUCUUGUAACGGGUCCGACGAGAACUUGAAUAGGAUCUGAAUAUGCCUCAUCCUAUGUGCUUGUGAUAGUUUUAUCCUUAAUCUCAUCAUUCCUCUCCUCUUGAAGAGGAUUUGUCCUCAAAUCAUCACUUACAUCAAAAGGACUCAAAUCAGAAACAUUAAAAGUAGCACUUACAUUGUACUCACCAGGCAAAUCCAGUCUGUAUGCAUUAUCAUUGAUAUGUUCCAAAACUUGGAAUGGGCCAUCCCCUUGAGGUAAUAACUUAGAUUUCCUUCGUUUCGGAAAUCGUUCCAUGCCAGUCACCAGGUUCAAAGACUAGCUUAUGUCGCCCUUUAUUGGCUUCUUUAGCAUAUUGCUUAGUUCUCCGCUCAAUGUUGAACUUCGCCUUCUCAUGUAUCUGUUUAACAAUUUCAGCCUUUUUCUUGCCAUCUAAGUUAACAUGCUCAGAAACAGGUAAUGGAGUUAAAUCCAAUGGGGUUAAAGGAUUAAAACCAUAAACAAUUUCAAACGGUGAAUACUUAACAAGUGGUAAACAAUCUUCCCAAGUUUUGAUGUUCUUUUUAAUGAUAGCUCGUAACAGAGUAGAUAAAGUUCUAUUCACAAAUCAUCGAUAGAAACUAGCAAGCCCAUGAAAGCUUCUCACAUUACUUACACUUGUGGGACUCGACCACUCUUGGAUUGCACGUACCUUUUCCUCAUCAACCUAUAUACCCUGUGCACUCACAACAAACCCUAGAAACACAAGUUUGUUGGUGCAAAAAGUACACUUCUUCAGGUUAGCAAACAACUUUUCUUUUCUAAGCACAUCUAAAACAUAUUUCAAAUGUACUACAUGAUCGUUCAUGUUUUUGCUAUAAAUGAGGAUAUCAUCAAAAUAAACAACAACAAACUUGCCAAUAAAAGCUCGUAAGACAUUAUUCAUAAGUCUCAUAAAGUGCUUGGGGCAUUAGUUAGACCAAAAGGCAUGCUAACCAUUCAUACAAACCAUAUUUUGUUUUAAAAGCAGUUUUCCAUUCAUCUCCUUCUUUCAUUCUAAUAUGAUGAUAUCCACUUUUCAAAUCAAUUUUGAAAAAUACACAAGACCCAUGUAAUUCAUCAAGCAUGUCAUCUAGCCUAGGAAUGGGAUGUCGAUACUUUACCGUUAUGUUGUUGAUGGCUCGACAGUCAACACACAUCCUCCACGUCCCAUCCUUCUUAGGAACUAAUAAAACAGGAACUGCACAUGGACUCAUGCUUUCUCUCACGUACCCUUUUUCCAUUAAUUCCUUAACCUGCCUUUGAAGUUCCUGGUCUCCUCCGGAUUGCUCCUAUAGGCUGGUCUAUUUGGAAUGGCUACACCGUGCACAAAAUCAAUCUAAUGCUCAAUCCCUCGGAUUAGAGGUAAACCAAGUGGUGUUUCCUCAGGAAAGACAUCCUCAUACUCCUACAAAAGAGAAGUAAUAGAACUAGACAAAGUAGGGUCAAAUUCGUUAAAAUGCUUCUUUGUACAAAAGUACAACAUUAUCAUUGAGCUUUAAAUUCAUUCUUAAUUCAUUUAUUCACACAUUGAGCAUAGAUUUAUAAUCAUAUAUUUUGUGUGAGGGAAAAACACAUUUGUAAUAUUUGUUUUGAGUGAUUGUAAGUGUUGGGAUACACUUGGGUUAAGAGAUUAGUGAUAAUCUCUUGUUGUAAAGGUCUAUUGACACCUUGGAAGUCAAUUAUAAGCGUUUGAAGACUUGGGAGGCUUGGAUAGUGAAAUCCUCAAGCUCAGUGUGCUUGGAGGCGUGGACGUAGGCGGGUAUUAUCGAACCACAAAAAAAUUCUUGUGUUUGUUUUCUCUUCCCUCACUCUUUUAUUAUUGUACUUGAUUGAAUUUAUUGUUUUCGAUUCCAUUAAGACAUUAGAUUGAAUUGUUGUGUGGUUUGCUAUCUUAAUUUUUAAUAUCCCAAUUCACCCUCCCCUCUUGAGUUGCUUAAUUAGUAUUUCAUUUGGUAUUAGAGCGAGGUGCUCUUGUGUAGACUUAACCGUCUAGUGUUAAAGAUCUACAGCAACCCAAAUUAGCUCAACCUUCAUGGAAGGCCAAUCUACCACUAGACCUCCAUUCUUUGAUGGUAAUGACUAUCCUUAUUGGAAAACUAGGAUGAAAGUAUUUUUACAAGCCUUAGACUAUGAAAUUUGGGAAAUAGUUUGUAAUGGUUCAUUCAUUCCUGGGAAGAAUGUUGUAAGUGAGUUGGAUAAGAAAAAUAUGUUUUUAAAUUCCAAGGCUAUGAAUGCUUUAUUUUGUUCCUUAGAUAAAAAGGAAUUUCAUAGAGUUUCAAAUUGUUCUAAUGCUUAUAAAAUUUGGAGAAAACUUGAGGUUGUGUAUGAGGAGACUACAAACGAGGAGGAAUCUCAUGAAGUGUCGAAUUUGGCACUUAUGGCAAUUGGAGAUGAAUCGAAUGAUGAACUUGAUGAGGUAAGCGAUCUUCCUACUUAUGAUGAAUUACAUGAUGCGUUUAAAGAAUUGCAUGAUGAGUGGAUGAAAAUUGGUAAAAAGAAUGCAUGUCUUAAAAAGAAAAUGGUAGAGCUCACAAAUGAAAAUGAAUCUCUAAGUGCAAAGAUUAUAUGCCUAGAACUAGAGAAUAAAACAUUGCAUGAUAAAGUUGCAUUAUCAAAUGAGAAAUGUAGCACUUCGCACAAGCAUCUAGAAUCAAAUGAAAAAGAUGCCCUGCAAAAAUACAAUGUUUCAUUAAAUGAAAAGAUCAAAGAAUUAGAAUUAGAUAAUGAAAUGUUACAUGAUAGGAUUGCAUCAUUUAAAUGUAAACAAAGUACUUCAUAUGAGCAUGAGAAAUCACAUAUUGAUGAAUUAAUAAAAGAAAAUGAAGUGCUUAAGAAGAAGAGCAAUGAGUUAAAUGAGAUUGUCUUAAAAUUUACAAAUGGACAAAAGAUGUUAGAUAACUUGCUUAAUUCACAAAAAUGUGUGUUUGACAAAGGAGGUAUUGGCUAUAAGCCUAAUUUGAAACAAAAGUAUUAUAAGAACUACUUUGUGAAGAAUACCUCCAUUAAUGAUCAAAUUGUAUGUCAUUAUUGCAAUCAAAAUGGUCUUAUGAGUUUUAGAUGUCCAGUUAAGAGAAAUGUAUAUUUUGGAGUAAAAUGUAUUUGGGUUCCAAAAGGAACAAAAUCUAACACUCAAGGACCCAAGAGUAUUUGGGUACCAAAGGGCACAACGUGAAUGUUUUCUUUGUAGGUACCACAAUUAAGGAAUGGUGGAGAGUUCCUUGAUGAAAGCUUAUGAGGAUAAUCACUUGAUCACUAUCUAAGCUUAUCUUGCCUAUUUAUUAUGUUGAGUGGAUCAUGAUAAAUGGAUAAUAGCUUGAAUUUGCGAAAGUAUGCUUGUAUGUUUACAUGAUGAAAUUAUCAUUGUGUAUAACAUUGAGUGAUUUAUCAUGAUGCCUUUAUUUGAUUUUGAUGAUUGUGUGAUCUUCUUAAUUGUCUAUCAUCAUUGUCCAUCUCUUAUGUAUGUGUGAAUUCAUAUGCCAUUAAUUGUGUUAUAUUAUUUAUAAAAUUCACAGUAAUGACUUAUUGCGCUUAUGAAUUUGAUCACUUGUUCUUUGCUCAUAAUAAUGGCUUAUCUUAAUAGCUAUGUUGAUUUUGAUGAUCUAUAUAUUGCAAUUACACACUUAUGUUUUGCUUAAGAUUUGAGAUAAAGAAUAUGCUAUGAUGAUUACAUGGUGUGUAUGAUGAUUUAUGAUAAUUUGGGAGUGAUAUUACUAAACUUGUAUUUGAGGUGAUGCUUAUUGUUAGGGGGAGAUUCUAUCGAAAUUUCUACUCAAACGAUAUGGGUAACAACGUUUCCACUCUUUUUCUUUUCCAAUAAAUUUUCUUUUUGAUGAUGAGGGGGAGAAGAAUAUAGCAAUCAUUCUUUAAAUACAUGAAAUGUUUGUCAUCAUCAAAAAGGGGGAGAUUGUUAGCAUAUAUGUAUCCAUAAUGUUGAUUUUGAUGAUAACAAACAAGAUUAAGAAUGAUUAAGUUUUUAAAAGCUCAAAUGAUUUUAAAUAAAUCAUUAUUUUCAUAAUAUAAAUGUUUAUAUUUAAUGGAAAAAUGAUUCUAUGAAAUUGGUUAUUCUCAUGUUAAUGGUUUCAAUUGAAAAAGCUUUGAGAAUUUUGAUAAAUAACAAGUAUUGCUUAAAAUCCUAAAAAUGGACCUAUUUGAUAAGUUUUAUAAAGUUUUGGGUCAUAGUAUAUUUUUAUAAAGUUUUAGGGCCAAACUGUAACUUUACAAAAUAGUUCACUGUAGCAGUCACUGUAGAAAACGACGAUCCGACAUCUCGAUAACGGCGAUUCGACAUUGAGAAGAAUUGAAGAGUAGCCUCUGAACACUAACGGCGAUCCGACAUUGAGCAGAAUUGAAGAGUAGCCUCCGAACACUAACGGCGAUCCGACAUCUAGAUAACGGCGAUCCAAAAAUUUAAAAAUUCAACCCAACAGUCAUAUUGACUAGUCAAACGACGAUCCGACAUCUAGUUAACGGCGAUCCAACAAUGAGUAGAAAGUCAAUAACGGCUAGUUUUCAGCUCCAACUAUAAAUAAGCUCAAUCAAAUUCAAACAAAUGUGGAUCACAACAUUAUCAUUGAGCUUGUAAUCGAGAAUACAACAUUCAUUGAGCUUUAAAUUCGUUAUUGAUUCAUUUAUUCACACAUUGAGCAUAGAUUUGUAAUCAUAUAUUUUGUGUGAGGGAAAAACACAUUUGUAAUAUUUGUUUUGAGUGAUUGUAAGUGUUGAGAUACACUUGGGUUAAGAGAUUAGGGAUAAUCUCUUGUUGUAAAGGUCUAUUGACACCUUGGAAGUCAAUUGUAAGCGUUUGAAGCCUUGGAAGGCUUGGAUAGUGAAAUCCUCAAGCUCGGUGUGCUUGGAGGCGUGGACGUAGGCGGGUAUUGCCGAACCAUGAAAAAAUUCUUGUGUUUGUUUUCUCUUCCCUCACUCUUUUAUUAUUGUGCUUGAUUGAAUUUAUUGUUUUCGAUUCCAUUAAGGCAUUAGAUUGAAUUGUUGUGUGGUUUGCUUAUCUUAAUUUUUAAUAUCUCAAUUCACCCCCUCUUGGGUUGCUUAAUUAGUAUUUCAGUUGAAUACCCUAAAUAAAAGGAAAUUGGGCACAAUCGACAGCACAUGUCUUUGUGAGCAGGAGGUUGGUAUUUGAUAACAUUCUUUCUAAGAUUUGCGAUUGUAUGUUAUUACAGGUUUACUUUUCUGAGGAAUAAAUUAAUAAAUUUGUUUAUAAAUUAAUUAAUACCUCUUUAUUAAUAAAUUUGAUACGUAACAAUCUAUUAAUUUAUGGAGGUUCUAAUAUAUAUACAUAAAUAUAGGUAUAAGGUUAUAAUAAUGUAUAUUUAUUCAUGGAUAUGUUUGUGUAUGUGUGUGUCCACUGCUUAUUGGUGUUUGUCUUACGUGUGAGAAUGAGAUGAUCGUCAUUCAUCCACUAUCACAUUUGAUGCACAUAUCAUGUUUCAUGCACAUAGGGGUGGCUCAACCAAUUUUGGGGCCUUAGACGAAGUGUUUCAAUUAGAUUUUCGAAAAAAAUUAUUAAUAAAAAUUCAUUUAUUUAAAAUCAAAUUUCCUAGCUUUAUGAGAUGCAAAAUUAUUGAUCAAAUUUUUAUAUUCUAAUUUCGCUAGUAUAUUUUUCUCAAUAGAUAACAUAAUUAAUCCAUUUAAUCUUUCUUGUGACAUGGUUGAUAUUAAAUAAGUUUUUAUCAAUUUUAAUUUUGAAAAGCUUCUUUCUGCAGAAGUAACUGUUAUUGGUAUUGUUAAUAAUAUUCUAUAAGCAACAUAUGCAUUUGGAAAAGAAUCAAAUUUUUUCAAAUAAUUAAGUACAUCAAGUGGGGUAUUUUUUUCACUUUUAAAAACUUCUUUUAAAAAAGAAACAACAAUAAUAAAAUAAUAUAAUUAAUUAAGAAGAGAAUAAAAAGAAAAAACCUAGAUAUUUAAGAAGUUUAAUUUUGAUGGAUUGAAACUUUAUCAGCAGUAAUUAAUGGAUAACAUUAAUUAAGAUACCCUAAGAUCCAAAAAAAGGGAUAACAUGAGCCAAUCAUAUCCAAAGGAAAAAUAAUAAAAAUAAAGAAAAAUAAUUAAAAAAAUAAAUUAUUUAUACUUUGAUGGAGGAGAGAUUGAGACCAAUGAAGGAAGUUGCCAAAGCCUUUAGUUUCCGAAAUUGAAAGAGAUUGAGAACUGUCGUGGUGCUUUUUUCUUUUAAUCGAUAAAAACUAGUAAUGGAUAAUAAUAAGUUAACAAAUAUUUGGAUUUUAUAGAGUUUUAAAUGAAAUAAUGUUAAUUAGAGAUUUUAUAGGAAUAAAUAGAAUAAAAAUUGUUAAUCCUAACGUUAAAAAUAGAUUUUGUAUGGAUUUGAUAAUUUAUUUAUAGAAAAGAUUAUUAUAAAAUAAUAACAAUAUAAUUUAAAAAAAAAAUUGAGACCUUUAUCUAUUGUGAGACCCUAAGCAAUUGACUAGUUGUAUAGAGAAAGAGCCGCUACUGCAUGCACAUGAUGACCAAGAAGGUCAUGAUCUUCCAUAAAAGGGUAACAUAUCACAACCAAAAAGAUAAAGAGGAAAAGCGGAAAAGUUUGGACAACCCACGCCCCUUGUCUCAGCAGAUAAUUGAACUUUAACCCUAUUUGGUUUUUUAUUUUCUUAUUGGAUCGAAGAAUAGGGAAUCAUUGAAAGAGAGAGAAGUGAAUGUGUGUUUAUAAUGGCAUUGGGCAAAAGAACAAACUCAAGCACAAAGCACAAACAGAAUCAUAAUAAGAAACCGACUUCUUUUGCUUGCAAGUGACAACCUUUCCAUACAAUUCGCUGGAAUUUUAUUUCUGUCUCUUUCUUAUUUGGCUUAUACUUCGAAGAAGUUUCUGCUCCUUCAUUUCUGAAGGUUCUUUGUAAUCCAUUGAUUGCUCGUAUUUUUAUGCUUACGAAAUUUUUUUAUUAAUUUAUUUACUUUUCUUUCUUUCUUUUCAGGGGUAGUGAAGAAUGAUGAAAGUUCUCCGUCUUUAUAGUGAAUGAUCAAAUAAUAAUCGUUUUAGUGAAUGAUUACUAAAUUAUAGGAAAAUGCUCAAAUUCACAACCCCCUCCUUUGUUAAAAUUAAUCAUAUUUCCUUUGGGUUUUAAAAUCUAUCAAAAUCUCCAUAUCAUUUAAAAAAUUUAGAACUUAUUUGGUAAUCCUAUUACUUUUUAAAUAAUUAAUGUUAGCUAUUAUGUAAGAAUAAUUAAUUGUGAAAAGAAUUAGCUUUGGUAAAAUUUAUUUUUAAAUUGAUGUAAAUCUUAAAACCAGUCAUAGGUGUUCGUUAAAUUUUAUUGUUAAUCUAUUAUAAGAGUACAAGUGACCGAAAACAAUAUAAUGUUGAAUAAAAUUUAUUCACACAUUUAAAAACAUAUAUAAAUAAUAUUUUUUUAUUGUGUAUAUAAUAGUUGAAAGAUAAAAUAAAUAUUUUAAUUAUUUUUAUUUUAUUAUCAUAAUAUAAUUGGUAAUAACCAUAAUCUGUUAAAAUUUAAUGAUUUUAUUUUCUAAUUAAAUAAGGAUAAUUUUGAAUUUUUAUAUUAAGUGUAAAAACUGAUUAUCAAAAGUCAAAAUUUAAAAACUACUCCUUCUCUACUUUUCAAAAUCCGUUGUAGGAUGAAAUAAUUUUACCAAAAGUGAAAAAAUUACCAAACACUAGAAUUAACUUUUAGUUUUUCAAAAUCAUUUCUAAACCUCUCAAAAACAAACUUAAACGAACACUUAGUCAACUUUCAAUUUUUUAUGUUCUUUUAUUAUUUUACUCAUAAUACAAUAAAAUCUACCAUUACUUAAUGAAAGAUUUUGGAGGUAAAAUUGUGACAUAAAAAAGAAUAUGAAAAUUAACAAUUUUUUUUUUAACAACCAGAAAUUUUGAUGGGUUCUGAAACAUCAAGAGAAUGAUUGAUUUUAAAAACUAACAGCGAAGUUUUGAAUUUUAAUCAUUUGAUCGUAAACUUACAUAUUGAUCUUUGAACUGCAUAACUGCGAUAAAAUGUGAAAACAAAUGAAAAACUUGAAAUUUCAUGAAGAUGCCAUACCCGGCCGACAUCCCUCAACCGCCUCGUUUACGUUGAUCACGAAAUGCUUGAUGGUUGAUUGAAUUAUGAACAAGAUAUGUUUGUCUUCUGCAAAAGCUGUUAAAAGAUACAGACACAUUAUCAAAAUCAUGGAUGUACAUCUUAUUUAUACUUGUCCAUGUAUUAUUUGUUAUUGAUGCAACCUAGAAAAUGAGGAGGCAGGAAAAGACAUGCGGCUUCUAUCUGGACAUCCUUAUUCCAAGAUAAAACAAAUGAUAUCAUGCACAGUUAAAUUAACAAUCAAAAUGCCAACUGGGCCCUUCUUAAGACAAGACAAUUUAAGAAUAUUAUGUUUUGAAAGAUUUCACUUGCACUAAAAUUAUAAUAUGAUCCCACCACCCAAUCACCCAUGCAUCUCUCCAUCAUCAUUUGUCUUGCGAGCUAUAUAUAUUAUGUUUUUUUUUUCACCAAAUUAUCAUUUAGCGUGAUCAAGACCAAAUACAUUACCCAGUAAGAGAGAAAAUGAUAGGUCUAUAGCUAUCACAAUUACUUUUCAUGAUAAUUGGUAAUCAAAUUAGCUUAAGUUUUCAAAGCGGUAGUUUGAUAAUUGAUAUGGCUAUUCUAACAAUUUGCGACUUUAUAAUAAUCAUGUUAUGAAAAACUUCAUCUUUUACCCCUUUUUUUUCCGACUAUGUGAUGUUGUGAUGUUUCAGAAAGAUCACAAUGAACAAAAACUUUUUUCAAGUGCUUAAAAAUGCAUAUGCAUAAUACAUAGUCUCGUUAAUUUUCUUUCAGUUAUUUGAUAUUAUUUUGACGACCAAUUAUUUGCUUUAUUGUUUAUAUGUCCUGGAAAUAAAUAUAUAUCCAUAUCAUUAUCUCCUUCCCACACUAAUUCUGUCAUCCCAUUAAUAAUUAUCCAUUCAGUUUUAUGUUCUAUAAUCUAAUAUGUUUUAAACAAAAUUCAAUAAUUUUCAAUCCUCCACAUAUCAUAAAUAUAUUUUAUUAGUUUAAUUCAAUAUUAAUAAUCAUACUAAUAAGUAGUACUUAUACAUUAUUUAAAAAUAAUAAAUUUUGUAAGAAAAUAUUUUGAUGUUAAAAUGAUCAUACUAAUAAAGUGGUACUUAUACAUCAUUUAGAAACAAUAAAUUGUGCAUUAAAAAAUUGAUGUUAAAGUAAAUUUUAUCAAAAAGUGAACGGCCGAAAAGGAAAGAAAAAAAAAAAGAAAAAGAAGAGAAAGAAAGAAAAAGUGGCGGGCCGCGUAAGGAAAAAUAAAAUAAUAAUAAAUAAUAAAGUAAAAGGUAUGAAUAGUAACCAAUUUUUGGCUAUAAAAGGAGGAUGCUCCUUCUCAUUUCAAAAUUUAGUUUUGAAAGAAGCAUUUCCUGCAUUUAGAGAGUUGAGAGUAUUAAGAGUUUAAUAAACUCUUGAGUGAUUAAUCAGUGAGAGAUUGGGUGUAUUGAGGUUUUGGGUAGUAAGCCAAAAUAUUACAAUAUUUGUUAUUCUCAAAUCACUAGUAAAAUAUUUUUCUUCUGUCUUCGCCCAUGGAUAUAGGCUAAAAACCGAACCACGUAAUUUUUGGUGUUUCUAUAUAAUUCUAUUGUCUCAUUAUUUCUCAAUUUCACUUUAGUUAUGUAUCUGCUUUACCCAUCAAUUUCCCAACAAUGGUAUCAAAGCUAUUGGUUGUAUUUUUGGAGUUGGGUACUGUUCACAUAUACGGCACUAUGUUAUUCUAUUGUCUCAUUAUUUCUCAAUUUCACUUUAGUUGUGUAUCUACUUUGCCCAUCAAUUUCCCAACAAUGGUAUCAGAGCUAUUGGUUGUAUUUUUGGAGUCGGGGGUAUUGUUCACAUACUAUUUUCGUAUACAGUACUGUUCACGAGAAACGGUGGGAGCGAUCCAAGAAUUUUGCUGUGCAAAGUAGGGUGUGAGUGGAGUAACCAUGUGUUUAGGAAAGUUUUAUCACAAGGGCGAUAAGAGCCUAAGGAGUCUGGGUUUUAAGUGGGCCUGUUGUGACCCCUCCAGUCUUUCUUGAGAACUUUCCUGGUGUGCAUUUUCACACAUACUCACAACUAUUCAAGGUGGUACACUAGCUCAUUAGCUUGUGUGCGGUAUUUAUCAAUAAAAUGGUAGCAAAGUAUGAAAUUCAGAAGUUCAACGGGAACAAUUUCUUGUUUUGGAAAAUAAAGAUGAAGGCUAUAUUGAGAAAAAAUAAUUGCUUGGUAGCAAUUGGAGAAAGGUCCACGGAGAUAACUGAUGAUGACAAGUGGAAUGAGAUGGACGGCAAUGCCAUUACUGAUCUACACUUGACACUUGCAGAUGGGGUAUUAUCCAGUGUGGUGGAGAAAAAGACCACAAAGGAAAUAUGAGAUACUCUCACAAGAGUAUACGAGGCCAAAUCGCUACACAAUAAGAUCUUCUUGAAAAGAAAACUUUACACUCUUUAAAUGGCAGAAUCUACAUCGGUGACCAACCAUAUCAACACUUUCAAGACUCUAUUUUCGCAACUCACAACACUGGGUCAUAAAAUAGAGGAAAAUGAAUGUACGGAGCUUCUACUUCAGAGUCUACUGGAUUCGUAUGAUCAACUCAUCAUCAAUCUGACGAACAACAACCAAACAAAUAGUCUAGUCUUUGAUGAUGUUGCAGCCUCCAUAUUAAAUGAAGAGAGUAAGAGGAAAAAUAAGGAAAAGUUCGCAGCAAGCGGAAGUAUUAUUGGUGAUGAGAGGGAGAUUAACGGAACGUGGCCCCAAUGGGAGUCACAAUCAUGGUAGAUGAAAAUCGAGAAAUAAGAAGAAUGUCAAAUGCUACAAUUGUGGCAAGAAAGGGCACGUCAAGAAAGAGUGUUGGAAUAACUAGAAGAGAAGAGAAGGUAAAGAUCAUGAGUCAUCAAAUGCUUAGGGGUGUGUAGUAAGUACCCCGGAUGAUGGCGAAAUUCUUUACAACGAGGGGACAACUAUUUCAGAAGGCGGAAAAUAGUUAUCUGAUAUCUGACUUUGACCUCUCGGAGAGAAUGGUUCCACACAUAUGAACCUAUCUCUAGAGGAUCUACAUACAUGGGUGAUGCUCAUGCUUUGGAGAUUGUUGGUAUUGGUAAUGUCAAAACAAAAAUGUUUGAUGGUACAAUUCGUACAAUUGAGUAGGUACAACAUGUCAAAGGCCUGAAGAAAAAUCUAUUGUCUCUGGGACAAAUCAAUAGUCGUGGGUGCAAAACUCGUGUUGAAAAUGGGAUUAUGAAGAUUGCUAAAGGUGCGCUUGUAUUGAUGAAGGAAAAAAAGGAUCAAUGCUAAUAUGUUCAUGCUUAAAGGGGAAACACUAUAGGAAGCUGAUGCGUGUGUCACGUCAAAUGGAGAAGAAUCAACGAUGAUGUGGCACCUCAAACUCGGCCACAUGUCAUAAUAAGGUUUGAAGAUUCUCUCUGAGCGAAAAUUACUUUCGGGGCUUAAAUCGAUGAACUUACCAUUUUGCGAGCAUUGUAUUACAAGUAAGCAGCAUAUAUUGAAGUUUAGCAAAUCCACCGCUGAAAGUAAAAACAUUCUAGACUUGGUUCAUUCUUAUGUUUGGGAAUCACCAGAUAUAUCCAUAGGAGGCGCAAAGCACCUGGUGACUUUUAUUGAUGAUUAUUUCAAGAGAUGUUGGGUGUAUCCAAUCAAGAAAACGUCAGAUGUGUUUCCAAUGUUCAAAAAAUUCAAAGUGCGGGUUGAACUUGAAUCAGGGAAGAGGAUAAAAUGUUUGAGGACAGAUAACGGUGGAGAGUAUACAAACGACGAGUCUCUUGUUUUUUGUAAGCAAUAAGGUAUUCAAAAGCAGUUCACGGUGGCAUACACUCCUCAACAAAAUGGAGUGGCGAAGCGGAUGAACGGGAAUCUUAAAGAAAAGAAUAAGAGCUAUGUUGAGGAUUGAGGGCCUACCCAAUUCAUUAUGGGUAGAGCAGCCAAAACUACCUGUUAUAUAGUAAAUCAGUCGCCAUCUGCGACAAUUGGGUUGAAAACUCCGAUGGAAAUGUGGACUGGAAAGCCAACCGAUUACUCCCACCUACAUGCAUUUAAAUGUCCUAUGUACGUGAUGUAUAAUGCCCAAGAAAGAAUAAAGCUAGAUCCAAAACUCUAGAAUAUGUAUCUUCUUGGGAUAUGUUGAUAGAGUAAGGAGUAUCGUCUAUGGGAUCCCACUGUCCACAAGAUCGUCAUCAGCAGAGAUGUUAUUUUUGUAGAAGAUCAACUGUAAAGGAAAGAUGAAAAUGAUAGCACUGUGAAGGAAAAGUUAAAGAAUGUACCAGUAUAUAUGAAAAAUAAUCCAAGAGAUUCAGAUCUUUUGAAGCAGCACCAGAGCACGAGGAACAAGAACCAGUCGAGUUCGAGACCCCAGAAGUUCGAUGGUCAACUCAUGGGAGACGACCGCCAGUGUGGCACUCGAAUUAUGCUACAAAGAUUAAUGUUGCAUACUGUCUUCUAAUAGAGGAUGGAGAGUCAUCAACUUUCUAUGAAACUUUAAACAACUCAAAUGUUGCUUUGUGGAUGACAACAUUGUAGGACGAAAUUGAGGCUCUACACAAAAAUAAGACAUGAGAACUUGUAUAGGAGGUGAUUGUGCUAUCACCUUUAGCUGCUUGACAGCUUCUGUCUGAGCAGGGCCCCAUGGAGGGAAAGCCAUUGGUAACAAAUGGGUUUACAAAAUCAAGCGUGAUGGCAUUGACCAAGUGGAGCAGUUGAUAAUUCUAUGAAAUGAGAGUUAUCAUGACACUUUUUGACUUAAAUCAAUAUUACUUAGAGAGUAAAUGAUGUGUUAAUAAAUAUUCAUUUUGUAUAAAUAUUCAUUUUAGUUUAGUCUUAAUAAAUUCUGUUGGAUUUAGAAUAAUUCAUGAUUAGAUUGUAUGCAUAAUUGUAGAUGUCUAGAGCUCAUAUUUCAAGGAAGGAAUGUUGAUGCAAUAGGCUUGCAAAAAUGAGGAAUGAACAUGGCUACAAAAGAAUUGAAACAAAUCUGGAACAAUGUAGUCGUUGUAGCCGAUACUGUAGCAAACUUGGAACAACGACAGAGAAAAUUUCGCACGGGAUACCUGCAGAAUCGCAAUCUGCAGUUUCCUAAUCUGACUUAUGCGCGCCUGAGGCUUCCGUUUACUCUAAUUUUCAAUUAUAAAAGGAGCACGCAUCAUAUUGGAAAGGUGGCGGUAAUUAACAUCAAUGAAAUCAAGAGAAAAAGAAGGAAGAAGCAGAAUUCAAGGAAGAACAAGUCUGUACCAUUGAAGAAAUCUGCAGAAAUACUUGGAUUCAAUUUUCAUCAUUCUUUACUUAUUUCCUCAUUUAUUCUCUUAUUGAGACAAUGUAUUUCAUGGCAUAUAUUUUGCUGUUAGUUUUUCUUUUACAAGUUAUGAACUAAAUUUGAUUGUAGUUGAGUAACAAACAAUCUUAAUGGGUUCUUGACUGUUCUUAUGAGUUGCUGCAAGAUUACUGUAGCAUUUUGCUCUAAUAGCUUAUAUUACAAUCAUUAUUUCGGUUGACCUCCCAUUUAAUGGUUCAAGUUAAGAGAGAGUCGCAAAAGGGCCUGUCUUGGUGGAAAUUAUUAGAGUAAUAUUUGAUCUUAAUUUGAGUUUCCUGGAUUGAGUUUAACUUGAGUCCCAAAAGGGCCACACUUGAGUUAAGGUUUGUGAAGAACUAGAUAUAGGGAUUCACCUUGUAGGGUAGAGAGAGUAUAUGUUUGUAAUGUCAUUUCUUAUGUGAUGUAACAACUGGUCAUUGUUAGGUUGCAUAAGGGUAUGAAAAGUCCAACAAGCGAUAGCUGAGAAUGUAAAAUAAUUAUGCCCAGUGUUGUAGGAAUUACUGCAGCAACUGGUGUUAGUUUGAACAAAACAGUCAGCUCAUGAAGAGAGUUUGAUCAUUCAACUACCAUAUUCUUAUUAAAUUCUUUUUGCGCAAUUCAUCCAAUUUACUUUAUUACUGCAAUUAUUUUAUUAUAUUGUUAAUUUUAUUAGUCAAUCAACUUAAAUUAGAUUUUUCUUUAGAUAGAAGGAAGUUUGCACUAUCAUGAUUGAUGUAGCAUUUCUAGUAACAUCAGUCCCUUUAGAGAUGAUCUUGAAUAUUCAUCACUUUAUUACUUGUUGUGUAUACUUACACAUUGUCAUCGAUAGCAAUUGAGUUAAAUUAUCCAACAAGUUUUUGGCGCCGCUGCCGGGGACUGAUUUUUUAUUUUCGAAUUGUGAAGCUAAUCUUGACAGUGCCAACUUAAUUUAAUUCAUUCUAUUUAUUGACAUAUCAAAACCUGCAUGCGCAAAGACAGAUUUGUUGAAUUUCAAUUUGAUCCUGAGAUUGAAAGGAUUGUAAAGAGAUUGCGAAGAGAGCAAAGAAAUUCAAAAACUGCUUCAGAAAUGGAUAACUUGCAAGAUGUGGGAAACUUAGAUUCUCACGGGCCACUACAACCUGUCAAUGUUCAAGAAGGGCAAAAUGGACAUGUUAAUAUGAGACAACCAGGCAACAACAAUAUUAUUUACAUGGCAGAUGACAGAGACUGGGCUAUUAGAGAUUAUGUUGUGUUAACUCCUCAAGUUGUACAUCCUAGAAUAGUCAGACCUGAAGUGGAAGCCGCCAACUUUGAACUCAAACCAGUGAUGUUUCAAAUGCUGCAAACAAUGGGUCAAUUUAAUAGACUGCCAUCUGAAGAUCCUCAUCUCCAUCUUAAGUUGUUGUUGGAAGUGAGUGAUGCUUUUAAGAUUGCUGGAGCAACACAAGAUGCUUUGAGACUGAGGCUUUUUCCUUUCUCCAUCACUACAUGGAAUGACUUGGAUGACAAAUUUUUAAUGAAAUAUUUUCCACCAACCAAGAAUGCAAAAUUGCGGAAUGAGAUCACCUCUUUUCACCAACUUGAAGAUGAGAGCUUGUAUGAGGCUUGAGAGAUAUUUAAAGAGUUGCUCAGAAGAUGUCCUCAUCAUAGCAUUCCAUGUUGCAUACAGUUAGAAACCUUUUACAAUGGGUUGAAUCCAAGUACGAGAUUGAUGGUCGAUGCUUCAGCAAAUGGAGCCCUAUUAUCCAAAUCUUACACUAAAGCCUAUGAAAUUUUGGAGAGAAUUGCUAACAAUAACUAUCAGUGGCCAUCAACUAGACAAAUUGUUGCAAGAGGAGCAGCAUGGGUACAUAACAUAGACGCAAUUACAACACUUUCAGCUCAAGUAAAAUCAUUUACUAACAUGGUGAAAAUUAUGACUACUGCUCCAGCAGCAGUAAAACAAGUUGCUGAACUAUCUUCUGUGUAUUGUGGUGAAGAGCAUGUAUUUGACAACUGCCCAGGCAAUCCAGCAUCAGUAAACUAUGUGGACAACUUCAACAGACAGCCCCAGAACAACCCAUAUUCAAGUACUUACAACCCUGGAUGGAAGCAACACCCAAAUUUCUCAUGGAGCAAUCAAAAUCAGCAUGCUCCAGCACCCACUGGAUAGAACAGACAUGUUCAGCCACCUGGUUUUCAUCAACAGAAUCAAGGGCAGAAACACACUAGCAAUGAUCAAAUUACUUCAUUGAAAACACUUAUUAAGGAAUAUAUCGUGAAGAAUGAGGUAAUUGUGCAAAGUCAAGUUGUAUCUCUGAGAAACCUAGAAAACCAAAUUGGGCAACUUGCCACAGCAAUGAGUAGCAGGUCUUAAGGAAGUUUACCCAGCAAUACAGAAGAUCUAAGAAGAGAGGGUAAAAAACAUUGUAAAGUAAUCAACUUAAGAUUUGAAAAGAAUGUUCAUAUCCCUGUUGAUGUGGCUAAAAAGAUAUUGGAACUUAACUCCUCACAAGAACAACCUCAAGUUGAAAGGAUGUUACAGCAACCCAGCUAUCAAGAUACUGGUGCUAGUAGUCAAGCUACAGCAACCUUGGAAGGAAAUCACCCAAUGACUGUUGAAGAAAAUGUUGCAACACCAGUGGUGAUAACCCACAAUAAAUCAAAGGAGCAGAGAUUUGUACCUCCUGAAGCUGUAUAGCAAUUUAGGCAUCCACCUCCUUUCCCAUAGAGAUUCCAGAAACAAAAACAAGACAAACAAUUUAACAAAUAUUUGGAAGUGCUGAAGCAGUUACACAUCAACAUACCUUUUGUGGAAGCAUUGAAACAAAUGCCUAAUUAUGUAAAAUUUCUAAAAGAUAUUUUGGCAAGAAAAAGAAGGUUGGGAGAAUUUUAAAUUGUUGCUUUAACACAGGAAUGCAAUCACAUGCUUCAAAGUAAGAUUCCUAAAAAAUUGAAGGAUCCAGGAAGCUUCACAAUAUCAUGUUCAAUUGGAACUAGGUACAAUGGCAGAGCACUCUGCGACUUGGGAGCCAGCAUUAAUCUAAUGGUACUAUCUGUAUUUAAGCAAUUGGGAGUAAGAGAAUGCAUCCAAAAAUAGUCACUUUGCAAUUGGCUGACAGAUCUCAUGCAUAUCCUGAAGGAAAGAUUGAAAAUGUGUUGGUGAAGGUUGACAAAUUCAUCUUUCCAGUGGAUUUCAUUAUACUAGACUUUGAGUAUGAUAAAGAGGUACCAAUUAUACUUGGAAGACCAUUCUUGGCAAUCGGGAAGACUCUAAUAGAUGUGCAAAAAGGAGAGCUAACCAUGAGGGUGAAUGACCAACAAGUCACCUUCAAUGUAUUAGAAGCUAUGAAGAGUCCUAAUGAGGCAGAAGAUUGCAAUUUUAUGAGUGUCGUGAAUCUUGCUGUAACAGAAAGCAUAAAUAGAUGCUGCAGUAAAGAAGUUAUCAAAGCUGUCACUUUUGAAAGCUUUGAAGAAGAAAAUGUUACAGCAAACUAGAUAAAUUGGAUAGGAGAAAGGCAAUCUAACAGACAUAGCGGAUUUAUUGAACCUCUACUGAAUCACCUCCUACUCUUGAAUUAAAACUGUUACCUUCACAUUUGAAAUAUGUUUAUCUUGGUCAGAACAACACACUUCAUGUAAUCAUUUCAUCUUCUUUUAAUGCAGAUCAAGAAAGGAGUCUGGUAGAUGUGCUUGGGAAAUACAAAAAAAUAAUUGGAUGGACUAUGGCAGACAUUAAAGGGAUCAGCCCAUCCAUAUGCAUGCAUAAAAUUCGGUUAGAUGACUGCUACAACAAUUCAGUAGAGCAACAAAGAAGGCUAAACCCCAUUAUGAAGAAAGUCAUGAAGAAAGAAAUCAUCAAAUGGCUGGUUGCUGGGAUCAUAUACCCGAUAUCAGACAGUUCAUGGAUAAGCCCAGUACAAUAUGUUCCAAAGAAAUGAGGAAUAACAGUGAUAGCAAAUAAAAAGAAUGAACUUAUUUCUACAAGAGCAGUGACUAGAUGGAGGGUAUGUAUGGAUUAGUGGAAGCUCAACAAAGCCACACAGAAGGAUCACUUUCCACUUCCAUUUAUAGAUCAAAUGUUAGACAAACAUACUGGAAAACAAUACUAUUGUUUCCUCGAUGGGUAUUCAGGUUACAACCAAUUUGCUAUAGCCCCAGAGGAUUAGGAAAAAACUACAUUUACCUGCCCUUACGGAACUUUUGCCUUCAGAAGAAUACCAUUUGGUCUGUGCAAUGCUCCAGCAACUUUCUAGAGAUGUACGAUGUCUAUUUUCUCAGAUAUGGUGGAGCAAACAUUAGAAGUCUUCAUGGAUGAUUUCUUAGUCUUUGGCGAAACAUAUACAGAUUGUUUACAUAACUUGGAAGAAGUUCUUAAAAGAUGUGAGAUGACUAACUUAGUACUCAAUUGGGAAAAAUGCCACUUCAUGGUGCAAGAAGGCAUAGUGUUGGGUCAUAGGGGUCCAAAAAUGGCAUAGAGAUAGAUAAGGCAAAGAUAGAAAUGAUAGAUAAACUGCCACCUCCCACUUUAGUUAAGGGUAUUAGAAGUUUUUUGGGACAUGUUGGAUUCUACAAAAGAUUCAUAAAAGACUUUUCUAAAGUAGCUAAAGCAUUAUGCUCACUGUUAGAACAUGACAAGCCUUUUCAUUUUGAUAAACAUUGUCUUCAAGCUUUUAAAGAACUGAAGAAAGCUUUGAUCACUGCACCAGUGGUUAUAGCACCAGAUUGGACUCUACCUUUUGAGCUAAUAUGUGAUGCUAAUGACCAUUUUGUUGGGGGAGUGUUGGGGCAGAGAAAGAAUAAGGUUUUCCACUCUAUAUACUAUGCUAGCAAAACUCUUACUCAAGCUCAGAUUAAUUACACCACUACAGAGAAAGAGCUGCUAGCAGUAGUAUUUGCUUUCGAUAAGUUUAGAGCUUACUUGGUGGGUACUAAAGUGACAGUCUACACAGAUCAUGCAGCCAUCAAGCACCUAAUCUCCAAGAGAGAUGCCAAACCGAGAUUAAUAAGAUGGAUUUUAUUGCUUCAAGAGUUUGAUUUGGAGAGGAUAGAAAGGUGACUGAAAAUCAAGUAGCAGACUAUCUGUCUAGGCUAGAAGCAGAUACGAGCACAUUGACUAAACAAGACAUCACUGAAACAUUUCUUGAUGAACAACUGUUAGUGCUACAACAUGCACAAAUGCUACAACAACCAGGAUCUCUAUGGUAUGCAGAUUUUGCUAACUACUUAGUAAGUGGAUUGCUACCACCUGAGUUGACUUUUCAAUAGAAAAAAAAAAUUCCUUCACGAUGUUAAAAGCUACCAGUGGGAUGACCCAUACUUGUAUAAGUUAUGCUCAGAUCAUGUAAUACAAAGAUGUGUUUCAGAGGAAGAAAUUCCACAUGUACUGCAAUCUUGCCAUACUGCAGCAUAUAGAGGACAUUUUAGUGGACAAAGAACAACGGCUAAAGUUCUGCAAUCAGGUUAUUAUUGGCCUCCUGUUUUUAAGGAUGCUUAUGAGUUUGCUAAAUGUUGUGACAUGUGCCAAAAGACAGGAAACAUAACUCAAAGACAUGAAAUGCCAUUGACAAACAUUCCCACCAUCCUUUGGAAACUUAUAUAUCCUUGUUACUGUGGAAACAUUCCCACCAUCCAUCAAUGAUGCCAGAGUAGUGGUGAAUUUUCUUCAGAAAAAUAUCUUUUCCAAGUUUGGCACUCCACGAGCAAUUAUUAGUGAUGAGGGUACUCACUUCUGCAACAAAGUAUUUGUUGUAGCAAUGGCUAAAUAUGGAGUCAAGCAUAAAAUUGUAACAGCAUAUCACCCACAAUCCAAUGGCCAGACAAAAGUGUCUAAUAGGGAGAUUAAGAGGAUUCUAGAAAAGGUAGUGAAUCCUACAAGAAAGGAUUGGUCAUUGCGCUUACAUGACUCCUUAUGGGCUUACAGAAUAGCACAAAAGACACCAUUUGGCAUGUCUCCCUACCUAAUUGUGUAUGGGAAAGCUUGCCACUUGCCACUCAAGUUGGAGCACAAAGCAUAUUGGGCACUGAAGCAAUUAAACUGGGAUAUACAUGCUGCAGCAGAGCAGAGAAAACUUCAACUAUGUUAACUUGAUGAAUUAAGGUUAUUUUCGUAUGAAAAUGCAAGAAUCUAUAAGGAAAGGACAAAACAAUGGCAUGACCAACACAUCCAACAAAGAAAAUUAAUUCCUGGUCAACUAGUUCUUGUCCAUAAUACCAGGUUAAGACUAUUUCAAGGAAAGCUGAAAUCUAGAUGAUCUGGACCUUUAUAACUAUGGGGUUGUUGAUCUCUUUGAUGAAAAGAUAGGACAUGAAUUCAAAGUUAAUGGGCACUCAAGUGAACCGGCAGUGUGAGCUACAGAUUGCUCAAAGGAGGUCUUACUCCUUAGUGAACUGGCAGUGUGAGCACUCAAGGAAGGUCAGGCUGAAAGACCUUAAAUCAAGUGCUCAAUGAGAGGCAACCCAUUGCUGAGGCAGUCAUUUCGAAUGAAAUAGAUCCUCCAUAUUUCUGUUAUCAUAAUUUUUUUAAUUUUUUCUCUUAUUUUCAUUUUUAUUAUUUAGGAAUGUUUAAUUUUUAUCUUUUUUUUUCUUUAAAAAAAAUGCCAAGUCACGCAAUUCUUGGAGUUGGAUUCAAUACUAACAAUUGGUGUUGUAAUGUUAACAGAUUAAGAGGACAAGCUACUUCACAGCAGCCAUCUGAGGGAAUUGUUGUGCAAAUUGCUAGAGCACACAAUUUAUUGCUACAAUAACCAAUUUUACCGUUACAGUAACUUAAUUAUGGAGCCUCACAUUUUACCGUUGGAGAUAACAUGUGACAGCUGGUUGGGUGAAUUUGGAUAGAGAUUGGGGAAGGAUGCUUAAUCUCUUAAAUGACCGCAUCAAUAUCUCUUUCUUAUUUUUAUGGGAUAUGGUUAAUAAAUUCAAAAAAUUCUUCCCUAAUUUAUCUCUUUUACUGGAUUUGUUUUAAUUUAUUCCUACCUAUAUAAGGGUUUUACUGUGCAUAUUGACCUCUAACACUAUUUUCUUUUCCCUUCGCAGUCACAACCCCACUACCUCAUAAACUCUUCUUCUUGUUUCACUCUUGGGCAUAUUACUAUAGUCAUCCUACUACUGUAGCAAUGCCAAGGUAUAAAAUGACAGCCAGCCGACUAAAAGAUCCCUCACAAUUUCAAAGUUACCAUACGGAAGAGAAGUAUGAAGAAUUUAUUAAACCGCGCAAUAUUUUGGAAGAAAAAGGAUUUUAGUUCCCACUUCAACCCUCGGGAAUUGUGCAAUCAUUAUACGAUGCUGCAGCAAAGUGCGGGUGGCUAGAGUUUUGUAACCACCCCCGAGACCCUAUGUUGCCACUGGUGAAAGAAUUUUACGCCAACUUAUUAAGCCCUGGCCAGCAUAAUAUUUGGGUAAGAAACUUGCUUGUACCAUUAGAUUCACGAGUUAUUAAUGCCUUCUAUCACUUACCUUCUGAGAUUAAUUGCGAGUAUGUCAAGUUGCUUGGCAAAUUAACCUUACAAAGAUGGAACAAGAUUUUCACAACACUUACCGUAAAAGGUGCAUCUUGGGCUAAUGAAGAAGGGCGUAUGAUUAAUAGGAUGGAUUUGACACCCAUUGCUAAGGUGUGGGUGAAAUUUUUAAAAUCCAGAUUGAUGCCAACCACACACACCACCACUGUUUCACAAGAAAGGUUAGUACUUUUGUAUGUCAUUGUUAGAGGGUUACCCAUAGAUGUGGGAAGCAUUAUAGAAAAAGAAAUUCGAGACUGUGCCAUGAAAAACCACAAAGCGGUUGCCUUGCUAUUUCCUUCACUAAUCACCAGCAUUUGUGUGGUAUCGGAAGUCCACCUUGAUGCAAAAGAUGAACAUGUUAAGAAUGAUGGUGCUAUCACUGCACGCACUGUCGAACGAAUUGCCGGUGAUGUUGCUAGAGCCCCACCCGAACCAGCUGCUGUAGUAGGGGCAAGAAGAGUUGUUGGGUUAGAGCAGAUAAUCCACGCACUGAGCACCAGCAUCAUUUAAUGUACUGAAGUUCAGCAGAGGGAAAACAAUCAGUUUUGGAGCUAUUUACAGCACUUGGAGGACCACCUACACCAAUUUACUGUAUACAUGAAAAGUACCCGUCGAAAUUUCUCUGAUUCGCUGCUACAUCAGUUCAAUUUUGGUACCUCCACUACAGAUGCUCCAGCAGAAGUCAGUGAAGAUGCUACUGACAUAGAUGAACCAGGGGAAGAAGCUGCAGUAGAACCACAAGCAAAGGUUGAUACAAAUGCUGAUGACCAGUUAGACCAGCCUGAAGAAAAGGGUGUCAAGUCUAUAACUGACAGUUCCUCAACAGAGGAGGAGGUAGAGCCUAAGAAAGAACUCGAGGAACCCCCAACCAGGACUUCUUCCAAGACCAGGAAAAAACACAUCAUACCAGAAGAGGAAGAUGAACCUACAAAAGAGCCUCCCAUACCAGUCCUCUCUCAAAAUGGCAAAGAGAAAGUAAUGACCCCUCUUGUAUCCAACGAUGAAGCCGAGCACAUUGAUGCAGAGCUGGAAGCUACAGCAACCAGGGUUACUCGUACACCCAUAGAGACAAAGCAUCUGCUUGAUAUCAUUGCCGUAAUCACGGCUGAGGGAUAUGCAGCCGAAGACCCAGCUCUAGCUCCUUCACAGCAAACCCCUAGCAAACCUACUCUCGCUAGUCCUAAAGGACCCAACAAGAGAAAAUGGAGCACUUCUGGAGGCGUUGCGGCAACAAACACACUAGAAUAAAAAAGGACCAGAUCUGUUUCGUCCAGGUAGGCUGCACCCACUGCAACUCCUCCCACUGGCCCGUUGCAGAGAAAGAAAAAGACGUUGCCAGCUACCUCAUCGCAAGAAUCUCCUAAGGACCGGCUGCAGAACGCAUCCAAAAAGCGGUGAAUUGGUUGUUGCACCUUGUUGCAGCAAUGCCCCAGCAAUAGGGGAGUACCCCAUAUCCUCCAGUUUAUUUUACUUAUCUUUGCACAACUUUUCUUUCAUUCAAAUUUACUUGUCUGAUUCAUUCUGCUAGUCCUGUUGUUUUGUGUAUGCAUGUGUUAGUGAAAGUGUUUUUAUUUUUUGUGCUUGUGAGGACACAACACCUUUUAAGUUUUUGGGGUUGUGCUAUCAUAGUGUGUUAUUGAGUGUACUGCAUGUGUUGUGGUGUUGUUUGUUAAGUGAAUCUCUGUUAUCUACUGCUUGUGUAUGGAUUUGAAAGCCUAAUGAAGAUAAAUUGAGUGUUACUCAGUAUGUAUGAGAAUGCCCAGUAGGGAUAGUUAUAGAUGGAGGUUGAAAUUUUAUCCCGACACUUAGACUUUGGUUGAGAUUCAUGAAAAUGCAGCAGCAGAAUCAAGAAAACUAUAAAGAGUAGAAAAUAUCUCAAGGUUGGGGGAAAUUUUUGUGUUGAACUGUGCUUAUUUUGUAAUAAAGUCUGCUCCAAUGGCUUAAGUGCCUGAGUAACCAGGGCUGAGUAUGCACCCCAUAUGCAGACUUAAGUUAAAAGGCGACAAGAGUUAUGAGCAUUACUGUAGCAUUGCUGUAGCAAUUUAUAUAUAUAUAUAAAGUCCUCUGUCUAGGAGAUUGAGUAGCCAGGUCUGUUCAUGAGCCCCAUGUUCAGCCUUGAGUUAAAUAUAUCUUUAAAUAAGAUUAUGUUAGGACCAUUAUUGCAGCAACUCUGACAUGUACUUUAAGUGAGUAAUUCGGUGUCAUCAUUACAAGUGAUAGGCAUUCACAUGAAAGCUCAAUGUUGCAUUGAAGGGAUUAAAUGAAAAAAAAAUAAAAUAAUUAUGUUUUAUGUGGAGUUAUAUGCAAUAUCUCGGUAAUGUUGUAGCACCUCUGGAAUUUGAUCAAAGUGGCACACACACAUUUUGGACAGAAUGCAGUUUAAGUCUAAAAUUGAACUGCUAUGGCUAUUUUGCGUGAUUAAGAGUGUGAUUUAAGGGUGGAAGAAUCCUUGCAACUUUGAUGACAGAGCUGAGCUAUUUGUUGCAUGAUUGGGUGAUUGAAGUGUUAGCAUUGUUGUCAUUACUCGAGGACAAGUAAUAGUUUAAGUUUAGGGGUGUGAUAACUCUAUGAAAUAAGAGUUAUCAUGGCACUUUUAGACUUAAAUCAAUAUUACUUAGAGAGUAAAUGAUGUGUUUCUAUUGCAUUUUUGUUACAUUUUGCAUAAACAUUCAUUUUAGUCUAGUCUUAAUAAAUUUUGUUUGAUUUAGAAUAAUUCAUGCUUAGAUUGUGUGCAUAAUUGUAGUUGUCUAGAGCUCAUAUUUUAAGGAAGGAAUGCUGAUGCAAUAGGCUUGCAAAAAUGAGGAAUGAACAUGGCUACAAAAGAAUUGAAAUAAAUCUGGAACAAUAUAGUUGUAGCCGUUGCUGUAGGAAUCCUGGAACAACGAUAGAGAAAAUUUCGCGCAGGAUACUUGUAGAACCACGAUCUGCAGUUUUCUAAUAUGACUUAUAUGCACCUUAAGCUUCCGUUUACCCUUAUUUUCAAUUAUAAAAGGAGCACGCAUCAUAUGGAAAGGUGGCGGUGAAUUAACAUUAAAGAAAUCAAGAGAAAAAGAAGGAAGAAGCAGAAUUCAAGGAAGAACAAGUCUGCACCAUUGAAGAAAUCUACAGAACUAUUUGGAUUCAAUUUUCAUCAUUCUUUACUUAUUUCCUUAUUUAUUCUCUUAUUGAGACGAUGUAUUUCAUGGCUGAUAUUUUGCUGUUAGUUUUUCUUUUACGAGUUCUGAACUAAAUUUGAUUGUAGUUGAGUGACAAUCUUCAUGGGUUCUUGACUGUUCUUAUGAGUUGCUGCACGAUUGCUCUGGCAUUUUGCUCUAAUAGCUUAUAUUACAAUCAUUAUUUUGGUUGACCUCCCAUUUAAUGGUUCAAGUUAAGAGACAGCCGCAAAAGGGACUGUCUUGGUGGAAAUUAUUAGAGUAAUACUUGAUCUUAAUUUAAGUUUCCUGGAUUGAGUACUGGCUAUGUGUUUACACUUGCAGGAGGUGCCGUAAGCUAGGUUUCGAAACUGCAGAUCGUUGUGGCUCUAUCUACAACAUAACCAAAAUACAUGGCAGUUACACAAGCUUGCAAGGAAGCUAUUUGGAUACAAAGGUUAUUAGAGGAGCUCGGGCACAAACAAGAGAAAAUACUUGUGUUUUAUGACAGUCAGGGUGCCUUGCACAAUGCAAGAAAUCCAACCUUCAUUCUAGGACGAAGCACAUAGGAGUUCGAUACCACUUUAUUCAAGAAGUAGUGGAAGAUGGAAGUGUGGAUUUGUAAAAAAUCUAUACCAAGGAGAACGUAGCAGAUGUUUGGUCCAAGCCAAUCAAUGCUGAUAAGUUUGUAUGGAGUAGAUUCUCUUGUGGCCUAGUAGAAACGUAAGCAACAUGACUAUUGAAAAAACCAAAAAGAAUGGUGUGGAGAUUGAUUGGUUCCCAAUCUAAUCUCCAAGUGGAAGAAUGUCAAAAAGUGAACGAUGGCCACUGCUAGUACCCACCAAAAAGGAAAGAGAAAAAGAAAAAGAAGAGAAAGAAAGAAAAAAUGGCGAGCCGCGUAAGGAAAAAUAAAAUAAUAAUAAAUAAUAAAAUAAAAGGCAUGAAUAGUAAUUAAUUUUUGGCUAUAAAAGGAGGAUGCUCCUCCUCAUUUUAGCAUCCAAUUUUGAGAGAAGCAUUUCCUGCAUUUAUAGAGUUGAGAGUAUUAAGAGUUUAAUGAACUCUUGAGUGAUUAGUGAGUGAGAGAUUGGGUGUAUUGAGGUUUUGGGUACUAUCACUAGUAAAAUAUUUUUCUUCUAUCAUCGCCGGUGGAUGUAAGCUAAAAGCCGAACCACAUAAUUUUUGGUGUCCUUAUGUUAUUCUUGUUUAAAAAAAAAAAUUGUUUUUGUCAUAAAAGCUUUUAGGAUGGAUCUCAUACAAUACAUAAGAAUCUGUAAUCUAGAAAAUCAUACCUUGACAAUCCGACUUUGCUUUUUCACUUAAGUAAUCUAGGCUUCCAGAUCACGAUCCGUCACCACGACUCCUGUUAGGUCACGAUUUGUCACCACCACUUAUGUUAGAUCACGAUCCGUCACCAAAUAAUCUUCCACCCUAUGACUCAAGUUUGAUUAGCAGUAGAUGUGUGGGCAUAUGUUUAACUACUUUCGAAACAACCUGAUUCUUUUGCAAUGUUUUUCUCAAAAAGUAUAUUUUGAAAUCCCGUAUAUUUUCUUCUUAAGAAAAAUACACUUAUGUAAUAUUUAUUGUAAAACCCUAGAUAUGUAUUAUCCUUUAUUAUAAUUCAAAAUAAUAAAUAUUUGGAAUUUAAUAUUAUCUCUCCACUUACGUGAAAGUGUAGAUUAUGUGUAACCACUUUAGGGCUCAUCUUGUAAAAUAAUACAAGACCCCAUUUGCACAUGAAUAUAACCCAUAAGGUCUUAACAAAUAUUAUAAUUAGGUUUAUCACCUCAUAUGCCAGUUUUCUUAGUUUUAGGUCCAAUAGUGGUGUAGUCAAUUAAAUGAACUAACUCGGGGAUCAUUUGGAAACAUAUAAUAGCGGAUACAACAAUUAAGCAUGUAAAUGAACAAGCCUAAUCAUUUAAUUUCAACUCUACUUCACUAUAAGAUUGGAACUUAUCUCCAUAAUUGUAUGCUAGAAUAAUAAUUUUCCAAGCCACAUUGAUCUCUUUAAUGUAUAAUCCUUUGUACCACAUCGUUAAUUAAAUCGAUAUCUCAAUUGUCCAAUCAAUUUAAUUACAUCUUGUUCCUUGAUACUUAAUGGUUCUCUCUGAUGAUCAUUUUCAACAUACUAAAUAUGUUGACACACUCUAGCCACAGAAUUUUAUGAUCAAGUGCCGAAAACCUAUCAAGAGAUAUGUUGUACAAAUUCUAUAUUGUUAAUCUAUAACUUCAAUCCUCAUAAAUGCUCCCACCAAGAUAGUAGAUAAUCUUAACUACAAGUGUGUGUCGUGCCCAUUGGUAAGAUGUAGUCAUUCAAUGCCUAUGAGAUUUAAUAAGUCUGACAUUUAUUACAAAGUUAAUUAAAUCUCAUAUGUGAUCCUAUUCAAUGUAGUCAUACUACAUCAAUAAAUCCAUACAUGAUUAAGAAAAAUUAUUCAAUGAAUUUAUUACAGUCUAUACCUAAAUAAAGUGUCCAACUUUAUUUAUCAACUGCGAACUUAAUUUAUUUAAUCAUAAGAUAACUUGUAUUUAUGUCUUUUGUGAAUCCAGAUGGUAAUCACAUAAAUACAUAUAAUAUGAUUAAAUGAAAUUUAUUCAAAAUAUUAAUGCAACUAAGAUACUUGAAUAAAAUAUCUCAUUUAUUUUAUUAAUCAAAAUAAUUAUUUAUUACAAGUAAAUAAACACAUAUACUUUUAAAGAGCAUAUUUUCCCAACAAUUUUAUUGUCUUAUUAGUUCUCAAUUUCACUUUAAUUGCAUAUCUGUUUCACCCAUUAAAUUCCCAACAAAUUUUUAGGCAUAUUGGUCCUUUUACCUUAUGAUGGUAAAACAACAAUUAAAUUCAUUUUAAAACAACUUUAGUGGUCAAAUAUAAUAAAAACAUAUAUAGUUAUAAAAAAUAAAUGAAGAGAGAUUUAAUUAAUUAAUUCUCUAAAUUUUUUAUUAAAUUUUUAAAAAAAAUUAAUGUGAACUUAUUAUAAUAAUUUCUUAGGAUGAGUUUACAGAAGUUUCGAGUGAAAAUAUCUGCAUCCUAUUUUUUUGGAGAAAAAUGAGUAUAAUCCCUUAUUUUUUGGUUUCACUAUAUAAUACCCCGAUACUGUAAAAUAAGUUAAAAUCUUUCUAUCAUUGUAACAGUCCUAUCUUUAAUAAUUAUCUUAUUAUUUUUCCUUACGCCAGUUGACCAUAGUUUACCCACAAAUGGACAAAAAUGAAAAUCACAAAUUUUCCUCCCUUCUCAUUCAAUUUCUCGAAAGCCAAACAUAGCAAAUGCCUUGUCAGUGCAGGGGCCAAGUCCACCGGUGGUGCAGCGUGAACCACUAAGUGAGUGGUGCAGCCGGGCGUUUGGAUCUCUGAUUGCUUGAGCGAAGGCCUCAUUUGAAGUUCGAACAAAAGCGUGGAGUGGUGGUGGUGCUGCGGCGAGGUUCGAAUGGUUUCAUUCGCAGAUUGCAUUUUUCCAUUUAGGCAUUUGAGUUAUAAGUGUUUGAGUUGAUGGCUGUAGAAACCCCAAAAAAAAUAAGGAAUCUAUUAAAAUCAUUUUCAUGAAAUCUGGAGGCGUAAUGGAGUUGAUGAGAGAGAGAGAGAGAGUGAUUGCGAGGUUAGUGGAGAUUGAGGUGUUGAAAUGUUGAAUUUAGGAGAUGGGCUAAUUGUUUUCAUUGGUUUGAAUUUUUGUGUUCUCUUUUGAAGCAAUUGUUGUGAGAAUGUGAGAUGAGUGUUAAGAAUUUGAAGAAAAAUGUAAAAAGAUUGGUGAUUUGAAGUUUUCAGAAAUUGUUUAUGGUUUGCUUUCUGAAAUUUUGGUUAGUUUCACAAAAAAAAAAAGAAAAAGAAAUGAGGUUAUACUCAUUUUCCUUUUGCUGUAUUUGAUUAAUUAUUAAUUUAAAUUUUUAUUUAAGCAUAUUUUGUUAAUAAACUUUUUCUACCAUCGAAAUUUAGUAGAAAAAUAAUUUAUAUUUUUAUGGGAAGUUAAAGAAUUAAUAUAUAUAUAUAUAUAUAUAUAUAUAUAUAUAUAUAUAUAUAUAUAUAUAUAUAUAUAUAUAUAUAUAUAUAUAUCGUAUACAUUCAACAAGAUAAUUAAUUUGGUACAUUAACCCAAGUCGAGACCGAAAGAUUUUUAGUAUUUAAUUAAGGUUAUUCAUUUAUCGAAAGUUUAUUGUAUCUUGAUAUGCUAAUCCAUGUAUUCAAUCAAUUAAGUGAAUUAAUUAAUUUUUCCUUAACUCAAAUUCAUUUGAUUUGAAUCAAAUCGAAUCACUCAUCCAUUACACCUAAUUAGCUUGAUGAUGUGGAUAGGUGGGGGGAUUAAGCAUACCAGCUGGCACAAGGUCUACUCAUUCACAGCUAGAAGAUUGCUUUCGUUUUCCAUCUAGGGUUGUCAAAAUGCACACUAAAAAAUUAUUGGAACAAAAUUAAAAAUAAAUGCCAUGCAAAUCUUAAACGAGUAAUAAGAUAAAAUAAUUGAAUGUGUGGUAAUGUGUACACCAAAAUUUAAAACUUUAUUAAUAAUAAAAAUAACGAGUUUAGAAUAAGGAUCAAUCUCAUAAAAAGUAAGCUAGUUUUUUAUUCAAAAAAAAGUAAGCUAGUUUUAUUUAUUAUCAACUCUAAGACAAAGACUUAAAAUAAAAUAAUAGUGAUAACAAUAAUAAAAAUAUAAAUAUAAAUUAAUCUAAGUAAAGACAAUGUCAACCAUAUAAACAAAGAGGUUUUAUGAAUUUACUAACUGGCAAUAAAUAAAGACACUAAAACUAUAAAGAUAAUAAUUUAAUAGAAAUUCUAAUUAAAGGAGAAAGAAAUAAUAAUAAUGAAAAAUUUAGUCAAAAAAUCGUUCGCCAUCACCAAACAUUAACAUAAUCAAUAUAUCAAUUCUAUCAUCAAUUUCUAUUGAAACUAUUAACCGUAGACAACAAUAAGCUUUAUUAAUCUAUCUUUCCUUAAUAUUUCGUUAGACUUAAUAAGUUCUUCACCUAAUCUCUAACCAUUAAAUAAUUUUAAACAAUCUCUCUAAAUUUAAGAUAACAUAAGCAUUAAGUAGAGAAAGAUAUUAGGUUGAUUUAUGCAAUAAGCACACAAGCUCAGAUUAUUAAACCUAGGUUAUGUUCUUCAAUUGCGAUUCCAAUUUGCUACUAAUGAUUAAAAUAUUAAGACAAUUACGGAUCAAGUAUUUUAAUCUAGCAAUAAAAUUUAUUCAAGUUCUAUCCAAUUGGCCACUCAAAUAAGACAAGAAUAAAAUUAUGAACAUUAAUUAUAAACCUCAAUUAAAUAAAUUGAAUGAUAGAAAUUGAAUAUUAAUCAUAUGACAUGUUUAAGGUUUUGAAUUCACCCUCAACCAAAUAAAAAAUCUAACCUAACAUGACAAAAAAAACUUCUAUAACGUGAAAAUCCACGUGGCGGGCUGUGAUUUGGUGGCUGUGAGUUGUUGGAUUGUGGCUACUUUCAUGGCACGCUAAGAAAGGACACAAAACGGGUGCAUGGGAGCUCAAGUGGAGCGCAAAAUACGCAAUCCUUCACACUGGAGUUGUGGCCAGCAUUGGGGCCCAGCUAUAUUCCAUUUUUCUCUCUUUGAAUUUUUCACCCAUACUAAAAAAAAAAUUAAGGAUAAUUAAAUAUUUGAAAAGAGGAAUUAUUAUCAACUAAGUAAAAUGAAUUAUAAUUUAAACUAAAGAUGUAAAAUUUAAAUUAAAUCAAAAUAAAUUAUUAAAUUAAAAAUUAACUAAAAUAACUAGAAUAUUCAAAACAAAAACAAAAAAAAUGAAGAAAUUAAUAGUAAAAUAUAAAGAAGAUAUGCACUUUUCAUAUUCCCCCACACUUAACCUAUGCUUGUCCUCAAACAAAUCUAAAAUGAAAAAAAGAAAAAGAAAAAACUUAAACUAGUACACUUUCGUAGGAAAUCAUGAUUGCAUUUAGCAUAUGUAACAAACCUUUAAACCUUUAAACAGCCCUAGUGGACGAGUUAUAGUCUCAUGAGGGCUUCAGUGAUUAUAGCCACAAACAUCAUUUUUUUUUAAAAAAUAGCAUAAAAAGAACAAGACUUUAAAUAAAACAUAAAACUAGCCUUAAAGAUUGCAUAUAUUAAAUAGCUCAAAGAAAAUUUCAAAUGUUGUCUAAGUUCUAAUUUUAAUUCAAUAGUCAACCCCAUCUCUCUUUUUAUUCUUGUAGUGUGUGUGUGAAUUAAUUCAAUCAAAAUCCAUUCCCACAAUCUUCAAUAUCAAUAGAUUUUGUCUUGAAAAAAGAAAAGAGUAAGUCAAACUAAUCUUAUCAUAUUAAUCUUCAUAUUUUUUCACAAGCAUUUAUGUGCAUUUUUUAAUAAAUAUAAAGGCAGGAACUUUCACUCUACCCGCUAAGGUAGCCUUCUUCUAAAGGUAGAUUAUCCUCUACAUAUUGGUGCUUACAUAGACCCAAAUUACUCAGGAUAACUUCACUUUUAAUGGUUAUAAGUAGCUAUUUCUGACUAUUGUACCUGUAUAUACUACAUCUUGAAAAUAAAAAUCAAGACAAAUAGUCAUUUAUUCAAUCUAAAAUUCUAAACUUAGCAUGCAUCAAUCUCAAAUUUCAAGUCAAAAUUAUUAAAGAAUUAAUAUUAGUGCUUAUGAUGUUUAAAGAAUCUUAAUUGAGAGGAAAUUAACACAAGAAUCAAGUAUAAACUAAGACAAUAUUCAACCAUUUCUAAGAAUCAUAUUCAUUGUCAAUAAAGUUCUUAUCAUUGGCUUAUAUUUAAAACAAACAAUGCUUUUGUUCGGAAUCCUCCCCCCACACUUAAUUCCAACAUUGUCCUCAAUUUAAGCCUAAGCUAACAAAAGAAAAGAAUUAAACAUGGGGAAAUAAGAUGAGACACAUAAGCAGAAACAAAUUAAAUUAAACAUAAAAUGGAUAAAGUAAAUGACAGUGAGAGGGAGAAAGAUAAUCUAUUAUGGUGUGCUCUCAAAAUCUAUUCUUCAGCAGUUAGGUUGGCUCCCAAUAAAUGCCUGGUUUAUGGUCCUCAGCCUGAUGUGGUUCCCUUGUUUCACUUAUCAUGUACGUAGGUUCGUAAGGUGGAACCUCCUCCACAUUAAACGUCUAAAAGUUCUCAUAGUAAGGCUUCAACCUAUGACCAUUCAUCUUGAACUCCUUAUCUAUUUUAAGCUUUUAAUCUCAACUGCACUAUGAGAAAAAACAUUACUAAUAACAAAAGAUCCAACCUAUUGAGAACAUAAAUUAUUGUAAAAGACUUAAGGCAAGAAUGAAAUAAUAAAACUUUCUGUCCAACUUUUAAUGUUCUCUUUCAAAAUCUGCUUAUCAUGAAAAUCCUUAGUCUUUUCCUUAUAGAUUCAUGAACUCUCAUUGGCAUCAUUUUAAAUUUCCCUUAAUUCUUACAAUUGGAGCUUCCUAUAUUGACCAGUGGCGCCCAACUCCAUGUUACAUUAUUUCACAGCCCAUAAUGCUUUAUGUUUAAGUUCCACUAAAAGAUGACAAGGCUUACCAUGUAUCAACCUAUAACGUGACACACCAAUGGGCAUCAUGUAUGUGGUCCUGUAAGCUCAAAGUGCAUCAUCAAGCUAUAGACUUUAGUCCUUUCUAUUCGGAUUAACCAUCUUUACAAGGAUUGAUUUCACUUCCCUAUUAGACACCUCAGCUUGCCCAUUAGUUUGAGGAUGGUAAGAUGUAGGGACCUUGUGUACUUUCACAAGAUAGCUUCCAGUGACCUGUUACAAAGUGGGUACCUCUGUCACUGAUCAUGGCCUUUAGUAUUCCAAACCUUGCAAAAAUAUUACACAUUAUAAAAUCUACAACAACCUUAGAAUAAUAGCGAGAACAAUGUAAAGGUUACCAAAAGAAAAAGAAACUAGUUGUUGGUUAUUUUUAAUAAGUAAUUACUACCAAUGCCAAUGUGCAAGUAUACACAACAAGUCAUAAAGUGAUGAGUAUUCAAGAUCGUCUCCACAGGGAUUGAUGUUACUCAAAAUGUUAAAGCAAUCACAAUAGUGCAAAUCAACUUAGGACCGAAGCAAACAAUUGUAAAGUGAUUUCUAACGUAAUUAAGGAUUGUGAAAGAAUUAAAUAAAAUAAUACCGUAACAAAAUAAACUAGGUUAAAUGUGUCUAAGAUUCAAUUGAGAUUAUAGUAGUUGAAUGAUCAAACUUUCCUUAUGGGGUGACUGUUGUUUAUCAAGUUAGCACCGGUUGUUAUAACAAAUGCUGCAGCACUAGGCAGAAUAAAUCUACAUCCUCAGCUAUCGCAUAUUGGAAGUCUCAUACCCUUAAAUCUAUUAACAAUGACCAGUUGCUGAUAUACUUAUGGUAUGGCAUUAUAACUUUUAGUCUCUCCACCCUACAUGGUGAACACCUAUGUCUAUUGUGUCAUAAAUCUUAACUUCAAGUAUUGCCCUUACGGGAUUCAAGAUAACCUAAUCCAGGAAACUCAACUUAAGAUCAAGUAAUACUCUAAUAAUAUCCGUUAAGACAUGCCCUUUUGCUGCUCUAUCUUAACUGAAACUAUUAAAUGGGUGGUCAACAGAAAUAACAGUUAUAUUCAUAAAAACUACUAGAGUAAAAUGCUACAGUAGUACCAUAACAACAUAUAAGAACAGUCAAGAACUCAACUACAAGUAAAUUUAGUUUAUAAUCUGAAUGAGAAAUAUUGAUCUCGGAAUACAUCAAAACAAUUAAAGGAAGAAGAUAAAUAUAAGUUGAGCACAGUGAAAGACAAAUCCAAAUAAUUCUGUAUGAUUCUCCAAUGUUGCCGAAACAACACUCUUCAAUUCUGAUCUUCUUCUUCUUUCCUUUGUAAUUAUUCUAAUGAUAAUUCUCUUGCCGCCUUUUUAUGUGGUGCACGCCUCCCUUUUAUAUUGCAAAUUAGGGUAAACAAAAGCCCAUGAGCGUGCAUGCGCUAAAUUAGGAAACAAUGCAGAUUGCGAGUCUAUGGCUGACCCGUGCCUAAGUUUUCUCCCGCAUUGCUCCCAGAUUGCUACAGCACGGGUUGCUCUAACAUCCGCAACAGUACUGCAUCAUUCCCGAUUUGAGGUUUUCUUCUUUUGUGGCCAUCUUCUUUCCUCCUCUUGCUCAUCUAAUGUCUCAACAUCCCCUCAUGAAUUAAGACUUUCUGAGAACCUACAAUUAUGCACCUGUUUUUAGCACAAAUUACUUUGAUUCAAGUAAAACUUAUUAAGACUCAACUAAAAUGAAUGUUUAUGCAAAAUGUAACCAAAAUGUAAUAAAAACACCUUAUUUGUUCUCUAAGUGAUCUUGAUUCAAGUCUAGAAUUGAUGUAAUAACUCUCAUUUCCUAGAGUUAUCACUAGUCCUAUGAAAUCAAUGCCCCAAACAUAAAAAAUAUCAACUACAAGAAUGAGAGGCUGUGGCAUUUGAUUUCUAGGUCCUAAAUUAUCUGUUCUCCAACAACAAUCAUAAGAUUUGCAAAAGAGAUAUGCAUUCUUAAACAAUGACGACUAAUAAAAACCGCUCGCAAGUACUUUAAGGGUUGUUCUCUUUGGUUAAAAUGUCCUCAAUAAGCUAAAGUGUGAAAACAAAGGUGAGAAUAGAAGUAAAUUCAAUUUCGUGCAUGCAACUUUUAAUCACUUUAUUAGAGCAAUGCUUCUACAUGUAUGGCUCAUCCACACAUAGUACUUUGCAUCACUCAUCACAGGUUAACUCCUUAGGUAUUGUCCUGGUUACUAAGUAAUUUACUAUAUAUGCAUACUAAAGAGUAACCAUACCUACAUGUUGCAACAGCUCCUUCUGAAAGUUCUCAUGCAACGGAAGUGCAUCUUCACCAUGGAUAAAACAACUCAAAUGAUCUGCUAAAACUUCUCAGAAUUUCUCUUUUCUAGAAUCUCUAAGUCAAAUUAUUACAAGAGAAGUGUCCAUCGAAUAAGGCACAACUUGUCAUCCUCUUUGGUGAGCAGAUACCUAAGAGUUGUAUAGUAAGAAUAAACAAUUAUCUUAGAUCCAAUCAAAUAAGAGUGAAGUUUCUCUCCGGCAAAGAUAGCGCUAAAGGCUCUUAAGUUGUACAUCAUUCAACGUGAGGGAAGCAUAAUAGAUGACGUGAGGAAGCUUGCCAACGUGCUGACCUAACAUGGUUCCAACAGUAUAGUCAUUAAAAUCGCACGUGAUCUCAAAUGGUAGAUACUAAUUUGGCAAUUGAAUUAUAGAAGCCAAUGUCAAAACCUCUUUCAACUUCUCAAAGGCUAUCUGGCACUCAAAACCUCUUUUAACUUCUCAAAGGUUGUCUAGCACUUUCAUUAAAGUCAAAAAUCAUAUCUUUCUAAAGCAAGAAAUAGAGGGGCAACACUAUCUUGAAGAAAUCCUUGAUAAACCUGCGAUAGAAACUUGCAGGACUAAGAAAAGAACGAACUUCCCUCACAUUAGUGGGAGGUGGUAAGGAGCAAAUAAGAUAUCUUAGAUUUAUCAACCUUAAUACCCCUUUCAGAAAUAACAUGUCCUAACAUAAUACCUUAAUUAACCAUAAAAUGACAUUUUCUCCAAUUAAGUACAAGGUUAGUGUCAAUGAAUCGUUUAAGCACCAGUGUAAGGUUACCUAGACAUCUAUCAAAAAAUUCCAUAAACCGUAAAGUCAUCCAUAAAUACCUCAAUGAUCUUUUCCACAUAAUAUAAAAAGAAACUCAUCAUACGCCUUUCAAAUAUGGGAAGAAUGUUACAAAAGUCAAAUGGCAUGCACUGGUAAGUAAAUGUGGCCAAGGAGAUUGAAUGUCGUUUUCUCUUAGGAGGGAUGGGCAAAUUGGGUUUCGAUUUGGGUUGUUUGGAUUUUGGUUUGGGUUUCAACUUAUUCGGUUUGGAGAAUUCAACCUAAUCGGGUUCGAACUAUAAACUCGAACCAAGCCAAACCAAAUUUAAUUCAUUCGAUUUAAUUCAUCAGAUGAAGUGCUGCUCGCUCAAAAGACACAUUUUGGAAUCUCAUUACAAAAGGAUGAGUAUUCUUUUUUAUAAGCUGAAUGGGUUCAAUGAGCCAUGUCUCAAACAUGUCUUUAUAGCCUCACUUCCUUCUGAGUUACAACCUGAUCUUCAAAGGAAACUCACAGCCACUAAUCUCAGAAUAGCUGAUAUCUCUCUUGGAAAGAUUUUCCAAAUGGCAAUGCUAUGUCUCGACAAGAUCUGUGAGCAAAAAGAAUUUUUCAAAGAUCUCAUGGAAGACAAAAAAAUCCUUUUUUGAAGCCUGUAAAAAACCCUAGCUCAGGAUAGAGUGCAAAGAUGAAAAGAAGUGUAUCUGUCCAAUCAGAAAGAAGAAACAUUUUCAGAAACACUUCCAUAGAAAAUCAUCCUCCAAGAAACCUCUCCGAUAUUUCAAGAAAAAGGAUGCUUCCCAGUAUAGAAAGAAAAAACAUAACCAUUGUUUCAUCUGCAAGAAACACGGUCACUUUGCUCGAAACUGUCCUCACAAGUCUGCCAAAGCUGUUCGUCUCAUACAACAUCUUCAACAUUCUUCACUGUUAUCUGAGAAUGAAGAUGUUGAAUCAAAUUUUUCAGAACAGUCAGAACAAGAUGAUCAUACUGCUUUCAUUAUCGCAGAAUCUUCUGAUUCUGAUGAUAUUUCAGUCGAUGAUAUUUCAGUAAUUUCUAUAGUUCAAACUGUCAACCAUGUUUCAGCCAUUCCUAGACCUUCUCUAAAAAUAUUAAUUCUUCCUUCCAAAUUUCAUAAACUUGUUCCUGUCAUCGGGUUUAUUAACACUGGUGCAGAUACCAAUAUGAUUUAUCCUUUUGUCCUUCCCUCUGAUUGUUUGGAAAAACACUUGAAACUUUUCCGAGCAGUUAAUGGAGAAACUUUUGAAACCACUUUGAUUACCAAAAAACCCAUUGGUAUUCAAUUCUUUCCGAAUUGCAUAAUUUGGAAAAAGAUUGUAACAUCUUCACUCCUAGACAAAGAUUUACUCAUAGGUUUCGACAUUCUUCAUUUGGUUAAAAACCUAUUCCUCAUCAGUUCUGGGGUCCGCUACAAACAAAUGUUCUUGUCUUAUACAGAUGCACUACGUCUGUAUGCACUUUCAGAAACACCAUCUCCAUACCAUCAUAUUUCACAAAAAUUCCUAGAGUUUUGUCCAGAAAACCAUUGACAGUUCCACCAUCCUUCACCUCUUUGGAAAAAUGAACACUUCUUCAUUCACCUUCCUUUCAAACUCAACGAAGACAUAAAUCCCACAAAAGCAUCACACCCGGGUAUGUCUCUUUCUGACCUCCUACUUGCUAAGCAAGAAUGUUCUCAGUUGCUUCAGCAAGGUCUUAUUAAACCUACUGAUUCAUAUUGGGCUUGUCAAGCCUUCUAUAUUGAAAAAAGAUCUGAAUUAGUUCGCGGUAAAAAAAGGUUAGUUAUUGAUUACCAGCCACUUAAUUCUUUACUUAAGGAUGAUAAGUUCCCCCUUCCAAAAAUCCAGACCCUAUUUGUCCAUCUUCAAGGGGCUCGUAUCUUCUCUAAGUUUGAUCUAAAAGCUGGUUUUUGGCAACUUGGUAUUUCACUAGUUGACCGUCACAAAACUGCCUUCUGCAUCCUUGAUGCCCAUUAUCAGUGGACUGUUAUGUCUUUUGGUCUUAAAGUUGCUCCUUCAUUAUUUCAAAAAGCCAUAACAAAAAUCUUCAAUCCUAUCCUUCAUCAUGUUUUGGUAUACAUUGAUGAUAUCUUAUUAUUUUUCUCUGACCAUGAGAGCCACCUGAAACUCCUUUUGGAUUUCUUUCACAUUGUGCAGGAACACAGAAUCAUGCUUUCUGAAAAGAAAAGCAGCAUAGCAAAAGAAUCAAUUGACUUUCUUGGCAUGGUGAUUAAAGAUGGCCAUUAUCAACCUGGUCUACACAUUGCAACUGAAUUAUUAAAGUUUCCAGACACACAUCUCAACAAAAAGAAGAUCCAACAAUUCCUCGGGAUUGUUAAUUAUGUCUGUGAUUUCAUCUCUAAAGUUGCAAUCCACACAAGCUAGCUGUCUCGCAUGCUCAGAAAACAGUGCCCUUCAUAGGGACCAGCACAAACAGAAGUUGUCCAGUAACUAAAGGUGAUAGCCCAGUCACCUCCUCCUCUCCGAAUUCCCACAACUGGACAAUGCAUUCUACAGACCGAUGCCAAUGAUGAUUACUGGAGUGCCAUCCUUCUUGAAGAGAUAAAUGGUGCACGUCACUUCUGUGCACAUGCAAGCAGACAAUUCAAAGACUCUAAAAAGAAUUACCAUGUGAUCUACAAAGAGAUUUUGGCGAUCAAGUAUGGAAUCAAAAAGUUUGAAUUUUAUCUAAUCAGCCAUAAAUUCCUUAUCAACAUGGACAACUCAUCUUUUCCUCGAAUUUUUUACUUCAAAAAUAAGUUGCUCCUUGACAAACAGUUGCUCAUCCUCAAGAACUGGUUUGCUAAAUAUGAUUUUACUGUCCAACACAUAAAAGGCAAACAGAACCUCAUCCCAGACUUUCUUACACUUCCGGCUAUAAAUAAACCUUCACUUAUUUCCUUCAUCCACACCAUCCCAGUUAUAGCCAUGAAUCGUCAACUUCCUUUUAAAGCUCUCAACCAGAGAACCUUUCCUAUGAACAUUCCUUUUCAUUCAACCUACCAGAUCCAAGACUUUGCAAAGAAAUUCCUUUGCCGGUAUUUCUUCAAUGUUCAAAGCAAAAAGCAUGAUCUCUUUCCUUCCCUCUGUAUGGAAAACCUGUUUCUCACAGGUCUUACCCUGUCUUCUUUAACCAUCUGCGAAGAUGAGUUAUGGUACAUGUGGUGUCUCACUACCCUGUAUGCUACCAAACUGGUUUUUCCUGUUAAGCCAGUUCUCACACACAUCACCACUCCUGAGUUCUCAUCAGAUCUUCUCUGGACUCUCCUUGAAUGGUAUUCACCACUCACGUGGUGGCGAAAAUAACUCAAAAAUCUGUGUACUUUUCACGGAUUAGACAGAAUACCAGAACAAGAAGCCAACAUGUUCACUAUAGUCUUCAUCGUUCAUAGACCUUACUUUCAGCACCCAGAAACAAGAGACUUCUGGACACAAGAUAUGGCCUAUGAAUGGAAAACUUAUCCCCAUCCUUAUAUGGCCUAUGAAUGGAAAACUUAUCCCCAUCCUUAUACGCUCACCCAUGAUACAUCUGUUACCUCUACUCUCAAGUCAUACCUCAUGGAACUCAACAAUGUUCAGCCACCUGCCACAAACAUCCACCACACCUCUAUUAGACCAUCACACACCUUAGAAAUUGUCCCAAAGACACAAACUUGUACUCCAGGUUCCAGUUCCAAUCCUUAAGGAAUCCUUGUCAUAGAACAACGUCUUGAUUACACUAACGUCUUAUUCCAAGAUGCUUAGGAUCCAUGGGAAGAUUUUCAGUCUCUUCUCCAUACUGAAAAUCCCCAUUACACUGUCACAGACCCAGACCCUCCUGCUACAUCAGCCCCAAAAGAGAUGACUAAUGCUGAUGAAGAAGCCUAUCUGUAAGCUGAAGCUUAUCUUGAUCACAGAUAGAUCCGUCGUGCCAAACACCAAUAUGAGAAAGAAACUAGCCAUGUGUCUCCAUCACACUACCCAUCCACUCCAUGAUUACAGACACGCAUGGGAAUCUUUAGCUUUUGCUUUUUUAAUGUUUGCUUUAAUAAUUAGACAAGGGUCCAGUCUUGUCUAAAGUGUGUUUCUCCUUUUCCUUUUUAUUUUUGGCGUGGUGUGCUUUAAUCAUUCUGCUUUUGUAAAAGAUAAGGGUCCCACCUUACCUCUCCUUCCUCAAGAUCUCUAUAUAAGGAUCUCUCUUUCCAUUUGUAAGGCAGGAGUUAAUUUGGAAUAAAAAUUAGUUUUCUUCACAUCAUGUUUCUCUAAACCUUUUUCUCUCUUCUAGGAAUCAAAGAAAUUAUUUAGGGUUAAUAAUGAUACGCUCACUUUUAAUUUUCUAAACUGAGUAUGCUUUGCACUUGCCUUAAGCCUAAGGAUCCUGUGCAUCAGAAAGGUCCUGUUUUAUCCUCCAAAACUGAUUUUUAUAAAAUGAAAUUAUUUUCUCACAACGUUCACCCUCUUUGAAGGCCAAGAGUGCCGUGUUUUCGGGUGGUAUCGUGAAAAACUGAUUUCAAAAAUAAUUUUCGGAUUUGGUAUUUGAUGGAUAAGUGUAAAUCGGCUGAAAACCAGAACUUGCGGGCUAUUGGCCCUAAGAACAGACUUUGUUCUGUUAUAGAUCUGGUGUAACAACGCCACGUACAACUACCCACUGCUAUCAGAGCCACAUACCCAACGCAGAAGUGGUUUCAUUUUAUAAUUCUAAGUAAUAUUAUUUGAUCUCCUAGAAGAAGAUUACAUAAAUAUGGAAACAUCUUCAUUUCAAUCUCAACUCCUUCAUCAUCUUCCUCUCAUAUUUCUCUUUCCUCUACUCUAUCUCUUCCAAAGGCAUGUUCCAAACACAUAGCCUCCAAAAUUGAAAACCUUGUUGAAUAUUCCUAUAUCCCCGAGUCUGCCCAAAUUAAUGAAUCUCAGUUCCCCAUCAUGAGUCCUUAUAAUCUAUACAAACAAAAAACUUCUUUCACCAGAAGUAUUCAAACCCUGAUCUCCACCAAAAGACCACUCCCAAAAGAAUAUAUUCAGUCUUCUAGACUGCAUCAGUGUGCUUUACAAGCCUCUCACAGUGAGCAGUAUGUCACUUUAGAAAUACCCCAAGAUCUCGUCGUCAACUAGAAACGAGAAGGGUAUACGCAUCUCCACCUUGGUGGUGUAAGAUUGAUCUUCACCCUCCAUGGCAGAAAAGGUUUACCUGUUACGGCCAGGAUUGCUCUGUUAGACACCAGGUUCAAACAGUACCAACAUGUUGUUGUAGGAACCGUCCUAACCACACUCCAUGCUAGCAGUGUCUUGUUAACCUUUUACCCAAAUUUCAGCCUCUCUCUUGAGGAUCCCAACCUUCCCACUACCCUUAAGAUCCAAAUCUAGCUCCAAGGAGCAGAACAAACACCCACAUCAAAAAUAGCAACUCUUCAUUACUAAAUAGUGUAUCGAUUACAGAAUCAUGCACUCGAUCUUCCCACACCACACACCACAUCUAAUGCCUUAAUGAUCCUAGCAGACACAGACACAAUUCCAACCAUCAUCCAAAUUCCCAAACAAAUCCAGAAACAAGAAUUGCUCAAACUUAUACCUCUUGAAUGGUUGACCAACUAUGAGCAUUUCCACCAAAACUCUGAACCAGUUCAAACAACAGAAGCCACGUUUGAAAGACGACAAAAUGGUCAAGUCAAACUAUCUUUUCAAACACCUGAAACCAAGCCUGUUUCAGACACUUCACAGCUUUCCUACACUACUAUGAUAACAGCAGUUCAAACUGGUCAAGAAAAGAAACUUCCCAUUCACGGUUUCUCAUCAGAAGGGUAUCUGGUAUAUCCUGACAAAAUCAAUGGUCAUUUUCUAUGGGAUGUUCCUGAAGCCCAUAUGUGCAAUCCAGAUUGUCCUUGCUUGGAUGACACGGAUGUUGAUGACGAGCUAGAAGUUAUGAGGAGAAAGAAAAAGAAGAAGAAAAAACCUUCUCAUCCAAAAACAUCUUGCAAAUCCUUUUCUCCACAACCUCCACCAGAUCCCAAACCUCCUAUUCACCAAAUAAGAUCAUGCCUAAUGUUUUCAAGCCAAUCUUAUAAGGAAUCAUUUCUUCCGCUUGAAAAAUAGACAGACACACAAACUAGAGUUAUCUCAAAUCUUUUGUCCAAUCCCCAGUUACAGCCUCUGGGCAGCCUGAAGAACCAAAACAGUAUGAAGCUAUUUUGAAUUGGCAAACCAAAAAUGCCAAUGCUCAUAAUCAAACUCUUCAACAGCUUGAAAAGAAAAUUGAUCAAGUUGCUAGUCAAGUCUCUCAAACUGAAACUAAAGUUGAUUCAAUCAACAACCGUCUUGAUCAGAUAUACAUCCAUUUACAAGAUCGUAUCUCUUAGCUAGACACCGAUCUCAGGCGAAUGAUCAACAACCACAUCUGUGGUCCAAAGUUUAAUAAAAAGAAGCAGAGAUCAGAAAGCUCAAAGCUGAAUUGACAAGAAUUGAUGCUGAAAAGAUUCGACCUUCCCUUUUUACUCAAACAAAAACCCCACCAGUACCUCCUCCGAUCUUUGAAACUUAUGCACCUUUCUAUACACCAUCCAGACCUCAACAACCUGUUUACAAUCAGUUCUUUAGAUUCUCACACCUUCAACCAACUCCUCAACCAAAACCAUCUUCACCUAAAAAAUCAAAGUCCAAAGUCAAGAUCUCAGAACCAAAGUCAAAGGCCACUUCAUCUUCAUCUGUUCCUCCGGUACCACCAAAAGAUUCACCAAAAGCCACUCCUAAACCUCCCAAAAAAGACAAAGGUCCAAUGGAUGAGUAUCAUUAUCAUACUAUCCAAAACACAUCUUCUGACUCCUCUGAGCCAGAAAUAGUCUAUGAAUCAAACCCAUCAGAGUCCAACCCAUCUUCCUCUUCUUCAUCCACAAACUCAUAUGGUACCUCCACUGACUCUAAAUUCGAAUAUGCUGACAUUACAAGCAUAUUAAUGGCCACCAAAACUGAAGAUCCAAGAACUUCAACUGCCACACCUAUUGUUGAAGACAAUUCUUCUGAUGUUGAAAAUAAAGCAUCUCCCAUGGAACCAGAGCCAUCAAUGCCUCCACCAGUUCCUGAUCACUCAACAAAACCAUCUUCAGCAUCUUGGUUCACAUUUGAUGACAUUCCCUGUCAUAAAUGGCCUACUCGACUUCAAGAAUUUUCCGCAUGGAUUGACCUCCAAGGAAGCAAACCUAAUGCUCAACUUGAAGCUGUUCUCCGUGAAUUCAUGGCCCGAUCAACGGGUUCUUUACGUGAUUGGUUAGAAAGCUUGGGAGAAUAUCGUCAGCUCCAAUUCAUGCAAUCUCCAAUUGGCACAGCACUCAAUAUCAUUCAUGAAUAAUUCAUCGAAGAAAAAACUGCUUCUAUUGAUGCAGACAGAAAAGAGUAUCAUCAGAUGAAGUGCUGCUCGCUCAAAAGACACCUUUUGGAAUCUCAUUAGAAAAGGAUGAGUAUUCUUUUUUAUAAGCUGAAUGGGUUCAAUGAGCCAUCUCUUAAACAUGUCUUCAUAGCCUCACUUCCUUCUGAGUUACAACCGGAUUGCACAUAUGGGCUUCAGGAACAUCCCAUAGAAAAUGACAAUUGAUUUUGUCAGGAUAUACCGGAUACCCUUCUGAUGAGAAACAGGAGAGUCCAGAGAAGAUCUGAUGAGAACUCAGGACUGGUGAUGUGUGUGAGGAAUGGCUUAACAGGAAAAACCAGUUUGGUAGCAUACAAGGUAGUGAGACACCACAUAUACCAUAACUCAUCUUCGCAGAUGGUUAGAGAAGACAGGUCUUCUCCGCUUGAAAAACAGACAGACACGCAAACCAGAGUUAUCUCAAAACCUUUUGUCCAAUCCCCAGUUACAGCAUCUGGGCAGCCUGAAGAACCAAAACAAUAUGAAGCUGUUAAAAUGAUACCACUUCUGCGUUGUUUAUGUGGCUCUGAUACCAGUGGGUAGUUGUACGUGGCGUUGUUACACCAGAUCUAUAACAGAACAAAGUCUAUCUAAUCAGCCAUAAAUUUCUUAUCAACAUGGACAACUCCUCUUUUCCUCGAAUCUUUAACUUCAAAAAUAAGUUGCUCCCUGACAAACAGUUGCUCAGCCUUAAGAACUGGUUUGCUAAAUAUGAUUUUACUGUCCAACACAUAAAAGGCACUGCCUUCUGCAUCCCUGAUGCCCAUUAUUAGUGGACUGUUAUGCCUUUUGGUCUUAAAGUUGCUCCUUUAUUAUUUUCAAAAAGCCAUGACAAAAAUCAACCCUAAUUUUACAUUUCUCAUAAUCUCAACAAAUUAACUAAAUUACAUAAACAAAUUUAUAUUUAACAAUUAACAAAAUUUAACAAAGUAAAAUUAAGAAAUUAACUAAGAAUAAAAAAAUUACUAAAAUCAAUUAAUGGGAAAUCAGAAAAAGAAAAAUAAAUAUUUGGUAGUGGAGAAAGGAAAGAAGAAGAAGAAGAAGAAAAAGAGAAAAAGAACUAAAGAGGAAGAAAAAUAAGAAGAAUGAAGAAGAAGGAAGAAGAAGAUGUUUGGCAGCGGUGGAAGGAAAGACGAAAAAGAAGAAAAAUAGAAAAAGAAAAGAACAAGAAGAAGAAGAAGAAGAAGAAGAAGAAAAGAAGAUGAUAUUUGGCAGUGACAAAAGAAAAUUAGGAGAAGAAGAAAGAAGAAGUGAGGAAGAGUCAAGAUACCAGUUGAGAAAGAGAAGUGUGGGUGUGAGUUGUGAUGAGUUAGAGUUAGGAAAAUGUUUUAAAUUUUUUUAUUUGUUAGUUAACCUGAUCGAAUCAGCUAUUCGAUUCAGGUCGAAAUACAACCGGAUCGGAUUUGCAUUUUGAACCCAAACGGGUUAUAAGCUUCAACUCGAUCCGAACGCCCACGCUUAUCUCUUGGUCUUUUGAUGUAAUAAUGAUUUGAGUAUAACUUGAAUAACCAUCAAGAAAAUAGUAAUGAGAGUAACAAGUUAACCUUCCAAGCAUUUAAUCAAUGAAAGGUAAAGGAAAAUGAUCCUUGUGAGUGGUUGCACUCAGUUUGCGGUAGUCAAUGCAAACCAUUCACCUAGUUUGAACUAGAAACCAGCACAAGUUCGUUUUCUUCAUUCUUGACCAUAGUGAAAUGGGAUAGAUAAUCAUUACAUUAAAAAGCUUUAAAAUCUCUUUUUUUACGAAUUUUAUCAUCAGUGGAUUAAGACUGCAUUGUUCAUCUCUUGUAAGUUUAAAUCCUUCUUCUAGUAAAAUGCAAUGCAUACAUGUGGAAGGACUAAUACCCUUUAUAUCGGCAAUGGUCUAGCCAAUCAUCGUCUUGUGAUCCCAAAGUACCCUAAUUAGCUAUUCUUGUUGAAUUGGAGCAAGAGUUUUAGCAAUGAUGAUUGGAAUUAUUUCAUAAAGUAAAUAUAUUCAGGUAGUGUUUACUUUUUGGAUUAGAGUGGGAAUCCUCAGAGUGAGAAUCUUAGGAUUGGGAGUGUGGAGUGGGAGUAAGAGUAGAUUGUUUACUUACACUGGAAUGGAAGUAUGGAAUGAAGAUUAGAAUCCAAUUUAUGUGUUUACUUUGUCUUCAAUUGGGAUUAAAUAGUUUUAAAUUACAAUUUUAUCCUUAUUUAAAGAAUUAUAGUUUUUAAUUACAAAGUUAAUUGUACAUCACAAUUUUUUAUUAAUUUUAAUUUUAAUUAUAUAAAUUAAAAAUUAUUGAUAAGGGCAAUAUAAAUGAAACAUUUUUACUAUUAACAUAGUAUGAAAUUAAUAUUUUCUUAGAAUAAACUAUUUAUUAUUAUUAUUAUUAAUUAUUAAUAUUAAAUAAAUAUAAUACUAUUAUUUUUAAAUAGUAAUAUUAUUAAUUCUCUAUUAACAUAAUAAUAUUAUUUUUAAGUGAUUUAAACUUAGAAUCAAACCAAGUUAUUAUUUAGUUAAAUAUAAUAAUAUUAUUUAAAUAAAUAUAAUAUUAUUUAAAUAUUUAUUAAAUUUAAUUAUAGUAAAUUUAAUAAAAGGAGGGUAAAAAAGAAGGGUAAAUAUAAAACGAAACAUUAUUUUAUUUUAUUUUAUAUAAUUAUAUUAAAUAAAUUUAAUAAUAUUUAAAUUUAAUAUAAUCAAAUAUAAUUAUAUUAUAUUAAAUUUAUUGUUAUAUAAAAUAAUAAAAUAAUAUUAUUUAGUACAAAAUUAAUAUUUUCUUAGAAUAAAUUAUUUAUUAUUAUUUAUUAUUAAUAUUAAAUAAAUAUAGUACUACUAUUUUUAAAGAAAUAUAAUAAUAUUAUAUUUUCAAUUGAAGAUAGCAUGUAGUAAUAUUUAUUAAUUCUCUAUUAAUAUAAUAAUCUUAUUCUUAAGUAAUUUUAACUUAGAAUCAAUGCAAAUUAUUAUUUAGUUAAAUAUAAUAAUAUUAUUCAAAUAAAUAUAAUCCUAUUUUUAAGUAAUUUUAACUUAGAAUCAAUGUAAAUUAUUAAUUAGUUAAAUAUAAUAAUAUUAUUCAAAUAAAUAUAAUAUUAUUUAUUUUAUUUUAUUAAAUAUCAAAUAUCAAAUUUAAUAAAAAAAUGGUAGAAAAGAGAGAGGUGGGAGUGGGAAUGAGAGUCUUACUCCCACUCUCCACUCCAAAAAUGGGUGGGGCCCACGGAGUGGGAUUCCCAAUCCUCCCUUAAAUUGUUGAAGUAAACACUGAAGUGGGAGGAAUCCACACUCCUCACUCCCACUCCAGAAGGUAAACAUAAUAUUAAGGUGUUCUAGGAGUGGCUUAAGUUCUAAGGUAGGUGCAUGCAUAACAAAAGGUAAAAGUUUCUCGUUUGAUAAAAGUAAUUCAAGGUAAAAACAUCAUACCUGUUGGUACGUAAUCUAGCUGCCACAUCUAAGAUCCUCUUUCCUAAGAUUCUUGCAUCUGACUUCAAAAUUAUCGUUACUAGAUAACUUAUAGAAUUUUUGCACCAAAGUCUUAGUAUCAUCUAUGGUAAAAAUAAAAUGUAAAUCACUGGGAUACUUUAUUGCCUCAAAGAUAUUGAAGCAGAUCACUUCACUGUCGAAUUAUAUCGUGAGGUUCUGUUGUGAACAUUUAUCUUGGUUCGUGCCGUCUUAAGGAAUAGUUGCCCCAUCAGAUUGGGCACGGGAUUAGAUGAUGAUUCAUCCUCUAUUUCUAGGAUACAUAAAUUGGUCAGAAAGACUAAUUCAUUAACCUACACAAAAAACAUCUUCCACAACCCUCUUAGGUAAACAUAAGACCUAUCAGUUAAUUGAAUAAUUAUACUAGUUUCUUCCAAUAGACCUAGAUUUAAGGAGUUAUAAAUCAAAUAUAGCAUAACGUUAAUAGAUGAUCUUAUAUCUAGCAUACAUUUUUCAAACCUGGUAUUACCGAUGGUGCAUGGGAUGAUGAAAGUAGAUCCUUGCACAGAGAUCUUUUUUUUUUAAGUACAGUAAAAACAUUCUCUCAUGCGCUCACCUUUUCAUUACCACUCAACUUUUAUUUGUUGGUGCAUAAUUCUUUUAAAAAUUUUACAUAACAUGGCAUGAUGGCAUUUAUUUAAUAGUAUCAAGUAGAGGAAUAUUUACCUAUACUUUAUAAAAUGUCUCAAAAAUUUCUUUUCUUGCUUCUCUUUUUUGAAAUAUUUAAACUUGCUAGGAAAUGGUUGAGGAAUGGUAAGAGUUUUAGCUAGAGGUGAAGGGGUACUUACCUAGUUAGAUGGGUUGACUGGCAACAUAGGGUAAGAAUCGUCUUUCCUUGUUAAAGAAAGAGCCUUAACGGAGGGAUUGGCCAUGGGGUGCAAUGAUGUUAUUGACACCUUUGAUGGCUUGGCUAAUGAUGGUUCCAAUUGCUUUCUGCUCCUAAGAAACAUAGCACUAGCAUUCACUGUAGGAUUAAUUUCAAGUUGAGAAGGCAACUUACCUGCAGUUCUAGCCUCUAUUCUACUCAUGGAUGUGGCCAAUUGGUGAACUUGAUUCUCCAAGUGUUAAAGUUGUGUCUGAGUAAUCUAUUGGAACAGCAAAGAGUUAGUAGCAAAAGCUUUUACAAGAUCUUCCAUAGACAUAUCUUAAUUUUGAGGGGAUGAGAUUGAUCGAACUUAGUAAAGCUAUUAACCAUGUGGUCCAGAUAGUGACACGUUAGGAAGAACACCUUGCUGUUGGUUCCCAUACCAAAGAUUAGGUUGAUCCUUCCACCCUUCAUUGUAAAAAUUAGAGUAUAGAUUAUACCUUUAUCUUGGUUGGCCUAAGAAAUUGCCAACUGCGCUAGCUUGCUCAUGUCACAUGCCUGAUGAUAACUCUAUGAAAUGAGAGUUAUCAUGGCACUUUUAGACUUAAAUCAAUAAUAUUUUGAGAGUAAAUGACAUGUUUUUAUUGCAUUUUAGUUUUAUUUUGCAUGAAUAACUAUUAUAGUUUAUUUUUUAUAAAUUACAUUGUUUUAGAAUAAUUUGUGUGCUAAAUCAUAUGCAUAAUUGUAGGUGUCUGGAAGCCCAAAUUUCAAGGAAGGAAUGCUGAUGCAAAAGGCUUGCAAAAGAUAAAAAAGAACUUGGUUACAAAAGAAUUGAAACAAAUCUAGAACAAUACAGUUGCUGUAGCUAUUGCUGUAGCAAUCCUGGAACAACGAUAGAGAAAAUUCUGCGCGGGAUACUUGCAGAAUUGCGAUCUGCAGUUUCCUAAUCUGACUUAUGCGCGCCCUAGGCUUCCGUUUACCCUAAUUUUCAACUAUAAAAGAAGCACACAUCAUAAGGAAUAAAGAGUGUCAUUACCCAAGGAGAAAAAACACAAAGAAACAAAAGAAAAACAAGAUUCAAGAGAGAAAUUAAGGGCUGCACAAGAGAAAAAAUUGCAAAGAUCAAUUGGGAGCUCAAUCCUUCUUAUCCUUCUCUUGUUUUCGUGUUUUCUAUUUAUUCAUGGGGAUGUGUUUUAGGGCCGAAACUUUAUUCUUUAUUUUUCUUUUGCAAAUCAUGAACUAAAUUUAUUUGUAAUUGAGUGAUAAACAAUCUUAAUGGUUUAUUGACUUAAAAAUAUGUGUUGCUGCAUGUUUGCUGUAGCAUUUUAUUUUGAUAGCAUUUAUUUUUAUUCAUUAUUUCAACUGAUCACCCAUUUAAUAAUACAAGUUCUGAUAUCUUAGUGGAACAUAUCAGAGCAAGACUUGGUUUUAGAUUGGAUUUCCUAGAUUGAGUUUAACUUAUCCCAAAAGGGUCGUGCUUAAUCUAAAAUUAGUGAUGAACUAGACAUAGGGAUUCACCUUGUAGGGUAAAUAGAACCUAAGCAUGUAAUGUUAUAUCUUAUAUUGGCAUAACAACUUAUCACUGUUAGGUUGCAUAUAGAUAUAAGAUAUCCAACAUGCGACGGCUGAGGAUACAUAAGGAUUAGGGAUGGCAAUGGGGAGGGGAGGAGAGAGAACCAAUCUCCCCGUACCCAUCCCCGAUAUUUUGCGUAUGUCCUCAUCCCCGUCAGAAUUACUUAAGAGAAUCCUCAUCCCCUCCCCGAAUAAUAAUAGGGGAUCCUCGAGGAUCCCCGAUCCCCGAAUAACUAAUACAUUUUUUUGUUUUCGAUUUGAGUUAAUCAUAUUAAAAUAAACAAUUCAAAUAAAAGUAAAGUUCGAAAAAUAUCUUACAUUAAUAUCCAUUACAAAAGUCACAUAUAUUAAAUUAGUAAGUAACGCCGCAUGCAAGGGAUACAAACUUCUUUUACAAACUAUCAUGAACAAAUUAAUAGUUUAAUACAAAAUUGUUACAAAUAAAAUCGAAUUUAGAUUCAAAAUUAACUUUUUCAAUGGUGGCAUGGGCACUUUAUAAAUGUGGACUAUUCCCUUUACAGCACAAUAGUUAAGUCGGAAUAAAUCAAGAGCAAAUAUUAGAUAAAAUUAGAUUAGAUAUUAAAAUUGUGAUUCGCUGUGGGCAAUUAUAACAUUUAAAAAUAAAUAAAAAAUAGAUUUAAGUUUAAAAUAUUUAAUGAAUAUUAAACUUAAAACAAAAUUUUUGGGCUAAUAGAAUCUAUCCGGUCUUUUUAAUGUCCUAAAUAAAAAUUUAGGACUUUAAUUAGUUAAUUAGGCCUAAAAGUUUAAUAAUAUAAAUAUUUUGAUAUUUUUUAUUUUUACCAAUUUUUAUAAUUUUAUAAUUCAAAUUUUAUUAUUUAUUUACUAGUAAUUUUAAAAAAUUAAAAUUAAAAUUAAAAUGGGGAAAUGGGUAGGGGAUGGGGAUUCCACCUCAUCCCUGUCCCCUCCUCGAAUAAGAAAUUAGGUAAAAAAAAUUUCUCCGUCCCUUCCCCGAAUAAUAAAUUGGGUAUGAAAUUAUCCUCAUACCCUACUCGAAUGGGAAAAAUCCCCGAGGGUACCCGUCCCCGUGGGGAUUUUUGCCAUCCCUAAUAAGGAUUCUACCCAGUGCUGUAGCAAAUGCUGUAGCAACCGAGCCAAACAUUAGAAAAAUAGUCAAAACCAUUUCACUCAACUACUCUAUAUUCUCAUUGGUCUUAUCCUUGAGUUUGACAUGAUAAUUUACUUUGUUGCAUUUUAUUUAUUACGUUUUUAUUUUAAUUAAUAUAUUAAUUUCAUUAAUUAUUUUAUCUUAAUUUAAAACAAAAUCUGCACUAUUAAGAUUGUUGUAGCAAGUCUGAUAACAUCAAUCCUUGUGGAGACGAUCUUGAAUACUCAUAACUUUAUUACUUGUUGUGUACACUUGCACAUUGACACUAAUAGCAUUAGUAUUUAUACACCCGACCAUGGAACAUAGGCCACAUAGUCUUGCCUACUGUCCUAGGGACAACUGUUGCACCAAAGAAGUAAGAUUUGAAACUUAUUGUUCUAGGGAAGAAGUAUUUACCUCAUUGACUCACUUAGGUGGUGGUAGUGGAUUUUUCCUGGUGCUAAACUGUUCAGAAUUAGCAACCAUAUUGGCAAUGCGAUUCUUGGCUACUUCCGGUGUCUUAUCCAAGAGUGCUCCUCCGCUGGCAGCAUUAAUCAUGCUUCUUUUGAUAGGUAUUAGACCCUCAUAAAAAUAUUCAAUAAAGAGUUUAUCAUUUAUCUAAUGGUCGGGACAGCUAGCACAUAGCUUUUUAGAUCAUUCCAGUACUAUUAUUAGAAUUAUUAAUUAAUUCAAAAGAAUUAUUAUUAUUGAUGACAAAUACAUAAAAAUUAUUACGAGAUGUAAUAUCUAUUUUUUAAAAUUAGAAAUGAAUAUAAAUUUCUUGAUUUUCUUCAUCUCGUGGUGUAAUUGAACUUCAACAUUUUUCUACAAAAAAACACAAACAAUAAUUAGUUAACUUUCAAAUAUAAUAAUCAUGUAAGAUUGUAAUGAAAAAAGAUAAAUAAAAAAAAUUACACCAUAUUGAAGAAAAAUAGAAGAGAUAAGAAGAUAGAAAUUGAGUUAGAGAAUGAGAAUUAUACAUUAGAGAUGAGAGAAUGAAAGUUAAAGAAACUUAUAGAUGAGAGAAUUUAGAAUACAAGUUAGAGAAUAAAAGAAUAAAAGAGUGAAAGAAAUUAAGUGAAAGAUAUAAAUAGAGAGAUAGAGUUUUUAGCAAGAAAAUUGAAAUUUUUGUCGCUAAGACUUAAUUUGGUGGAAAAUCACCUGUCUUUCACUUCAAAAAUUUUCAAUUUGUUUAGCAACAAAAUUCUACAUUUGUUGCUAAAAGUGUACAUUCAGUGACAAACUUUAUCUUGUCACAAAAAAUCAAAAAUUUUGGUUGAAAUAAAAUGAUUUAAAUCUUUAACUUUCGACUUUUAGUGACAAAAUUAGAUUUGUCGCUAUAAAUACACAUUUAGCAACAAAACUCAAAAUUUGUCACAAAAAGUCAAGAAGUUAAAUAUUUAAAUUUAAAAUUUUAGCUACAUAGAUUUGGCAAUAAAUUAUUUUUUGUCGCCAUUGGUCACUCUUUCGGGACAAAACUAUUUAGCAACGAAGAUUCUGUCACUAAAUGUUUUGACACCAACAUAUUUAGUCUGGCACUAAAAAUUUUGGCAGCGAAAAGCUAAUUCAUUGUAAUGUAUGUCUUUAGCUGCAAAAUAUUUGUCGCUAAAAAUGUUAAUUACAUAUUAAUUUAUUUCUUAAGUAUUUGGCAACGAAAUAUUUUAUGUUGCUAUAAUACACUCAAGGCAACAAAAACAAUUUUGUUGUUAAAAAACUUGUUGUUAAAUGGCUUAAUUCUUGUAGUUUAUGACCUAUAUCAACAUUUUUUUAUGAAACCAUGUGAAAAUGAUAGCAAUUUGACAAUUCAAUAAUUUUCAUGAGGUAUCAUGUUACAAAAUCAUUUUGCUAGUUUAAUUGAAGAUUAAGACCAUAUUUGGUAUUAUGGAUGGGUAGUGUAGCUUAAAAGUUACAGUAUUAAAGUACUUAAUAAAUAUUAUCUGCUGUGAUUUAGAAGUUAAGUUAAUUAUAUCUCACACUUGUAUGAUGAUAAACCUAUAAAAUAUUUAGUAUUUUUGUAAAAGUUAUUAUUCAAAAAUCAUAUUUACCAUACACUAUCUGAAAUUCUAGUUAUUCAACCCAAGAAGAGGGGGGUGAAUUGAGGAGCAUAUUCAUGUUAACACUAUCAAUAUUUAUUUUAUAGCUAAAUCAUUGUUCCACUGUGGUUACAAUUUUUGAGGCAUAACAUCUCAAUACUAAAUAGGAUCUAAUAGUCAAACUAAAAGGCAACACCAACAAAUCAUUUUGAAGUAUUGGACACUUUUACCUUAAAAGGUAAAAAAAAUUAUUUUUUAUUAUGUUCAUGCAAUCUUAGUGCCAAAAAAUGGUAAAGAGAAAUUAAAUUAACAAAAUAAAUUAGGUAAUAAGAUGUAAUUAAUUGAUUGACCAAGUGCCGUUUUAUUUUUAUGAAUAUUUAUUGAAGUGAAGAGUGUUUACUUGGAGUAUUUAAGUGUAUACUUUGAUACUUCAAAGAGCAUGGUCAGAUGGUUUUCAAGAAAAAAAUUUUUGGCUAAUCAACACUUGGCGUCUUUUAAAGACAAAUUAAAAGAAAAAGGAAAUCCGAUCAUCAGUUAGCGUUUCUUUUUUGGUGAAUGAGCAGAAGAAAAAAUGAAAGAAUGAUGAAAAUUUGAUUCUCAAACACAUGCAGCAUCACAAGUGAAUUUCCUUUGCAAUCAUUUUCCUCAAUUAUUCCCGAUCCCGAAUCUAAUCUUCCUUUUAAUCUACUUGCUAAUCUACUUAAUCAAUUAUUACUGAAUUUUUAUAUUUUAAUUUUUUUAUUACCAAACGCUUUUAACCUAAAUUUUUUAUUACGUAACAUGAGAGAUUUCUUUGAACUUUUCUAUAUUUAUGGUUUGUUGGCGUUCAUUAUAAUUAAUCUUUUAAUAGAUAAAAAAGGGAACGUAGGUAGAUGGUGAAAUUAUGGCAAGGUUCUGCUGCGGGUCCCAACGCUUUUGCAACCCGGCAGCCACCAAACAGGAGGCCACAUCCCUGGUGUCGGAGUUUUAUCUACUCUUUUCUUAGAUUCUUUCAUCACUUACGGAACUGAUCCACUGCUUCGCUGUUGCAUCAUAUACACACGACAGGUUCAUUACAUUUCAGUUAGUUCAAAUACUUUUUAUCCGAAAAAUAUCACUAAUACUUUUAACCGAAAAAUAUCAAUAGUUAUUUAAUAUAGACGUCCACAUCAGAUGAAAUUUUCUAUAACAAUAAUGCUACGUUAACCCCCCCAAAAAAAAAGAUGCUACAAAUUUUGAAGUUUAGACGUUAUCCCUUAAUAUAAUAAGGAAUCAUUGUUGAUUAUAUGUUUUUCAUUUUGAACGAUCAUAUUAAUUUUCAUGUAUCAAUCAUAAAAUGUUAUAACCAACUGAAAAAAAUGUAUCUUUUAGUGGUUGAGUAAAAGUGGGUCCUAACAUAGCUAUGUCACUAUUGUUAAUGAUAUUGAAGGAUAAUUGCAAGAUUGAAAAAUCUUCUUAUAGGGACUAAAUCAUUCCACGUGUCCAUCCUAUAAGAUAAAAAAAGUUAUUAUGGAGAAAUAACACUUAAGUUAUUCCCAGAAAAUAACAUUCAAGUUAUUCCAGGAGAAUAACACUUAAGGAAAAAUUUCUCGGGAGCUCAUAAAGAUGGCAAGAAGGGGGAAUUAGUUCCAUAAUCCAUUAGUCCAAGGAAUCACACCUAAAAGUCAUAACGACAUGGAAAUAUAAAUAUACGAAAUAAUUUCUUAUGAUUAAAUUCAUCUCCACGUGUACAAAAAUGAUGGGUGACACAUGUCAUUAUGUUGAGGGCUCAAAGUAAAACCCUAGAUCUACAUCACUUAUCAUUUAUAAAUAGAUACCCAUCUCUAAGAGAAGGGGGUCUUUGGCCUCCAAAAGCACUAUUCAUACUUAGAGAGAGAAACUCAUCGUCUCCAUCUUUCUUCUUUAUUUAAUCUUGAUAAAACUCUAACUUGGGCGUCGAAGUGCCUUUUUCAGGUACUUACCCCACUGGAUUUGAGGUCAGCAAUCGUGACAAGUUUUCUACAAACUACAAAUAUGUGUGAAAGUAAAAAAAUCCAACACCUCCACCUCUCAAUCCAUUAAUCAAUAGCCAUUGUCUUCUUUUUUUAACUGUCACGACCUCAUUUUUAUGGUUUCUAUAUAUAUAUUUUUUUUCAUCCAUUGUUUUCUCAAUUAUGUAUGUAGGUAUAAUUAUACACUACUUAGGUCAUGUUUGGGAUUGAAGUGCUAUAACUUUUAAACUAUAACUGUUGUGGAAAAAAAACUACAACUAUAAAACAAAAGUUAAUAGCAUGCAGUAAAUAUAAAUUUUAAAUAAUAAUUUUAACAAAAUUAUUAAAAAUAUAAUAGAUUUUUCAUCAUACAAGUCAAAACUCAUAUCAACGUAACUUUCAAGGUACAACAGCUAAUGUUUACCAAACACUUCAAUAUUGUAAUAUUUAAGUUACAACUGCCCAAUCCCAAUUCCAAACGAACUCUUAAUAAAUUUGAUUGAUUUCAAAUAGACUUACCAUAGCUAUUUGAAUUCAACCAAAACAUAACUUCUUGCUAUCUUUAAUAUUGGGUCCAGCCAACCCAUUAUAGGCGUCCAAUUCUAAUAGGGCAUAUGCAUACUUGAACUGUAAAAUCUUAUUAGCAAAGCAAUGUACUUUAGAUUAAUAAUACAACACUAUUCUAGCCUCUGGAACAUAGUUAAUUGAAAAUUUUGUGCUCAUGGUAACCUAAGUUCCAAUAAAAUUAAAAAUAAGGUGGUGUUUGGUUUUAAGAAGGAGAAGGAGAGGAGAAAAGAAAAAAGGAGAGGAGUGGAGAGGUGGUGAGAGAAGAGGAGUGUAAAAAUUAAUUGUUAUUGUUUGGUUUCACAUUAAAUUUGAAAGGAAAAGAAAUUAAAUAUUUUUUAUUUGGACAAAUAUACCCAUUAUCUUUAGUGUUAAAAUGUUAAUAUUAUUAAUAAAUAAAAAAUAAUUAAACUAUGAAUUAAUUAAUCUAGAAAAUAAAUUAAUAAAAAUAUUUAAUUUAUAUUAUAGUUUUAAUUAAUUCACUAUCAUUUUAUAAUCAAAAUAACUAACAUUGUAUAAUUAGUUAUAUAUUUAAUUUAGUUUCUAAACAUGUAUGAUUAUUGAAAACAAUAAUGUAUUAGCCUACUGAAAUUAUCUAGUUAAAUAGAGAAUUUUAUUUUUUAAAAUUAUAGCAUCAAGUCAUGGACAACAAUUGACUGCCGCCGCUGCCUCCGACCACUGUUGACCACCAUCGUUCACCAUUUACCACCACCAUUGACCUCCAUUGACACUAUUUUUAGUGCAUUAAAUACAAAAAAAUGAUUAGAAAUGGACGAUUUACCCAUUGAAAAUGUUAAUUUUGCCGAAAAUAAACUAUAUGGUCGGAAAUACGAUAGUUAGAAUUUUCUCAAACAUUUAAACAAGAUUUCAGGUAAAUAACAACAUAUAUUGAUAUUUCUAACUCCAUAAAGCUGUAGAUCGGCUCAUGAGGAUUCCAUUGAUACCGAUUUUGAUGGUGAAACGCGUCUUCCGCGAAAUUUCAGCGAGUUUUCGGUGACUGUCCAAUGAUCCACUUUGCUGCUUUUCCUUUUUUUAAAGUAAGUUUAUCCUAUUAAUUUAAGAAAAUAAAUAUAAUUUAUUUUCAUUUUAACUUAUUUGAAAUUAAUUUUAUUUAAAGGAAAAUAUUGAAAUUUUUGGACAAUAUUGAAAUUUUUGCAUUUCAAUAGAUGAGGAAUUUGAAAUUCUUACCCAUUGAUAAGGAAUACAAAUUCUUGAACUUGAUAGAAAAUGAAUUUCAAUGGAAAUUCAAUUCCAUUAAAUUUGGUCCAACCAAAGCAGUGGAAAGUAAAAUAGAAAUCAAAUUCCUUUCCUCUCCCCAUUACCCCCAACUAAAUAUAUUCUAAAAGUUCAUAUUUAAUAAGUGAGAUUUCUCAACUUCAUUUAAACCUUUUAAAAUGAUCAUGUGGAUGAUUCAAGGCAACAUUUUUUAAGAUGCAAAUGUCCAACCUACAUAAUAAUUUAUAAAUCAUUUUUACUUAUUAAAAACAACAUGACGAUUGACGAGAGCCACCAACGUCUGUGAUCAUCAUGUGGAUAAUUCUGGAUUACUUAGUCGUAGCAUAGCGGGUGAAUGGAAUGAGAACGCCAGAUCAGCUGCUCCAAUCAUCUGGUACAUUCCGUUUUGAGCUACGUGUCAGGAGAUGAUGUAAGAUGUGCACUUUUAAAUAUGUAUAUGCCAUAGCAUGCAUCAAGAAUUGCGGUGGGAAACAGAAACACACAGAGAUAACUAGCCUAAUUAAAUAUCCAGAUUUAUUUCUUGCGCUUCACAUAUAACAUUUAUAGAUUAAGCUUUAAUUGUCAAGGACAGGAAUAUUCAGGAAAAAGAAUUGAACAAAAAAAAUCGGAGAAUGGGUACACGUAAAAACUUGUGUUCAAAGCUUUCAAUGCUUUGAAAUUAAAAAAAAAUUAAUUAACCAGGUAAGAUCUUCUGCAGUAAAGCAAUUAAGUAGACUAUGAUCGAGAAUUCCCUCGCUUAAACCAAAGCUAUUUUGAAAUGGGAGUUUUUGCUUUUAUCUUUCUGAAAUGAAAGUUUUAAUUAUGAAAUAAAAGUAAAUGAUUUUUAAAAUAAUAAUUUUAAGAUAAAUAAUAAAGAUAAUAUAAGUCCUUUAACAAGCAAUUAUAGAAUAAAAUGCUUUUAAUUUUUAAAAUUUUAAAUUAUAAAUAUUUACUAAAUACAUUAUAGCGAUAACUUUUGAGUAGCGACCGUUGAACAUCUAAGCUAAAUUUACACUUAAUUUGUAUUUGUGUAUGACGAAGAAAAACAUAUAAUAGUUAUAUAAUGAUCAUCAAUCUGGUAUUUGCAAAUACUCUGCUAAAAAAAGAUAAAAUAAGGAAGAAAUUUAGAAGGCAAAUUGUAAUUAAGAUGAUUACUAUCAAAAGCCUACCCAUUAAAUAUCAAGAGAAGAAUAAUUGAUUCAGGUACUUGAAAAUUCCUAUUAGUUGCUUCUCUUUUCUUAUUUUUCUUAUUUUAUUUUUUAUUUUUUUGGGAGAGAAACAAAACAGACCGCGCAGAAUUAUUAUUGGAUGAUAUCCUGUACUAAACUUAGAAGAACCUGUCUAAUUUGACCAAUAAUAUGCUUAUUUAAUUAGUUGAAGUGAUCUUUCAUCUGUUAAUAACUUCCUGUUCAUUUGGAGGAUUCAAUUAAUGAUGCACCGCAUAUGCAUGCACAAUAAUUUAUUAAUCGAAUGAAAUGGAAUAAUUAAGCUUAAUCUGGUAUCUUGGUUCAUUUUUGGGCCAAUUACAUUUUUUUUAUAUAAUUAAUUAAUAGCCAACUUCUCCAGAGAAAUGAAUGUUAAAGCUGAUAUGUACGUACCCACUUUAAUAAAGAAAGAAAAGCAAAAAAGUAUGGGCACAUCAAAUGGUUUUAAUGACUAUUUUACCCUGGAGGGUGACUUAACAUCCUCAAUAUGCUCCUCAAUAUGCUUUAAAGGAGCUGCUUCAUAAUUAAUUUAUUAAGCAAUGAAGGAUAUUUUUGGUAAUCAAACCAAUUAGCAAAUUAAGGAUAUAUAUGAAAUUGAAACCGGAGGGUGACAAAAAACGGGGAGCUUAAGUGUAUAUAGGUGGGGGUGAGUGUAUUUAUCAAUUAUGCAUGCAAAAAUUUAUUUAAUUUACUGUAUAGAGAAAGAGAUGAAUUAUUACGAGUGUUUUGUAUGUUUGCGAGGGGAUGAUUUUUCAUUCUGGCCCAUCCGUGGGAUCAAGUUUCGAGCAUUGUGAUUGGCUCUCUCUCAAUACCUUCCUUUUGAGCAAGUUUAUUUAAAGUACCCUCUACAAACAAAUACCUGAUGAAGAGGAGGGUUAAUGCUAGAAAGGCAGCUGAGAUAGCAAAAACAAAAAGCUGAAGUUAAAAGAAAGCUGAUGAUCAACCGAAAGCAAGAAAAGAAAAUCGCUUUAAAUUUCUCUUAGCUAUAGCGUUCCUUUGUUCCUCAAUAUAUCUUAUUGAUCAAUCUUGAAAAACAUAGUACAAUAAGUAUUAAACCAUGUUGGCUAAUAAUUCUCCUUCCGCUAUACCGUGCUCUUCAGAGCCUUUUUCGUGUUUAGAAAAUGGUAUUAGCCAUAAUAAAAGGAAAAGAAGACCAGCAGGAACUCCAGGUUUGGUUUGUUAAUUUCGCGUGUAUAUAUAUAUGUUGUUGUUGUUGUGAUUGACAGAUUUUUUUUUUGGGGGUUUCAAGUAAUUAUAUAUAAUCGUAGGUGCGUCAUAAAUUAAUUGGUGCAGAUCCAGAUGCAGAAGUGGUUUCUCUUUCGCCAAAAACACUACUGGAAUCGGAUCGUUACGUGUGCGAGAUCUGUAACCAGGGGUUUCAGAGAGACCAAAACCUGCAAAUGCACCGACGGCGACAUAAAGUUCCUUGGAAACUUCUCAAACGAGAGACCCCCGUUGUAAGGAAGCGCGUUUUUGUAUGCCCUGAGCCUAGUUGCUUGCACCAUGACCCUUGCCAUGCGCUUGGUGAUUUGGUAGGUAUCAAGAAGCACUUCCGGAGAAAGCACAGCAAUCACAAGCAAUGGGUUUGUGAAAAGUGCUCUAAAGGCUAUGCUGUUCAGUCCGAUUACAAGGCGCAUCUUAAAACUUGUGGUACCCGUGGUCAUUCUUGCGAUUGUGGCCGCGUUUUUUCAAGGUUGGCAUCGUCUUGUCUAUAUAUAUUUUAUUCAUUCUAUGAUAUAUCCUUUUUAUUUUUUAUUUUUUUGAGAAGAUAUUUAGUUGCUCCUCUCCUUCUUAGGUUAUUUUUGACUGAUUGGACCUUAAUCUCGAUCAUUUUUAAUUAACAGUACAGUGUUACUGUUCAUUGGCCGUUGAACACGGUUCCCAACCCAAAGAUCAGUUUUCGAAUCCCUUUUAAUUUGCUGGCUGCAGCCCAAAACCCAAAACAAAGGUGUUUAAUUUUGUAAUAUGUAAUAAUCAACUGUGCCUCUAUGUGUGUCUUGAAUGAUUAGCUCUCCACUUACGAUUACUAAUUUUUUUUUCCUUUCUAUUUUCCCUUUUUCCUUUUUAACUCAGUCAAUCCUUUUUCAAAGCGUUUCUUUUAUAAUCAUUUUUUCAUGUUUCUUGAUGUAUUAAUGACUUGAUCUCUUCCUUCUAUUGUAUUAGAUGCUCAUUUUUAUCGAUAACGACACCUAGAUGCAGCCCUUUUGAAAAUUUCUUUGUUCCACUUUUGUGGUGCAUGGAAUCAUAAGCUUUUCAAAUUAAAUGUGCGCAACGAUCUAAUUAAUUAAUUUUAUUUAUUUUUUGGUUCUUCUCUAUAGAGUUGAGAGUUUCAUUGAACACCAAGAUGCUUGUAGUAAGGGACAUAUCCGAUCAGAGCAGCAAGGGCUGCAGCAGCAGCCAGCAGCUUGUUUAUCGCGAACCGCUUCUAGCCCAAGCCCCUCCAGUGAUACCAAUUUUAGCGCAUCUCACUGGCCUAAUUUGAUGGUACCAAAGGUGCCAACAAUUGAUACCAUGUUCUUGAAUCGUUUUCAUCAAGGAGAUAAGUCCACUAGAAAUGUGAAACAUCACAAUUUGGAGCUUCAACUCUUGACUACGUCAAAUCCCAUUGAUGUUUCAGAUGAUUCCCCUAAGAGAGAUCAUGAUCAUAAUCAUUCUACUCAGUUGCAGCUCUCAAUUGGGUCAUCGGAUAUCAGCGAGAAAAAUGAAUUGAAUGUUACUUAUUUGAGUAGCACUACAAAUGGAAAACCAGCAAUGGACAUAGCAUCAAGGCUAAAAGAACAAGCACGCGAGCAGUUAAGGUUAGCCAUGGCUGAAAAGGCCUGUGCUGAAGAGGCAAGACAAGCAGCAAAAAGGCAGAUUGAAUUGGCUGAACAAGAGUUUGCUAAUGCCAAGAGAAUUAGGCAACAAGCACAAGCUGAACUGGACAAGGCUCAGGCUUUAAAAGAGCAUGCAAUCAAGCAAAUCAAUUCAACUAUUCUGCGAGUCACUUGUCAUGCUUGCAAACAACAGUUCCAGUCACGAUUGCCUCCCGAUGAGAACUCUCUGGUUUUGAGUUACAUGUCUUCUGCUACAACCGAAGGUGAAGUAAACAACCGUAAUAAUCGAACUAAUCAUCGUCUUGCAAAAACUGUUAACCUUUCAAACAAAUCCCUCUAGCUAGGUCCAAGUUAUGUUAAUCUCGUUUCCUUUAUUUGUUUUUCUCUUGAUUUCCUUUUUCUUACUUAACUAUUAAUAUACCAUGUUUGGUGUUGUGCUUAUCUCAAUUGAAGUAUAAUUAGUGGAGUGUUGUCUCCUAAAUAUGUGUGAUGUUAUUGUUCAUUAAUUUGUUCAAUGGAAAUGGAACUUAAUUAUCUGCUUGAUGCAUGGGUUUUGACUGUUAAUUAAUUAAUCACUCAAUGACUUAAUGGUAUAUCACUGUAGAGAUUAGAGAUUUUAGUGUCUAUUGUGGAGGUCAAUUUUCUUUUAAGUGUUUAGAAGUAUAUUUAAACUCAAAUAUGUGGACAGAAGCAAAUACAGAAUUGGUUCCAGUAGACUUUGAAUCUUUUUAUUAGUAAUUCUAAUGUAAUUAAGGGAGAAAAAGGAGAACUGAAAUAUUGAAUAAUUGAUCACUGUUCACGAAAUGAAACUAUUUCAUUGAAUGAGCAAAGAGAAACAAUAUCUUUUUUCUUGCCUCAACUUUUGGUAGUUUUGGAUUAUGCGUUUGGACUAUUUGGAGAUCUUUGUUGUCUGAAUAGGUCAGAAAAAUGGAGGGUGACCCGUUUCUCCUCAGCAUUAAAGAUCAGUUCUGACCAAAAUUUAAAACCUACUAAACUUUGAUAACAUCAUUUCAUGCUUUGUUUCAUAAACGUAUGUAUCGAAAUUAAUAUAAUAUAAAGAAAGAGAGAAAGGAAUUAGUUAUCCUUUUUCUGCUUGCAGGCUGCUGCAGUUGUGGUCACCUCAAAUAAAUGUAAAUGUAAAAACACCAUGUUUUUCAGUGCUGUAGUUGUAGGGUUUAAAGACAGGCUUACUCGUCCUCUCAACGCUUCAAACCCGCAGACACAAACAAACUCCCGUUCAUAUCUCUCUCUCAUCUUUUUCAUCAGAAUCAGGGCCGUAGCCACAGAACAAGCACAGGCACAGCAUUUUUCUAUUUUUGCAGACACCAUUCAAAGCCCUUUUUAUUCAUUUAAUCGCUGCUGCUUGUGGUUGCUGUUACGAGUUACAUAUCUUUCAUGGCGAAAACCAAAACAAAAAGGUCAAAGUACUGAGAUUUUCAUUUUGGAAGAGCUUUUCUAUGGGUUAUUCUUGUUUCGCCUUUUUCUUCGACCAUGUGCACUUCACUUACCUUUCAAUGCUACUGCUACUCCUCACCUUUUCAGUCUUUUCCAACUACUGUAAUAUAUAUAUAUAUUUUUGGCCUUAUCAAUCAUAGAGUUUCAUUAGACAAAUACAAAGUUAUAUCAAAUAAAGUAGGGUUGCGCAUGGGUUGGUUUGGGUUGGAUUUUAAGUCAAUUCAAACCAAACCAUAAAAAUUUGGAUCUAACCCAAACCAACUCAAAUAUUUUUAACCCAACCUAAAUCAAACCAUUUGGGUUUGGUUUGAAUUUUAUUAUCAAAAUAAUUUUUAUUUUAAUAAAAUUUAAUUAUAUCAAAAUUAUAAUAAUUAUUAAUUGUUAUUAAUUAUUAAAUUGAUAUUAAAAUAUAAAAAAAUAUAGUGGAUAAAAAUUAUAAAUUUUACGAUAACUUAAUCCUUAAAUUAAAGAAUACUAGAAAAUCAAAAUAAAGUUUAAUCACAAAAAUUAUUAUUUCUCAAUAAAUAAGAACGUACACUUUAAUAAUAAACUUUCACAAACAUGACAUUAACAAUCUAAUAAUAAAUUUUGCCACUUGUUAUUUAUUUAAUUAUGCAAUAUUUAUUUUUAUUUAUCGUUUUGGUAGUUUUGCAUUAUGUUGUCUACUUAUAUGCUUAAUUUUAUUUACAUUAUGAUAUUAUAUAGUGUGUAUGCUUUAUGUUCUAAUUUUAUUAUAUAGUAAGCAAAGUUUUGUGCAGGGCCUAAUAUAGGCAUUACAUUCAAUUAUUGACCAAAAAUUAACCGCCAUCUAGCAUAUCGGACCCAGUCCAAGCCGAGUUAUUAUUGAUCACUAGUAGAGUCUCCUGCUCUUUCUAUGAUGAUCUUUCCAUGUGGGAGGGAUUAUUUUUGUAAAUAAGAAAAAAAAUUUAUGUUAUUUACAACAAUAUUUAUUUAAUUUAAAUUUAUUUUUACAUGUUAUUUUCAUUUUCUAACUGUUGACAAUUGAUCACGCCGUAAAAAAUUUAAUGGUGGCCUUUCACUUAUUUGUAUUCAUUUAUUUCAUUGGAAAAAUUUGAGUGUUGGAGUUUUGUCCAUGACACAUGAGUAAACCAUACCCAACCCAUAAUGAAAUGAUUUUCUAUAUAAAACUCACAUCUAACCCAUUUUCAUGAUUUAUCCAACCCGAACCAUUUUAUUUGGUUUGGGUUUGGGUAAACCCAUGGGUUGUGGGUUUGUGCCCACCCCUAAAAUAAAGUACACAUAAUUUAUUUGGUGCAAUUUGUUGAUGUAAAUUACAUCAUCAUAUAAGAUCAAAGUCUUUUUUCUGUCACAGUUUGCGUAAUAGUUAAACAAAUCUUUCUUCUAAUGCUUAAUGUAAAAUGCAUGUUAACAAAUAAAAUGCAUGUUAACAAACGUAUAAGACUGUAAGAUACCGAUCUAUCAAAAUAAUUCAAGCCCCUUUGGAAAUGAUGUCUUGCGGCAUUUCAUUAAUAGUUUAACUCAAAAAAAAAAAAAAAAACACUAGCUAGGUGAAAUAGGAGAGAGAGCCACUUAGCCAAAGGCUGACUGGUUAGAGGAGCUGAUCUCACACAUAUUAGAGCAGCAGUUCGAGCCCUUAUAGAGCAUUAUGGGGGGCUUAAUUCCUUCCUCAAUUGAGUAUAUAUAAUUUUCCCUCUCACGAAACGUGAGUAAAAUAAAUGUCUCUUAAAUAUUAAUGAAGGUAAAAAUUUGUGUAGUUUCAUAAGAUUUAAUAAAAAUUAGUCCCAGAAUCAGUGUAGUAGUCUAAUAUAAUAUUAGUGUAAAAACAACUUAUAAGAGAGAGAGAUAUAAUCAUCAUUUUGAUCAAAUUACAAUUAAUGAGUAGUUGAUUACAUCAACUUCAAAUGAGCCCUAAGCAUCAACUAAAAUAAUGAUGUUAAGUAAUUGAUAUUGCUAAUAAUAAAGUUAACCUUCUUCUAUUUUAAUUUUUAAUGAAGAUGUACUUGAAAAAUGAUUCAACAAUUAAGAAAAUGAAUCAUUUAAAUUUAAUACAUAGAGAGAACCUCUAGUGAGACUAACUAUAGCUUUUGGAUGAGCCCACACAUGAAAAAAAAAAAAACAACUUCCACAAAUUAACAAGGUAAUAUCAUGGAAAAAAAGUUGAAUUAAUUAAAAAUAUCACAUUGUUUUUAGCCCUAAAGUUUUCAUAAGCAUAGGUUUUGACGAAAACGAAUAAUUUGACUUCUUAAUUAACCAAGUCUUAUUGUAGUGUUACUGUUAAAAUUGAUAAUAUGAAGAUUUUAGGAGCUUUAAACAUCAAAGGAAUAUCAUCAUAAGAACAAGAAUUCAUGGAAAACGUUCAUUGAUUCAAGAUUCAAAUUCAAGACACUAGACUAAAUAACAUUUUCCUUUUUGCACUCUUGUAUGAAUCUAGUUUGUCAAACGGAUCCUUAAUAAAUAUGAGCUCAAAAGUCAUUUAUGUGUUACAUUCACCAAAGUUAUUAAGCACGUUUUCUUCACUAUGAUUGUUAAAAAAACGUGGCUUUAAAAAUUCUUACUUCGAAAAAAUGAAAUUAAUUUCUUUUUACAAAAGUAUUUUCUUUAAAGAAUAAGGACUGAACUACAUACAUUUUAAAGCUUUGGGGACAUUUGUAAUUUCUCAAAGUUAUGGGUUGGACUAAAGCGCAAGAUUUCUAAAGUUUCAUCAGAAUUCCAGCAUGUAAUCAAUACAUAACUCCUAACAAUUGUAAUUUCAAACAAAAUUUUGGAACGUCUAUCAGCGCUUGCGUAACUAGCAGUUACACAUCACUAGCUAACCAAUUGCACCCAAUUUUUUGAAUAUGUGUCUAACGAGUAGUUUUUGGUUGUAGUUAGAUAAACCCAUUUUAUAGUCUUUAGAAUCACGUCAAUGAACCAAACUGUGGCGAAGCUCUUCAAGGACCAAAGGUGGCCAUGGCCCCUGUAGCCAAAUCCGUAUGACUGAUGUGUUAGCUGUGUUUUGUACUUGAAAUUUUAAUGGGUUUUCGUAAAAUUAAUUGCCACUCCACACCUUAGAAAUCAGAUACAUUCUCAAACUCAAAUACAUUUAACUAUUGGUAAUCUAAAUCGGUAUUUAACAGUUUGCGUAUGAUAAUCUGCCAACCAAAAAACUUGUAUUUUCUUUUUGUUUUUUAAUGCCCAAUUUACCUCUCCUCUUGAAUUGUGUGGCUACACUUUCAGCAGUGUCGAUUGUUGACCCUAACUUUUCAAUAAAAUUAUUCAAGCUUAAGAAGAACUCUAAAUUAAUUAAAAAUGUUCAUUGUAAAUGAGAAUAUUGAUUACAGAUAUUACUAUGAAAAAUUACAUAUGUUAGAGAUUAACUUUGUAAGUAAUUACAUGUAAACAAGUAUGCAUAUGAUUUAAGAACUUGAAUAUAUUUCAGAGCUAGCGGGAAUCAUUUAAAAAUAUAAGUUAGAAAGGAUAAUUGUAAUCCACGGAUACUGGGUACAAAUUUUUGUUUUACCAUUAACAGAAUGAAAUUUUAUUGCCAAUAAAAAAAAAGACGCAUUUCGUUCUCAAAAAGAACCGUUCAGACGAAGGGAGAAAACUUCUUUUAAUCCUUCACUCUUAUGCCAGCAGCUGGGUUACUAUUUCAAAAUAGAAGUUUCUUUAUACUUCAAAUUUGAUUUUGAUGGACGAUGUUAGCUUCAGUCCUUGGGCAAAUCAUUGUAAGUUAUAUUAUUGCACUUAAUAAUAUCUUUUAUUAAAUCAUAUGCUUUUAUAUGUACAUGUUUUAAAAAAAAAAAGAAUUAAUUAUAAUCAUUUAAGAAUUUUGUUAGCUGGUGAAUCCCGACUACAAGGACAAAAACAAAAGCCAGAGAACCAAAAAUUAAAAAACAAAAAUAUGAGACAAAAAAGAAAAAUAAUAAUAGUAAUAGUACGGACUUGACAGGCCUUAGAUUGCAACCAUAGUCAGUCUGCAUUCUGCGAGUAUGGCUAACAUGAUAACAGACUGCUAACUUAUAAUCAUUAAACUUUUUUUUUUAAUAAUUUAUAUAAUAAGGGGAUCCACCGAUUCUUUUCAUCAUUCAACAAGAUCAUUAACCUAACUUGCCUUCAUUUUGAUUUUGGCUGGCUUGUCCUAUCAUACAGCUAAUUAAUGAUAUGAACAUAUAAUGCUAGAAUUAUAAUGCUAGAAUUUUAGAUUUUUGCUGAUCAUUUGAUUGAAAAAAAAAAGGAAAAGAAAAGAAAAGAGCUAAGCACUUGAGUCAUUAAACGGAAAAUUCGGUAAAAGCUUUGUUUCCGAUACAUAAAAAAUUAUAUGGCUUUAACUAAUCAACUUUAUUUCUUAUUAAUUUUUUUAAAAAAUUAGCAUGUAGUCACAAAUUUCUUUGACGUACAUUCUCGCAAUAUUUGUUAUUGCAGUUGUAGAUUUGUUUUUUCUUUUUUAAUCUGAAUGACAUAGAACUCAAUGUUAGUAGAUUAUUACGGAAUCAUUAAAACAGCUUUAUUUUAACUAAUCAACUUUAUUAUUAUUUUUUUUAAGUUAGUACGUAGUCACAAAUUUUUUUGACAUGCAUUAUCGCAAUACCUGUUAUUGCAGCUGUAGAAUUUUUAUUUUUAUUUUUUAAAUCUGAAUGACAUAGAACUGAAUGUUGAUACAUAGUUACAGAAUCGUUAAAACAACAAAUUUUAAAUUUAGAAAUUUUCUUUGCUUUGAAAAUUUUCUAUCUAGUUUAUCAUCACAGAGCCUAAGCGAGAUGUGGCCAUAGGCCACAGAUCUGAAUUUGCAGGCCUGAUGGGCCUAAUGCAUCAUAGAUUGUGCUAAUUUUAUUUCAGUCUUGACUCCUGAGGGGCCUGCUGUACGUACAUAGCCUGCUUAACGUUAUUAUUCCAAAUUUGACUACGUAGUCAGUAGAUUUUAUAAUAAUUAUUUGAGAUAACAUCUCUCUGCCCCUUUACAUAGAUUGAUGAACCAAUAUCAAAUCUUUGCUGUCAUAAAUAAACUGAAAUAAAAGAAAAUAAAAGAAAUUUUGAACUAAAAAAGGAGGCAUCAAAUAUAAAAGUUCGUGUGGGGAUUAUUAUUCAAGUCUUUUUAUUUCUUACUUAAUUUACGUUACAAAGUAUGCACCUAUUUAAAUUUCCCAUGUGGGACCUUUGUAAAUUAACACGUAUAUAUCGUAGGCUACAAGCUUAAGAGAAAGGGUAUAUUUUCAAUGUGGAACAUAAGUAUUCACAACACUCCCUAUUGAAUUCAUCACUUCGAUUACAUUAUACUAUGCUUGCCCAUUAAGUAAUCCUUACACGCCAUUGCUAUUUUUUUUUCUAGAAAAAUAUCUUCAAGAGAUCCAAUGGAUCUAAAUUAUUAAUGACGUAAGACUAGACAAAUUCUUAUAAAAUGAAAAAUAAUGAUUUGACACAAUCAUGCUCUAUAAACCCUAAUUGCAUUGAAGGUAUAACUAAAACAAGUUAAUGGAUUGAUGAAAAAGUAAGGAUAUUUUUGAUAAUCUAUUUAUUCUAAGAAUACUGAGAAACGUGAAAUUAAAAUUUAUUAUAAAUCAAUUCAGUUUCAAAGGUUACAAAAGAUGUGUAUUUAUCCUUUUAAACUAAAGACUCUGAUACGAAAUCCCACAAUGAAACUUUGAAACUCACACUUAAAUUGUAGUUUUAACUUCCCAAGAAAGUUCUAAACAGAUUUAUGACAAACAAAACAUUGACGCAAUGCUUAAGAAAAGCAUGAACCAAAGGUAUAAAAAAUGAUAUUGACGCCACACUCAAGAAAUAGAUGAGAAGGUGAGUGAUAAGUCUAAAUUUGGAACGCCACAAGAAUGCAAAUUCUUGAUAAGUUCACUAGUUCUCAAAAGAACCAAAUAAAGAAUAAUCUUUCAAAUUCAAAUAACAUUAAUCUCUUAAUUGUCAUACAUAGCAAGGUUGCUAAGUUUAAAUAGGCUAAAAGAAACCUAAGAUCCUAAAAAUACAAAUAGAAACAUUGGAACAACCCUCCAAGUAUAGGUUUGUCAAAGGGUGCUUUAAAAGCCUUCACCAACCCACCAUUAUUAAUGUUAGCAUUGACAAACAUAAUGCUAGCCCACCAUCAUCAAUGGUAGACUUACCUAACACAAUGAUAAACUCAACACAAAACAAAUAAAUGAAGUUCAAUAAUCAAAGGAGUCGUUUGAAUUCCCAAGCCUAAACAAGCUGUAAUAAAUGAAUCAUAACUCCUUCUAGAGAAUUCCAAAUCUAGCUCUGUAAAAUGUAUUGGAAAGCUAACUUAAUUAUCUUUCCAACGGUAUAUAGCUUGCACAUUAAUUCUGGCUCAAUCAAUACCAGAUUUAUUCUGAAUUUUCCCUUUCUGCAUUUGAUACAAAUUGUGUAUUUGGAGUGCCCACAAUGCCUUGUCUUCUCUCCAAGCCCAAUUCAUGAUGUCUUACAUCUUUUUGGCUCUAGCUCUUGUAAUUGGGCCUCCAUGAAUGUGCAAAGGAUCACUUGAAGCUUUAAUAGUAUUCUCUUGAUGGUUCUCAUCAUUCCCCCUGUCUUCAAAAGGAUUCGUUCUCGAAUCUUCACCUACAUCGAAAGGAGAAGAUCAGAAACAUUAAAAGUAGCACUUACAUUAUACUCACCAGAAAGAUCCAAUUUGUAGGCAUUAUCAUUGAUCCGUGCAACCACUUGAAAUGGACCAUCUCCCCUUGGAAGCAACUUGGAACGCCUUUGUGCUGGGAACCUCUCCUUUCUCAUAUGCACCCACACCCAAUCUCUAGGCUGAAAAACCACUUGCUUACGUCCUUUGUUGGCUUGAGUAGCAUAUUGUUCAAUUCUCUUUUCUAUGUGUUGUCGCGUUCUCUCAUGCAAUUGCUUGACAAAUUCAGCUUUCUCUUUACCAUCCAUACUAGCAUGCUCAUCAAUAGGUAAAGGUAAUAAAUCCAAAGGAGUUAAUGGAUUAAAACCAAAUACAAUCUCAAAUGGUGAAAAUUUAGUAGCUGAAUGGACAGUUCUAUUGUAAGCAAAUUCAACAUGUGGCAAACAUUCUUCCCAAGUUUUCAAGUUCUUUUGAAUAAUGAUAAGCAAUAAAGUAGAUAGAGUUCUAUUUAUAACCUCAGUUUGUCCAUCAGUUUGUGGAUGACAAGUAGUAGAAAACAAAAGUUUAGUACCCAACUUACCCCCACAAAGUUUUCCAAAAGUGGCUCAAGAACUUAGCAUCUCUAUCUGAAACUAUGCUCCUUGGUACUCCAUGCAAUCUGACUAUUUCCUUGAAAAAUAAAUUAGCUAUAUUUGUUGCAUCAUCAGUUUUGUGACAUGGAAUGAAAUGUGCCAUCUUUGAAAACCUAUCAACAACAACAAAAACAGAAUCCUUUCCCCUUUUUGACCUAGGUAAACCCAAAACAAAGUCAAUAGAAAUAUCAACCCAAGGUUCACUAGGUAUGGGUAGAGGGUUAUACAAUCUAUGGGGUAAAACUCUAGACUUAGCAUGUUUACAAGUGAUACACUUCUCACAUAUUCUUUCAACAUCACAUUUCAUAUGUGGCCAAAAGAAGUGAGCUUCACGCACAAGCAAUUCACGCAAAGAACUAUUAGGCACACACAAUUUAUUUUCUCUAAAUAAGAACCCAUCAUGCCUAUAGAACUUACCGAAUGAAACUUUCUCACAAGCAUUAAACACAUUAGUAAAAUCAGGAUCAUUAACAUAUAAUUCUUUAAUGUACUCAAAUCCUAACAACUUUGCAUUUAAUGUAGAGAUAAAUGCAUAUCUUCUAGACAAUGCAUCAGCCAGCACAUUCUCCUUACAUUGUUUGUAUUGAUCACAUAGGGAAAUGGCUCAAUAAAUUCAACCCAUUUGGCAUGUCUCUUAUGCAAUUUACAUUGCCCUUUCAAAUGCUUCAAGGACUCGUGAUCAGUGUGUAUAACAAACUCUUUAGGUAGAAGAUAGUGUUGCCAAGUUUCUAAUGCUCUCACCAAUGCAUACAUCUCCUUGUCAUAUGUAGGAUAGUUUAGGGCCGCUCCACUCAAUUUCUCACUAAAAUAAGCAAUUGGAUGCCCUUCUUGCAUCAAAACAGCUCCAAUACCUAUACCUGAAGCAUCACACUCAAUUUCAAAAGUUUUAGCAAAAUCGGGUAAAGCGAGUAAUGGUGCAGAAACCAAUUUCUCCUUAAUUAGAUUAAAUGCCCUUUCUUGUUCACUACCCCACUUAAAUCCCACAUGUUUCUUCACAAAUUCAGUCAAUGGUGUAGCAAAGGUGCUAAAAUCUUUCACAAAUCUUCUAUAAAAACUAGUCAAACCAUGAAAACUUCUUACCUCACUUACACUUUUAGGUGUAGGCCACUCUUUAAUAGCCUUUACCUUCUCUUCAUCAACCUCAAUUCCUUUAGCACUUACACAUAACCAAGAAAAACAAUCUAAUUUGUACAAAAGGAACACUUCUUCAAAUUAGCAUAUAACUUUUCCUUCCUUAAAACAGUCAAUACACUUUGCAAAUGUUCAAUUUGUUCAUCUAAGCCUUUGUUAUAGAUCAAAAUAUCAUCAAAAUAGACAACUACGAAUUUACCAAUAAAAGCACGUAAAACAUGGUUUAUUAACCUCAUAAAAGUGCUAGGUGCAUUAGAUAACCCAAAUGGCAUCACUAACCACUCAUAUAAACCAUAUUUUGUUUUAAAGGCAGUUUUCCACUCAUCUCCCUCUCUAAUCCUAAUUUGAUGAUAUCCACUUUUAAGAUCAAUUUUACUAAACACACAAGAACCAUGCAAUUCAUCAAGCAUGUCAUCAAGUCUAGGAAUAGGAUGUCGAUACUUUACAGUGAUUUUAUUAAUUGCACGACAAUCAACGCACAUCCUCCAUGUGCCAUCCUUUUUGGGCACUAGUAAAACUUGUACCGCACAUGGACUCAUGCUCUCCCUCACAUAUCCCUUUGCCAAGAGUUCUUCAACUUGCCUUUGAAGCUCCUUUGUCUCCUCGGGGUUACUUCUAUAUGCAGGUAUAUUAGGAAUGGUAGCUUUAGGCACUAAGUCUAUUUGAUGCUCAAUUCCCCUAAUAGGUGGCAAACCAUUAGGGACUUCAUUUGGAAACACAUCAUCAAAGUCCUGCAAAAGAGUCACAAUAGCACUAGGCAAAAAAAAGUUAAGCUCAUUAGUAUGUAAACAAGCCUCUUUGCACAAAAGUACAAUGAUAGGUUGUUUUGAAAAGAAAGCCCUCUUAACCUCGCUCUCUUUUGCAAACAAGUUCACUUGCUGCCUCUCUUUUCUCUUCUAUCUUUUCACUUGUUUUUCUCUCAAUCUCUCUUUCUUUUGUACUCUCAUUUUCUUUUUUUGUAUCACUCUCUUUUUGUAUUGAUAUUUGAUUCUCAUACACUUGCCUACAUGCAUGGGUACUACAUCACAUAGAACUUCAUCCUUGUAUCUCCCAAUAGAGAAUGAAACCAGCACUUGUUUAUUUACUUUAACUUCCCCACAAUCAUUCAGCCAUUGUAGCUUAUAUGGCCUAGGAUGUUUCAAAGUUUUCAAAUUCAAUUUUGCAACUAAACUAGUGCUAGCCACAUUAGUACAACUUCCACAAUCAAUUAUCAUACUACAUACCUUAUCUUUGAUGUGGCAUCUAGUAUGAAAGAUGUUAUCAUGUUGUACCUCUGCAUCUUCUUUUACUUGCACGUUGAGAGCACCCCUAACAACCAUCAAUUUACCAUCAAUAGGAUACUCUACACCAUCAUUAGCAUCCUCCACAUGUGGCAUAGGAUCAUCAUAUGAUUCACUCUCGGUUUCAACAUCUCCAUCAUCCCUCAAGAUUAUUAGUCUCUUAUUUGGGCAUUGAGAUGCAAUAUGACCUGUCUCCAAACAUUUAAAACACUUAAUAUCUCUAUUUCUAGAGUGUUGGGAAUCAGAUUUACCUUUGCUUUGGUUGCCUCCCUCUUUAUGAUCCUUGAAUGGCUCAAUCUUAGGCUUUGAAAUAUGAACCCAAAUUGGUUCUAGUGGAACCAUUCUUUUUCAGUUGUCGUUCCACUUUCAUGGCCAUCUGAACUAUGUCUUCCAACUCAACAUAGUGCUGCAAGUCAACCACAUUAGCAAUAGCUUGAUUUAAACCAUGUAAAAAUCUCGCCAUAGUGGCCUCUCGUUCUUCUUCAAUGUUGGCUCAAAUUAUGAUUAUUUCCAUCUCCUUGUGGUAAUCUUCCACACUUCUGGAACCUUGUGUAAGACUUUGUAGCCUUUGGUGCAGCUCCCUAUAAUAAUGACUAGGAACAAAUCUCCUCCUCAUGAUGGCCUUCAUAUCCUCCCAAGUGCUUAUAGGCCUUUCACGAUUUUUUCUCCUACUCAAAACAAGUUGAUCCCACCAAAUAAUAGCAUAAUCAGUAAAUUCAACAGCAGAUAGUUUGACCUUUUUCUCCUCAAAGUAGUUGUGGCAAUCAAAUACUAGCUCCACCUUUUUUUCCCAUUCCAAAUAAACUUCCGGAUAAUUUUUACCUUGAAAAGAAUGAAUUUUUAGUUUGAUACUCCCCAAAUCAUGAUCUAUAUGUUUUGCCCUUCUAUCAUCUCUUCCAUGCAUGUCAACAGUGGCCUGGUCAUCAAAAUUAUCUAAGUCAUCACCAUCUUCUUCUCCCAUGGUAGCACGCCCUUGAUUACCUCUUACAUUAGGAGCUAUUGGUUGUUGCCCCCUUUAUAGAUUGGCUAUGACAAUGUCUUGCCUCUCCAAACAUCAGAUUCAUGCGCUCAAAUUGUUGUUGCAUGGCCAUGAGCAUAAUUGAUUGGUCUGUAGCUUCUUGAUCUUUUGACAUAUUUGUGAUAUGAAAAGAAUGUUAGCUAAAAGACCUCACAACACUCCCUCACGUGUUUCACUCAAUUUGAUGUCACUUAACUCUCGUAUUUAACACACAAAUUGGCUUUUUCCCUCUAACGAUCUCAUAAACUUUUGCCUUUUACCACACUUAAUUCUCUCUUUCAGUUCUUUAUUGAACUAAAUAAACACAAUCAAGAAAAAAAACCGAAGUGGCACACCAAAUAUGACAAUCCAACACACUAACAAAAAAAAGAAAUUAAGAGAACACAAAGAAUGAAAAGGAAAUUAAAGAAAGGAAAGCAAGCAAGCGAAGCAACACAAUUGAUAUUGUGUGUAAACAAUGUCAAGGAAAAUGAAUAAUUAAAAUUCAAUUUGAUGAAAGUAGAAAUACUUGAAUCCUUUUGUAAUUUUUUUUGUACGUUUUUUUUCUCUCUUUUUUUGAUAAUCAAAAUAAAUAAGACAUUCAAACCUGAUUAGAAACUAGCUUUGAUACCAAAUGAUACGAAAUCCUACAAUGAAACUUUGAAACUCACACUUAAAUUGUAGUUUCAACUUCCCAAGAAAGUUCUAAACAGAUUUAUGACAAACAAAACCUUGACCCAAUGCUUAAGAAAAGCAUGAACCAAAGGUAUAGAGAAUGAUAUUGACGCCACACUCAAGAAAUAGAUGUGAAGGUGAGUGAUAAGUCUAAAUUUAGAACGCCACAAGAAUGCAAAUUCUUGAUAAGUUCACUAGUUCUCAAAAGAACCAAAGAAAGAAUAAUCUUUCAAAUUCAAAUAACAUUGAUCUCUUAAUUGUCAUACAUAGCAAGGUUGUUUAAAUAGGCUAAAAGAAACCUAAGAUCCUAAAAAUACAAAUGGAAACAUUGGAACAACCCUCCAAGUAUAGGUUUGUUAAAGGGUGCUUUAAAAGCCUUCACUAACCCACCAUUAUUAAUGUUUGCAUUGACAAACAUAAUGCUAGCCCACCAUCAUCAAUGGUAGACUUACCUAACACAUUGAUAAACUUGACACAAAACAAAUAAGUGAAGUUGAAUAAUCAAAGGAGUCGUUUGAAUUCCCAAGCCUAAACAAGCUGUAAUAAAUUGAUCAUAACUCAUUCUAGAGAACUCCAAAUCCAGCUCAAUCAAUACCAGAUUUAUUCCGAAUUUGCCCUUUCUACAUUUGAUCCAAAUUGUUUAUUUGGCUGCCCAAUAGCUUGAAUAAUGCCCACAGUGCCUUGUCUUCUCUCCAAGCCCAAUUCAUGAUGUCUUGCAUCUUUUUAGCUCUAGCUCUUGUAAUUGGGCCUCCAUGAAUGUGCAAAGGAUCACUUGAAGUUUUAAUGGUAUUCCCUUGAUGGUUCUCAUCACACUCUAGCCUAAACUAAAAUUCAAUCUACAUAAAAACACUUAAACGAAAAAAUUAUAAAUAUGUAUAAAAUCUAAAUUAAAAUACAUAUUUAAGAAGAAAUUCUUAAACUAUUAUGCCCAUGACUAGUGGGGGCUCAAAUCCCUCUCGGAGAAAAUAAUUUUGAAAAAGAUUAAAGAGAAAAUUACAUGAGUUAUUAAUUAGCCCUAAGCUGCAUAAACUCAUAAACUCAAAAAUUUUAAUUUUAAUUUUGAGUAGAAUUUAGUUCCUAUAUUUUAACAUUAGUGUUUGUUUAAUCCCUAUGCUCUGAAAAAAUACCUUAAAAAACCCUCGACAUCACUUCUGCUACCAUUAAUUCUAGAUUUUUAAGGGCAAAAUUAUAUUUUUGUUAUUAUUUAAGUUAAUUAAAAAUUAAAAAAAAUAAAAGCCCAUGGUAACCUGUACGGGUGAUUUUACUAUUAUUUAAUUUAACCCACAUUAAAUCUAUUAAAAUAGUCUCUAUAAACUUUUUAAUUCAUAAAAUUUUUGUUUUCACAUCUUAUCAUUAUAUAAUUUAACCAUCUAUAAAUUAUUUUUUGCAUCCGCCGUUGUAAAUGUGACAUGGGAUCUUUGGACUUCUUGUUUUGCAUCCAUUUCCCACCAAACGUGAAGCAUGUAUGGCCUCAAAGUUUUCUUAACGCCUGAUAGGCUUGGCAAAAUCAGGGUCCGGUCCGGGUUUUGGUGUUGCCCAGGACCGGACCAGAUGAGUGAAACUCAAGACAGGACCCGAGUUAAAACCCGAUUUUUCCGGGUGCGGUCCGAGCUCAAGCCCGCACCCCCGGGCCCGGGUUUUUGAUUCGGGUUUCCAAGCCCGCGUGUGAUAAAUUCAAUUUUUUUCUUCAACUUUUUCUUUCAUUUCUCUAACAAUGUAAAUUUUAAAAAAAGAAAAUAGUCAAAUAAACUCAUUCAAUCUCAAGCUUUAAAAAAGAAAAUAGUCAAAUACAAAUAUAUAAGAUACUAACAAUGCAAAUUUUACACAAAUAAUAAAUAAAAAAAAUUUUCAAUCUACUUUCUAAUACCUAAAUUCAUCCAAUUUCUAACCUAAACUCAUUCAAUCUAUAUAAAAAAUUAAAUUAAAUUCAAUAACACAAUAAUCACACAAUAAAUCUAAAUAACAUCCAACAUAUCAUAAAUUCAUAAUUAUAUAUUUAUAUAUAAUAUAUAAUAUAUAAUAUAUUUAUAUUUUCUUUUUUUAAUUUAUUAAGAAACCGGGUCCGGGUUUCGGGUUUUUGGUGUUGAGCCCGGACCCGGGCCCGGAAAUGUCCGGAUUUGAGAAUUUCAAACUCGGAUCCGGUUUUUUGUGUAUGCGGUCUGGGUUUUGUCCGGACCGGAUUGCCCGGUUCCGGUCCGGGCAGGCUUUUUUAACACCCCUAACGCCUGAGGUAUCGACUAUAUAGAUGGUUACAAAGGGCAAUUAAGGUUUUAUGAGAGGUUAUUGAUCGUCUUGACAUGUAAAAACACUGGUUCAGGGUCCUUUUUAUAUGCUAAACUGAUUGAACCCAAAUUUAGCAUUUCAAUGAGCAUAGAAUCUUUCAAAGUACCUUAUUUUUAGUUCUUACGAUGAUCAAGGCUUAUCACAAAUUUCCAUAUCAUGAGAACUCAUGGUAUCGUAUCCCAUGUUUCCAAAAGAAAUGAGAUUCAUGGUUGAUCAGUAGGCAGCUUCUAGAUGUCUUUUAAUCACCAAGACAUCCACAUUUUUUCACUAAGAGUGCGUUUAACAUACUAUAUUACAUUAUCUUGUAUUAACUAUAUUAUAUUAGGCUGUAUUUCAUUGUAAUGUAAUACAAUGUUGGUUUUACUAUAGACUAUAUUAUAUAGCAUACUAUUUUGUAAAAUUAUUUUUAUUAAUAUUAAAAUAAAUUACCUUAUUAAGUUUUCAAAUUAAUUAUUAUAAUUAUUUUUUAUAUACUAAUUUUUAUAAAAUGAAAAUAAUUUAAUAAUAUAAUAUAAUCAAAUAAUAUAAUAUUAUAAAUAUAAAUAAUAUAAUAUAAUACAAUAUAAUAUUAAGUUUUCAAUUUAAUUAUAAAUUAAUUUUUAUUUCUUAAUGUCAAAUAUAAUUAUUUAAUUUUAAUUUAUUUUUAAAUUUAUUAUUUUAGUAAAUAAUAAAUGAUUAAUAAUUGAAAUACUUUUUACAUAUUUAAAGUAAAAUAUCUAAAAUAAAUUUAUGUAAUAAAAGUAAAAUAAUUAUUAUUUUUAUUAUUCAAAACUCAAAUUUUAUUUAAUAUAAAUAUAAAUUAAUAUUUAGUAAAUUUAAAUGUAUUAUAGAUUAUUGAGUAAUAAAAAUAAAAUAAUUAAUUUAAAAUAUGAACAAUAUUUUAAUGUAACACAACCUGAGUCGUACUCUCCCAUGGGAUUAUUUUAUGCACCUUUCACUGAUUUAGCCAUCUUUUUGAUAUAGUGCAAUGUAUAAUAAUAAUAUUUUAAUGUAAUAUAUACAGUGUAAUAUGAGCUACCAUAUGCACCUAAUGAACUAAAGAUAAGGUUUUGAUGUAGACAAGUGAUUUGGAUUUCUAGAAGAGAAUAUCAUUACAUAAUUUCCUGCUUAGGUUUAGAUAUGGGCUUUUAAGGCCUUGUAAGUUAAUCCCAAAAGUAGAUGCAAUCUCUUAUGGGCAUAUGUGCCCUAGUAAAUGGGCUUAGUCAAGGGUUGUAUUGCAAUUUUCACCUCAAAGGCAUUCAUCCAUAUGUCACAACACAUCUUACAAAUAAUUGACGAGAAUUAGGGUUGGCAAAAAAGCUCGGCUUGAAUUGGCUCGGCUGAGGCUCGCAGGAUAAAAUUAUGGAUAAGGGCUCACAUAAUGCAAAGCUCAUAUAUAAUGGACUAGUUAAAGGCCUUUAAGAAAAGCGGCUUUAUAAUAUAUUUGUGUGUGUGUGUAUUUUAAGAAAAAAACUUUAUAAUAUAUAAAAAAAUUUAAAUUGAAAAAAAUAAAACAGCUGAAACCGGAAACCUAAAUUGCCUCCCCUCACUCCUCAACCGCUCUUGUUGCUUUUUACCUCUCUCACAUGAAUCACGCCGGCAGCCAACAGCUACACGUUCAUUACCUCAUACCCAACCAACAAUUAGAGCCACCAUCGUUCAGUGAUCGACGUAGCCACCCGAGGCCAGCAUGUGACGCAGUAAUGACCUAGCAGCACCAGCUGCAUGAUGUAGUAGUGACCCAGCAGCUCCACUCACGUGAUGCAACAACGACCUAGCAGCACUACCUGCACAACGCAGCAAUAAGUACUUAAACCUGUGCAACACAGCAAUAGCGAACCUAGCACCAACGUGAUCCGAACUAACAAACCUUCACCAACUCCACCUUAAGUAAGCUUUAAAUUUUUUUAUUGUACAAAUUUUGAGAAAUUAUUGUAGAAUUUCAAAUAUAUGUCGAAUUAUUAUAGAAAUUCUAUAUUAUGAGUUUAUGGGUUAGCAAAUGUUGUGUAUUGUUAGAAAAAAUAUUAUAAAAAUGAAAUUAUGUUGCAGAAAAAUAUUGUGUAUUUGUUAGAAAAAUAUAAUGAGAUUAUGGUGUAAAAUUGAUCUGUAUUGUUAGAAAAAUAUUAUGAGAUUUUGGUGUAGAAAUGUUUUGUAUUGCUAGGAAAAUAUUAUAAGAUUAUGGUCUAAAAAAUGUUCUGCAUUGUUAGAAAUUCUUCUGUAUUGUAGAACUUUUUUAUAUGCUAUUAGAGUUUAGAACAAGCUGACAGGUUUGGUGGCAUAAUUACAUUAAUUUAAUAUCUUAUCUUGUUUAAUUUUAUAUAGGAUUAUAGUGGAAAAUGCUUUUGAAUCUCUUAAUUUGCCUUCGAAUCUAUUUGCAGAGUUAAAAAAUGUUCAAGGAGAAACACGGAGUGACAGAAAAAGAAAACAGAGGGCUGUCUCUAAUUGUUGGGACCAUUUGACAAAGAUAAACAUCAGUGGGGUAGCGAAGGCAAAAUGCAAUCGUUGUGUAGAUGAAAAGAGUUGUGUUUGUCCAACCAAAAAGAAAAAACAUUUCCAGAAACACUUCCAUAGAAAAUCAUCCUCCAAAAAAUCUCUCCGAUAUUUCAGGAAAAAGGAUGCUUCCCAGUACAGAAAGAAAAAGCACAACCGUUGUUUCAUCUGCAAGAAACGCGGUCACUUUGCUCGAAACUGUCCUCACAAGUCUGCCAAAGCUGUUCGUCUCAUACAUCAUCUCCAACAUUCUUCGCUGUUAUUUGAGAAUGAAGAUGUCGAAUCAAAUUUUUGAGAACAAUCAGAACAAGAUGAUCAGAUUGCCUUCAUUAUUCUAGAAUCUUCUAAUUCUGAUGAUAUUUCAGUCAUUUCUACAGUUCAAACUGUCAACCAUGUUUCAACCAUUCCUAGACCUUCUCUAAAAAUGUCCAUCCUUCCUUCAAAAUUUCAUAAACCUGUUCCUGUCAUCGGAUUUAUUGACACUAAUGCAGAUACCAAUAUGAUUGAUCCAUCUGUCCUUCCCUCUGAUUGUUGGGAAAAACACUUGAAACUCUUCCGAGCAGUUAAUGGAGAAACUUUUGAAACCACUUUGAUUACCAAAAAAACCCAUUGGUAUUCAAUUCUUUCCGAAUUGCAUAAUUUGGAAAAAUAUUGUAGCAUCCAAACUCCUAGAUAAAGAAUUACUUAUAGGUUUUGACAUUCUUCAUUUGGUUAAAAACAUAUUCCUCACCAGUUCUGGAGUUCGCUACAAGCAAAUGUUCUUGCCUUAUACAGAUACAUUACAUCUGUAUACACUUUCAGAAACACCAUCUCCAUACAGUCAUAUUUUACAGAAGUUCUUAGAAUUUUGUCUAGAAAACCAUUCCCAGUUCCACCAUCCUUCACCUCUUUGGAAAAAUGCACAAUUCUUCAUUCACCUUCCUUUCAAACUCAACGAAGACAUAAACCCCACCAAAGCAUCACACCCGGGUAUGUCUCCUUCCGACCUCUUACUUGCUAAGCAAGAAUGUUCUCAGUUGCUUCAGCAAGGUCUUAUUGAACCUACUGAUUCAGAUUGGGCUUGUCAAGCCUUCUAUGUUGAAAAACAAUUUGAAUUAGUUCGUGGUAAAAAGAGGUUAGUUAUUGAUUACCAGCCACUUAAUUCUUUCUUUAAAGAUGAUAAGUCUCCCCUUCCAAAAAUCCAAACCUUGUUUGUCCAUCUUCAAGGGGCUCGUAUCUUCUCUAAGUUUGAUUUAAAAGCUGGUUUUUGGCAACUUGAUAUUUCACCCGUUGACCGUCACAAAACUGCCUUCUGCAUCCCUGAUGCCCAUUAUCAGUGGACUGUGCUCCUUCAUUAUUUCAAAAAGCCAUGACAAAAAUCUUUAGUCCUAUCCGUUAUCAUGCUUUGGUAUACAUUAAUGAUAUCUUAUUAUUUUCCUCUGACCAUGAGAGCCACCAGAAGCUCCUUUUGGAUUUCUUUCAUGUUGUGCAGGAACACGGAAUCAUGCUUUCUAAAAAGAAAAGCAGCAUAGCAAAAGAAUCAAUUGACUUUCUUGGCAUGGUGAUUAAAGAUGGCCAUUAUCAACCUGGUCCACACAUUGCAACUGAAUUAUUAAAGCUUCCGGACCCACAUCUCAACAAAAAGUAGAUCCAACAAUUCCUCGGGAUUGUUAAUUAUGUCCGUGAUUUCAUCCCUAAAGUUGCAAUCCACACAAGCCAGUUGUCCCGCAUGCUCCGAAAACAAUGCCCUCCAUAGAGACCAGAACAGACAGAAGCUGUCCAACAACUAAAGGUGAUAGCCCAGUCACCUCCUCCUCUCCGAAUUCCCACAACUGGACAACGCAUUCUACAGACCGAUGCUAAUGAUGAUUACUGGAGUGCCAUCAUUCUUGCAGAGAUAAAUGGUGUACGUCACUUCUGUGCACAUGCAAGCAGAUAAUUCAAAGACUCUGAAAAGAAUUACUAUGUGAUCUACAAAGAGAUUUUGGCGGUCAAGUAUGGAAUCAAAAAAUUUAAAUUUCAUCUAAUCAGCCAUAAAUUCCUUAUCAACAUGGACAACUCCUCUUUUCCUAGAAUCUUUGAUUUUAAAAAUAAGCUACUCCCUGACAAACAGCUGCUUAGCCUAAAAAAUAUGUGUACUUUUCACGGAUUAGACAAGAUGCCAGAACAAGAAGCAGACAUGUUCACUGUAGUCUUCAUCGUUCAUAGACCUUACUUUCAGCACCCAGAAACAAGAGACUUCUGGACACAAGAUAUGGCCUAUGAAUGAAAAACUUAUCCUCAUCCUUAUACCCUCAUCCAUGAUACCUCUGUUAUCUCUGUUCUCAAGUCAUACCUAAUGGAACUCAAUAAUGUUCAGCCACCUGCCACAAACAUCCACCACACCUCUGUUGGACCUUCACACACCUUGGAAAUUAUCCCAAAGACACAAACUUGUACUCCAAGUUCCAGUUCAAGUCCUCAAUGAAUCCUUGUCAUGGAACAACGUCCUGACUACACUAACGUUUUAUUCCAAGACGCUCAGGAUCCAUGGGAAGAUUUUCAGUCCUUUUUCCCUACUGAAAAUUCCCCUUACAUUGUCACCGACCCAGAUCCUCCUGCUCCAUCAGCCCAAAAAACGAUGACUAACGCUGAUGAAGAAGCUUAUCUACAAGCUGAAGCAUAUCUUGAUCAGAGACAGAUCCGUCGUGCCAAACACCAAUAUGAGAAAGAAACUGGCGAUGUGUCUCCAUCACACUACCCAUCCACUCCAUGAUUGCAGACACGCAUGGGAAUCUUUAGCUUUUGCUUUUUUAAAGUUUGUUUUAAUAAUUAGACAAGGGUCUUGUCUUGUCUAAAGUAUGUUCUAUGUUUUUCCUUUUUCUAGUUUAGCGUGGUGUGCUUUAAUAAUUAUGCUUUUGUAAAAGAUAAGGGACCCACCUUAUCUCUCCUUCCUUGAGAUCUCUAUCUAAGGAUCUCUCUAUCCCUUUAGAAGGCAGGAGUUAAUUGAAAAUAAAAAUCAGUUUUCUUCAUAUCAUGUUUCUCUAAACCUUUUUUUCUCUCUUCUACGAAUCAAAGAAAUUAUUUGGGUUAAUAAUGAUACGCUCACCUCUAAUUUUCUAAACUGAGUAUGCUCUAUACUUGCCUUAAGCCGAAGGAUCCUGUGCAUCAGAAAGGUCCUGUUUUAUCCUCCAAAAUCAAUUUUUAAAAUGAAAUUGUUUUCUCACAAUGUUCACCCUCUUUAAAGGCCAAGAGUGACGUGUUUUCGGGUGGUAUCGUGAAAAACUAUUUUAAAACAUGAUUUUCUAUUUUGGUAUUUGACGGAUAAGUGUAACAACGCCACGUACAACUACCGACUGGUAUCAGAGCCAAUUCCUAGCACAGAGGUGGUAUCGUUAGUAAUGUCAAAUAAUAUUUUUUGAUUUCCUAGAGGAAGAUUACCCAAAUAUGGAAACAUCUUCAUCUUGACUUUCAAUUCCUUCGUCGUCUUCAUCUCAUAUCUCUCUUUCCUCUACCCUCUCUCUUCCAAAAUCAUGUUCAAAACACAUAGCCUCCAAAAUUGAAAAUCUUGUUGAAUAUUCCUAUAUUCCUAAGUCUGCCCAAAUCAAUGAAUCUCAGUUCCCCAUCAUGAGUCCUUAUCAUCUAUACAAACAAAAACCUUCUUUCACCAGAAGUAUCUGCACCCUGAUCUCCACCAAAAGGCCACUCCCAAAAGAAUAUAUUCAGUCUUCUAGACUGGAUCAGUGUGCUUUACAAGCCUCUCAAAGUGAGCAGUAUGUCACUUUAAAAAUACCCCUUGAUCUCGUAGCAAACUGGAAACGAGAGGGGUAUACACAUCUCCAUCUUGGUGGUGUUAGAUUGAUUCUGACCCUCCAUGGAAGAAAAGGUUUACCCGUUACAGCCAAAAUUGCUCUCUUAGACACUAGGUUCAAACAGUACCAACAUGCUGUUGUAGGAACCGUCCUAACCACACUUCAUGCUGGUAGUGUCUUGUUAACCUUUUACCCAAAUUUCAAGCUCUCCCUUGAGGAUCCCAACCUUCUCACGACCCUUAAGGUCCAAAUCCAACUCCAAGGAGCAGAACAAACACCCACAUCAAAGAUAGCAACUCUUCAUCACCAAAUAGUGUAUCGAUUACAGAAUCAUGCACUCGAUCUUCCCACAUCACACACUACAUCCGAUGCCUUAAUGCUACUAGCAGACACAGACACAAUUCCAACCAUCAUCCAAAUUCCCAAACAAAUCCAGAAACAAGAAUUGCUCAAACUUAUGCCUCUUGAAUGGUUAACCAACUAUGAGCAUUUCCAUCAAAACUCUGAACCAGUUCAAACAAUAGAAGCCACGUUUGAAAGACGACAAAAUGGCCAAGUCAAACUAUCUUUUCAAACACCUAAAACCAAGCCUCUUUCAGACACUUCACAGCUUUCCUACACUGCUAGGAUAACAGCAGUUCAAACUGGUCAAGAAAAGAAACUUCCCAUUCAUGGUUUCUCAUCAGAAGGGUAUCUAGUAUAUCCUGACAAAAUCAAUGGUCAUUUUCUAUGGGAUGUUCCUGAAGCCUAUAUGUGCAAUCCAGAUUGUCCUUGCUUGGAUGAUACAGAUGUUGAUGACGAAUUAGAAGUUAUGAGGAGAAAGAAAAAGAAGAAAAAAAAAUCCUCUCAUCCAAUAACAUCUUGCAAAUCCUUUCCUCCACAACCUCCACUAGAUCUCAAACCUCCUGUCCAUCCAAUAAGAUCAUGCCUUAUGUUUUCAAGUCAAUCUUAUGAGGAAUCAUUUCCUCUGCUUGAAAAACAGAUAGACACACAAACUAGAGUUAUCUCAAAACCUUAUGUCCAAUCCCCAGUUACAGCCUCUAGGCAGCCUGAAGAACCAAAAUAGUAUGAAGUUGUUUUAAAUUGGCAAACCAAAAAUGCCAAUGCUCAGAAUCAAACUCUUCAACAACUCGGUAAGAAAAUUGAUUGAGUUGCCAGUCAAGUCUCUCAGACUGAAACCAAAUUUGAUUCAAUCAGCAAUUGUCUUGAUCAGAUAUACAUCCAUCCACAAGAUCGUAUCUCUGAGCUAGACACCGAUCUCAGACGAAUGAUCAACAACCACAUCUGGGGUCCAGAGUCUAAUAAAAAAGAAGUAGAGAUCAGAAAGCUCAAAGCUCAAUUGGCGCGAAUUGAUACUGAAAAGGCUCGUCCAUCACUUUUUACUCAAACACAAACCACACCAGUACCCCCUCCAAUGUUUGAAACUUAUGCACCUUUCUACACACCAUCUAGACCUCAACAACCUGUUUACAAUAAGUUCUUUGGAUUCUCACACCUUUAACCAACUCCUCAACCAAAGCCAUCUUCACCUAAAAAAUCAAAAUCCAAAGUCAAGAUCUCAGAACCAAAGUUAAAGGGCACUUCAUCUUCAUCUGUUCCUCCGGUACCACCAGAAAAUUCACCAAAAGCCACUCUUGAACCUCCCAAAAAAGACAAAGGCCCAAUGGAUCAGUAUCAUUAUCAUACUGUCCAAAACACAUCUUCUGACUCCUCUGAGCCCGAAAUAGUCUAUGAGUCAAACCCAUCAGAGUCCAACCCGUCAUCCUCUUCCUCAUCCACAAACUCAGUCAGAACCUCCACUGACUCUGAAUCCGAAUAUGCUGACAUUACAAUCAUAUUAAUGGCCACCAAAACUGAAGGUCCAAGCACUUCAACUGCCACACCUAUUGUUGAAGACAGUUCUUCUGAUGCUGAAAAUAAAGCAUCUCCAACAGAACCAGAGCCAUCAAUGCCUCCACCAGUUCCUGAUCACUCAACAAAACCAUUUUCAGCAUCUUGGUUUACAUUUGAUGACAUUCCCGGUAGUUGUACAUGACGUUGUUACACCAGAUCUAUGACAGAUCAAAGUCUGUCCUUAGGGCCAGUAGCCCAUAAGUUCUGGUUUCCAGCCGAUAUACACUUAUCCAUCAAGUACCAAAUUCAAAAAUCAUAUUGAAAAUAAUUUUUCAUGAUACCACCCAAAAACACGGCAUUCACGGCCUUAAAGAGGGUGAACGUUGUGAGAAAACAAUUUCGUUUUACAAAAAUCGAUUUUGGAGGAUAAAAACAGGACCUUUCUGCUGCACAGGAUCCUUAGGCUUAAGGCAAGUGCAGAGCAUACUCAGUAUUGAAAUUAGAGGUGAACGUAUCCUUGUUAUUCCAAAUAAUUUUCUUAACUCCUAGAAGAUAGAAAGAGUUUAGAGAAACAUGAUAUAAGAAAACUGGAUUUUAUUUCUAAUUAACUUCUGCCUUACAAAAGGGAAGAGAGAUCCUUAUAUAGAGAUCUCGAGGAGGAAAGAGAUAAGGUGGGACCCUUAUCUUUUACCAAAGAGAAACAUAAUUAUGAAAGCAUUAAAGCACUAAAGCACACCAAGCCAAACUAGAAAAGCAAAAGCAAACUUUAGACAAGACAAGACCCUUGUCUAAUUAUUAAAGCAAACUUUAAUAAAGGAAAAGCUAAAGAUUCCCAUGCGUGUUGGCAAUCAUGGAGUGGAUGGGUAAUGUGAUGGAGACACAUCGCCAAUUUCUUUUUCAUAUUGGCGCUUGGCACGACGGAUAUGUCUCUGAUCAAGAUAAGCUUCAGUUUGCAGAUAUUUGUCUUCAUCUGCGUCGGUCAUUUUGGAUGUGGAAAGACUAGGGGAGUCUGGAUUGGUGACAGUGUAUGGGGUAUUUUCAGUGGGAAUGAGAGACUGAAAAUCUUCCCAAGGAUCCUGAGCAUCUUGGAAUAAGACAUUAGUGUAAUCAGGACGUUGUUCCAUGACAAGGAUUCCAUGUGGACUUGAACUCAAACCUGGAGUACAUGUCUGUGUCUUUGGAACUAUUUCCAAGCUAUGUGACGGUCCGACAGAGGUGUGGUGUAUGUUUGUGGUAGGUGGUUGAACAUUGUUGAGCUCCAUGAGAUAAGCUCGAAGAAUAGAUCUGACUGAUGUAUCAUAGAUGAGAGGAUAAGGAUGGGGAUAAGUUUUCCAUUCAUAAGCCACGUCUUGAGUCCAAAAGUCUUUGGUUUCUGGGUGUUGGAAAUAUGGCCGGUGAACAAUGAAAAUUGUUGUGAACAUGUUUGCUUCGUGUUCUGGCAUCCUAUUUAAUCUGUGAAAAGUACACAGAUUCUGGAGCUAUUUACGCCAUAGAAGGUCAAAGGAAAACUCAGGAGUGGCGAUGUGGCGGAGGACUAGUUUAACAGGGAAGACUAGCUUUGUAGCAUACAAGGUUGUGAGACACCACAUAUACUAUAACUCGUCUUCUGAGAUGGACAGGUGAGACAGGGUGAGACCUGUGAGAAACAAAUUUUCCAUACAGAGAGUAGGAAAAUGAUUAGGAGUCUUACUGUGGACAUUGAAGAAAUACCGGUAAAGGAAUUUCUUAGCAAAGUCUUGGAUUUGGUAGGCUGAAGAAAAGGGAAUGUUCAUGGGAAAAUAUCUUUGGUUGAGAGCUUUGAAAGGAAGUUGUCGAUUCAUGGCUAUGACUGGGAUGAUAUGAGUUGAAGGGAGGAGUGAGGGUUUAUUUAUAGCCGGGUGUGUAAGGUGACAUACAAGUAUGCAACCCAAGAGGGGGGGUGAAUUGGGAUAUUAAAAAUUAUUCAAUUUUAAAACAAAACUCAAUGCAAAUCUAAGACGGAUUUAAAGCAAUAACAAAUAAAUCAAUCAAGCACAAUAAAAAGAUUAAGGGAAGAGAAAACAAACACAAUGAUUUUUACACGGUUCGGUAAUCCCCGCCUACGUCCACACCUCCAAGCUCACCGGGCUUGAGGAUUUCACUAAGCAAGCCUCCAAUGCUUCAAAUGCUUACAAUUGACUUCCAAAGUGUCAAUGGACCUUCACAACAAGAGAUUAUCCUCAAUCUCUUAACCCAAAUGUAUCCCAACACUUACAAUCUUUUAACUUGAUUUUAUAAAAAGGAUUACAAAUGAAUUUCUCUCACACAAUGUGUUUGAUCACAAAUGAAAGCUCAAUGUGUGAAUGAAUGAGAUGAAUACAAUGAUUUAAAGCUCAAUGAAAGUUGUAUUCUCAAUAUUUUGCUGAAUGAUGAUCGUUGGAACUCUUCUUGUUUGAAUUGGAUUGAGCUUAUUUAUAGUUGAAGCUGAAAAACUAGCCGUUAUAGACUGUCUGCUCGAAAACGGUUCGCUGUUAACCAUUAACGGUUAACCGUUUAGGCCGAUCAAAAUUACCAUUGGGCCAAUUUUCAAAUAAACGGUAUGCUGUUUAGGAUUACCCUUUCGCCGUUAAAUUCCAGAGACCUGCAAAACAAAUUUGGUUUAAUCGUUCUUACUAAACAGUUCAAGGUUAGCAAUCUGGAAAUAAUCGGUUAACUAUUUUCAAUAAACGGUUCACCGUUAUGUUCCAGAAUCAUCAUUUUAACAAUACUAUUCAGAACAUGCUUUCUGGAAAUUAUCGGCUAGCCAUUUUCAGUAAACGGUUAGCCGUUUGCUACAGUGAUUGCUAUAGUGAAAUUAUUUUCUAAAAUUAUAGUUUUGUCCCAAAACUUUCUAUAAUUAUACUAUGGCCCAAAUUGUCAUAAAACUUUACAAAUAAGUCCAUAUCUAGAGUUUCAAAACUUUUUCGAUUUAGACCAUUAAUUGAAAACAAAAAAUUUCAUAAAAUCAUUUUUCCAUUAAGUAUAAAACCUUUAUAUUAUGAAAAUAAUGAUUUAUUUAAAAUAAUUUGAGCUUUUAAAAACUUAAUCAUUCUUAAUCUUGUUUGUUAUCAUCAAAAUCAACAUUAUGGAUGCAUGUAUGCUAACAUAAGGAAGUCUGGGAUGAGGUUUUGUUUACCUUUGAUGUGUUGGACAAUAAAGUCAUAUUUGGAGAACCAAGUUUUGAGGUUGAGCAAUUGCUUGUCAGGAAGCAACUUGUUCUUGAAAUCAAAUAUUCUAGGAAAAGAGGAACUGUCCAUGUUGAUAAGGAAUUUGUGGCUGAUUAGAUGAAAUUCAAACUUUUUGAUUCCAUACUUUACCGCCAAAUCUGUUUGUAGAUCACAUGGUAGUUCUUUUCAGAGUCUUUGAAUUGUCCACUUGCAUAAGCACAGAAAUGAUCCAAACCGUCUAUCCUUUCGAGGAGAAUGGCACUCCAGUAACCAUCACUGGCAUCUGUCUACAAAAUGCGUUGUCCAGUUGUGGGAAUUCUGAGUGGAGGAGGUGAUUGAGCUAUCACUUUCAACUACUUGACAACUUCAGUUUGUGCUGGUCCCCAGGGAGGACACUGCUUUUUUAGCAUGCGGGACAACUGGCUGGUGUGGAUUGCAACUUUAGGAAUGAAUUCUCGAACAUAAUUAACAAUCCCGAGGAAUUGUUGUAUUUGCUUCUUGGUGAGAUUUGUGUCAGGGAACUUUAAUAAUUUAGUUCCUAUGUGUGGUCCAGGUUGGUAGUGGCCAUUUGUGAUCACCAUGCCAAGAAAGUCAAUAGAUUCUUUCGCUAUGCUGCUUUUCUUUUCAGAAAGCAUGAUUCCGUGAUCCUGCACAAUAUGAAAGAAAUCCAAAAGGAGUUUUUGAUGGUUAUCAUGAUCGGAUGAGAAUAAUAAAAUAUCAUCAAUAUAGACCAAAGCAUGAUGGAGGAUAGGACUGAAAAUUUUUGUCAUGGCCUUUUGAAAUAAUGAAGGAGCAACUUUAAGACCAAAGGGCAUAACAGUCCACUAAUAGUGAGCAUUAGGAAUGCAGAAAGCAGUUUUGGGACGGUCAACUGGUGAAAUACCAAGUUGCCAGAAACCAGCUUUUAAAUCGAACUUAGAGAAGAUACGUGCCCCCUUAAGAUGAACAAACAGGGUCUGUAUUUUUGGAAGGGGGAACUUAUCAUCUUUAAGGAAAGAGUUUAGUGGCUAGUAAUCAAUGGAUUUUUUUGGCAAUCAGAGUUGUUGCAAAUAUUUCACCAUUGACUGCUCUGAAUAAUUUGGAAUGGUUUUCCUAACAGUCGGAGGGAAGGACAGAAGGAUCAAUCAUACUGGUAUCUGCACCAGUAUCAAUAAACCCGAUGAUAGGGACAGGUUUAUAAAAUUUUGAAGGAAUGAUGGACAUUUUGAGAGAGGGUUUGGGAAUGGUUGAAACCUGGUUGACAUUUUGAACUGUAGAAAUGACUGAAAUGUCAUCAGAAUCGGAAGAUUCUGCGAGGAUGAAAGCAGUAUGAUCAUCAUGUUCUGACUGUUCUGAGAAGUUGGAUUCAACACCUUCGUUUUUAGAUAAUAAUGAAGAAUGUUGGAGAUGUUGGAUGAGACGAACAGCCUUGGUAGAUUUAUGAGGACAGUUGCGAGCAAAAUGACCGCGUUUCUUGUAGAUGAAACAACGGUUAUGCUUCUUUGUUCUGUACUGGGAAACAUCUUUUUUCUUGAAAUAUCGGAAAGGCUUUUUGGAGGAUGAUUUUUUGUGGAAGUGUUUCUGAAAGUGUUUUUUCUUCUUGGUUGGAGGGCGUUAGCAGAGGUAUAUGGGACUGUUCCCAUGUACAAUACUCACAGUCCGAUAUCCCCUCAGGUCUGCAGUACUCUAGAUCUCUACUACCGAGAGGAGAUCAGAAACCUUAAGCUUCAUGGCGAGGAGGAGGAGGCAGUAGACAUGCAGCAAAGGUACAACAGGUGUCUUUUGUUGGGUUGAGGAUGAUUUUAAUGUGUAGUCUGAAGAGAGAUGAUGGUUGCAUGGCUAGAUCAACCUGUAGGGGUUCUUGACUACCAGAACAGAGUCUUCUUGAUUGGAACUGUUGUCAUCACCGGUAGUGGUCUCAUCGUCCUCACUGUCUGAAAGAGUGUUUGUUUCUAAGGAGUAUACAGCUCCAAGCGGGCUAGCUGACCAGGUGUAGCUUUCGUCAUCGAAAUCGUCCUGUUGGAUUAUUUGAAGGAGUUUGGCUGGAAGCUUCUUCUUGGAUUUACAUUGUCUUAGCAUAGUGACCUUUCUUUCCACAGAUAAAACACCGUCCGGAUCCCUUCUUCUGUUUGCGUCUUUUGACGAAGCAAUAUUUCUUUCCUUUGUAGGGCUUCCAGGGCCAUUUUUCUUUUCUCCGUUUGCCAGUAUUACAGGCGCACAUCUUAUCAGCAUGUUAGCACCCAAAUUUAUUUGGUUCCUCAUUGCAAAAUUUUUGCAAAGAGGAUUUUUCGAGGUGCUUCAUGUGCUUCUUUAAAUCUUGUGAUCUGCAAUGACUCUGGAUUAAUUCCAUUGCCAUUUGAUAGAGUUGGGCUAUGUUGAGCUGUGAUAGAUUAGUAAUUGCAUCAGCUUUGAAUUUCGCCUCCAUUAUUUUUGCAACUGGUCCUGGCAUGUUUAGUACGAACAUUCUGUGAAUGGUAUCUGAUGACUUGUCAAAGGUAUAGUAUAACCUUUCUUGCUCCAAGUAGUAUUCUUCCAUUUUUCUAACAUCACAGCACUUGUUUUAGAGAAAUUACUUUUCUGCAACUUAUUCUUCUCUUGUGAAUUGUCCUAGAAAAUCCAAUGAUAGAUUCUCCAGAAGGCUUCCACAAGGGUCAUCCCUGUUGAGUAUGUGCUGUCUUUGUUCUCUCGUGAGUUUCCUUCCCCACCAUCGUCUUAACGAACCAAUGAAUCCUGCUACAAGCCUCAUAGCAACUGAUCUCCUGCUUAGCUGAGGGGCUCUUUGACAUUCGCCUUCGUACCAAGCCACCAUUUUUUCAAAAUAAGCCAAUCUUUCUUUAGGCUUCAUUCCGUCAACGUUCCAGAACAUCUUCCCUGUUGUUGAGUGCCCGAUUUGUACUAUGGUUUCCCAUUCUUCUCCUUGAGACACUUCAUCUAUAUGUGGUGCCUGUUCUGCUGGAUUAGAAGAUUCUAUUCCAGAUGCUACUGGUUGAGCAGUAAAUUCUGGGACAAUAAACUGCGUUGUUCUUGACGGAUUUUGGGUUGGUACUUGUCUGUUAGGAUCAGAAGUCUGACCUUGUUCUUGUGCUGAGGCGAUAAACAUUGCUGAGUAUCCACAUAAAAUGGAUUUGCAGGGUUGGUUCUGUGCAUGAGAAUCGGUAUAAGAGGGAAUUGGGUUUCUGAAGUAUCCUUUGAAGAGGUACUUAUCUCGUCAUCAGGAUCUCCUUCAUCGUCCCAUCCUGUAGCCUUUUGGGGCCAUGGAUACUGGGGAGAAGGAGCAUAACUUCUCCAAAAUGCUUUCUGACAAUUGCCAGAUGCAUUUUCUUCCCAGAUAUGCCACGGUUUUGUGGGUUUGCUUUUCCAGUGCCUGGACACCUUUUUCUUUGUAUAGCUUUCUCUUGUUCUUUCAAUUUCAUCCUCAUCUGCAACUCCUGUCAUAACCAUCAUGUUUACAGAUUGGGUAGCAUUAUCAUGUAGUUGUGAGAACUGUUGUGUAGUCAUCUUAUGAGCUUUCCUGGUCUUUUUCAGCUGUUUUCUGAUGGCAGCUAGGUCAGCAAGAAUCUGCUGUUAGGUGACCAUGAUGUCUCCUAGUGCCUGGUUUUGCUCUACAGUAUUGAUGUUUGACCAGUUGAGUGCCUUCUCGAUCGGGCCAAACUCAGUUGGGUUACUUUUCUGUAUUACCCAUUUGGCUGCAUAUAUACCUUCAGGAAUAUCCCCGACAAAUUCAUUAUCAAAGUCUGGGGUAAUGAUCAUGGUAACUAGUCCCAUGAUUCUGCAAGAAGUUGUCCCUCUUGGCAUAUGUGUGCACAAGAAGGGAUGCUUUCCUUCAAGCUAGCAUUUCUCACAUGGAUAGAGGGCUUUGGUCUCCGUUGGAAAAGAGACUGAUACCCUUCCUUCUUGUAAUCUGCAUGGAUAAGUGUAUACGGCUGGAAACCAGAACUUACGGGCUACUGGCCCUAAGGACAGACUUUGAUUUGUCAUAGAUCUAGUGUAACAACGCCACGUUGUCCACUUGCAUAAGCACAGAAAUAAUCCAAACUGUCUAUCCUUUCGAGGAGAAUGGCACUCCAGUAAUCAUCGCUGGCAUCUGUCUACAAAAUGCGUUGUCCAGUUGUGGGAAUUCUGAGUGGAGGAGGUGAUUGAGCUAUCACUUUCAACUGCUUGACAGCUUCAGUUUGUGCUGGUCCCCAAGGAGGACACUGCUUUUUGAGUAUGCGGGACAGCUGGCUGGUGUGGAUUGCAACUUUAGGAAUGAAAUCUCGAACAUAAUUAACAAUCUCGAGGAACUGUUGUAUUUGUUUCUUAGUGAGAUUUGUGUCAAGGAACUUUAAUAAUUCAAUUGCUAUGUGUGGUCUAGGUUGGUAGUGGCCAUUUGUGAUCACCAUGCCAAGAAAGUCAAUAGAUCAUUUCGCUAUGCUGCUUUUCUUUUCAGAAAGCAUGAUUCCGUGAUCCUGCACAAUAUGAAAGAAAUCCAAAAGGAGUUUUUGAUGGCUAUCAUGAUCGGAUGAGAACAAUAAAAUAUCAUCGAUGUAGACCAAAGCAUGAUGGAGGAUAGGACUGAAAAUUUUUGUCAUGGCCUUUUGAAAUAAUGAAGGAGCAACUUUAAGACCAAAGGGCAUAACAGUCCACUGAUAGUGAGCAUCAAGAAUGCAGAAAACAGUUUUGGGACGGUCAACUGGUGAAAUACCAAGUUGCCAGAAGCCAGCCUUUAAAUCGUCUGAUGUUAACAGUGCUUCUUGUUAACCUUUUACCCAAAUUUCAACCUCUCUCUUGAGGAUCCCAACUUGCCUACAACCAUUAAAGUCCAGAUCCAGCUCCAUGGAGCAGAACAGACACCCACAUCCAAGAUUGCAACCCUCCAUCACCAAAUAGUGUAUUGAUUACAGAAUCAUGCACUAGACCUACCUACACCCCAUACCACAUCAGAUGCUCUGAUGAUCCUUGAUGAUACCGAUACAAUUCCAACCAUCAUCUAGAUUCCCAAACAAAUCCAGAAACAAGAAUUGCCUUUUGUUCACAGAUUUUGUUAAGGCAUAACAUUGCUGUUUGGAAAAUCUUUCCAAGAGAAAUGUCAGCUAUGCUGAGAUUAGUGGCAGUGAGUUGUCUUUGAAGAUCAGGUUGAAGUUUUGAAGGAAGUGAAGCUAUGAAGACAUGCGUGAGCGACGGUUCAUUGAAACCAUUCAGCUUAUAAAAUAGAAUACUCUUUCUUUUGUAAUGAGUUUCUAAAAGAUGUCUUUUGAGAGAACAACAUUUCAUCUGGUGAUAUUCUUUUCGAUCUGCUUAUUUGGAAGCUGUGAGUUCACCUAUGAACUGUUCAUGGAUGAUGUUGAGGGCUGUGCCAAUUGGGGAUUGUAUGAAUUGGAUUUGAUGGUAUUCUCCCAAGCUUUCUAACCAAUCUCGUAAAGAACCCGUUGAACGGGCCAUAAAUUCACGAAGAACACUUUCCGGAUGUGCAUUUGGUUUAGUUCCUUGGAGAUCAAUCCAUGCAGCAAAUUCUUGAAGGCGAGCAAGCCAUUUGUGACGGGGAAUGUCAUCAAAUGUGAACCAAGAUGCUGAAGAUGGUUUGGUCGAGUGAUUAGGAACGGGUGGAGGCAUUGAUGGUUCUGGUUCUGUUGGAGCUGCUUGAUUUUCAGCAUUAGAAGAACUUUCUUCAACAAUAGGUGUAGCAGUUGAAGCAUUAGGAUCCUCAGUUUUAGUGGCCAUCAAUAUUCUUGUAAUAUCAGCAUAUUCUGAUUCAGAGUCAGUAGAGGUACCGCCUAAGUUUGUGGAAGAGGAAGAGGAAGACGGGUUGGACUUAGAUGGGUUUGACUCAUAAACUGUUUUUGGUUCAAAGGAGUCAGAAGAUGUGUUUUGGACAGUAUGAUAAUGAUACUGAUCCAUUAGGCCUUUGUCUUUUUUUGGGAGGCUCAGGAGUGGCUUUUGGUGAAUCUUCUGGUAGUACUGGAGGAACUGAUGAAGUGGCUUUGACGUUGGUUCUGAAAUCUUGACUUUGGAUUUUGAUUUUUUGGGUAGAUGGCUUAGGUUGAGGUGUUGGUUGGAGAUGUGAGAAUCCAAAGAACUGAUUGUAAACGGGCGGUUGAGGCCUGGAUGGAGUGUAGAAAGGUGCAUAGGUUUCAAACAUCGGAGUAGGGAUGGGUGUGGAUGAUGUUUGGGUAAAAAGUGAUGGCCUGGUUUUUUCAGUAUCAAUUCUGGCUAACUUAGCUUUGAGUCAUCUUAUCUCUGCUUCUUUUUUGUUGAACUCUGGACCCCAGAUGUGAUAGUUGAUCAUUCGUCUGAGAUCUGUAUCUAGCUCAGAGAUACGAUCUUGGAGAUGGAUAUAUAUCUAAUCAAGACGAUUGCUGAUCGAAUCCACCUUGGUUUCAGUCUGGGAGACCUGACUAGCAACUCGGUCUAUUUUCUUUCCAAGUUGGUGAAGAGUUUGAUUCUGAGCACUGGCGUUUUUGGUUUGCCAGUUGAGAACAACUUCAUACUGUUUUGGCUCUUCAGGUUGGCCAAAACCAGUAACUGGAGAUUGAACAUAAGGUUUUGAGAUGACUCUGGUCUGUGUAUCUGUUUGUUUCUCAAGUGGGGGAAAAGAUUCUUCAUAAGAUUGACUCUGACUUGAAAACAUUAGGCAUGACCGUAUUGGAUGGACAGGAGGUUUGGGAUCUAGCGGAGGUUGUGGAGGGAAGGAUUUGCAAGAUGUUUUUGGAUGAGAAGGUUUGUUUGUUUUUCUUUUUCUUUCUUCUCAUAGCUUCCAAUUCGUCAUCAACAUUCGUGUCAUCCAAGCAAGGACAACCCGGAUUACACAUAUGGGCUUCAGGAACAUCCCAUGGAAAAUGACCAUUGAUUUUGUCAGGGUAUACUAGAUACCCUUCAGAUGAAAAACCAUGGAUUGGAAGGUUUUUUUCCUGACCAAUUUGAACUGCAGUAAUCAUUACAGUGUAGGAAAGCCGUAGGUUUUUUGAAACUUGAUUAGGGGUUUGAAAAGACAGUUUGACUUGACCAUUUUGUCGUUUUUCAAACGUGGCUUCUGUUGUUUGUACUGGUUCAGAGUUUUGAUGAAAUUGCUCAUAAUUGGUUAGCCAUUCAAGAGGCAUGAGAGUGAGCAAUUCUUGUUUCUGGAUUUGUUUGGGAAUCUGGAUGAUGGUUGGAAUUGUACCGGUAUCAGCAAGGAUCAUCAGAGCAUCUGAUGUGGUAUGGGGUGUAGGUAGGUCUAGUGCAUGAUUCUGUAAUUGAUACAUUAUUUGGUGGAGGGUUGCAAUCUUGGAUGUGGGUGUCUGUUCUGCUCGUUGGAGCUAGAUCUGGACUUUAAUGGUUGUAGGCAAGUUGGGAUCCUUAAGAGAGAGGUUGAAAUUUGGGUAAAAGGUUAACAAGACACUACCUGCAUGGAGGGUUGUCAGGACGGUUCCAAUAACACCAUGUUGAUACUGUUUGAACCUGGUAUCUAUGAGAGCAAUUCUGGCUAUGAUUGGUAAGCCUUUUCUGCCAUGGAGGGUCAGAAUCAAUCUAACACCACCGAGGUGGAGAUGCGUAUACCCUUCGCAUUUCCAGUUUGCUACAAGAUCUGGAGGGAUUUCUAAAGUGACAUAUUGUUCACUUUGAGAGGCUUGUAAAGCACACUGAUCUAGUCUAGAAGACUGGAUGUAUUCUUUUGGAAGUGGUCUUUUGGUAGAGAUUAGGGUACGAAUACUUCUUGUGAAAGAAGUUUUUUACUUGUAAAGGUUGUAGGGACUUAUGACGGGAAACUGAGAUUCAUUUAUUUGAGCAGAUUCAAGGAUAUAGGAGUACUCAACAAGAUUUUCGAUUUUUGAGGUUAUGUGUUUUGAACAGGAUUUAGGAAGUGACAGAGUAAAAGAGAGAGAAAUAUGAGAAGAGGAAGAAGAAGGAGUUGAAGAUGAAAUUGAAGUUGUUUCCAUGUUUUGAAAUCUUCUUCUAGGAGAUCAAGAAGGAUUAUUCGGAAUUUCUAAGGACUUUUGCUAGAAUAUUUGUAUUUGCUUCUUGGUGAGAUUUGUGUCAUGGAACAAAGAGAUCCUUAUAUAGAGAUCUCGAGGAGGAAAGAGAUAAGGUGGGACCCUUAUCUUUUACAAAAGGAGAAACAUAAUUAUGAAAGCAUUAAAGCACUAAAGCACACCAAGCCAAACUAAAAAAGCAAAAGCAAACUUUAGAUGCAAUCCCCAAUUGGUACAGCACUCAAUAUCAUCCAUGAACAAUUCAUCGGUGAAAAAACUGCCUCUACCAAUGCAGACAGAAAAGAGUAUCAUCAGAUGAAUUACUGUUCUCUCAAAAGACAUCUUUUGGAAUCUCAUUACAAAAGGAUGAGUAUUCUAUUUUACAAGCUGAAUGGGUUCAAUGAGCCAUCUCUCAAACAUGUCUUCAUAGCCUCACUUCCUUCUGAGUUACAACCUGAUCUUCUAAGAAAACUCACAGCCACUAAUCUCAGCAUAGCUGAUAUCUCUUUAGGAAAGAUUUUCCAAAUGGCAAUGCUAUGUCUCGACAAAAUCUGUGAGCAAAAAGAAUUUUUCAAAGAUCUCAUGGAAGACAAAAAAUCCUUUUCUGAAGCUUUUAAAAAACCCUAUCUCAAGAUCAAGUGUAAAGAUGAAAAGAGGUGUGUUUGUCCAAUUAAAAAGAGUUUUAAUCAAUGACAAAUGAAAAGUUUCUUAAGAAUAAGCAACACUUGGUGAAGACAGAAAGUGGUGACUUGGAAUUCAGAAAUUUGAUCCAUUAGCUGCCCGUAGAAAACUUACUAUAGUGGUUGUAAAGCAUGAGCUUCCUCUUAGCUUUGUAGAGUAUAAGGCGUUUAGAGAUGUUGUUGAUUAUUACAACCCAUUGGUGAAGCCUAUAUCCAGAAACACUUUAAAGAAUGAGAUCUUUAAGCUAUAUAAUGUUGAAAAGGGAAAGGCAAUGAAUUUGUUGGAGAUUAAUGAUAGUAGGGUGGCAAUUACUAUAGACAUAUGGACUGUUACUAACCAAAAGAAAGAUUAUAUAGUUGUUAUGGGAUAUUUCAUUGACAAAUCUUAACAUUUACAAAGUCGAAUCCUAAGGUACUUUUACUUUAUUGAAUAUUAAAUUUUUAUUUGAUAAUUUUUUUAACUUCGCAUAAUUUUUUUUAAAAUUAAUAGGUUUAUAUAUGUGCAAGCCCCACAUACAGCUGACUGUCUUUCCAAAAUUUUAGUGAAGUGCUUGUUGGAUUGGAAUUUGGAUAGGAAGAUAUCCAUGGUUACUUUGGAUAAUUGUUCUACUAGUGAAACAAUGGUUGAUAAAUUGAAGGGAUUGUUGUCAAUUAACUUAAUGAUAUUAGGCGGCAAAUUCCUUCAUAUGAGGUGUGUGGCUUAUAUUUUGAAUCUAAUUGGGAAAGAUGGGUUUUAAAUGACUGAGAGUGGUAUUGCACGUGUUAGAGACAAUGUGUCUUAUUAGAGUUUGUCGCCAAAAUGGGCGGAAACGUUUGGCUUGGCUACACGUCAAUUGUAAAUAACGAAUGCGAAAAAGUUGGAGCUUGAUUGUCCAACUAGAUAGAAUUUUACUUUUAUUAUGCUUGAACUUCUGGUGAAGUACAAAAAUGUUUUUUGUCGACUGUAAACACUUGAGCUGCAAUACAAGAAUUUUCUUAAUAGUGAGGAAUGGGAGUUAGCUAAGCAGAUAUUGGAUUAUUUGAGGAAUUUUUCAAGGUUGAUUGAGAUAUUUUUGGGUACAACAUACCCUACUAUUAAUCUAAUUUUUUUUUCCCAUUGGUUUGUAAAAUGAGGAUUGCAUUGAAGGGGUGGCAAACAUCAGAAGUUCCUACAAUUGAAAAUGGUGGAUAACAUGAUUGAAAAAUGAUUAAAGUACUGGGAAGAGAUUAGUGGGGUAUUAGUCAUGGCUGUUCUUGAUCCGAGAUACAAAAUGAUGUUGGUUAAUUACUAUUAUCCAAAGAUUUAUUUAGUUGGUCUUGAAAGUCAACUUAAGAGAGUGUAUGAGCUUUGUGAUGAAAUGGUUAAUUAUUAUAAGGCCAAAUCCCCAACUAUGAGAUAUAGUGUUGUUGGCGAGUCUUCUACCUUAAGUGUUGUUUCUUCCAAUUUUGAUGGUGUAGAUGAUAUGGGUGAUUUCGAUGUAUAUGCAACCUAAAAUUAUCAACCAAUUAGUUCAAAAUCUGACUUUGAGAGGUAUUUGGAGAAUCCUUUAGUCAAAAGAACUCCAGACUUAGAUGUUUUAUAAUGGCAAAAGAUGAACAAAGAUGUUUUAUAAUGGCCAAAGAUGUUUUAGCCAUACCUGUGACAACCGUUCCCUCAGAGUCUGCUUUUAGUAUGGGGGGGUAGAACCCUAAGUCCACAUUGUAGUAGACUACAUCUAGACAUGUUGGAAGCUAUCAUGUUCUCUCAGCAUUAAUUAUGGGCUAUUAAUGAUUGAGGUAUAAAAAUAAAUUAUUGUUAAAAUUAUUUAUUAAUUGUUUUUGCUUUAUUAUUUAUGUUUUUUUUUUGUGGAGUUUUGGAGGAAUCUUUUUACUGGAGAAGAAUUAAAGGAUGAGAAAGAAGCUGGCCCAUAAGUAUUGGAUUAGUUUGUUUUCGAUAUUAGUAUUUGUAAUUUAUUAUGUUGUAUUGCUAAUGUUUUGUGUAUUUGACUAUUAUGUAUUGGAUAAUCAGCUUUAAUUUAAGUUGAAACUUUGGUAUGAUUUACGUCUUUCUUCUGUUUUGAUCUCUAGUACUUCAGGAGUAGAGAGCCUUUCUCCUUCAUGGCUUCCACUUCAUCUUCAACUCCUUCUAAUCCUAUUACUCUUUCUUCUACUCUUUCUUUGCCCAAAUCCUGCACUUCCCAUACCGCCAAUAAGAUUGAAAACCUUGUAGAAUAUUCCUACAUCCCUGAAUCAGCCCAAGCCAACAUCUCCAACAGUUUCCACAACCCACCAUGUAUGAACCAGGAUCAUCAUCCCAACCCUCCAAAUCUGACAAGGCCACUCAGAUGCCAAGCCCCAAGUCCCAGUCAUCACCCCCCAAGCCGGGAUACCGAAGAGAUUGCCCUUAUCCACCUUGCCGUGGUCCCCACUGUAAGCAUCCAAAGCUCUCCAAAACCUUUUCCCAAAAUACAACCAUGACACUGACCCAGAUGAAACAGAAAGCUCAUCCGAGGACGACUACAUGAAUCUCCGCUCUCCAUAAAGUAGUUUGUCUUGUUGUAAUAAUUAUGGUUUUGUCCUGUAUAAUUAUUAAGGCUUGCUUUUACUUUUUUCAAAGUCAUGCUUUAAUUAUUAAAGCACACUUUGUCCUUUGUAAUCAUUAAAGCUGUAAUGUGUCCUUUUACUUUUGCUUUUGUAGAAGAUAGGGGUCCUGUCUUAUCUUCUCUGGGAAUUCUCCUAUCCACCUUGCCGUGGUCCCCACUGUAAGUAUCCAAAGCUUUCCAAAACCUUUUUCCCAAAAUACAACCGUGACACUAACCCAGAUGAAACAAAAAGCUCAUCCAAAGACGACUACAUGAAUCUCCGCUCUCCAUAAAGUAGUUUGUCUUGUUGCUCUCCAUAAGUAGUUUUUCUUGUUGUAAUAAUUAUGGUUUUGUCCUGUAUAAUUAUUAAGGCUUGCUUUUACCUUAAGCUUUUACUUUUGUCAAAGUCGUGCUUUAAUUAUUAAAGCACACUUUGUCCUUUGUAAUCAUUAAAGCUGUCAUGAUGUGUCCUUUUACUUUUGCUUUUGUAGAAGAUAAGGGUCAUGUCCUAUCUUCUCCGGGAAUUCUCCCAUAUAAAGAAUUCUCCAUUCGCUUGUAAAAUAUAGAAGUUUUUUAAAAAUAAAACUCGUGUGUUUCCAUAAAACUAUGCAUUUCUAAACUCUCUUCUCUCUCUGUAAAUGAAGAUCUAGAGAAAGAAAAGAAUAAAGAAUUAAAUUUGUUCAUUUUGAAACUUUGAGGAAGUAUGCUCUGCACUUGCCUUCCAGUAAGGAUCCUGUGCAUCAGAAAACUUAUGAUGAUUUCUUAAACGGUUUGGUACCCUGUUUUAAAGACUAAGGAAAGUCUGUUUUGGGUUAUAUGACCUGAAAGAAAUGCAAAAAUGUUUUAUGAUGCAAACGUAAUGCAGAAACGUUUUAUGAUGCAAACAUUUUAUAAUUUGGUAUCAGAGCUAAAAAAAUAAAAAAAUGAAAGUCCAAAUCGGCCUAAGCUAGGCCAAUCCAGACUUGAUGGGCUUUUAGAAGGCUUGGACUUGAUGAUAACAUUUCAAGCCCAAGUGCCCAAGCUUGCAAAUUGCCAAUCCUAAUUGGAGUAGUUUUAUUAAGCCUAAAAUACGUAUACCAGGGAUCAUAUCAGGUCCUUAUGAAAAACAAAAAAGGAAAAAAAUAUCAUAUUAUGUAAAUUCAUGUAAUAUGAUAGAUAUUAACAACCAAAUUUUUAUAAUACAAAAUAAAAAAAAUUAAGUGAAAUUAUUUAUUAACUCAAACUUAAAUGAGAUAAAUUUAAAGAAAAAAAUGAAAGCCUCUGCUCCACUUUGUCUAAGAUGGCUUGAUACGUGUUCUUCCCCAGCCAAGAAUGGAGUAAAGGCAUCCCUAAAUAAUUCCCAAAACUCUUUGUGACAGUAAAACCCAAUUUCUAACUAAUCUUGCAAGCCUCACCCGAAUCAACAUUCCUAAAGAAAAAGACUUGGGUUUUUGUUCGGUUAACCUUUUCACUUGAGCUCGUGCAAAAGGAGUCAAGAACAUCAUUGAUAACAGCAGCAUGCUCCCGAAAGGCCGCUGCCAAAAGAAUACGGUCAUCAGCAAAAAAUAGAUUAGUGAUGGGAGUGCUGUUGCACCUAAGGCGAAUCGGCUUCCAUUUUCCCUCCCUCACAGCCUGGUUAAUACCAUGGCUAAGACACUCAAUACACAACAUAAAAAUGUAGGGAGAGAGUGGAUCACCUUGUCUAAUUCCCCUCGACAACGAGAAGGAUUCCGUGAGUUCCCCAUUCCAUAAGAUUCGCAUGGACACAGAAGUAAUGCAAUCCAUAAUUACGCGGAUGAAAUCCAUAAGAAGGCUUAUUAGGCACAGAGUUUCAUAAAUAAAAGUCUAGUUAAGUCUAUCAUACGCCUUCUCAAGAUCCACCUUAAUGAACAUAUUUCUUAUUUUCCCUCUCUUUCUUCUCAUCAAGUGAACAAUUUCUUGAGGUACCACUAUAUUUUUUGUAAUAUGUCUGCCCGACACGAAGCUAAUUUGUGUGGGACCAAUGAGGUUCGGUAGUAAAGGCUUUAAUCUAUUGGCCAACAAUUUAGUGACAAUUUUAUAAAUAAUUGUACACAACGUAUCGGCUAAUAGAGUUUAAGAUGUUGGGAUCUGCGUUUUGGGUAUAAAAACAGUCAAUGUACCCAUUAAUCUCUAAUGGGACUCUCCCUCAUAAAAAAUCUACUUGACGAGCUUACACACCGAGGGAUCCACUAAGUCCCAGUGGGAUUGAAAGAAAAUAGCAUGGAGGCCAUCAAUACCCAGAGCUUUCAUAGGAGGCAUACUAAAAAUAAUAUUUUUAAUUUCUAUAUUAUCCACGUCUUGCCCAAUUGCUUUUAUCAAACUAGUUUCAAUCUCUGGAUAAGUUGCAUUAACAAGAUAGGGAAGAUGCUCCUCAUUAUCUUCCGUAUAGAGUUUAGAAAAGAACUCCAUAGCAUGCUUCUUAAUCUCCCUUUCCUCGUGCUGCCACUUCCCUAGUUGGUCUUUAAUCACUUCAAUACGAUUUUUGCAUCUUCUCUGAAUGGUAUUACAAUGAAAAUUUUAGUAUUCUUGUCCCCCAAAGAAAUCAAAUCCUUCCUCUCUUUCUAGUACCACAACAAUUCUUCCUGAGUGAGGACUGUCUGUAACUCUCCUGUAAGCUUGUCUUCUAAAUCUAAAAGGUUUUUAGAGCCAUGAUCCUCCAGAGCCCUCUAUAUUCCAUUUAAUUUGGCCAGUAAGGUCCUCUUCCUUUCAAAAAUGCUCUUGAAAACCUCUUUAUUCCACUGACUCACCUUGUCUGCAAAUUCCUUAGCAAACUUAAUAAAGUCCAUGUUACCAUCCCAAAUAUUAUACAUGAACUCCUUAAACUUAGCAUCUGUUAACCAUGAAGCCAUGAAACGAAAAGGUUAAGGGUUAUGCCUACUAUCGAAAUCACGCCCAAAAUGAAUGAGAAUUGGCAUGUGAUCAUAAUUAAUCUUCGGAAGGUGGAUUGCCUUUGGGCUCUGUCUAGUCUCUUUAGUAAAGUUCCACGGUUCCAAGUGAAGUUCGAACCCUAAUGAGUAAGUUAACAAAACUUGUUUAUGAAACAGCAAUCAUUGAACAGCUUGUAGACUUUGUUAAUUCUAGUUGACCCCUUUUUUUCAGAAAUAUAAUGUAUAACAUUAAAAUCCCUUGCCAGCAACAAAGGACCUCUAAUAGUAGCUGCUAACAUGUCAAUUUCCUUCCAUAGAGUGCUUCAAAUGGAUGGAUAUGGGCUAGCAUAAAUAGUGGUGAACCAUAACAACAUUUCCUCACUAUUGGAAACUUUACGGUGGAUGAACUACCUGUGAUGACAAUAAUUUCCACACUGAUUUUAUCAUUCCAUAGCAGCCAAAUUCCUCUAGCGAAACCUACAACUUUAACUUGAUGAGAGUUAUCAUAACCACUCAUUUGGAUGAAAACAUUGGCUUUCAUCCCAAUUACCCUCGGCUCCAAUAGGGCAACCAAAGUAUGUUGAUACAUGUUUCGAAGAGACUUAAAAGUCUUGAGAAAACCAAGUGAGGAAACUGCGGGACAAUUCCAGCACAUGAAAGAUAAAAUCAUUCUAAAAAAACGAGUAAAGAAAAGACCUUAUUGAUUCAGGCCCUAAGGCAGUAAUCUCCAUUUCUAUUUCAUCCUCCUCCUCCAAGGACUCUAUCGGGUCAAAGGAUUUAGAAACCUUAGUCAGAAUCACCUAUGAAUUCGCUGUCUGAGUCAUCGCCUUCAUCUUUAAUGUCUUCAUUCCUUGUAUCGGAGGUGUCACUGUUAUGGUAAGAAGAAGUGGAGGGAUCCUUAAUGAGGGUUGGCUGGGUAGUUUUUUGUUCUUUAUUUAGGAGACCAAGGUAAUGGCAGAGUGUUUAUCAGGGUUUACAGCAGUCAGAAUCAAAACUAGUGAAGGAGAGUUGCAGUGCAUGGGGGAAAAGUACAUAGGGGUUAGAUCAUUGAUAUGCAUGGGAUCGUUAAUGUUAGGCUUUGUUGGGUUAAAAUGGUUUUGCAUGGGAAAGGUCAAAUGACCAUUUGAUUUUGGGUCAAUAGCUUCUUCGGGUUUGGUGGGAAAUAAUCGUGACUGUGUGAUGCUUUUUGGGGUCAUGGGUAUUUUUCCCUUAUUUGCUUUAGCUUGGUUAUUUCUAGGAAUGGACUUUUUGUGGUUGACUUUGGCUUGAUGGUUAGGUUCUAAGUUUGGGAUAGAUUGAUUAGGAUCCAUAUUCUCCAUAUUAUUUUCUGGGGCAACAUUCUACUCUUGUGCUACUAAUAAUAGGCUAGAGCGGGAUCCCCCAAGGAGGUUACCAUCUUUAGGGAGAUUUACUCUCUUACUUUUAGUACAUUCCUAAUUACUCCGAUUCUUUCCUUUCCUAGCCACCACCAUCCAAGGCCCAAAUUUUGGUGUAACUUCGACUGUUCCUGGUCGACUUAUCUUUGCCGUCGUGUCCCCAUCAUCACCCUUUACUGCCAUGUCCCCAUAAUCACUCUUUCCUUCUUUAGCAGGCAUGGCUUCCUCACUAUCUAUCAUCUCCAGGCAGUUUGUACUAUAAUGCCCACAACGACCACACUCAAAACAAAUUGUGGGGUGGCUCUCAUACUCAACCCUUUAGAUUAUACCAUUGAGAAGAAAUUGAGGAAUAAGGGGUUUGUUCAAGUUGAUAUCUACAACAAUAUUUGUAAACUAUUUUGAUCAUAUUUCCUAUAACUUGUCCAAGCAUCCUGAGAAUCAUCUUAUGGUAGUAGUGGAAAGGCAUUCUUGGAAGUUGAAGCCAAGUCGCAAUGUUGUCAAUUUUGCCAUUUGAACUAUCAAAUUGGGGUGACCAAAGUUUAAUAGCAAGAUAAUGCCCGAGGAUCAUUCAGGGUCCUUGAGUUAAUGCAAACUGGGCAUCAUCCACCAUUCUAAACUUGACGAGAAAAUAGUCAUUUUCCAGGUCAAUGACCGUAAAUCCUUGAGUCUUGCCCCCAAAGAGUUUUGAAGUGGUUGCAUAACAUUUUGUAUCCAAUUUGUCUCCCUAGUAGUUUAACAACAAUCGUGGACUGCCAAGGUUUAAUAAGCUAUGCAUGAACUUUUUGGGAGAAAGAGAUAGAUGGAAUACUUCCAGCCAUUUCCACUACCACAUUACCGCUGUCAAAAUCCAGAUCAUCAUCCGUACCAGCUAAGUCCUUCUCCACCAACAAUUGAUCCUCCAUUAGUUUAUCCUUGAAAGACAUUGGCUGUGGAUUGUCACGAUCGUCUCCCUCUGAUCGGAAUUUGGUCUUUUUUGUGGAUCGGUUGUCCUCCAAAGGAAAGGGAAAAUUCUUCACUGAGUUUAAAGGAAAAUAUAUUGUUCUAAAGAACCCAAUGAGAUUGUGCCCAACCUUUAUUAUCUCUAUUUUUCAUUUAGAAUAGUUCUAGAUAUCCCAAAUUUUUUUUAUCCCAAAUAACUAUCUCAAAUGAUAUAAUAUUAAUCAAUUAGUUGGUGGAAUAAUACAAUUAAUUCACUUGGAAUUAGUAAAAAGUUAUCAACUAAUUAAUGAAUGCCACAUCAUUUGUUAUAGUUAUUUGGGAUUAAAAAUUUAGGAUGUCUAUCAUUACUCUUUUAUUUGUUUCAUCUUAUGUUGUUAGUUAAUUUUGAAUUGGUUAAAACUAGUUGCACUUUUUUUGUGGAAUCAUGUCUAAGUCAUUAAGCAUGAAGUCAGAACAUGCUUAGUGUUUACUAAUUUCUAGGUUUGCUAUAUUAAGCAAGCCUUAUUUUUCAAAGGUAGAUGUAAUUCAAUAAAAAAAAUGUCAUGAGUAUUAUUAUUUUAGCUACUUAUAAGUUGUAUUUGAGAGUUUAUUGAUUUCUCAAAAAAAUAAUACAUGUUUUAGAAAUUUCGGCUUCUUGUUUUACAGAUUUAGGCUUUCUUGAAUUAACCUAUGUUUCUUGUAAAUUUCUUCUAUUUUGUUCAAAUUAUCAUUAUUGACAUUUGUGACCGUAGCACAUACAGAUGAAACCCAACUCUUUAUGGCCCCUUAUUUAAGUGUCUUUUUAGCCUUUUUUAUAACAUUGACCUCUUUCAAUCAAGAUUUAACCAAACAAAAAGUCAGUUGAGCCAUAGUUAGCCCGNNNNNNNNNNNNNNNNNNNNNNNNNNNNNNNNNNNNNNNNNNNNNNNNNNNNNNNNNNNNNNNNNNNNNNNNNNNNNNNNNNNNNNNNNNNNNNNNNNNNAAUUAUAAAUUGUUGACCUUAUUAUUAUUAUUAAUAUUACAUGAAUGAUAACCAAACUUCCUCCCUAUCCCAAGAUUUCACUAAUUGAAUCUCUUGACACUACACAUUAACUCUUUUCAAAUAAUUUAAGUAAUGUAUUUUUUUUGUAUAAUUCAUUUAUUACUAAUUUGUACUUGGACUAUUAGUCAUUUAAUAACCAGCAAAACAUUGAAGAGUUUUAUUUUUCCAAUUAAUAUAGCAGUAUGAAAUCUAUUAAGACUCUCAUCCCAAUCAAAGUUUAUUUGAUAGUUUGAUGUUGCUUAGCUACUAAAAAAAUGAAGAGAAAACUAAAGGCAAACCAUUGUAUUGUAUUAACCUUGAAUGUUAUUACAGAGUGUUAAUAUACUAAUAUCUAGAACAUUCUACAUACAUUCUAAUGGUGUGUUUACUUAUCGGAAAUGAGAAUGGGAAUCAAGGAAUGAGAAUGAAUAAUGUGUUUACUUGCUUAAAUAAGAGAUGGAAUAAGAAUCAAAGUGGUGGGCCCCACCUAAAAUUGGGAAUGAUUGCUAGAGUUCCCAUUCCCAUGGGGGAGGAGGGAAUGGGAUUCACAUUCCCUAAAGUGACCAUAUUACCCUCACUUAAAUCUUGAAAUUCCUAAUUUAUCCUUCCUUAUAUUAUUAUUAUUAUCAAAAAUUUAUUGUUGAUGAUAAUAAUAAUAAUAAUAAUAAUAAUUUUUUUAUUAAUUGUAAUAAUAAUAAUAAUUUUUAAUUAUUAUUGUUAUUGGUGUUGUUGUUAUUACAACUAAUACUUAGUAUUGUUCCUAAUAAUAAUAAUAGUAGUAGUAGUAAUUAUUAUAAUUAUAAUAGCAAUAAUAUUAUAAUCAUUAUCCAUUAUAAUUAAUACUAAUAAUAAAAUUAAUAUAACAACAACAACAACAACAAUGACAAUAACAGUAAUAAUAAUUGUUAUUGUUGUCAUUUAUAAUAAUAAUAACAAUAAGAAUAAUAAUUACUAUUAUUAAUUUAAUGAUUAUAAACAAUUAUUAUUAUUAUUAUUAUUAUUAUUAUUAUUAUUAUUAUUACUGUGACAAUAAUAAACUAAGGUCGGUUUAGUAACUUGCAACUAUCCAUUCUGAUUCCAAGAUAAAGUAAACACAUCAAUGGCAAUAUAGUUCAUUCCAAUUCCGAUUCCCACAGCUAAAGUAAAUAGUUUAUUCUGAUUCUUAUUCCCCAUUCUAAUUCUAGCCCAUUUCGAUUUCACUCCAUUUAGAUUGCAGCCCAAUCCGAUUAUUGAUUAGUAAACACACCAUAAUAUCAAGAACAUUCUACACACAUCCAAUAAUGGCAACAAUAAAACACCACAAAAGGCAUAAAUGAACGACCACAUCUAGAUUAAAUACAAUAUAUAGGAUAAAACCUAAACCCAAGCCUAAAUUAAAUGUGGCCUCUAUCAACCAUCACAAAAAUUGAAAAAAGAGAAAAAAAAUUCACCUAUUAAAACUACCCAAGUAUUGAAGGAAUUUUACGAAACUAACCUAGCCCGCCUCAAUUAAUAAUGUAAAACCUCUUCCAAUCUGAUAACACAAAACAAUAAAACACAAUAUUAAAACAAAACAAAAACAACUAAUAAAACCGCAUCUCUUAGAGUAAUCCUCAAAGGCAUCUUGAUCAUGGACUUUUGUCCCAAGCUAUUGAAAUCUCAAUGCACCAAGUACUAGAGCCCUUCAACAACUCGAUACAGGGAUAUCAUCACACUGACACCAUCCUGAUAAAAAGUUUAAAACAAUAUCAUCUUCAGCACCAAAAGAACCUUAAGAGCAACACAAUUAGUAUUAGAAUUCGUUAUUAAAUUGAAAAGUUUAUUAAUCUUUAGCUUAGUCUUUGCACAUGUAUUCAAUGUGUGUAGAUGUUCUGAAUAUUAGUAUAUAAACACUCUGUAAUUGUUGUGCAAAUUUUGUUGAACUCGCAAGCGCACGAAUCUAUUGUAGUAUAGACUAAUGGUGACGAGUGUCGAUCCCACGAGGAGGUGGAUUUUAAUUAUAUGUAGAAUUAAUUUUGUAAAUGGGUGGUUGGAAUUGUGGUGGAAGUGAUUUAAAUUAUCCUAAAAUUGUAAUUGAAAUGGCAAUAAUAAAUUAUAAAAUUGGAAUUGCAAUGGCGAGAAUAAAUUGAAGCGAAAUCUAUUGAAAUGACGUACUUGGGUAUCUGGAUCCGUAUCAACAUGCAUCAUGGGCUAAAUAAUCCGUAUUAAUGCCAAUUAAAUCAUGAGGGGGAAUCCACACCUCAUGAACCACGCUCUAAUCAAUAUGGUGCUAAGGGCUUACCGUGCCAAAUAAUAAUAAACUUAUACUAGAGAGCCGGUGUAACCAAGGCGGUAUCUAGACAAGCUUAUUAUUAUUUGUCGACGAGAAGUCAAAACAUCCACAAAAACUAGAGGGGAAAAGAAAAUAAAUUUACCAAAUUAAGCCCAUGACACAUGUUGAGACUUCACCUUCAACCCAAGCUUGAAAGAAAAUUAGCCACUCAUAAUUGAACUAGGGGCAAAAUGGGAAUUUAUUAAAACACGAAGAAAAUACAAGAUGGAGAAGGAAUUACAGAAAAUGGAUCCCAAAAAUAGAUUCAGAGAUAUCAAAUUAGGGGGGAGAGGCCCCCUUUUUAUAGAUACAUGGAGUAAAUCAUGGCCAUCAGAUUAAAAACAGUUUGGACGCUCAGGAUUGCGCCACGUCAUCAGUCAACAGUCCACGGUUUGACCACGCGGAUGAACAGUAACACGGUUUGACCUGACUUUAAACAGUAACGCGGUUUGACCCGGAUGAACAGUAACGCGGUUUGGUUGAAAAUAAUCCUGUGUGAUGCAUGCACCGUAUGCGAGAUUUUUCGUCCACUGAUAUGCUGCCACGUCACCAUCAACAGUAUAUAAGAAUUUUAGUCCAACAGGAUCGUGACACCUCAUCAGUCAAUGCCACAUCAUCAGUCCAUCUAUGUGAACAGUGUCGUGAGCAGUAACGUAGACAGUACCGUACACGUGAAUAGUACCGUACAUGUGAACAGUGCUAUUUUUCCUUUUAUGCUCCUCCUAAGGUUUUCGACCGUCCUGAGUUCAAAAGUGAUGUCCGUUUUGCCAUCUGAUCUCUCGUUUAUUGUGGAAUGACUAUGAUGCCCCUAAAAUACAUAAAAUACUUAAUUAAAAUAAAACACAUGUAAUUAAAUCACAAGAAGGUUAAAUACAUAAAAGUAAGGGUUGUUAGUAAGACUUGAAAUGUAAAAUGACGAUUUUCUCCUUUAUAAAUAUGCAUUUUCUAACACUCAACAGUAAUCACAUUCAAGUUUCAUACAAUACAAUGAUUUGCCUUUACUAAAUUUUGUCUCAAAUUCUUUAGCUUUCUCUUCAUUUUCUCAGUAGCUAAACAACAUCAAACUGUCAAAUAAACUUUGAUUUUGUUAAGAAUAUAAUAGAAAUAUUGAUGGUUAAGUUAGUUAACUAAUACUGCUGACUAUUAAUGUGGCAGUUAUAUUUCGAGCAACAAUCUAGUAACUAUAAUAUAUUUCCUUUUGGUGGAGUUAGUGAAGUCGUUACAAUUAGUAUUAGAAUUAGUUAUUAAGUUGAAAAGUUUGUUAAUCUUUAGCUUAGUCUUUGCACAUAUAUUGGAUGUGUGUAGAAUGUUCUGGAUUAAUAUAAUAACACUUUGUAAUCACAUUCAAUGUUAAUAUAAUACAAUGAUUUUCCUUUACUAACUUUUCUCUCAAAUUCUUUAGCUUUCUCUUGAUGCUCUCAAUAGACAAACAACAUCAAACUAUCGAAUAAACUUUGAUUUAGUAUCACCGACAUAAUCAAAUAGUUCUCAUGGCUUCAUUAAACUUAAACACAAAUAUCUCUACAUCAAUUUCAUCAUUUACUUUCACAACACCAAUCAAACUUGAUCAAUCUAAUUGCAUGAUCUGGAAAUCUCAAAUUCUCUCCUUAAUUCGAGCUAAUGAAUUUGGAAGUCCUCUUGAUGGAUUUAGAACUUGUCCUGAUCAGUUUCUCUCAAAUGCUUCAAGUUGAUCUAAUGUGUUUCACAAGAGAAUCUUGUAUUUACUAUUUGGAAAAAGCAGGAUCAGAUGCUGCUGAGUUAGCUUUUGUCCUCCAUUAAUGUUGAAAUUCUCAGUAGUGUUAGUUAACUAACUUAACUAGCAUAUUUUAUAUUCUUAACACUCCCUCUAUACAGUAAAACUUAACUAACAAUAAUCUCCAUAUAGUCAUAAAAAAUAUAGUCCCAAUUUUGGUUAGUUAUAAAUAAGAAUAAACUUCACAUUGUAAAAAGUUAUAACUUUUCUCUAGAUCUCAUCUUAAGGAACUUGCCUUCACAUAGUAAUAAUUUCUAUAUAUUAUAAAAAAUAUAUGCUACGUUACAUCACCGUUUACUUUGUGGGAAUCGAAACGGGUAGGAACCGGAAUGAGUUAUUUACUUGAGUUAUAGAAAUCAAAAUAAGAUUCAACAAUAUUCUCAUUGAUGUGUUUACUUUUUACUUAUAAUCUAAAUGAAUUAUUACAAAUUACAAAAAUGUACUUACUUAAGAUUAUUAUUAUCGUUAUUAUUAUACUUUUAUAAUAAUAACAAUAUUAAUGAUUACUAUUUAUAAGAAUUAGCGUUACUAUUAUUAUUAUUACUGCUACAAAAUAAACACAAAUUUUAAUUCACUAACAGACCAAAAAAGUCUCCAAUGCAUUGAAAUUUGUAUUUUUGUUGUAUUUGAGUGGCAUUAAAGUGAGGAUGCCACUCAAAUACAAAAAAAAAAAUCCUGAUUUUAAUGCACUCAAAGAUAAAAAAACCAUUACAAAAAAAAUACAAAUUUAAUAUAUUGCAAAUAAAAAAAACAUAGUUUUACUCUACAAAAAUAUUUUUUUUUUGUAUUUUAAUAAUAUCCUCACUUUUUUUAAUGUGAGCAUGUUCUUAUCUGAGAAAAAUUCAUAUUAAACAGAUCUUUUAUUUCGAUCCGUUAAGGAUAAGUGAAAAGCCAAGCAUGCCCCCCCUUCUAACGCAUUAUAUUUAUUUUGUAGUGUGUUAAAAUUUAUCAUUUUCUAUCUUUUAGUUUAUCUUUUACCAUAUUAAAGUAAGAGAACUCUUAUUAGAUAAUGACUUAGGGUGGGUAGGGGACAGGUUGCCCUUUGGCUAAAUAAUUGAAAAAAGAAAAAGAUAAUGACUUUGUAGACAAUUGUCCUAAAGAUGCAUACAAACAAAACCCAAAAUUGAAUACUGCAAUUCUAAUUGAAUUUAUGUGCAAAAAAAGUAAGAUGCCAUUAUAAAUCUAGUAGAAGCCUAAUUCAAGUUUAUUAUAAUGCAACCUAAAUUACUACCUUUAUUCAAUAGUCUCAUAGUCUUAUUAGGAAUAUUCAUGCUUCCAAUUUGAGUGUUCGUAAUUAUGUGAAGUAUGAAAUGGCCAAAAGCAAGAAAGAAUGAUUUUUUAUUUAAAAAAUUUAAAAAUAAUAAAAUGUCAGUGAAUCUAACCUUAUCAUCUUUUUCACUUUAUCCUCCUUUACAAACCAGUGCCACGAUCUCUCCAAAAAAAAAAAAAAAAAAAACUACACUUAGUGACGACAAUAGAGUUGCCAUUGCCUUUUAUAAGUAGUCAAUUGGCCACAUGAUCACUUACGAAAAAAGUACAAAGGAAAAAACUAAAACAGGGCCGCUUAGUAGUGAUAACAUUGAUACAUAAAGGAGCCAACAGAAGCAUCGCCACCACGACAAUGCAUAACAGAGCCAAGAAAGCUAUUGCCACCACUCUAGUGCUGUCAUCACCGUAAGUCCCAUUUAACUCUCUCUUUCUCUCAUCCGUACUUGAUCAAUUUUUUUGUAUUAAAUUUUUUUCCAAAUAAUUGAAAAUAUAAAAUUUCAAUUAACUAAUCUAUGAUAAUUCUAUAAAUCAUUGUGGUAUAAAUGAUUAAAUAGUUCUAAUAUAUAGCACACAAUUAAAAUAUUGUAUUUGUGCCUAACAAAGCAAUUCAUAAAAGCUUGCUAAUUAGUUAAUUAGAUAUGAAGAUUUUAUGCAAUUUUUCAUAAAAGUCAUAAUUUUAUUAAAAGUAUUUAGUGUCUAAAAUAAUAACCUUCUAUUUAAUUAUUGUUUGAGUCGGUUUUAUUGUGCUUAGAUUUUUAUAUUAUUUUUCUAUUUUCUUUAUAAUUCUUUGGCUUUAUUCACUAAUUUAAAAUUUGAUUUGAUAUAGUGGAUUACAAUUAUUCAUAUUCAUUUCAUGAUUCUGAAAAAAAAGUUAACAUAUCUAUUUUGGUUUUUUGAUUUGAUUUUUUUUUUCUAAUGUAGAAACCAAAUGCCUACUUAAAUUUAUUAUGUUGUAUUCAAAAGACAAAAGCCAGGCAUAUAUGAUUCUUGGCCUAAAUGCCAGAAGUAGGUAAAUGGAUUCAAAGGUAAUGUUCAUAAAUCUUUUUAAUAUUUAUUGGAUACUGAAAUAGCAUACAAUGAGUACAAGCAAAUGCAUGAAAAUUUGCCAAAGAGAUCUAAUAUGUUAGAAACUACAAAAUUUAUCACGGAAACAUGCGACAAAGGUGAUGAGAUUAAGGAUAAAACUAUCACAAGCACAUGGGAUGAAACAUAUUCAGAUCCUAUUCAAGCUCCCGUCAGACCCGUUACAAGAGCUCGAGCAAAGAAAUUCAAAGAAGCGCUUAAUGGAUUGAUUCAAGCAGUUUGGGCUUAAUCAAAUUCGUGGAGGUCCAUUGAAGGAAUUGCACAUGAUAAAUGCAUGAUUCAGGCUCUUGAAGUUUCCAAAUACUCACUUCCAUGAAAUAGGGAGUUGGCUUAAACAUUAUGGCGGGAAAAUAUAUUAUUUUUCUUUUUUUCAGAUACUUUCCCAUUUCUUGAGGAGGCUAUUAGGGAAUCUAAUCAGUUAUUUCUAUUUUAAUCGCCUAGUUUCCAUUUAAUUGACGUAAGGCAUUUAAGACAAUUAGGAUCCUGAUUUAGUUUAAAUUCUUUUCUAUUUACUUAGAUUAGGAUUCUGAUUUGAUUUAGAUUCUUUCCUAUUAGGGAAGAUUUAGAUUCAGAUUUGAUUUUUGGGUUAGGAUUUAUUUGCAAAAAAAUUCUUGUAAUCAACCCUACAUAAAGUACUCAUAUUCAAUAAAUAAAAAAGAAGUUUUUUGAUGCAAUUGGUGAGAGAGUUAAUUCUCUUUGGUUUUUUACGAACUCUUUGAACUUAUCGGAUUUCCGUGGCGUUCAAAUUCUUGACUUAUCAAUCAGACCAUCCAUAGCUGAUUGUGGCGUCUUCACAUACCAAGGUUCGUGCUUUCAAUAAGUAUUGGGUCGAGGUUCCAUUCCAUUCUUGAUUUAGAUUUGAUCUUGGGAACUAAAUUGAUUAGGGUCACGUCAAUUCUUGACGGGGUUCGUAUCAUUUGGUAUUAGAGCCUAGGCUCCAAGGUCAGAUCCAUCUAUCUUUGUUGUUUUUUUCAUUCUUGUUUGAAUUUUUCAUCUUGUUCUAGCAUCUAUUAAAAAAAAAAAAAAUCGUGAACAGUAUCUUUGUGAAAAGUGCCUCGUGAACAGUACCGCGUGAACAAUAUUUUAGGGUUUCCUUUUAAAAUCAAUUGUUGCAUCUUUGUGGUUUAAUUCUCCUUAAAUCCACAAGUUUUACCUAUUUAUUUUCCUUAAAAAAAAAACUCCAACCUCUUCUUAAAAGCUUUCUUUUUUUUUUUCAUUAUUUGUGUCUACCCCAUCGGUGAAAAUUUUGCCCAAAAUCAAAACUCGAUUUUCGUACACAUUGCCUUCUUACUCUUGAAAUUAAAUUCUCCUUAGUUGUCAUCUUUGUGAAUUGCUUCUGAAAUCCUGAUAUUGGUUUGAUUAGUUUGAUAAGAACCGAGUGAGAAUUACUAAGAGUGGAAAAAGGCAAGAGAGUGAGCGUAUUAGAGGGUAAAAGCCAAUAAUUUGAGUAAAACACGAGUGAAAUUGAGUGAGUCAUUUUUCUUGAGUGAAACACGUAAGGGAGUGAGGUGAGGUCCUUCCACAUUAUUUCUAACGUUCUUUUGCAGAUAAUAGCUAUGUCUCACAACCUAGAACAAAACACAAAUGAAGAGGAUCAAUCCACAACUACUCAGAAUUUACAAAUUCAAGCAUUGAUGGGAGAGAUGAGAAGGAUGAUGAGGGCUGAAUUAGAGCUCAUCCACGAGCGUUUGGAUCGGGUGGAGAACACAUGUGCAGGGCAGCCACAACCCAUUCCCCAAGCACGUAGGAGAGAAAGAGCUCUAGUUAGAGGAGAUAAUGAUGACUAUUAUAGGGAUGAGUAUGAUGAAGGAGAGGACUCAGUGGGUAGCUAUAGGAGAGAUGGACAAGGUGGGAGAGCUAGGAAUAGAGAUGAUGGAUUGAGUGGCAUAAAGAUGAAGAUUCCAUCUUUUCAAGGAAAAUCUGACCCAGAAGCAUACCUUGAAUGAGAGAAGAAAAUUGAGUUCAUAUUUGACUGCCACAAUUAUUCAGAGGCAAAAAAAGUAAAAUUGACUGUGAUUGAGUUUUCUGACUAUGCUAUUACUUGGUGGGAUCAGCUUAUUAUAAGAAGGAGGCGAAAUAGGGAACGUCCAAUUGAGACAUGGGAUGAAAUGAAAUCAGUGAUGAGAAAAUGUUUUGUACCUAACCACUAUUAUCGAGACUUGUACCAAAAAUUACAACAUCUUACAUAGGGUAGCUGAAGCGUUGAGGAUUAUUAUAAAGAAAUGGAGAUUUCCAUGAUUAGAGCAAAUGUGGAGGAUGAUAGAGAAGCUACCAUGGCACGAUUCUUAAAUGGACUUAAUUGAGAGAUUGCAGAUAAGGUUGAGUUGCAACAUUAUGUGGAGAUUGAGGAAAUAGUCAACAAAGCCAUCAAGAUUGAGCAGCAACUCAAGAGGAGGGGUAACACUCGUACAACCCCAAACUCGAGUUCCACUCCUUGGAAGCCGAGCUAUGUGAAACGAGACGAGAGGCCACAAAGAUCUCCUACACCUAAGCUAAGAUCUGAGCCCUCCAAGCACAAUACACAAGGUAACACCAUAACUCCUACUAUUAGGAAUCGUGACAUUAAGUGUUUUAAAUGUCAAGGCAGGGGGCGGAUGGUGAGAUUGUAACUGAAGAUGAGACGGAAGAGAAUGAGAGGAAUUGAUUUUAGUAGCGAGGAGAGCUUUGAAUGUGUAAGUAAAGGAAGACGAAGCAGCGCAAAGGGAAAACAUUUUCCAUACUAGGUGCUAUGUUCAAGACAAAUUAUGUAGUAUAAUUAUUGAUGGAGGAAGUUGUACUAAUGUUGCCAGUACUAUCAUGGUAGAGAAGUUAGGGCUUCCGACACUUAAACACCCACGGCCAUACAAACUACAAUGGUUAAAUCACAAUGGAGAGGUUAAAGUGAACAAGCAGGUACUAGUGACUUCUGUGGUGAACAUUUUUCCAUCAGCUGCUCUGAAAUGUUUUGUAUGAGGUUUCUAGUUUUGAGCUGGAAGAAUGUCUGAAUUCAUUAUGCUUUUUUGGGCACCAAUAUCUAGAAAUCCUAUAGCUGGUAUGGGUCGUUGAAACUUUGAAGGUAAGAUUUGGAGUUUGAUGGAGGGAAUUGGUAGUGUUUAGGGACAACGAUUGUUGAUGAAAAAUAGAUUGAAACUCAUCAUUUUCUGAAUCAUCAUAUGAGUUUUCUAGUGCGAACAUUGUUUCAUCAGUAGGGUCUUCUUGUUCUGAGAAGUAAGAUUCAACUUCUUCCUUUUCAGCAGAAUACUCAGUAACAGCUUGUAAAUGCUUUACCAAUCUGAUUGCCUUUUCUUUUUUGUUUGGACAAUCCUUUGCAUAGUGGCCUUUUUUCCCGCAAAUAAAGCAUCUACUAGAUUUUUUUCUGAAGAAUAUGUAUGGUUUCUUCCAUUUCCUAGACUUUGUUUUAGAAAAGGAAGUUAGAUGCCUGAUCUUCUUGAAAUGACUUUUUUGUGGAUAACUGCAGUCACAGUCUUUUUUAUCUUUGCAUUUGAUCUGCAAGUACUGUUUCUUACAGGCACUUCUGAGAGGCUCUUUGUCUUUUACCAGUUCUUUGAAGAAUUGUUUUUGCUCACAAAGUUUUUCCAAACAUGCUUUAGCUACCUGAAAGAUCUUUCCCAAGGAGAUGUUGUCAAGGUUGAGGCUGUGCAUUGUAAGUUGUCGUUGGAUUUCUGGUUGCAAUUUCGUCGGUAAAGAAGCCAGAAACACAUGCUUCAGAGUGUGAUCGUUGAAUCCAUUAAGCUUGUAGAACAGUAUUCAAAGAACAACACUUCAUGUUGAGAUAGUCUCUUCUUGCUGCUUCAAAACCUGCAGAUGGUUCUCCAAUAAACUGUUCAUACAGAAUAGCAAGAGCACUAGAGACGUUUUGUAAUUGCACAAACUGUAAUUGUCUGUAGGGGCCAACUCUUUGAGGACCGAUUCUAUGGUUACAACUGAUCUUAUCAUCUGGAGAUCUACCCAGGCUGACAUUUCAGAUAACUUCUCUCUCCAUUUGACUGUGAGAAUGUCAUCAAACGUAAACCAUGGGCCGUUUGAUGGUUUGUAUGUAUUUUGAGCUUGGGGCUGAGGUGGUUGAUUGGUUGAGGAUUCAGCUGGCUCAUCAAUGUCUGAGGGUAUUUCAAAGUAUGAUUCUGGUUGGGAUGGUUGUGCUGGUCCUAUUUCUUCGAGUUGUGCCAUCAAAAGUUUAGUAAAAUCUGCAUAAGCCUUUUUCGAAUCAGUGGUUGAAAGUGAAGAUUCUGUAUCAGAUUGUGUCACAGAAGUAUCAGUUUCUGUGUCAGUGGAAACUUUAAUGUGAUGGGAAGCAUAUUGAUGCAUGGGUUCUUUACCCUUGGAUUGAGAUGGCUGCGGGGUAAAAACAGGGGUAUGUUCUGGAGAAUCUUGUUGUUGUGUGGUAGUGGAGAUUGGUUGAUGAAUUUUGAUAGGUCUUGGUUGGGGCUUAGGUUUUGGUUUUGGCUGAGGUGGAUGUGGCAUAUUUUUGAAAAGAGUAUGCGUCAUUCCAAAUAGUUUGGAAGGAUCAUAUGGUUUCAUUGGUGGGAGCAUAGGGCUGAAUGGAUGGUAACUUGGAUUGAUUGUAGGUAUGGGAGGUGAUUUGGUGAAGAGUGUAGGCCUGUGUUUUUUGGAUUCAAUCUGAUCAAGCUCUGCCUUUAGCAAUCUGAUUUCUCUCUCAUUUUGGUCAAACUCUAGGCCAUAGUAUCUUUGACUAAGCAUGACUCUUAAGUCUGCAUCAAGUUGAUAGAUCUGCUGCAUUUGCAAGGUUAUUGAGUCAACCUUGGUUUCAAUCUGGUCAAUUCGUAAACUGAUCUUAUCAACCCUUUUGUGGAUGUCUACCAAUGUAUCAUUUUUUGCUCUGGCAUUCUAUGUUUGCCAGUGGGUAGUUGUACGUGGCGUUGUUACACCAGAGUGAUGAGAUCCUUGGCAAGCCAAGAUAUUUAAAUCUCCUUUGGACCAGUAGUCCGCACACUUUGGUUUCCAGCCGAUAUACACUUAUCCAGUUAAUACCAAAUCCGAAAUUCAUUUUUUAAAACAAUUUUGUCGAUACCCCCUGAAAACCUUUAAAGAGGGUGAACGUUGUGAGAAAACACUUUCAUUGUAGAGAAAUCGGUUUUGGAGGAUAAACAGGACCUUUCUGAUGCACAGGAUCCUCAGGCUUGAGGCAAGUGCAGAGCAUACUCAGUUUAGAAAUUUUGAGGUGAGCGUACCAUUAUUAAUUCAAAUAAUUUCUUCGAUUCCUAGAAGAGAGAGAGAGGUUUAGGGAAACAUGAUGUAUAAAACUUAAGCUUUUAUUCUUCAGAUUGGCUCCCUUACAACUGAGACCAAAGGUGCCUUUUAUAGACGAUCAUUGAGAACAAGACCUCUCGAAUGAUCAUAUCACAUAGCACACCUUUUUUGACAGCAAAACAUGCCGAUAAGGACUUUGACAAAAGGGAAAGCAUACUUUCAAGGACUUUAACAAAAGUAAAGCACACCGACAAGGAUUUUAACAAAAGUAAAGCAUAUCGACAAGGACUUUAGUAAAAGUAAAGCAUGCCGACAAAGACUUUAACAAAAGUAAAGCAAAAGACAAACGGGAGUCACAUGGGUUGUGCUAUCAAAACUCGUGCGACAAAGAUAAGGCGUUGUCAUGGAGUGGAGGGAUAACGAGAUGGUGACACCUCGCCUGUGUCUUUUUCAUAUUGGCGCUUGUGCCGACGCCUCUGCCUCUGGUCGAGAUACGCCUCAACUUGCUGAUACUUUUCUUCAUCAACUUCAGACAUGUGCUGUGAGGUAGAUGGAGCAGGAGGGUCUGGGUUUGUGACAGUAUAACAGGGAGUGUCAGUAUGGAGAAGGGACUGAAAGUCUUCCCAUGGGUCCUGAGCAUCUUGGAAUAAGACAUUAGUAUAGUCAGGACGUUGUUCCAUGACAAGGAUUCCGUGAGGACUUGAACUUGAACCUGGAGUACAACCUUGUGUUUUUGGAAUUAUUUCAAGGGUGUGUGAUGGUCCAAUGGAGGUGUGGUGAAUAUCUGUGGCAGGUGGAGGAACAUUGUUAAGUUCCAUGAGAUAGGCUUUGAGAACGGAGGUGACCGAUGUAUCAUGGAUAAAGGUAUAAGGAUGAGGGUAAGUUCUCCAUUCAUAUGCCAUGUCCUGUGUCCAGUAGUCCCGUGUUUCUGGAUGCUGAAAAUAAGGCCUGUGGACAAUGAAGGCUGUAGUCCACAUGUUAGCUUCUUGUUCUGGCAUUUUGUUUAAUCCAUGAAAGGUACACAAAUGUUGGAGUUGCUUGCACCACCAAGUGAGGGGAGAAUACCAUUCAAAGAGAGUCCAAAGAAGGUCAGGUGAGAACUCUGGAGUGGUAAGGUGAGUCAGGACUGGUUUGAUGGGAAAAACUAGCUUUGUAGCGUACAAGGUGGUGAGGCACCACAUGUACCAAAGCUCAUCUUCAGAGAUGGACAGAGAGGACAGAGUGAGACCUGUGAGAAAUAGGUGCUCCAUGCAAAGAUUAGGAAAUCGAUCGGGUUUUUUGGUCUGAACAUUAAAGAAAAACCGGUAAAGGAAUUUUUUUGCAAAAUCUUGCAAUUGGUAAGCCGAUUGGAAAGAGAUGUUCAUGGGGAAAUUUCUUUGGUUGAGAGCUUUGAAAGGAAGUUGGCGAUUCAUGGCUAUAACCGGAAUGGUUUGAAUUGAGGAAAUGAGUGCAGGUUUAUUUAUAGCUGGAUGAGUGAGGAAGUCUGGAAUAAGGUUUUGGUUGCCUUUUAUGUGUUGAACAGUGAAAUCAUACUUAGCAAACCAGGUUUUGAGGCUGAGUAAUUGCUUGUUAGGUAGCAAUUUGUUCUUGAAGUCAAAGAUGCGGGGAAAAGAAGAGUUAUCCAUGUUGAUAAGGAAUUUGUGGCUGAUGAGAUGGAAUUUAAAUUUCUUAAUUCCAUAUUUGACUGCCAAAAUCUCUUUGUAGAUCACAUGGUAGUUCUUUUCAGAGUCUUUGAACUGUCCGCUUGCAUGUGCACAGAAAUGACGCACGCCAUUGAUGUCUUCAAGGAGAAUGGCACUCCAAUAAUCAUCGCUGGCAUCAGUCUGGAGGAUGCGUUGGCCACUUGUGGGAAUUUGAAGUGGAGAAGGUGCUUGUGCUAUCACCUUUAGCUGCUUGACAGCUUCUGUCUGAGCAGGGCCCCAUGGAGGGCACUAUUUCUUGAGCAUGCGUGACAGCUGGCUGGUGUGGAUUGCAACUUUUGGGAUAAAAUCACGGACAUAAUUAACAAUCCCGAGGAAUUGUUGUAUCUGCUUUCUAUUGAGAUGUGUGUCCGAAAACUUGAGUAAUUCGAUUGCAAUAUGGGGACCAGGCUGAUACUGGCCGUCUUUAAUCACCAUGCCAAGAAAGUCAAUUGAUUCCUUUCCUAUACUGCUUUUCUUUUCGGAAAGCAUGAUGCCAUGUGCCUGCACAAUGUGAAAGAAAUCUAAAAGGAGCUUCUGGUGGCUCUCAUGGUCAAAAGAAAAUAAGAAGAUAUCACAUUGUAGACAAAUGCAUGAUGGAGAAUAGGACUAAAGAUUUUUGUCAUGGCUUUUUGAAAUAAGGAGGCGAGCGACUUUGAGACCAACAAGGCAUAACCGUCCAUUGGUAAUGGGCAUCAGGGAUGCAGAAGGCAGUUUUGUGACGGUCAACUAGUGAAAUACCAAGUUGCUAAAAACCAGCUUUUAAAUCAAAUUUAGAGAAGAUACGAGCCCCUUGAAGAUGGACAAACAAGGUUNNNNNNNNNNNNNNNNNNNNNNNNNNNNNNNNNNNNNNNNNNNNNNNNNNNNNNNNNNNNNNNNNNNNNNNNNNNNNNNNNNNNNNNNNNNNNNNNNNNNNNNNNNNNNNNNNNNNNNNNNNNNNNNNNNNNNNNNNNNNNNNNNNNNNNNNNNNNNNNNNNNNNNNNNNNNNNNNNNNNNNNNNNNNNNNNNNNNNNNNNNNNNNNNNNNNNNNNNNNNNNNNNNNNNNNNNNNNNNNNNNNNNNNNNNNNNNNNNNNNNNNNNNNNNNNNNNNNNNNNNNNNNNNNNNNNNNNNNNNNNNNNNNNNNNNNNNNNNNNNNNNNNNNNNNNNNNNNNNNNNNNNNNNNNNNNNNNNNNNNNNNNNNNNNNNNNNNNNNNNNNNNNNNNNNNNNNNNNNNNNNNNNNNNNNNNNNNNNNNNNNNNNNNNNNNNNNNNNNNNNNNNNNNNNNNNNNNNNNNNNNNNNNNNNNNNNNNNNNNNNNNNNNNNNNNNNNNNNNNNNNNNNNNNNNNNNNNNNNNNNNNNNNNNNNNNNNNNNNNNNNNNNNNNNNNNNNNNNNNNNNNNNNNNNNNNNNNNNNNNNNNNNNNNNNNNNNNNNNNNNNNNNNNNNNNNNNNNNNNNNNNNNNNNNNNNNNNNNNNNNNNNNNNNNNNNNNNNAGAACUAAUUAUAAACAGGUUGUUGAGGCCGGGAUGGUGUGUAGGAAGGUGAAUAUGUUUCAAAGAACGAAGGAGAUAUGGGUGUAGGUUGUGAUUGAGUAAAAAGGGAAGGUCGAGUCUUUUCAGCAUCAAUCCUGGACAAUUCAGCUUUGAGUUUUCUGAUCUCGGCUUCUUUUUUAUUAAACUCUGGAACCCAUAUAUGAUUGUUGAUCAUCCGUCUGAGAUCGGCAUCUAGCUCAGAGAUCCGGUCUUGGAGAUGUAUAUACAUCUGAUCUAAACGACUGCUAAUCGAAUCAACUUUAGUUUCAGUCUGGGAGACUUGAGUGGCAACACGGUCAAUUUUCUUACCGAGUUGUUGGAGAGUAUGAUUUUGAGCAUUGGCAUUUUUGGUUUGCCAAUUCAAAAUAGCUUCAUACUGUUUUGGUUCUUCAGGUUGCCCAGAGGCUGUAAUUGGAGAUUGAACAAAAGGUUUGGAGGUGACACGAGUUUGUGUGUCUGUCUGUUUUUCAAGUAGAGGAAAGGAUUCUUUAUAGGAGUGACUUGAAAACAUAAGGCAAGAUCUGAUUGGAUGGACAGGAGGUUUGGGAUCUGGUGGAGGAUGUGGAGGAAAAGAUUUGCAAGAUGAUGGUGGAUAAGAAGAUUUUUUCUUUUUCUUUUUCUUUCUUCGCAUAAUUUCCAAUUCUUCGUCAAUAUCCGUAUCAUCCAAGCAAGGACAAUCCGGGUUGCACAUAUGGGCUUUAGGAACAUCCCAUAGAAAAUGACCAUUGAUUUUAUCAGGAUAUACUGGAUACCCUUCGGAGGAAAAACCACGAAUAGGAAGUUUCUUUUCUUGACCAGUUUGAACUGCUGUGAUCAUAGCAGUAUAGGAAAGCUGUGGACUGUUUGAAACAGGCUCGGUGUCAAGGGUUUGAAAAGAUAGUUUAACUUGACCAUUUGGUCGUCUGUUAAACGUGGCUUCUGUGGUUUGUACUAGUUCCGAAUUUUGGUGAAAAUGCUCAUAGUUAGUUAGCCAUUCAAGAGGCAUGAGCCUGAGCAAUUCUUGUUUAUGGAUUUGUUUGGGGAUUUGGAUAAUGGUUGGAAUUAUGUCUGUGUCUGCCAAGAUCAUCAAGGCAUCAGAAGUUGUGUACGGUGUAGGAAGAUCUAGGGCAUGAUUCUGUAAUCAAUAGACUAUUUGAUGAUGGAGGGUUGCAAUCUUUGAUGUGGGUGUUUGUUCUGCUCCUUGGAGCUGGAUCUGGGACUUUAAGGGUUGUUGGAAGAUUGGGAUCCUCAAGAGAGAGGUUGAAAUUGGGGUAAAAGGUUAAUAAGACACUGCCAGCAUGAAGUGUUGUCAGAACGGUUCCUAUAACAGCGUGUUGGUACUCCUUGAACCUGGUGUCUAGGAGAGCAAUUCUAGCUAUAACAGGUAAGCCUUUUCGACCAUGAAGAGUGAGAAUUAAUCGUACCCCACCAAGAUGGAGGUGUGUGUAGCCUUCUCGUUUCCAGUUGGCAACGAGAUCUGAAGGUAUUUCCAUAGUGACAUAUUGUUCACUCUGUGAGGCUUGUAGAGACUCAUGAUGUGAAACUGGGACUCAUUGAUUUGAGCAAAUUCUAGAAUAUAAAAAUAUUCAACAAGAUUCUCAAUUUUAGAGUUUAUGUGUUUAGAGCAUGAUUCGGGAAGAGAGAGAGUAGAAGAAAGAGAAAUAUGAGAUGAAGAGGAUGUAGAAGUUGAAGAUGUGUUUGUUUCCAUGGAUGAUGAAUCUUCUUCUAGGAGAUCAAAUAAGAUUAUUCAAAUUACUAAUGAUACCACCUCAACAUGAAGUGUGUUCUUCUAGGUGACCAACAGAGGUUAUGGCUAAAGGAAUGAAAGGUUUUCUCAUGACCUUUUUUUGUGAAUCAGAUUGGGCUUCUAAGGAUGGGAAAUUCAAAGAAUAGUCUUUGGAUGAUGAAGAAAACAUCAUACAGGCAACGGGUUGAGGAGUAGAAGUCUGGCUUAGGUUUGGUGAAAAGGUUUCACAAUCUAUUUGAGUUCUUUUUAGUAUAUGGGUAAUGGAGAUGGUGGAGGUGGAGGUUCAUAUGGCGAUUUUGCUUCUGUGUGGUUACAAGGAGAAUGAGUUUUCUUUUUUGGUUUUCUUUUCUUGUUGGAGUCUUGAUCGUCCUCUUCCCAAUCAUCCCAACAAGGACAAUUUGAGUCGCACCUUCCAGAUCCUGGAGUAUCCUAUAGAAAGUGUCCAUUUAACUUUGCAGGGUAUACUUGGUACCCUUUGGAGUUAAAUCCUGUGAUUGGUAUAUCUUCUUGGGUUGUUUGAACAACCGUGAUCAUUGAAGAAUAAGUGAAUGAUAACCUUGGAGGCUCUUGAGGAGCACUAGGUAACGGCUAAGAGGUACUUGGUGGAGGUCGAAAAGUCAUUAUGACAGUACCAUCCGGCCUUUUUUCAAACAUACUUUCUGAUGUCUGGAUUGGGGCUGUAUUGUUAUGCAACAAUUCCAUUCCAGCGGCAUGAGUUUUAUGAGUUCAUAGUGAGGAUCUCUCUAGGGAUUUGGAUCUUUAGGAAUAAAGUCUCUGACAUAAUUAACAAUUCUAAGGAACUGUUGAAUUUGCUUUUUGGUGAGGUUAGUGUCUGUAAACUUUAAUAAUUCUGCUGAGUUUCUUGUGUUGGCAAUAAAGAUUGGAAGUCUUCCUUGGGUGGAGGUUUUGAGAUUUUGCCUUUUGAUUUGGGUUUUCUUGGUGAGGUAGGCUUUGGUGGUGGAACUGAAGGGAUAUUUGGGUUUGUGGAAUAGAUACUAGAUACCCUUCUGAGGAAAAUCCAUAGAUUGGAAGAUUCGACUAUUGGCCAGUAGAAACUAUUGUAAUCAUAGCAGUAUGGGAGAGCCAUGGAGGAUCUGGACUUCGUUUAUCUAGAGUCUGAAAAGACAACUUGACUUGUCCGUCUGGUCUUCUUUCGAAGACAGCUUGAGAAGUCUAGACAGGUUCAGAAUUCUAAUGAAAUUGCUCAUAGUUGGUAAGCCAUUCUAAAGGCAUAAGUUUGAGCAAUUCUUGCUUUUGGAUUUGUUUAGGAAUUUGGAUUAUGGUUGGAAUUGUAUCUGUGUCUGCAAGGAUCAUCAGUGCAUCACUGGUUGUUUGUGCAAUUGAGAGAUUUAGUGCAUAAUUUUGUAAUCGAUACACUAUUUGAUGAUGGAGUGUGGCUAUUUUGGAAGUAGAUGUUUGUUCUGCUCCUUGAAGUUGGAUUUGGACUUUCAGUGUUGUUGGAAGGUUGGGAUCUUCUAGAGACAUGUUGAAAUUUGGGUAAAAGGUUAACAAGACACUUCCAGCAUGGAGAGUGGUUAGAACAGUUCUAAUAAUAGCAUGUUGAUACUGUUUGAACCUUGUGUCAAGGAGAGCAAUUCGGUCUGUGACGGGUAAGCCUUUUCUGCCAUGUAAGGUGAGGAUAAGCCUGACACCACCUAGAUGGAGGUGUGUAUACCCUUCUAGUUUCCAGUUGGUUACGAGAUCUGUUGGUAUAUCCAUAGUGACAUAUUGUUCACUUUGAGAUGCUUGAAGAGCACACUAAUCAAGUCGUGAAGACUGGAUGUCCUCUUUAGAAAGAGGUUUUUUGUUUGUAAAGAUGGUAAAGACUCAUAACUAGGAACUGAGAUUCAUUAAUGUGAGCAGAUUCAGGAAUAUAAGAGUACUCAACAAGAUUUUCUAUUUUUAAGGCUACAUGUUUUUGACAAGAACGAGGUAAGGAAAGAGUAGAAGAGAGAGAAAUAGGAGAGGAUCGUGAUGAAGCUAUUGCUGAUGAAGAAGAGGAAGAUGCCAUUUUUUAUAGAGUUUCUUCUAGGUCUUGAAUAAAAAUACUUGAGAACUAAACCAUGAUACCACCUCUUACAAGUUUGUUUGGCUCUGAUACCAACUGUGGCGGAAAGGUACGUGGUGUUGUUACACCUAAACUAUGAUAGUGCUAGACUAUCCUUUGGACUAGUAGUCCGCAAGUUCCGGUUUCUAGUCGAUAUACAUAUAUAUAUAUAUAACCCAAAAAGCAAAAUCCAUUGAUCAUGAUACCACCUGAAAACAGGUCACCUCUAACCUUCAAAGAGAGUGAACGUUGUGAGAAAGCAGUUUUAUUUUUAAAUCGGUUUUAUAAAUAAAUCAGGACUUUUCUGAUACACGGGAUCCUUUGAAAAAGGCAAGUGUAGAGCAUACUCAGUAUAGAAAAUAGAGAUGAACGUUCUUAGUUUAAUAGCUCAAGUAUUUUCUUCGUUUACCUAGAAGAAGAAGAGAAACUUAGUAAACCAUAGAGGUUUUAUGACAAACUUAGAAAUAUUAUUGAUCGCAAUCUGCAUUUUACAAAGACGGAAGAGCUCUUAAAUAGAGCUGGAAAGCCAAGAUAAGACAAGACCCUUAUCUUUCUUUAAAGUAAAUGACAAAAGAAAAUCACUCUUAAAAGCAUAAAAGCUGAAACACACAUUUGACAGGACAGGACCCCUGUCAUUUAUUGAAAGCAGGAAAAGCCAAGAUUCUCGGACAACUCUGUAGCUAUGUGAGGCUAUUAUGGAGUUGAGGGAAAUCUGGAUGGAGACACAUCAGCAGUUUCAUUUUCAUAGUCUUCUUUUGCUUUUUGAAUUUCUUGGUGGAUCAAAUAGUCUUCAUCUAACUAUGGGAUUUAUGUUCUUGGAGUUGGAGUGGACGAAGAACCUGGUUUAGUGACAGUGUACUGAGUUUCUUGUGUUGGCAACAAACAUUGGAAGUCUUCCCAAGGGUGGGCGUCUUGGAAGAGAACAUUGGUGUAGUCAGUUCGUUGUUCACGAACAAGAAUUCCAUGAGGACUGGAGCUGGAUCCUGGAGUACAUAUCUGGGUUCUUGGUAUAACUUCAAGAGUGUGGGAAGGACCAAUGGAUGUAUGGUGAAUGUUUGGUGGGACAGGUUGGAUAUUGUUGAGUUCUAACAAAUAGGCUUUGAGAGUGGAGAUGAUUGUUGGAUCAUGAUUAAGAGGGAAAGGAUGAGGAAAUGUUUUCCAUUCAUACGCCAUGUCCUGUGUCAAGUAGUCUUUUGUUUCAGGAUGUUGGAAAUAUGGUCUAUGAACUAUGAAUACCGAAGUAAACAUAUCUGCUUCUUGAUCGGGAAUCCUAUCUAACUGAUAAAAGUUAGAUAAAUUCUACAAUUGCUUACGCCACCAAGUGAGUGGUGAAAACCAUUCAAGGAGCGUCCAGAGAAGUGUGGGUGCAUGAUCUGGUGUGGAGAUAUGCCUGAGGGUGGGAAGGAUAAGAAGAACAAGUUUGGUAGCAAACAGGACUGUGAGACACCACAUGUACCAUAAUUCAUCUUCAGAAAUGGUGAGGCUUGGAAUAAUGGUGAAGCCAGUGAGGAACAAGUGUUCUAAACAUAAAGAGGGAAACCUUUAUGGGUUGGUUCUGUGAACAUUCAUGAAAUACCUAUAAAGGAAUUUCUUUGCAAAGGCUUGGAUUUGGAAAGCUGAUCAGAAAGUGAGAUUUAGAGGAAAAGCUUUUUAGGUUAAAGCUUUGAAUGGGAGUGAACGAUUCAUGGCUAUAAUUGGGAUGGUUGUAAUGGAAGAGAUGAGAACAGGGCUUUUUAUAGAUGGACGGGUGAGGAAAUCAGGGAAAAGAUUUUUAUCACCUUUGAUGUGUUGGACUAUGAAAUCAUACUUUGCAAACCAUGUCUUUAAACUGAGUAAUUGCUUGUCAGGAAGCAAUUUGUUCUUGAAGUCAAAGAUCUAUGGAAAAGAACUGUUAUCCAUUUUGAUAAGGAAAUUGUGGUUGAGGAGAUGAAAUUUGUAUUUCUUGAUUUCAUAUUUUACUGUAAGAAUUUCCUUGUAAAUCACGUGGUAAUUCUUUUCUGAAUCUUUGAACUGUCCACUUGCAUGAGCGCAAUAGGACUCAAAGUCACCUACCUUUUCCAAAAGGACGGCACUCCAAAAGUCAUCACUAGCAUCUGUCUGGAGAAUGCGUUGGCCUGUAGUGGGAAUUCUGAGUGGAGGAGGUGACUGGGCUAUCUUUUUUACCUGCUUGACAGCGUCUGUCUGAGCUGGGUCCCAUGGGGGAAUGCUUUUUUUAAGCAUGCAUGAUAGCUGGCUGGUGUGGACCACAACUUUAGGAAUAAAGUCUCUGACAUAAUUAACAAUUCCAAGGAACUGUUGAAUUUGCUUUUUGGUGAGGUCAGUGUCUGGAAACUUUAAUAAUUCUGCUAUAAUGUGUGAUCCUGGAUGGUAGUGACCAUCUUUUAAGACCAUGCCAAGAAAGUCAAUAGAUUUCUUUCCUAUGUUGCUUUUCUUUUCUGAAAGCAUGAUCCCGUGUGUCUACACGAUUUCCAGGAAAUCUGAAAGGAGUUGUUGAUGGGUUUGGUGGUUGUGGGAAAACAACAGGAUAUCAUCAAUGUAGAUUAAAGCAUGAUGGAGGAUCGGAGAGAAGAUCUUAACCAUUGCUUUUUGAAAUAAUGAGGGAGCAACUUUGAGACCGAAGGGUAGGACUCUCCAUUGAUAAUGAACAUCAGGGAUACAGAAGGCUAUUUUGGGACGGUAUUCUGGAGAAAUGCCAAGUUGCCAAAAACCAGCUUUAAGAUUGAACUUUGAAAAUACCUUUGCACCUUGAAGAUGAAUGAAUAGAGGCUGGAUCUUUGGAAGAGGAAAUUUAUCAUCUUUAAGGAAAGCAUUAAGUGGCUAGUAAUCAAUAACUAAUCUCUUUUUUUCACGAACUAAUUCAAAUCAUUUUUCAACAUAGAAAGCUUGACAAGCCCAAUCUGAAGUAGUAGGUUCUAUGAGGCCUUGCCGAAGCAAUUGAGUGCAUUCUUGCUUGGCGAGAGAGAGAUCAGAUGGAGGCAUCCCUGGAUGUGUAGCUUUUGUGGGAUUGAUAUCUUCAGUAAGUUUGAAAGGAAGAUGGAUGAAAAAUUGCUCAUUUUUCUAAAGUGGUGAUGGAUGAGUAAAUUGUGAAUGAUUUUCAAGACAAAGUUCAAGGAACUUUUGGGAAAUGGAGGUAUAAGGAGGAGCUGUAUCUGACAAUGUAUACAUACAAAGAAUAUCUGUAUAAGGCAUAAAUAUUUGUUUGAAUUUAAUUCAUGUUGGCGUAAUGAAGAGAUUUUUUACCAGUUGAAGGAUAUCAAAUCCUAUGAGGAGAUCUUUGUCUGGUAAAUUUGAACUAAUGAUUUUUUGCCAAAUGAUAUAGUUUGCAAAGAACUGGAUACCAAUGGGUUUUUUUUGGUAAUGAGAGAGGUUUAAAAAAUUCUUCCAUUUGCAGCUCUGAAGUAUUCAGUAUGGUUUUCCCAAUAAUCAGGAGGAAGGACCUUAGGGUUGAGCAUACUGUGCUGUGUGCCAGUAUCAAGGAAACCAAUGACUAAGACAGGUUUAUGGAAUUUGGAAGGGAUGACUGAAAUUUUUACCAAAGGACCAGUAAGUUUGGAACGGAUCUGGUUAAUUUCUUGAACAAUGGAGAUCACAGAAAUUUCAUCUGUUUCUAAAUCUGUUGAUUCAGCAAGAAUGAAGGCUGUAUGAUAAUCUUUCUCUGACUGUUCUGAGAAGAUGGAUUCAACAUCUUCAUUGUCAAAAAGUAUGGAAGAUUGCUGCAGGUGCUGAAUGAGACGAACAACUUUUGCUGACUUAUUUGGGCAAUUGCGGACAAAAUGUCCGCGCUUUUUGCAAAUAAAACAACGAUUGUAUUUCUUCUUUCUGAACUGGGAAGGAUCCUUUUUUCUGAAGUAUCUGUAAGGCUUCUUUGGUUUCUGGAAGAGGAUUUGUGGGAAUGUUUCUGGAAGUGUUUCUUUUUAUUGGUUGGACAAGUGCACUUUUUGUCAUCUUUGCACUGGAUUUUGAACAAGCUGAGGCAAAGGGUUCUUUGUGUUCAAUAAGAUCUUUGAAGAAAUCUUUUUGCUCACAGAUCUUAUCAAGGCAUAGUAUGGUUAAUUGAAAGAUUUUUCCAAGUGAGACAUUUGCUAUGUCAAGGUUAAAGGCUGUCAAUUGUCUUUGAAGCUCUGGCUGAAGUUCUGGUGGUAAAGAUGCAGCAAAGACAUGCUUUAAAGAUGGAUCAUUGAAUCCAUUCAGUUUGUAAUAAAGCAUGCUCAUCCUUUUGUAAUGCAUUUCCAGGUGAUGUCGUUUAAGAGAAUAACAUUUCAUCUGGUGAUAUUCUUUUCAAGAUGCUUCAGUUGAUGCUGAUGGUUCUCCAAUAAACUGCUCAUACAUGAUUGCAAGAGCUAUAGGAAUGGUGGUUUGAAUCAACUGGAGUUGUCUGUAUUCUCUUCGACUUUCAAACCAAUCUCGUAAUGAUCCAGUGAAUCUGGAAUAAAACUCACAGAGAACAUUCUGAGAUUGUGCAUGAGGCCUUGUCAUUUGCACAUCAAUCCAUGCAGCAAAUUCUUGAUGUCGGGCCUGUUGAGUGUUAGAAAAUGCAUAUUUAUAAAGGAGAAAACCGUCAUUUUACAUUUUAAGUCUUACUAACAACCCUUACUUUUAUAUAUUUAACCUUCUUGUAAUUUAAUUACAUGUGUUUUAUUUUAAUUAAGUAUUUUAUGUAUUUUAGGGGCAUUAUAGUCAUUUCACAAUAAAGGAGAGAUCAGACAGCAAAACGGACAUCACUUUUGAACUCAGGACGGUCGAAAACCUUAGGAGGAGCAUAAAAGGAAAAAUGGCACUAUUCACAUGUACGGUACUAUUCACGCGUACGGUACUGUCUACGUUACUGUUCACGACACUGUUCACAUAGACGGAUGAUGACGUGGCAUUGACCGAUGAUGUGGCAUUGACUGAUGAGGUGUCACGAUCCUGUUGGACCAAAAUUCUUAUGUACUGUUGAUGGUGACGUGGCAGCAUAUCAGUGGACGAAAAAUCUCGCGUACGGUGCAUGCAUCACACAGGAUUAUUUUCAACCAAACCGCGUUACUGUUCAUCCGGGUCAAACCGCGUUACUGUUCAAAGUCGGGUCAAACCGUGUUACUGUUCAUCCGCGUGGUCAAACCGUGGACUGUUGACUGAUGACGUGGCGCAAUCCUGAGCGUCCAAACUGUUUUUAAUCCGAUGGCCAUGAUUUACUCCAUGUAUCUAUAAAAAGGGGGCAUCCCCCCCUAAUUUGAUAUCUCUGAAUCCAUUUUUGGGAUCCAUUUUCUGUAAUUCCCUCUCCAUCUUGUAUUUUCUUCGUAUUUUAAUAAAUUUCCAUUUUGCCCCUAGUUCAACUAUGAGUGGCUAAUUUUAUUUCAAGCUUGGGUUGAAGGUGAAGUCUCAACAUGUGUCAUGGGCUUAAUUUGGUAAAUUUACUUUCUCUUCCCCUCUAGUUUUUGUGGAUGUUUUGACUUCUCGUCGACAAAUAAUACUAAUCUUGUCUAGUACCGCCUUGGUUACACCGGCUCUCUAGUAUAAGGUUAUUAUUAUUUGGCACGAUAAGCCCUUAGCACCAUAUUGAUUAGAGCGUGGUUCAUGAGGUGUGGAUUCCCCCCUCAUGAUUUAAUUGGCAUUAAUACGGAUUAUUUAGCCCAUGAUGCAUGUUGAUACGGAUCCAGAUACCCAAGUACGUCAUUUCAAUAUAAUUCUCAUCAAUUUAUUCUCGCCAUUUCAAUACCAAUUUCAGAAUUUAUUCUCGCCAUUUCAAUACCAAUUUCAGAAUUUAUCCUCGCCAUUUUAAUUUAAGUUUUAGCAUAUACCAAAUCAUUUCCACCAUAAAUCCAACAACCCAUUUACAAAAUUAAUUCUAAACACAAUUAAAAUCCACCUCCUCGUGGGAUCGACACUCGUCACCAUAGAUCUAUACUACAAUAGAUUCGUGCGCUUGCGAGUACAUUAAAAUUUGCACAACAAGUUUUUGGCGCCGUUGCCGGGGAGGUAAGUAAUUUUAAUUCAUAGAAUUAAUUUUUGUGAAUAAUUUCUUUUAUUUGUUUUCUUGUAUUUUUUUUUAUUAUUAAAAAAAAAAAGUGAAUCUACAUUUAAAGGUUAGUAUUUCUUUUCUUUUUCUCUUCUUUAAAAUUUUGUAAUUUAAUUUUCCAUUUAUUUUUCUUUGUAAUUUUUUUUGUUUAUCUUAUUAAUUUAAUUUUUAGUUAAUUUCUUUCACGUAUUUAUUUUUGUGUAUUUUUAUAGAAAGGUUGUAAUAGCGCAAUAAGGUUAGUAUCGUAAUUUCUCCCUCUUCUUUAUUUUUAUUUGUUUUGUUCCCAUCUUUAUUUUUUGUUUUGUUUGCAUCUUUAUUUUUAUUUUAUUUAUUUGCAUGCAUGGUCGUAGGUCAUUAUUACCUAAUCUUGAACCUAUAGACCUUGAAUUAGAAAAAACACUUCGCACACACAAACACGUUAAAAAUAAAAUGGAUUUACAAGCACCACAGGAGAGGCCAUUUAAGGACUAUUUUAGUCCCUUAGCUAAUUUGAGCACGUCAUGCAUAAGAUACCCAAAUGUAGCUGCUAGGAGCUUUGAACUAAAACCUAGUGUGCUAAAUUGUCUCCCCACAUUCUAUGGCUUAGAAAAUGAGGACCCAUAUAAUCAUCUGAAUGAUUUUCAUGCCAUUUGUCAAACAUUUAAAUAUGAGAAUUUUUCAGACGAUGAUGUUAAACUCAGAUUAUUCCCAUUUUCUUUAAAAGAUAGAGCUCGUUCAUGGUUAAAUACUUUACCUGCUAAUAGCAUUUCAUCAUGGGAACAAAUGGUAACUAAAUUUUUGAAUAAAUAUUUCCCAGUGCAUAAAACCAAUGCUAUUCGCAGGGAAAUUUCAGAGUUCACACAAAGAGAGGACGAGCAGUUUUUCGAAACUUGGGAGCGAUUCAAUGGGCUACUCUUGAAGUGUCCACAUCAUGGGUACGAAAAAUGGCACCAAUGCCAAUACUUUUUGGAGGGAUUAUUACCGAAUGUGCAAGAAUGGCUAAUGGCAACAAGUGGAGGAGAGCUAAUGUCAAAAAGUGCAUCAGAGAUUUGGGAAUUCUUCCAGCGACAAGCGGACAAUUCCCAACAACGGAGUCGAUCACUCAGGAAUACUAGAAGGAUUAAAGGAGUGAAUGAGGUCCACAUUGGCGAGUCAACUUCGGGAAUCAAAGAAGUCAAGGAGAUGGUUGAAGGUCUUGCUCGACAAAUAGCAUCAUUAUCGACUGCUAAAUCAACAGAACCACAUGACCAUGACUCAUACUCAGAUCAAGCCAAUGCCAUAGGUGUAAUGAGAAAACCAUCGAAUUACAACCCAUACUCCAACACAUAUAAUCCUGGAUGGAGAGACCACCCCAAUUUUUCAUGGUCUCAAGGAUUCCAACAGAAUGGACCAGCAGCUCCAGCUCCACCAAUGCAACAAAUUCCUCAAAAUCCUCAAGCCUCUCAGCCCCCAUUUAGACCAUUCAAUCAGAACCAGAACCACUCUCAACCUAGACCAUGGGAGGAUGCAUUCCAGAAUUUUAGGAAUGUUACUCACUCCACGAUUGAGCAACAGAACCGCACCAUUGAUGGACUACGAAAUGAGUUGAGAGCGGGCUUCAACUCACAAGCCCAAUCAGUUUCAAGCCUCGAGAAGAUGGUGGGACAACUUGCUUCUUCAGUUCAGACCUUGGCAAUGACCGUUGAGAAAGGUAAGUUUCCAAGUCAACCAGUGCCUAACCCUAAAGGAGUGCAUGAAGCAAGUACCAGUUCACCACAGCAACAUGGAGAAGUCAAAGCCGUCAUGACCUUGCGAAAAGGAAAAGAAGUCGACAACAAAGUGGAGAUGCUGGUGACAAAAGAAAAUCAAAUUGUACCUGUGAAUGUUGAAGACUCAUCACCGGAGGAGAAAGAAGAAACCAACCCACGAGAAUACGUUCCGAAAGCUCCAUUUCCUCAAAGGUUAGCGAAAGGAAAGAAGGGAAAAUCCACAGGUGAGAUUCUCGAAAUCUUCAAACAGGUAAGUGUUAAUAUCCCUUUGCUUGAUGCUAUUAAACAAGUUCCAUCUUAUGCCAAGUUUCUUAAAGACCUUUGUACUAAAAAGAGAAAUAUGCAUGUUCAAAAGAAAGCAUUUUUAACAGAAAACGUUAGUUCUAUCCUCCAACAUAAAAUUCCUCUAAAAUGCAAAGACCCAGGCUCCCCCACUAUCUCAUGUAGCAUAGGGAACCACACAAUUGAGAAUGCUUUGUUGGAUUUAGGAGCUAGUGUAAAUCUGUUACCUUAUUCAGUGUUUGUGAAACUUGGACUUGGAGAAUUACACCCAACUCCAGUGGUGUUACAGCUUGCAGAUCGGUCCACGAAAAUACCUCGUGGUAUUGUGGAGGACGUGCUUAUCCAGGUAGACAAGUUUUAUUUUCCUGUUGAUUUCAUUGUAAUUGACACUCAACCAAUACAGGAUUCAAGGAAGCACAUCCCCAUUAUUCUAGGCCGACCUUUCUUGGCAACUGCGGAUGCUCACAUUCAAUGCAGGACUGGAAAUAUGCAGUUGUCCUUCGGCAACAUGACUAUGGAACUGAACAUCUUCAACAUUGCCAAACAACCUCACAGUGCAGAUGAUGGAAUUGUUGAUGUGGAUUUAAUAGAAACAAUAGUUGAUAAUACUUUUCUUUCAAACCUUAGUGAUGAUCCUUUACAGACAUGCUUAACUCACUUUGGUUUGGAUUUUGAUAUUGACAGAUCGGUUGAUGAGGUCAACGCCCUGCUUGACUCAGCACCAUCUAUGGACACUAAUAAAUGGAAGUCAAGAGUUGAGCAACUAGCACCAUCAGAGAAGCAACUCAUUCCAUCAUCAGAAUCACCACCGAAACUCGAGCUCAAACCAUUGCCCAACACUUUGGAAUAUGCGUUUUUGGGAGAAGAAAGCACUCUGCCGGUAAUCAUCUCAUCAUCCCUCAAUGACGAACAAAAAGGUAAGUUGUUAGAUGUUUUGAAAGAGCACAAAGGGGCAUUAGGAUGGACCAUAGCAGACAUAAAAGGUAUAAACCCAGUAGACUGCAUGCAUUACAUUCACCUUGAUGAAAAUGCUAAAUCUACUAGGGAAAUGCAACGUCGGUUAAAUCCUAAUAUGAAAGAAGUUGUUAGAACUGAAGUCCUUAAGCUAUUAGACGCAGGUAUCAUUUACCCAAUUUCUGAUAGUUCAUGGGUCAGUCCUGUACAAGUUGUCCCCAAAAAGUCAGGAGUUACAGUAGUUACGAAUGCUGAUAAUGAAUUGAUACCCACUAGAGUGACUACAGGAUGGCGUGUAUGCAUUGAUUAUAGAAAGUUGAAUUCUGUCACACGUAAAGACCAUUUCCCUUUACCAUUUAUUGAUCAAAUGCUUGAUAGAUUAGCAGGUCAUGAAUUUUAUUGCUUUCUAGAUGGCUACUCAGGAUAUAAUCAGAUUCCCAUAGCACCAAACGAUCAAGAGAAAACUACUUUCACUUGCCCUUUUGGCACAUUUGCAUAUAGGAGAAUGCCAUUUGGAUUAUGCAAUGCACCUGCUACAUUUCAACGAUGCAUGUUGAGCAUUUUUUCUGAUAUGGUUGAACGAUUCCUUGAAGUCUUUAUGGAUGACUUUUCUGUCUUUGGCAACUCGUUUGAUCAAUGUUUACAUCAUCUAACACUAGUUCUGCAGAGAUGUAUCGAGAAGAACUUGAUCUUAAAUUGGGAGAAAUGCCAUUUUAUGGUAAAACAAGGUAUUGUUCUCGGUCACAUCAUUUCGAGCAAAGGUAUUGAGGUUGACAAAGCCAAGGUGGAUCUCAUUUCUAAUCUUCCUCCACCUAAAACAAUCAGAGAAGUAAGAUCUUUCCUUGGGCAUGCUGGUUUCUAUAGACGUUUCAUUAAAGAUUUUAGCAAAGUUUCUAGACCCUUAUGCAAUCUACUUGCUAAGGAUGUACCUUUUAUCUUUAAUGAUUCAUGUCUCAUGGCGUUUGAAAAAUUAAAACAGUUGUUGACAUCAUCACCCAUCAUUCAGGCCCCGAACUGGAGCUUACCAUUUGAACUCAUGUGUGAUGCAUCUGAUUAUGCAGUAGGAGCAGUAUUAGGACAAAGAGUUGAUCGAAUUCCCCAUGUUAUUUAUUAUGCUAGUAUGACAUUGAAUGAUGCACAGUUGAACUAUUCAACUACUGAAAAAGAAAUGCUAGCAGUAGUGUUUGCAUUGGAAAAAUUUCGAUCAUAUCUCAUUGGUUGUAAAAUAAUUAUAUUCACAGAUCAUGCUGCUCUUAAAUAUCUUCUCACAAAGAAAGAUGCAAAAGCUAGACUAAUUCGUUGGGUGUUACUUUUACAGGAAUUUGACUUGGAAUUCAAAGAUAAGAAAGGGUCAGAAAAUGUUGUGGCGGACCAUCUCUCUCGUCUUCACUUUGACACAAUUACAGAGCCAUUAAUAUUAAAUGAGUCAUUUCCAGAUGAACAAUUAAUGAGUGUGGAAGUAUUACCUUGGUAUGCUGAUAUAGUUAAUUAUCUUGUUACAGGUAAACUUCCAGAGCAUUGGACCAAGCAAGACAAGAUCAAAUUCUUUGCGGAAAUAAAGAAUUUCUUUUGGGAUGACCCGUAUUUGUUCAAGUAUUGUGCAGACCAAAUUGUUAGACGAUGUGUCCCAGAAAAUGAAAUUCAGAAUAUCCUUUCAUUCUGCCAUGAACAAGCUUGUGGAGGCCAUUUCAGUGCUAAGAAAACAGCGACUAAAGUUUUACAAUGUGGUUUCUAUUGGCCAACACUAUUUCGAGACGCUUACACUUUUUGUUCUUCAUGUGAUAGGUGUCAACGAAUGGGGAGCAUUACACGAAGGAACAUGAUGCCACUAAAUCCAAUUUUAGUGGUUGAGAUUUUUGACGUAUGGGGUAUCGACUUCAUGGGACCCUUUCCCCCUUCUUUUGGCCAUCAAUACAUAUUGGUUGGUGUUGACUACGUCUCAAAAUGGGUAGAAGCAAUUCCAUGUAGGACCAAUGAUCACAAGGUGGUGAUAGGAUUUUUGAAAAGCAACAUUGUCUCGCGCUUUGGAUUCCCUCGAGCAAUAAUCAGUGAUGGUGGUGCCCACUUUUGUAACAAAGCAUUCAAAGCUCUUUUGACAAAGUAUUCAAUCACACACAAAGUGGCGACCCCGUAUCAUCCGCAAACCAGUGGCCAAGUUGAGAUCUCCAAUCGAGAAAUAAAGCACAUAUUAGAAAAAACGGUGAGGCCGGACAGAAAAGAUUGGUCAUUAAGACUUGAUGAUGCCUUAUGGGCAUAUAGAACGGCUUUCAAGACCCCGAUUGGGAUGUCACCCUACAGGCUAGUGUAUGGAAAAGCUUGCCACCUACCUGUGGAACUCGAGCAUCGUGCGUAUUGGGCCAUCAAGAAAUUCAAUUUUGACAUGCAGCAAGCCAACUCAGAAAGAAGAUUACAACUGGCAGAACUUGAAGAAAUUCGCAAUGAUGCAUACGAAAAUGCCAAGAUUUACAAGCAACGAAUGAAAGUCUUCCAUGACAAGCAAAUUAUGAGAAAAUCUUUCACCCCAGGUCAGAAAGUGCUUUUAUUCAAUUCUCGCUUGCACCUAUUCCCAGGUAAGUUACGCUCUCGAUGGUCUGGCCCAUUUAUUGUUCAUACUGUUUUUCCACAUGGGGCAAUUGAAAUUAAAGACCCAAAGAAUGGUGUCACGUUUAAAGUUAAUGGUCAAAUAUUAAAGCCAUAUCUAGAGUACCAACCACAUGAAGAAGACACCGAAAUAAAUUUGAGUGACCCACCAAAUUUGAAUUGAUUUUUUUUUCUUUUCGUUGAUUUGAUUUUUCUUUCUUUCUUUUUAUUAUUAUUCUUUUGCUAAUUGAAAUUGUUUUUGCAUAAGUGUGUUUAUUUUACCAUUAAGUUUUCUCUUAUCAUUUUUAAUCAUGAGUCUCAUACUUAGACCGUUCCUCCUGAACAUUCUUAAACCACUUCAACGUGUCAAAACUCAUCUCAAAAGACAGAUUCAAUUUUGUAAAACACAUCGCAUUUGGACUCUACAACCACCAGAGUUAGUAGCCUAUGUUGAGGGUUUAGAACACCAACUCAGAGACAUUGAGAGAAGUGUUUACGACAUCCAGUUGGAGCUUGAGGUAAAUUCAAUAAGAGGACGAUUUUAAUUUUCUUUGUGUGUUUUAAUUUGUUUUUCUAUUUGUGUGCUUUAGUUUAUUACCCCGGUGAAGUGGCGGAUAACGGUACUCCGUGACAAUCAAGUCGGUUACUUCAGUUUCCCAUAAUAACUGAUAUUCUGAGGCGAAGGUAUGGACAGAAACGAGAUUCUAGCGAAGCUUCACAAGCGAUUCCCUUCACUUCCUCAGAAUGCCCUCCUUACGAUCUAUAAAGCUCGGUCCGAACGCAUGCGAUUACUCAUGAGGAAUAACAUACCUGCUGACAUCCGUUGGUUAAUCGAGGCUAAAGUACGAUCGGCAGGUGAGUUACCUCCAAAAUUUAUUGCAUACAUGCCUGGUUGUGGUAAAGGAAAUUAUGCAAGAAAACGACGAGCUCGAAGAAUUUCUGUUGCUUGUCAUAAGCGUGCCAGAAUGAGUUGCAAUAAAAACCCAUGUUCUUUAGGAAUGGUGUCUGAUAACAGGGAAGAUAAGAUUCAAUUCAUUAGGGAUGGCUUGAAUAAGGAGUCAUUGGAUGAUAUCCUUUUGUCUCUUGAAACGCAUCCCAGUGGAUAUGUGCAAGGAGCGAUUCUCCAGUUAUGGCCAUUAUUCCAGAAAGAGCAUGCACGAUAUAGUCUCGGGAAUCUGACUAUAAACGACCCUGUUUGCCAGUUUAUAAGAAAACUGGAUAGGAAGCCUAUCCUCGACCCAUAGAGGGCGUUCAAGCCGUUUCUGGACGUAAAACCAGAGGAAGAUGUGAGCCACAGUCGCAACUACCUGUAAAUAUCCUUUUACUUUAUUGUUAUUUUAUUUCACUAUUGUCUUAUUGUUUGCAUUAUUGUCUUUAAUAAUUUUAUUACUGUUUGCUUUUUCCUUUUUACUGUUUUCUUUUUGACUUGCGAGCCACGUGCUUUACGCGUUAUUUGACACUGACAUAUUUACCUCAUACACCACCAUGACCCAUUAUCACCAAGACUCCUUAAUGUGAUUUCUUUUUUUGUCAGCACUCCCAAAAUGGUUUUGAGAAAUAUCACAAUGUCCGCUAUUCCCAAUAAAAUAAUUCAAGACCAUUUGUGUGGCUUUCUGGAUUUAACUUAUGGCAAAUAUAANNNNNNNNNNNNNNNNNNNNNNNNNNNNNNNNNNNNNNNNNNNNNNNNNNNNNNNNNNNNNNNNNNNNNNNNNNNNNNNNNNNNNNNNNNNNNNNNNNNNNNNNNNNNNNNNNNNNNNNNNNNNNNNNNNNNNNNNNNNNNNNNNNNNNNNNNNNNNNNNNNNNNNNNNNNNNNNNNNNNNNNNNNNNNNNNNNNNNNNNNNNNNNNNNNNNNNNNNNNNNNNNNNNNNNNNNNNNNNNNNNNNNNNNNNNNNNNNNNNNNNNNNNNNNNNNNNNNNNNNNNNNNNNNNNNNNNNNNNNNNNNNNNNNNNNNNNNNNNNNNNNNNNNNNNNNNNNNNNNNNNNNNNNNNNNNNNNNNNNNNNNNNNNNNNNNNNNNNNNNNNNNNNNNNNNNNNNNNNNNNNNNNNNNNNNNNNNNNNNNNNNNNNNNNNNNNNNNNNNNNNNNNNNNNNNNNNNNNNNNNNNNNNNNNNNNNNNNNNNNNNNNNNNNNNNNNNNNNNNNNNNNNNNNNNNNNNNNNNNNNNNNNNNNNNNNNNNNNNNNNNNNNNNNNNNNNNNNNNNNNNNNNNNNNNNNNNNNNNNNNNNNNNNNNNNNNNNNNNNNNNNNNNNNNNNNNNNNNNNNNNNNNNNNNNNNNNNNNNNNNNNNNNNNNNNNNNNNNNNNNNNNNNNNNNNNNNNNNNNNNNNNNNNNNNNNNNNNNNNNNNNNNNNNNNNNNNNNNNNNNNNNNNNNNNNNNNNNNNNNNNNNNNNNNNNNNNNNNNNNNNNNNNNNNNNNNNNNNNNNNNNNNNNNNNNNNNNNNNNNNNNNNNNNNNNNNNNNNNNNNNNNNNNNNNNNNNNNNNNNNNNNNNNNNNNNNNNNNNNNNNNNNNNNNNNNNNNNNNNNNNNNNNNNNNNNNNNNNNNNNNNNNNNNNNNNNNNNNNNNNNNNNNNNNNNNNNNNNNNNNNNNNNNNNNNNNNNNNNNNNNNNNNNNNNNNNNNNNNNNNNNNNNNNNNNNNNNNNNNNNNNNNNNNNNNNNNNNNNNNNNNNNNNNNNNNNNNNNNNNNNNNNNNNNNNNNNNNNNNNNNNNNNNNNNNNNNNNNNNNNNNNNNNNNNNNNNNNNNNNNNNNNNNNNNNNNNNNNNNNNNNNNNNNNNNNNNNNNNNNNNNNNNNNNNNNNNNNNNNNNNNNNNNNNNNNNNNNNNNNNNNNNNNNNNNNNNNNNNNNNNNNNNNNNNNNNNNNNNNNNNNNNNNNNNNNNNNNNNNNNNNNNNNNNNNNNNNNNNNNNNNNNNNNNNNNNNNNNNNNNNNNNNNNNNNNNNNNNNNNNNNNNNNNNNNNNNNNNNNNNNNNNNNNNNNNNNNNNNNNNNNNNNNNNNNNNNNNNNNNNNNNNNNNNNNNNNNNNNNNNNNNNNNNNNNNNNNNNNNNNNNNNNNNNNNNNNNNNNNNNNNNNNNNNNNNNNNNNNNNNNNNNNNNNNNNNNNNNNNNNNNNNNNNNNNNNNNNNNNNNNNNNNNNNNNNNNNNNNNNNNNNNNNNNNNNNNNNNNNNNNNNNNNNNNNNNNNNNNNNNNNNNNNNNNNNNNNNNNNNNNNNNNNNNNNNNNNNNNNNNNNNNNNNNNNNNNNNNNNNNNNNNNNNNNNNNNNNNNNNNNNNNNNNNNNNNNNNNNNNNNNNNNNNNNNNNNNNNNNNNNNNNNNNNNNNNNNNNNNNNNNNNNNNNNNNNNNNNNNNNNNNNNNNNNNNNNNNNNNNNNNNNNNNNNNNNNNNNNNNNNNNNNNNNNNNNNNNNNNNNNNNNNNNNNNNNNNNNNNNNNNNNNNNNNAUUUUUUUUAACAUUGGGUGACAUGAUUAAUUUAAAUUUUAGUAUUUGUAUUAUCUUUGGUCUUAAGUGAUGUUACAUUAUGUUUGCUACUCUACAUGUUGAUGUUGGAGACAUAUAUGAGUUGCUUGAAGGAAUGAACAUGUCAUAAUAAGUACCAAGUGAGUUUUUGAGCCUAUCAUUUUUCUUGGAGAGUAACCCUUUUGCCCAUUCUUUAUACAGCUUAACAGUUUAUUAUUGUAUACACGAUCUCUAGAUUUCUUUUGAGUUAACCCUUAAUAAAAAAAAAAAAAAAGUGUGUUGCUACAUUUGGAGGCCCAUCUAACUAGUAGAUAUGGAAGGUUAUUCAGAGCCCUAAAAGACGAUGGAAAGGCCAUCUUUGAUCCGUUUGAGCCUUUCUAGCCAUCCCUUUUAUUAAAUAUCCAUAGUUAACCCUUUUGAGCCUUUAAAAAAAAAAAAAAAACAUUUUCUUUGUCAACUUAUCAUCUUGACCCACUCCGAUUUGGAGUAUUACCCGAUGUCUUAUAAGUUCCAUCACCUAUUUAUGUUUGAGAAAAUGUAAAUAAUUAUGUUGUUCAGUGAAGUUAUGCCAAAAAAAAAAAACAAAAAAAAAACAAAAACAAAAACAAAAACAAAAGUUGUUGUUUCAAAAGAAUAAAAAUAGGUGAAAUCCACCUUGCAACUUCCAAAAAAAAAAAAAAAAAAUUCUCUGCAUUUUUCUCAAACAUACACUUUGUUUUCCUUAUUUCCCUUCUUUGUUAACCAUGUCCCUAGCCUACGUUACGUCCUAAUAAAAGUCCUUCUUGAUUUUAGGGAACUAUAGUCCGAAGUAGAAGCUAGUUAUAUGGGCUAAAAAGAUGUAGUGAUGCAUAAUUAAAAAAAAAAAAGAUAAAUAAAGUGGGUUGACUAACAUUUUAUUUGACUUGAGAUCGUAUUAUUUCUAAGCUGAGGGCAUAUUUAUUUCAUCUUGGUGAGAGCAUGUGAUAUCACUUCUUUAUUAUUUUCUCUCUCAAUUACCAUUCAUUGGAGUGACUAUUUUUAUUGGGAUUAAUUUAUUUGUGAGAGUGUCACUACUUCCAGUGAGAUUGUGGGGUUUGACAUGUCAUUCUUGAGAGUAGCUAAAACAAAGUCUACUGGGCUAAUUCAUGUGGAUGGUUGAUGUGGGUGUGAUGUUGCUUUAGACUGGAGAUAAUGCUUAUACUUUUAUUUGAUUGCUAUCAUUAAUCUGAUGGAAUAAAUACGAGUGUUUCUAUUAAAAAAAAAAAUAUAUUUUGAAUUUGAAUUUUAUUUUCGCUUUAUUUGCUAGGGACUAGCAAUAAGCUGGUUGGGGGGUGUGUUGAGUGUUAGAAAAUGCAUAUUUAUAAAGGAGAAAACCGUCAUUUUACAUUUUAAGUCUUACUAACAACCCUUACUUUUAUAUAUUUAACCUUCUUGUAAUUUAAUUACAUGUGUUUUAUUUUAAUUAAGUAUUUUAUGUAUUUUAGGGGCAUUAUAGUCAUUUCACAAUAAAGGAGAGAUCAGACAGCAAAACGGACAUCACUUUUGAACUCAGGACGGUCGAAAACCUUAGGAGGAGCAUAAAAGGAAAAAUGGCACUAUUCACAUGUACGGUACUAUUCACGUGUACGGUACUGUAUACGUUACUGUUCACGACACUGUUCACAUAGACGGAUGAUGACGUGGCAUUGACCAAUGAUGUGGCAUUGACUGAUGAGGUGUCACGAUCCUGUUGGACUAAAAUUCUUAUGUACUGUUGAUGGUGACGUGGCAGCAUAUCAGUGGACGAAAAAUCUCGCGUACGGUGCAUGCAUCACACAGGAUUAUUUUCAACCAAACCGCGUUACUGUUCAUCCGGGUCAAACCGCGUUACUGUUCAAAGUCGGGUCAAACCGUGUUACUGUUCAUCCGCGUGGUCAAACCGUGGACUGUUGACUGAUGACGUGGCGCAAUCCUGAGCGUCCAAACUGUUUUUAAUCCGAUGGCCAUGAUUUACUCCAUGUAUCUAUAAAAAGGGGGCAUCCCCCCCUAAUUUGAUAUCUCUGAAUCCAUUUUUGGGAUCCAUUUUCUGUAAUUCCCUCUCCAUCUUGUAUUUUCUUCGUAUUUUAAUAAAUUUCCAUUUUGCCCCUAGUUCAACUAUGAGUGGCUAAUUUUCUUUCAAGCUUGGGUUGAAGGUGAAGUCUCAACAUGUGUCAUGGGCUUAAUUUGGUAAAUUUACUUUCUCUUCCCCUCUAGUUUUUGUGGAUGUUUUGACUUCUCGUCGACAAAUAAUACUAAUCUUGUCUAGUACCGCCUUGGUUACACCGGCUCUCUAGUAUAAGGUUAUUAUUAUUUGGCACGAUAAGCCCUUAGCACCAUAUUGAUUAGAGCGUGGUUCAUGAGGUGUGGAUUCCCCCCUCAUGAUUUAAUUGGCAUUAAUACGGAUUAUUUAGCCCAUGAUGCAUGUUGAUACGGAUCCAGAUACCCAAGUACGUCAUUUCAAUAUAAUUCUCAUCAAUUUAUUCUCGCCAUUUCAAUACCAAUUUCAGAAUUUAUUCUCGCCAUUUCAAUACCAAUUUCAGAAUUUAUCCUCGCCAUUUUAAUUUAAGUUUUAGCAUAUACCAAAUCAUUUCCACCAUAAAUCCAACAACCCAUUUACAAAAUUAAUUCUAAACACAAUUAAAAUCCACCUCCUCGUGGGAUCGACACUCGUCACCAUAGAUCUAUACUACAAUAGAUUCGUGCGCUUGCGAGUACAUUAAAAUUUGCACAACAGGGCCUGCCAUUUGUGAUGAGGGAUGUCAUCAAAUGUAAACCAUGGUGAAGAAGAUGGUUUGGAAGAAUUUUCAGAGACUGGGGGAACCGGUGGAACCGGUUCUGUUUGGGAGCCUUAGUCAGCAUUAUCAACAUCAGAAGAUUCAUUGACAACAGGAGUAGAUGUACUAGGAUCUUCUGUUUUUGUGGCCAUUAGAAGACCAGAAAUGUCAGCAUUUUGGGACUCUAAGUCUGAAGAAGUUUGUUAAGAUGAGCUGAGAGUAUCAGUGGAGGGUAAACUUUCGUCUGAGGUUGAACCUGAGUCAUUGUUUUGGGACUCAAUUUGCUGAUAAUGGUAUUGGUAAGCUGGAGCUUUGUCUUUCUUUGGAGGCUUAAGAGUGAUUGUCAGGUGUGGGAAGAUCUAAGGCAUGAUUUUGAAGCCUAUAGACCAACUGAUGGUGUAAGGUAGCCAUUUUUGCUGAGGAGAUUUAUUCUGCUCCUUAAAUUUGAACUUGAACUUUCAAGGCAGUUGACAUGUUGGUAUCUUGGAGAGAUAGAUUGAAAUUGGGGUAGAAAGUGAGAAGAACACUUCCUAGAUGUAAAGUGGUCAGGACAGUACCAACUAUUGCAUCCUGAUACUGUUUGAAUCUGGUGUCGAGCAUAGCAAUUCUGGCUGUAACAGGUAACCCUUUUCUUCCAUGGAAGGUAAGGAUUAACCUUACUCCCUCAAGAUGGAGAUGAGUAUAACCCUCCCUUUUCCAGUUGGAAAUCAAUUCUGGAAGUAUUUCCAAAGUAACAUAUUGCUCAGCUAUAGUAGCUUGAAGAGUGCACUGAUCUAGUCUAGAGGACUGGAUGUAUUCUUUUGGAUGAGGUCUUUUAGUAGAGAUAAGGGUUCUUAUACUUCUAGUAAAAGAGUUUCCUCUCUUGUAGAGCUGAUAAGGACUAAGAAGAGGGAAUGGGGAUAUAUGAGUAUUCAACAAGGUUUUCUAUUUUAUUGGCAGUUUGUUUGGAGUGAUCGUAGAAGUAGAAGCGUCAUUAGAUAAAGUAGAUGCCAUUAGUGAAAAUUUCUCUCUGUUUCUGAAGCCUAACUAUUUUUCAAAGAAAUAGGAGAAAGGAUUUCAUAGUUUUAGGAUGUUCUAAUGCAUAUUAGAUUUGGAAUAAACUUGAGGUAGUUUAUGAAGGUACAAAUCAAGUGGAACAAAAUGAGAGUGGAUAUUGUAAACACUCUAGGAGCCCUAAGAAAUACCUUUUCAAAUAGUGAGAAGGUUAAGAAAAUUAUUAGGUCUUUACCAAAAGAAUAGAGACCUAAGAGAGCUACUAUUAAGGAAGCCAAGGAUUUAAAUACUUUAACUAUUGAUGAUUUAAUUGGCUCACUUAUUUCUUAUAAUGAAGAUUUGAUAGUUGAAAGAGGUGACGAAGAUAAAAAGAAAAAGAGCAUUGCCUUCAAAGCUUCAAAAUCUAAAAGUGAUGAAGAAAACAAAUUUGAAGAUGAGGAUAUGGCAAUGAUUGCCAGAAAAUUUAGAAAAUUCUUCAAGAGAUCCCAUGAGGGAAGAGAGUUUACAAACUUCAAGAAUAAAAAAGGAGGAAAAGGAAGCAAUUACUUACUAUGAACGCAAGAAGCCUGGCCAUAUAAAAUUACUCAACAAACUCAAGAAGAAAGCUAUGGUGGCAACUUAGGAUGAUAGUUAUAAGGAGGAAUCACAUGAAGUUUCAAACUUGGCACUUAUGGCAAUAUGAGAAGAAAUUCAUGAGGUAAAUGAUCUUCCUUCUAAUGAUGAAUUGUUUGAAACAUUCACUGAAUUGCACAAUGAUUUAAAGAAGAUUGGAAUGAAAAAUGUUUCUCUUAGAAAGACAAAUGUAGAACUUUCAAGAGAGAUGAAUCUUUAAAUGCAAAGAUUAAAUGUCUAGAAUUAGAGAAUAAAAGAUUGCAUGAUGAGAUUAUGUUUGACAAAGAAAGCAUCGCAUUUGAGUAUGAAAUGAUGUUGAAAAAGAAAAAUGAAAUGCUAAAGAAAAACAGUAAUGAGCUUAAUGACAUUGUCUUAAAAUUUACAAAUGGUCAAAAGAUUUUAGAUAAUUUGCUUAGUUCUCAAAAAUGUGUUUUUGACAAAGGAGGUAUUGCCUAUAAACCAAAUUUGAAACAAAAAUAUUACAAGAAUUAUUUUGUGAAGGUUACUUCCAUUAAUGAUCAAAUUGUAUGCCAUUAUUGCAAUAGAAAUGGACACAUGAGUUAUAAAUGUCUAGUGAAGAAAAAAAUGCAUAUUAUGGAAUCAAAGUGUUUGGGUUCCAAAAGGAACUAUUGCUAACGCUCAAGAACCCAAAAGUUUUAGGUAUUUAAAACUUGGGAUUUCUUCUGUAGGGAUCAAAGAAGAAGAAAAAUAUAUGGUACUUGAAUAGCAGAUGCUCGAGACAUAUGACAGGCAAUUAUUCUUAGUGAAAAAUAUUGUUUGAAGACAAUUCAAAAUGAAAGAUUAUUAGUAUUGGUAAUGCUAUAAAAAUUCUUCUAUCUUUAUUAAAACUGUGUGUUUAGUUGAAAAUUUGAAACACAACUUGCUUAGUAUUAGUCAAUUGUGUGAUAAAGGCUAUAGUGCCACACACCCAACGCAGAGGUGGUAUCAUUUAUAAUUCUAAGUAAUAUUAUCUGAUCUCCUAGAAGAAGAUUAACCAAACAUGGAAGCAACUUCAUCUUUAAUCUCAACUCCAUCAUCUUCCUCUCAUAUUUCUCUUUCCUCUACUCUAUCUCCUCCAAAGUCAUGUUCCAAACACAUAGCCUCCAAAAUUGAAAACCUUGUUGAAUAUUCCUAUAUCCCCGAGUCUGCCCAAAUUAAUGAAUCUCAGUUCCCCAUCAUGAGUCCUUAUAAUCUAUACAAAUAAAAAACUUCUUUCACCAAAAGUAUCUGAACCCUGAUCUCCACCAAAAGACCACUCCCAAAAGAAUAUAUUCAGUUUUCUAUCAUAGUGAGUAGUAUGUCACUUUAGAAAUACCCUAAGAUCUCGUUGUCAACUGGAAAUGAGAAGGGUAUACGCAUCUCCACCUUGUCGGUGUAAGAUUGAUCCUCACCCUCCAUGGCAAAAAAGGUUUACCUGUUACGGCCAGGAUUGCUUUGUUAGACACCAGGUUCAAACAGUACCAACAUGGUGUUGUAGGAACCGUCCUGACCACACUCCAUGCUGGCAGUGUCUUGUUAACCUUUUACCCAAAUUUCAACCUCUCUCUUGAGGAUCCCAAUCUUCCCACUACCCUUAAGGUCCAAAUCCAGCUCCAAGGAGUAGAACAAACACCUACAUCAAAGAUAGCGACGCUUCAUCACCAAAUAGUGUAUCGAUUAUAGAAUCAUGCACUAGAUCUUCCCACACCACACACUACAUCUGAUGCCUUAAUGAUCCUUGACAAUUCCAACCAUCAUCUAAAUUCCUAAACAAAUCCAGAAACAAGAAUUGUUCAAACUUAUGCCUCUUGAAUGGUUAACCAACUAUGAACAUUUCCACCAAAACUCUGAACCAGUUCAAACAACAAAAGCCACGUUUGAAAGACGACAAAAUGGUCAAGUCAAACUAUCUUUUCAAACACCUGAAACCAAGCCUGUUUCAGGCACUUCACAGCUUUCCUAUACUGCUAUGAUAACAGCAAUUCAAACUGGUCAAGAAAAGAAACUUCCCAUUCAUGGUUUUUCAUCACAAGGAUAUCCAGUAUAUCCAGAUAAAAUCAAUGGUCACUUCUUAUGGGAUGUUCCUGAAGCCCAUAUGUGCAACCCAGAUUGUCCUUGCUUAGAUGAUACGGAUGUUGAUGAUGAAUUGGAAGUUAUAAGGAGAAAGAAAAAGAAGAAGAAAAAAUCCUUUCAUCCAAAAUCAUCUUGCAAAUCCUUUCCUCCACAACCUCCACCAGAUCCCAAACCUCUUGUCCACCAAAUAAGAUCAUGCCUAAUGUUUUCAAGCCAAUCUUACGAGGAAUCAUUUCCUCCGCUUAAAAAAUAGACAGACACACAAACCAGAGUUAUCUCAAAACCUUUUGUCCAAUCCCCAGUAACAGCCUCUGGGCAACUUGAAGAGCCAAAACAGUAUGAAGCUGUUUUAAAUUGGCAAACCAGAAAUGCCAAUGCUCAGAAUCAAACUCUUCACCAACUUGGAAAGAAAAUUGAUCGAGUUGCCAGUCAAGUCUCUCAUACUGAAACUAAAGUUGAUUCAAUCAGCAACCGUCUUGAUCAGAUGUACAUCCAUCUACAAGAGUGUAUCUCUGAGCUAGAUGCCGAUUUGAGACGAAUGAUCAAUAACCACAUCUGGGGUCCAGAGUUUAAUAAAAAAGAAGUAGAGAUCAGAAAGCCCAAAGCUGAAUUAACAAGAAUUGAUGCUAAAAAGACUCGACCUUCCCUUUUUACUCAAACACAAACCCCGCUAGUACCUCCUCCGAUCUUUGAAACUUAUGCACCUUUCUACACACCAUCCAAACCUCAACAACCUGUUUACAAUCAGUUCUUUGGAUUCUCACACCUUCAACCAACUCCUCAACCAAAACCAUCUUCACUUAAAAAAUCAAAAUCGAAAGUCAAGAUCUCAGAACCAAAGUCAAAGGCCACUUCAUUUUCAUUUGUUCCUCCGGUACCACUAGAAGAUUCACCAAAAGCCACUCCUGAACCUCCCCAAAAAGACAAAGGUCCAAUGGAUCAGUAUCAUUAUCAUACUGUCCAAAACACAUCUUCCGACUCCUCUGAGCCAGAAACAAUCUAUGAGUCAAACCCAUCAGAGUCCAACUCAUCUUCCUCUUCUUCAUCCACAAACUCAGACGGUACUUCCACUAACUUUGAAUCUGAAUAUACUGACAUUACAAGCAUAUUAAUGGCCACUAAAACUGAAGAUCCAAGCACUUCAACUGCCACAUCUAUUGUUAAAGACAAUUCUUCUGAUGCUAAAAAUAAAGCAUCUCCCACAGAACCAGAGCCAUCAAUGCCUCCAUCGGUUCCUAAUCACUCAACAAAAUCAUCUUCAACAUCUUGGUUCACAUUUGAUGACAUUCCCCGUCAUAAAUGGCCUGCUCGACUUCAAGAAUUUGCCGCAUGGAUUGACCUUCAAGGAACCAAACCUAAUGCUCAACUUCAAGUUGUUCUCCAUGAAUUCAUGGCCCGAUCAACCGGUUCUUUACGUGAUUGGUUAGAAAGCUUGGGAGAAUACCGUCAGCUCCAAUUCAUGCAAUCUCCAAUUGGCACAACACUCAAUAUCAUUCAUGAACAAUUCAUCGGAGAAAAAACUGCUUCUACUGAUGCAGACAGAAAAGAGUAUCAUCAGAUGAAAUGCUGCUCGCUCAAAAGACACCUUUUGGAAUCUCAUUACAAAAGGAUGAGUAUUAUUUUUUAUAAGCUGAAUGGGUUCAAUGAGCCAUCUCUCAAACAUAUCUUCAUAGCCUCACUUCCUUCUGAGUUACAACCUGAUCUCCAAAGAAAACUCACAGCCACUAAUCUCAGCAUAGCUGAUAUCUCUUUGGGAAAAUUUUUUCAAAUGGCCAUGUUAUGUCUUGACAAAAUCUGUGAGCAAAAGGAAUUCUUAAGGGACCUCAUGGAAGACAAAAAAUCCUUUUCUCAAGCUUGUAAAAAACCCUAUCUCAAGAUAGAGUGCAAAGAUGAAACGAAGUGUGUUUGUCCAACCAAAAAGAAAAGACAUUUUCAGAAACACUUCCACAAAAAAUCAUCCUCCAAAAAACCUCUCCAAUAUUUCAGGAAAAAAGAUGCUUCCCAGUACAGAUAGAAAAAACAUAACCGUUGUUUCAUCUGCAAGAAACGCGGUCACUUUGCUCGAAACUGUGCUCACAAGUCUACCAAAGCUGUUCGUCUCAUACAACAUCUUCAACAUUCUUCACUGUUAUCUGAGAAUGAAGAUGUUGAACUAAAUUUUUUAGAACAGUCAGAACAAGAUGAUCAGACUGCUUUCAUUAUCACAGAAUCUUAUGAUUCUGAUGAUAUUUCAGUCAUUUCUACAGUUCAAAUUGUCAACCAUGUUUCAACCAUUUCUAGACCUUCUCUAAAAAUGUCAAUCCUUCCUUCCAAAUUUCAUAAACCUGUUCUUGUCAUCGGGUUUAUUGACACUGGUGCAGAUACCAGUAUGAUUGAUCCUUCUGUCCUUCCCUCUGAUUGUUAGGAAAAACACUUGAAACUUUUCCGAGCAGUUAACAGAGAAACUUUUCAAACCACUUUGAUUACCAAAAAACCCAUUGGUAUUCAAUCCUUUCCAAAUUGCAUAAUUUGGAAAAAGAUUAUAGCAUCCAAAAUUCCAGACAAAGAUUUACUCAUAGGUUUUGACAUUCUUCAUUUGGUUAAAAACCUAUUCCUCACCAGUUCUGGAGUUUGCUACAAACAAAUGUUCUUACCAUAUACAGAUACACUACGUCUAUAUGCACUUUCAGAAACACCAUCUCCAUACAGUCAUAUUUCACAAAAGUUCUUAUAGUUUUGUCCAGAAAACUAUUCACAGUUCCACCAUCCUUCACCUCUUUGGAAGAAUACCAAAUUCUUCAUUCACCUUCCUUUCAAACUUAACGAAGACAUAAACCCCACAAAAGCAUCACACCCGGGUAUGUCUCCUUUCGACCUCCUACUUGCUAAGCAAGAAUGUUCUCAGUUGCUUCAGCAAGGUCUUAUUGAACCUAUUGAUUCAGAUUAGGCUUGUCAAGCCUUCUAUGUUGAAAAAAGAUCUGAAUUAGUUCGCGGUAAAAAAAGGUUAGUUAUUGAUUACCAGCCACUUAAUUCUUUCCUUAAGGAUGAUAAGUUCCCCCUUCUAAAAAUCCAGACCCUGUUUGUCCAUCUUCAAGGGGUUCGUAUCUUCUCUAAGUUUGAUCUAAAAGCUGGUUUUUGGCAACUUGGUAUUUCACCAGUUGACCAUCACAAAACUACCUUCUGCAUCCCUGAUGCCCAUUAUCAAUGGAUUGUUAUGCCUUUUGGUCUUAAGGUUGCCCCUUUAUUAUUUCAAAAAGCCAUGGAAAAAAUCUUCAGUCCUAUCCUUCAUCAUGCUUUGGUAUACAUUGAUGAUAUCUUAUUAUUUUCCUCUGACCAUGAGAGCCACCAGAAGCUCCUUUUGGAUUUCUUUCAUAUUGUGCAGGAACAUAGAAUCAUGCUUUCUGAAAAGAAAAGCAGCAUAGCAAAAGAAUCAAUUGACUUUCUUGGCAUGGUGAUUAAAGAUGGCCAUUACCAACCUGGUCCACACAUUGAAACUGAAUUAUUAAAGUUUUUGAACACGCAUCUCAAUACAAAGCAGAGCCAACAAUUCCUCGGGAUUGUUAAUUAUGUCCGUGAUUUCAUCCCUAAAGUUGUAAUCCACACAAGCCAAUUGUCUUGCAUGCUCAGAAAACAGUGCCCUCCAUGGGGACCAGCACAAACAGAAGCUGUCCAACAACUAAAGGUGAUAGCCCAGUCACCUCUCCAAAUUCCCACAACUGGACAACGCAUUCUACAAACCGAUGCCAGUGAUGAUUACUGGAGUGCCAUCAUUCUUGAAGAGAUAAAUGGUGUACGUCACUUCUGUGCACAUGCAAGCGGACAAUUCAAAGACUCUGAAAAAGAAUUACCAUGUGAUCUACAAAGAGAUUUUGGAGGUCAAGUAUGGAAUCAAAAAGUUUAAAUUUCAUCUAAUCAACCAUAAAUUCCUUAUCAACAUGGACAGCUCCUCUUUUCCUCGAAUCUUUGACUUCAAGAAUAAGUUACUCCCUGACAAACAGUUGCUCAACCUCAAAAACUGGUUUGCUAAAUAUGAUUUUACUGUCCAACACAUAAAAGGCAAACAGAACCUCAUCCCAGACUUCCUUACACGUCCGGCUAUAAAUAAACCUUCAUUUAUUUCCUCCAUCCACACCAUCCCAGUUAUAGCCAUGAAUCAUCAACUUCCUUUCAAAGCUCUCAACCAGAGAACCUUUCCCAUGAACAUUCCUUUUCAUUCAGCCUACCAGAUCCAAGACUUUGCAACAAAAUUCCUUUACUGGUAUUUCUUUAAUGUUCAAAGCAAAAAGCUUGAUCGCUUUCUUUCCCUCUGUAUGGAAAACCUGUUUCUCAUAGGUCUUACCAUGUCUUCUCUCACCAUCUGCGAAGAUGAGUUAUGGUACAUGUGGUGUCUCACUACCCUGUAUGCUACCAAACUGGUUUUUCGUGUUAAGCCAGUCCUCACCCACAUCACCACUCCUGAGUUCUCAUCAGAUCUUCUCUGGACUCUUCUUGCAUGGUAUUCACCACUCACGUGGUGGCGAAAACAACUAAAAAAUCUAUGUACUUUUCACAGAUUAGACAAAAUGCCAAAACAAGAAGCCAACAUGUUUACUACAGUCUUCAUCGUUCAUAGACCUUACUUCCAGCACCUAGAAACAAGAGACUUCUGGACACAAGAUAUGGCCUAUGAAUGGAAAACUUAUCCCCAUCCUUAUACCCUCAUCCAUGAUCCAUCUGUUACCUCUAUUCUCAAGUCAUACCUAAUGGAACACAACAAUGUUCAGCCACCUGCCAUAAACAUCCACCACACCUCUGUUGGACCAUCACACACCUUAGAAAUUGUCCCAAAGACACAAACUUGUACUCCAGGUUCCAGUUCCAGUCCUCAAGGAAUCGUUGUCAUGGAACAAUGUCUUGAUUACACUAACGUCUUAUUCCAAGACGCUCAGGAUCCAUGGGAAGAUUUUCAGUCUCUUCUCCAUACUGAAAAUCCCCAUUACACUACCACAGACCCUCCUGCUACAUCAGCCCCAAAAGAGAUGACUAAUAUUGAUGAAGAAGCCUAUCUGCAAGCUAAAGCUUAUCUUGAUCACAGACAAAUCCGUCGUGCCAAACAACAAUAUGAGAAAGAAACUGGCGAUGUGUCUCCAUCACACUACCCAUCCACUCCAUGCUUGCCGACAUGCAUGGGAAUCACAAAAUGUGUUAUUGAGAUUGCAUGUGAUGGUAAAGUGUUGUUUAUUGGAAAGAUAUGUGAAUGUAUACAUAAUUGAUAACACAUGAUAAAUGUUUUUCGACAUUAAAUGAUGAUAGUAGGUUAUGGCUUAGAAGACUAGGUCAUGCAAGCAAGAAUUUGAUUUCAAAAAUUUCAAAGAACAAUUUAGUUAAAGGUCUUCCAAAAAUUGGUUUUGAAAAAGAUAGAAUUUGUGAAUCUUGUCAAUUUGGAAAAUAAAUCAAAAUUUCUUUAAAAAACAAAAAUCAUGUUUCCACUUCAAAACCACUUCAACUUCUUCACAUGGAUUUAUUUGGACCUUCUAGAUAUGCAAGUCUAAGUGAUAAGUAUUAUGCAUUUGUAUUGUUGAUUAUUCUAGGUACACAUGGAUUUUGUUCUUAGCUAAUAAGGAUGAUGCCUUUGAUGCUUUUAAAAUCUUUUGUAAAAAGGUUCAAAAUGGAAAAGAUUAUGCUAUUUCUUGUAUUAUAAGUGAUCAUGGUGGAGAAUUUGAAAAUCAUGAUUUCAAAAAUUUUGACAAUAACUUUGGUAUAUAGAACAUCAAUUUUCAUCACCAAGGACUCCACAGCAAAAUAGAGUCAUUAAGAGAAAUAAUAGGUCUAUUCAAGAAAUGGCUAGGACCAUGUUGAAUGAAAAUGCAUUGCUUAAAUAUUUUUGGCCUGAAUAUGUUAAUACUGCAUGCUAUGUUUUGAAUCGUGUUUUAAUUAGACCCUAUCUCAAUAAAACUCCCUAUGAGUUUUGGAAAGAUAGAAAACUCAACAUUGGUUAUUUCAAUGAUUUUGGAUAAGAUAAUCUUGGAAAAUUUGAUCCAAAAUCUGAUGUUGUUAUCUUUCUUGGAUAUUUAAAUACAAGCACUACUUAUAGAGUGUGUAACAAAAGAACCUUAGUUGUUGAAGAAUCUAUGCAUGUCACAUUUGAUGAGUUUAACCCUUCCUCUACGUAGGAAGUUGUUGUUAAUGAUGAUGUAGAUGAAGAGUUACAAAAAAAAAAAAGCCUUCAAAUGACAAACAAGAAAAUGCUCCAUGUGAGAAUCAAAAGGAGCGACAAGAAAAACAAACUAAUAUGGAGCAAAAUGACGGUAAUUCUCAAACACUCCCCAAGGAAUGGAGGCAUGUUUCUUAUCACCCUAAAGAAUUAAUCUUAGGAGAUCUUUCACAAGGUGUAACCACUGGAUUAUCAUUUAGAAAUACUUGUGAACAUAUUGCAUUCAUAUCUCAAUUUGAGCCAAAUCCUUUUCAGAUGCGAAAAAUGAUGAAUCUUGGAUUAUGGCCUAGAUCAUCAAUCUGUUAUUAACAUAGGAUAUGUGGUUGUUUGGCAUAUGCUGAGCACUCUUAGGGUAAGUAACAAGUUACUUCCAUAUGGCAGUAUAAUUACCAAGAUUCUUAGACAUUUGUGAGUUCCUAUUAUUGAGCCAAUAUUUGUAGAUACCAAGAGGUUGGCAGGAGAAAUUAUUACUAGUCUGGGUUUUUUGGAAGAAAUAGAGAAUGGGUGAAGACAUCAAGUGUUAAGAACCAAAAUACCCUUGUUGGCCCCAAGGAUGAUAGGAUGCUGAAUGACAUAUAUCCAGCUGAUCAGUUACUUGAUUUGCACUAGAGCUCAGGUUCCUCAACCUCCAGCAGCAACACAGCCUCCAAUACAGCCUAGUUUUGAGGAGCAUGAGAUGGAUACUUAUCAACCUCCAGCUAUAAACAAUCAUCCAGUCCUUGAAGGCCUUGUACAGCAGCUGUUGGGUGAGGUUUGAUCGCUCUCUGAUCAGCAGCAACAGCUUCAGACUCAGUUUACUACCUUUAAGCUUUAGCAGCAACAGAUCUUGAUCAGCAAGAGCAGCUUCUGGGUGGCCACCAGUGCAUUUUCACUUCUCUUGUCAUUCCACCUUCAUCAACUUCAUCCCAUCCUUUGAAGUAGUUCAUUGUUGGUUUCUAGAUUUAGAUUUCUCACAAACAUCUUGAUGCAUUAUUUUAUUAUGACAUUUUGACUUUAUUAUACAUUUUAAUACUUAUAUGUGAUUGGUUUUCAUAUUUUGAUUAGUGUGUUGAUUUUGUGAUAAUUUUGGGAUGUUGAUUGUUGAUUUAAGUAUGAUAUAUCUAAAGUGUUUCUUGAAGUGAUGCUUGUUGAUAGGGGGAGGUUUUGCUGAAAUUUCUACUUGGACGGCAUGGGUAAAAAUCUAUUUUCUCAUUGUUUCUCUUUCCCUUUUCACUCUUUUGUUUUCUUUUUAACAGUGAAGGGCGAGAAGAAUACAUAUUUUUAUGCUUUAAGUUUGUUGUUAAAAAAGUGAUAUUUGUUAAAUUGGAAACUAUCUUAAACUUGAUACUUGAAUUAUAUAGGGGGAGCUUAAAUGUAGGGAGAGUAAUUCUUGCAAAUUUUUUCAAAUACUUGUAAGGUUUGUCAUCUUCAAAAAGGGAGAGAAUGUUAACAAACAUAUUUCUAUAAUGUUGAUUUUGAUAAUAAAAAACUGGAUUAACAAUAUUGGAGUCUUUAAAACUGAUUAAUUUUAAGCCGUAUGAAGUUUUUAGACAAGAAUAAGAUUUUGGAAAUAAAUAGAUAACCGUUAAUCAUUAGUCGGGAAACCAUUUUCUGAAGGAAAUUUUAUAAUUUUUUAUUCUGAAAGAUAACAGUGAACCGUUUAUUAGAAACUGUAAUAUGAUAAAUUCCAAAGAGCAAAUUCUUUGGAACCGGUGAACUGGUUUACUGAAAACAGUUAAUCGACAAAUUCCAAAAAGCAAGUUAACUCAAAACUUUAAAUUGAUUACUAGAAAUAGUUAGCUAAUUUGACAAGAAAACGGUAUGGUUACUGGCAUUAAUGUUACUAGCAAACGGUAAGCCGACUUCAAACAGAUUAGCUUUUGGAAUUUAAAGGUAAACCUACAACUCCAAACGGUGAACUAACUAUUCAAAUUUCAGCAUAAUGGUAACUUGGACAAAAUCAAAACGAAGAUCUGACAGUAGUUAACGGUGAUUUGAUUAUGAACAGAAAGUCAACAACAACUAGUUUUCUUCUACAACUAUAUAAAGGCUCAAUCAACUUCAAAUAAUAACAAAUUCUAGAUUCAUUAUUGAGCUUGUUAUUGUGUAUUCAACGUCUCUUGUGCUUAAAACUUGUUAGAUCACACAUUGGGCUUUCAUUUGAAAACACACAUAUUGUGUUAAAGAAAAUUUUGUGUAUUCUUCGUUUCAACAUCAAAUUGAGUGUUUAAGAGUGUAAGAAACACUUUGGUUAAGAGGUUUGGAAUAAUGUCUUGUUGUAAAGGUUGAUUGAUACCUUGGAAGCUAAUUGUAAAGAUUUUGAAGACUUAGGGUAAGCCUAGUGAGCUUAGAGGUGUGGACAUAGGCCGAGUUUGUCUAGCCACGUAAAAAUCUCAUGUUUAAUUUUCUUUCCCUUCUCUCUUUACAUUUUGAUUGUUUAUAUUUAUUUGUUUAUUAUUUGCUUGAUUUUAUUAGAUAUAUGCAUUGAAUUUUGAUUUAAGUACUUUAUAAUUUUAAAAACAGAAUUCACCCCUUUUGUGUUGCUUAGCUAGUAUUUCAAUGAGCACUUCUUCGGUAAGAUCUCCAUGCAAGAAAGAAUUUUUUAGAUCAAAUAGAAGAAGUGGCUAAUCUCGAUUGGUUGCCACUGACAAGAGCACUCUUAUUGUAUGAAGUUUAGCAACUGGUGCAAAAGUCUCUUGAUGACCAAUCUUAUAAGAUUGUGUAUACCCUUUUACAACUAAUCAAGCUUUCUAUGUUUCAACAGUUCAACCUAUGUGUAUGUUUGAUUGUAAAUACCCACUAAAACUCACGUUCCUCUUUCCUUUAAGUAAAGACACGUUUUCAAGUAGCAUUUUUUUUAAGUGCUAUCAUUCUUCCGCUAUUGCUUUGGUCCAUCUAGCAUCUGCUAAAGCUUCCUACAAUUUACUAAGAAUAGAGGCUGAUGAUAAUUGUAGUACUCAAGACACAUAUAUAUGACUUGGACAAUUUUUGGGAAGAUACAUAAUUACUAGUGGGGUAUCUAACUACGAUUUUAGGAUCAUGUUCACAUUUAAUAGGUGAUAUUGGGACGAUUAGGACUUAAGGUUAAUACUAUCAACAAAUGUAGGAUUUAAGAGUACCUCUAAUGGAUUCUCAGGAGAAGAUUGACUCAACAUUUUAUUGAAGUGCUAGAGGACGAAGCCUCUGAUGAAUUCUCAAGAGAAGAUUGGCUCAAUAGUUUUGUUGAAUUAUAAGAAGAUGGGACUAGGAUCCUCUCCUGAUCGAGGCUCUCUUUGUACCACCUGUAUUUAGUGCUACUAUAUGAUUAAGAUUUAAAUACCUUUAUUUUGUUAAUUUGUUAUCCACUAAUUAAGUUAAUAAAAUUUGCUCAGAAGAAGAUUAGAUCGAGAGAGAAUCCUGAUCUAAGAAGAUGAUGUACUAUCAUGGAGUGGAUCUAUUUUAGCUAUUAUAAAUGGGAUAAUUAGAGGUGUCGCCUCUACUCAUUUAAUUACUAGAUGAAUCUGGACUCAAGUGAAAAAAAUUGCAAGUCUUUAUGAUUAAGCACUUCAUCUGGACUCUCUGUUUGAAGUGAUGAAUCAAUAGUCAGUGAUAUGUACAAGAGUUUUGAUUAGUGUUAAAAAUUAUAUAUUUACUAAGGAGUAGAUGUUAUUUUGUGCUUAUAUUAUAAUUACAUUUAUAAUUAUGUAACAUAUAAAUUUUUUAUUAUGUUUCUAAAUAUAGGAUCUUGUGUAUUUUUGUGUAUUUAUUAGGUAAAAUAAUAAUUUCACACAACUCAAGGAGGUCCAAAAAAGUUAGGUCAUUGUUGAGGAGGAUCCGUGUUGUGAAAUUAUAAGUUUUUACCAUGUAAUAAUUGUUACUAGAAUAAGUUACUGCCAUGUUAAAUGCGGUAAUUGUUAGUAGAAUAAGUUGGGUGUGUUUGAGUGGAUUGAGUUAUGUUUAUGUUUGGUUAGUGGAGUAAACAUAUAGCCAUGAAAUAAUUUGCUUUAUUUAUGUGUGGUGUGGAUUGAUCAUGAACUAAUAUAAUGGAGAGGAACUCCUACACACCUCUCUACACCUUUUUUCACUUCUUUCUCUCCAAAUUCUUCACCCAUCUUUCUAUCUUAAUUGUGUUUUAAUAUUUUGUAAUUUAUUUUCAAUAAAUAAAUUUAGUUUUAUUUCAAAUUUUUAGUUUUAUUUAUUUCUUUUAAUUAUGUAUAAUUUAUUUUUUACAAUUAUUUUUAUUUCAAUUAAAAUUAUGAUUUAAUUAAAUUCAAUUUUUAAUUUUUUUAUUUGCAGUUUAAUUUAAGAGAGUUUGGUACAAUAAAUUCUUAAUAUUUUAGUAUCGAAUACGGUAAAAUAGUAUUUUAACUUAUUAUAUAAUUAAUCUUUUUGGAAAAUAAAGAAAGAAAAUAAUUUAUUAAAUUAUAUUUACUACUAAGAGUAGAUCCAUAGCCCUAACUAAUUUAUUUGUGUAGUUUCUUUAAAUUAUGUUUAGAUAAACUAAAAGAAAAUUAAAAAAUUAAUUUUUUUCCUUAUGGAUCGAUCUCGGACUCACCGAGUUAUAUUAUAACAAGACACUCUUAUAAUUGAAUCGUGUCAAGUUCAUUUUCAUUAAAGACACAUGCAUGGAAACAUAAAUUUUUUUAGAAGAUGGAUGAUAGCAUCAGUAGCCUUUUGAUUAGUCCCAUACCCAACAAACACACACUUUUAGGGUUAAGAAUCAAGCUCAAUAUGUUGCUAUGGAUGUAUGUGAACAUAUAUCACACACCAAAAACUCGAAGAGCCAGAAGAACGAUUUGAGGAAGAGUAUAGUGAUCAGAGAGAGGAUCCAAUGUAUUCUAAAUGAGAGGGAAUAUGACCAUAUUAAUCAAGGGGCACUAAGUGACUUCCAAAGAUGUCUAAUUUUUCACUCUACAACACCUUCAGUUGAUGAGAAUAAGAGCAGGUUGUUUGAUGAAUAACCAAAUUCAUGAAUUGCGUCAAUUCUUGCUUGAAGCACUUACCCCAAUUAUCAUAACGAAAGACUUUUAUUGGAGUACAAAUUAUAUAAUCACUAUCUGAUAAAACCACGAAAGACUAAGUGAGCAUCACUCCUAUGCUUCAAUUGAUAAACCCAUGUCAUCCUAGUGCUACCAUCCACAAAUAAAAUAAACCAUUUUAUUUUUAUGAGUAGAAAGUGGUGCAAGAUUCCAACAUUUGAAUGUAUUAAUGAGAAAGGAAGAUUUGCUUAAAUAUCACUCUAAUGAAAAAUAGUAGGUGGCCUUUUGCCGUUACACAAGUCUGACAAAUAAAAUUUGAAAUAUUGAAACCACUAAAUAAAUAUGGAAACAAUCUUCUAAGAUAACCAAAUAAGGGAUGUCACCCAAGUUUUCAUUCACCAAGCAAGCUUGCCCUUCUCUGUUGGAUUGAUGAAACCUAUGCUCCAAAUAGUACAAUUUAGUUUGGAUCUUUGAUAGUUCAUGUAGGAGAUAGAUGAACUCUAUAAUACACCAUUGAAUUGGUAAUGGUAGUUUUUGAACACCUAGGUGAUAAUUAACUAAACUUAUGUUGAUCACAAAUAAUAUCAAUUAUCCAAUCACUAUUUUUAGUAAAUGACAAAAGCUUAACAGUAGAGUUAGAUACCUGACUUGUUAGCAAAUCCUAUAACUAUGGUUAGAUUUUCCUUCGAGCUAGAAUCAUUCGCCUUAGAAUUGCAGGACACUUGAAAGACCUUCUUGUCUUUUAGAUGUCAAUUUGAAUAGCCAUGGAAGUUUGAAGCAUGUAUAUGCCAUAUUAUCACCAUUACAAUGAGUACACUUUCUAAAACCCUUUUUGGUGGUCGAUGUUUUUUAAGAAGCCAUCACAACUACUUCAUUUAUUGUUCCUCCAAUUAUAGCAUGGCAUAAGCGAUUUUUGUGGAGUGGUAUAGUAGCAAUUACACAAACACGAACCCCAUCUAAUGAUGAACCUCACAAAGAUAAGUGAGACCCUGCACUCAAUGAGAUUCCUUUUUCCAAGGAUCGUUCUAAUUCAGAUUCAAACAACUAUAAAAUAAAGACCUUGACCCUUUAUCUAUAAAGAUAAAAACCAAUGGUAUAGGUAAUAUAGGGUUGACACCACUUAAGAAAAAAGAGAAAGAUCGUGAGUGAUAAGUCAAGAAAUAACGCCAUGAAAUGAAAUCUUGAUAAGUUUUGAAAGUUUUUUGAAGAACCAAAGAGAAAAAACUCUCAUGAUUAUUAUAAACUUGGAUAUGAAAUUUUCAACAGGUUACAUGGGUUUAUAUGGUUGAAUUUUACUAAUGGAAGAAGGUUUUCCUUAUUGCUAAAUAUAACUUGAAGUAAAAGGAAAAUAAAAGUUCGAAAAGUAAAAAAAAAAAGAAAUAAAAGAUCACAUGGGUCCUAAUGUAGCAGACGUACAAAGAUUCCCUAGUAUAUAUCUCAAAAACUUUAUUAUUACAUAAAGUUAAGAUAUUUAUUUUUAAUAGAAACAAUGUUGAGCCUAUCAUACCCAUAUGCACUUCGCCUCGGUUGGGACUUGGCAUCAGCUUGCCCUACUCAUCAUUACCUGCAAUGUAAGGACUUUAUGAGCUAAUGCCUAGUAAGAUAACACUUGAUGCAUGUAUAAAUUAUUUUGCAUGUAGAUGACCAUAUUAAGUUUUUAAAAGAAAUACAAAACAACUUUAUUAGGGCCUUGAGUAGUUGCCCUUGGGCCUAAUUAGUUGAUCUUUUAGGCGUUACAUAUUGCCAUCCCCGAAAGAUUAUCUUUUACUAAGCUUGGACGGGUUUCCCUCUUUGGGAACUUUACCACCUUGUAGUACAACAACGCAUUUUUCAGAAAUUCAUUUUCUAAAACAUCUUCUUAUAAAGUAAUCCAUGAAAAGCAUGCAUUCAAUGCAACUUAUAUCAUAACAUGUGAAGUUCCUAGAUGUACAACAAAAUCAAACCACAAUGCUUUUUAAGGACAACAAUCUUUAAUACAGGUGGUAGUGCCAUCCAUAUAGAGAUUAAACAAAAUAGGAUUAUAAUUAAGUAAAAGUAUCACAGAAUAGGCAACAUAGUCGACCAUACGAGGAGUAAAUAAGAAAAUAUCAUAAUAUAGGCAGCAUAGCCGUCCAUAUAAGGACAAGUAAGGAAAUACCACAAUAUAGGCAGCAUAGCCGUCUAUAUAAAAAUUUAGAUUAUAACCAAUCACAUUAUAAUAGGCAUCACAAGAUAAAGGAUUAGUUAAAGUUGAAGUUAAGUAUGAAAAUAAUUUUGUCCUUACAUUGUAGAAGAAGUGCUACUUAUCUUUUUACCUUGACUUCUCUAUACCUUUUUAACUUGAGGAUUUCUCUACUCUUAAUGUUAUGACUUAAAAUAGAAAAGGAUUGAAUUUCUAGGGUUGUAUAAAAAAUGAAAGGGCUAAGGGUAUUUAUAGGAUUUCGUAAGGCUAAUGGAUGGUAGGAUUUGCCACCAUAACUGUUGAUUAAUGGUUGAGAUUAUCCCUACAUAAAUAUCUUAGUAAAUUCUAGAAUUCCUAUCUCUACAAACAUCUCUUAUUGGUUUGAAAGUCUAGGCGAAUACAGACAACUCCAAUUGAUCCAAACCACUGUUCCAAUAGCCCUUGCGGUUAUUUAUGAGCAGUUUCUUAGAGAACUAGCAGCAGACAUUGAAGCAUCUCGAAAAGAAUAUCACCAAAUGAAAUGUUGUUCUCUUAACCGAAAUCACCUGGAAAUGCAUUACAAAAGGAUGAGCAUGCUUUAUUACAAGCUAAAUGGAUUCAAUGAUCCAUCCUUAAAGCAUGUCUUUGCUUUAUCUUUACCAUCAGAGCUUCAGCCAGAGCUUCAAAGUCAAUUGACAACCUUUAACCUUGACAUAACAAAUGUCUCCCUUGGAAAAAUCUUUCAAUUAACCAUGUUAUGCCUCGAUAAGAUCUGUGAGCAAAAAGAUUUCUUCAAAGACCUUAUUGAACACAAAGAACCCUUUGCCUCAGCCUGUAAAAAACCCUACCUCAGAAUCCAAUGCAAAGAUGACAAAAAAUGCACUUGUCCAACCACCAAAAAGAAGCACUUCCAGAAACAUUUCCACAGAUCCUCUUCCAAAAAACCAAAGAAGCCCUACAGAUACUUCAGAAAAAAGGAUCCUUCCCAAUUCAGAUAGAAGAAACACAAUCGCUGCUUUAUUUGCAAAAAACACGGACAUUUUGUCCGCAAUUGCCCAAAUAAGUCAGCAAAAGUUGUUCGUCUCAUUCAGCACCUACAGCAAUCUUCUAUCCUUUUUGACAACGACGAAGUUGAAUCCAUCUUCUCAUAACAAUCCGAGAAAGAUGAUUAUACAUACAGGCUUCAUUCUUGUUGAUUUAACAGAUUCAGAUCCAGAUGACAUUUCUGUGAUCUCCACUAUUCAAGAGAUUAACCACAUUCGCCCCACACUUUCUGGUCCACCAAUAAAAAUUUCAGUUAUCCCUUCUAAAUUCCAUAAACCUAUCUCAGUUAUUGGUUUCCUUGAUACUGGCGCACAACGCAGUAUGCUCAAUCCUAAAAUCCUUCCUCCAGCCUAUUGGGACAACCAUACUGAAUACUUCAGAGCUGAAAAUGGAAAAGUUUUUGAAACUUCCCUCAUUACCAAAAAACCCAUUGGUAUCCAGUUCUUCCCCAACUGUAUCAUUUGGCAAAAGAUUGUUGGUUCAGAUUUACCAGACAAAGAUCUCCUCAUCGGAUUUGAUAUCCUCCAACUGGUAAAAAACCUCUUCAUUAUGCCAACAGGCAUUAAAUUCAAACAAAUGUUUAUGCCAUAUACAGAUGUUAUCCGUCUGCAUACAUUAUUAGAUACAGAUCCUCCUUAUACCUCCAUUUCUCACAAGUUCCUUGAACUUUGUCCCGAAAAUCACUCACAAUUCACUCAUCCAUCACCGCUUUGGAAAAAUACACACUUUUUCAUAGGGGUGGGCAUUUUACCCAACCCGACCCGAUAAAUUUCGGGUUCGGGUUGGGAUUGAAACCCGAUCGGAUUGAAAUUUAACAACCCGAUCAGGUUCCCAAAAAAAAAAAAACCUAAGCUAACACUACACACAGCACACAGCCACACACCCAUACGUUGCUGCACAGCACACACACAUAUGUUACAAGCUACACAGCACACAGCCACACACACAUACGCUGCUCGGCUGCUGUACACACACAACACAAGUCACAAGCUGCACACUUGCACAGCGUACACACAGAACAGAACAGAACAGAAGUCACAAGCUGCACAACACAUUUAGUGAACACACACGAGCUGCACAGUAGCAUACACACAUGCUGCACAUAGUCACUCAAGUCUCAACAAUUCACUCGCAAACUUAACACACACACACACGCUGUCAGCCACAACUUCACAAAUCACAACUCACAAGUCCAAACAAGUAAACAAACACAAACAAGUGAACAACUGAACAACAGAACAAGGCAACCGCAACCCGCAAGUCUGCAACCAGCCACCACAAGACGCGAUCUGUUGCUGCCAACUGUUGAAAUCAUGAUCUAUUGCUGCCAAGUGAAGUCGCGACCAGCAGUGAGCCGUGGGCCAUCCACAUCUCCGUGAUCUGCUGCUAAGUGAAAUCCCGUCCGUCCAGCCUUGAGUCGUGGCCACCGAUCUGCUGCUUGAAGGCCGAAUCCUCUCCACCCAAACCCAAUUUUGAAGCUUUCCGGUUUCCACCUUCCACUUUCAAGUUUCAAGCUUCAACUUUUUUCAAGUUUCCCAAGUCGUUUCAAUUUUCAAUUCACGGUUUAUAUACACUAUAUAAUUAAUUAUUUAUAUAUGCUAAAUAGUUUAUUAUGUAAUUCAGUAAUUGGUUAUUAUUUAAUUGUUGUAAUUAACUAAUUAUGUAUUUAUAAAUAUUAGUAAUAAAAUCAAGGAAAUUUUGUUAAUUAUUGAGCUCAUCAGAAUUUUUUUUUCAUAUAUAAAAAGGAAUUGUUGAUUGGUGGGUUUUGUUUUUUAUUUCAUUGAUUAUUAAUUUGUUAUCGUUUGCUCUCUUUAGCGAAUAGACUAUAACAAUCAAGCAUAAAUGACAUAUGAAAAUGGUGUUAGCUAGCGAAUAACAAAAAUGUUGUUAAUUAUUAAUAAUUGAAAUAAUAUUAAUUGAUAAUUGUUAAUAAUAGUUAAUAAUUGAUUUUUUAUGAAUAAAUUAGUACAUUAGGUAGAUUAAAUAUUAAAAUUAGUCAUUAUGUUGUAUAUUUUUUAUAAUUAUAAUGUGUUAUGUAAUUAUGUGUACUUGUGCAGUAGCUUCAAGCUUUCAACCAUAAAAAAUUAAUAAAUUCAAUUAAUAUUUUAUUGUAUGUUAAUCAUUCGUUAAGUUGUUAAAUUAAAGGAUUUAAUUUAUAACAAGAAAUAAGAUAUAGAUAGACAAAUAAUAUCAUAUUAUUAUGGGGAAUGGACAAUUGGAUAUUAUAAAUUAAUUAAUUAAUCAUGAAUUUCUUAUUUUUUGUUUAUAGAGCAUGAACAACUUGAAUUGAAAUUACUAAUUUUUGUUUAUGGAUUAUGUUAAUAAUAUUUUAUGUGUUUUGAUUUUUGAAUUAAUGAUUAUUAAUAUUAUUUUGAAUAUUCAGAUGCUUGGACACUCAAGAUCGAAUUCGAUGAGUGACGAUGAACCCAUAGAGGAAAGGAAAAGGCGAAGCGGAAAAGACCGCCAAUGAAGAAAAGAUCGGCAGUAUGGAAUCAUUUCACUUUACUCGAAGAUAAUCCAAACAAAUGUAUGUGCAACUAUUGUGGUAAGCAAAUCAAUGUCAUUCAAGGCUUGAUGGGAUUACAAAUAUAACAAGCCAUAUAAAGACAUGUGAAUCAUACAAGACAUUUCGGGCACAACAAAGUGGAAGUCAACAAAAUUUGACAUCCGAGGGCGGUGAAGAAAAUGCAAGUAAUUUGAUUUUGGGUAAAGGAUGGAGUCAAGACGCGUGUCGAAGGGCAGUAACUAAAAUGAUUAUUAUGGGUGAGUUGCCGCUCAGUUUUGUAGACAACAAAGGAUUUAGGCAUUUCUGCAGUGUAGCUAUCCCUCAGUUUGUUAUGCCAUCUCGAAGAACAAUUGGUAGAGAUGUUAUGGAGUUAUUUUUGGAGGAAAAGGCAAUUUGCAACAACAAGCAGUGGGUUGUUAUGGACUUCUGUUCAAAACAUGAGCUACAUAGUGAUUACAGCUCAUUUUGUUGAUAGCGAUUGGUGUUUGAAUAAGAGGAUUAUUAGUUUUAGCGCAAUCGAAGAUCAUAGAGGGAAGUCGAUUGGUAAAAAGAUUGUGGCUUGCUUAAUUAGAGGAAUGAUGAUGCACUUGUGUUGGCAGGACAAUAUAUGUAUGUGUAUUGAUGUGCACACAUUUUGAAUUUGAUUGUUGUUUCAGGAUUGGGAGAGUUGCAUGCUAGUGUUACCGUUAUUCGAAAUGUAGUGAAGUACAUGAGAUCCUCCAGCAUGAGCCUGCAGACAUUUAAACAAUGUGCUGAGCAAGUGAAUUGUCCAAAAGGAAUUGUUGUUUUGGAUUGUCCUACUAGGUGGAAUUCCACUUAUUUGAUGUUGAUGACUGUGCUGAAAUUUCAAGCAGCAUUUGAUAGAAUGGCAGAAGUGGAUAAACCUUAUGAGGCAUACUUUACUGAGAAAGAAAAUAAUGUUAGAAGGGUGGGCCCACCUGGACCGGAUGACUGGGAGAGUGCUGAACGAAUUGUUAAGUUUUUGAAGGUAUUUUAUGAUGCCACAUUAUUGUUUUCUGCCUCUUUGAGUGUGACUUCUAAUCUUUGUUAUGGUACUAUUGGCUUAAUUGAGAGUUCAUUGAUUGCACUGCAUGAAAGUAUAGAUCCUUGGGUGUCCUCUAUGGCUUAUAGUAUGAGGGAAAAAUUUGACAAGUAUUGGGAGUCCACAGGAAAAAUAAACAAAAUGUUGAUUAUUGCCUCUAUUCUUGAUCCACGAGCGAAAAUGUAUUUUGCUAAACAUAUUUUUGAGAUCAUUUUUGGCAAUGAUAGUUUGAUGGUUGAACAAAUGACCAAAGCAGUGAAGGACUUGUUGAAUGAGUUUUUGAUGCAUAUAGUGCAUUCUCCGCUAGUUCCACACCAUCAAUGUAUGGUGAGAGUGGUCUUAGUGGUAGCUAUGGAGGUACAAGUUCUUCUCAACGUUUUACAACUGAGGCUAAUUUGGUGGAUGUUGCUGGUGGUGAAUGUGAUGACGCUUUUCAAGUAUCUCGCCCUUUCCUUGGAUAUGCCAGGAAGGUUUCUGUUCAGAAUGAGAGUAGAAGAGUAGUAUCUGAGGUGGAAAGGUACUAGAAGGACCCAGUUGAAGAUACCAGCAAUCUUAAACUUAAUGUUUUGCUUUGGUGGAGGGUGAAUGGAUCGAGGUAUCCAAUUCUUGAGAAAAUUGCAAGAGAUGUCCUUGUUGUUCCUAUUUCCACAGUGGCAUCUGAGUCUGCCUUUAGCACCGGGUGUCGUAUUAUUGAUGAGUAUAGGAGUUCUUUAACUCCGGCUAUGGUUGAGGCAUUGAUAUGCACUGAAAAUUGGUUGCAGUCUAAACUUUUUGCCAAUCCCAUCUACAACCUCCAAGAAGAUAUCAAGGAGCAAAUGUUUCAUAUGGAAUUACAAGAAGGUAAUGUUUUUAAUUUUUUAUCAUACAUUAAAUACAUAAUAUAUUUAAAAUGCAUUAUAACUUUAAUUUUUUUUAUUUUAUAGAGCUUAUAAGAUCGCAAGCUUUGACAGUGGAAGCGGUGAGCGCCGACAUUGGUGUUAUGGAUGUUUGAAAGGUAAUUUUUAAUAUAUAUUAUUAUUCAUAAUUUGAUAUUAUAGUACUAUUAGUAUUUAGUUGUAAUUUAAGCUAUAAUUAUAGUUGUUAUAGUUUUAAAUUUCAAGUCUAAUUUGUAAUUGUUUUAGUUAGACAAGUUUGUUGAUAGAAUGUUAUUAUUGUCUAGUAUUAUUAUUAACUUGAUUUGGUGAUGAAUGCCAUAAAAUAAGCAUGAUAUAAUAAAAAUAUAUAAUCAAGUGUGUAUUGAAAAAUUUGGUAAACAUAUAUAUUAGAAAUUAGAAAUUAGAAAGAUUGUAACACCCCUUUAGCUUAAUUAAAGAUAUGAAUUGGAUUUAUUUAUUUGUGUUUGUAUUUGAUGUGUAACCUUAUAAAUUUGGUUUAUUUGCUCAAUUUUUUAUUUGAAUUUAGAACUUGUCAACGACUCAAAGUGCUUGCAUGAAGCCAUGGAGGAACCAAAAAAUCUUAUUUAGUUUUAAUGUUUGAACUUUGAACUUUGUGAUUUAUGUUUCUAAACAAUUUAAUUUUGUUACUUUGUGAGUUUGUGUUUCAAACUUUUAAAGACUAAUAUUUGGAAAUUGUGCUUUGGACUUUGUAAGUUUGUAUUAAUUUUAACUUUUAUUAAGUUUUGAACUUUGGAUUUUGUUGGUUGAGCAAAUAAUAGUCCUAAUUCUAUUUCUACCCUCCAAGCCAAUAGGCAAAUAAUCCUAUUAUAGCAUUUUAACUUUAUUCAUUUGAUUUAAUAACAUUGUUUUCUUUUUUUCAGUUGAAAAUUAGUAAAAAUGACUACAAUUAAGAAAAAUGUCUUAAAACUUUCAUAAAAACUACAAUAAUAGGAAAAAAAAGAGCUCAAAAUUGCAUUAACCGAAUUUGACCCGAACUGACCCGAAUUGACCCAACCCGAAUUGACCCGAUUUCAACCGACUCGAACUGACCCAAUUUGAUCCGAACUGACCCGAUUUGACCUGAUUUAACCCGAACUGACCUGAUUUGACCCGAACUCAAUCAUACCCAUUUUAAAUCCAACCCGAUCCAACCCAAACAUAACUCGAAUUAUUGACCCGACCUGAACCGGGUCGGGUCUUUAAUUCAGGUUAUGUUCGGAUUGGUUCUUGUCUAACCCGAAAUUCGAUCGGGUUGACCCGAACCCGAUUCGAACCUGAUUUUACCCACCCCUACUUUUUCAUUCAUCUUCCUUUCAAACUCAAUGAAGAUGUCAAUCCUACCAAAGCCACACAUUCGGGGAUGCCUCCAUCUGAUCUCACUCUCGCCAAGCAAGAAUGCACACAAUUGCUUCGGCAAUGUCUCAUAGAACCCACUGCUUCAAAUUGGGCUUGUCAAGCUUUCUAUGUUGAAAAAUGAUCUGAAUUAGUUCGUGGAAAAAAGAGAUUAGUCAUUGAUUAUCAGCCACUUAAUGCUUUCCUUAAAGAUGAUAAAUUUCCUCUUCCAAAGAUCCAGUCCCUAUUCAUUCAUCUUCAAAGUGCAAAAGUAUUUUCAAAGUUUGAUCUUAAAGCUGGUUUUGGGUAACUUGGCAUUUCUCCAGAAGACUGUCCCAAAACAGUCUUCUGUAUCCCUGAUGCUCAUUAUCAGUGGACAGUUUUACCCUCCGGUCUCAAAGUUGCUCCAUCCUUAUUUCAAAAAGUAAUGGUUAAGAUCUUCUCUCUGAUCCUCCAUCAUGCUUUUAUCUACAUUGACAACAUCCUGUUAUUCUCCCAUGACCACCAAACACAUCAACAACUCCUUUCAGAUUUCCUGGAAAUCGUGCAGACACAUGGCAUCAUGCUUUCUGAAAAGAAAAGUAGCAUAGGAAAGGAAUCUAUUGACUUUCUUGGCAUGGUCUUAAAAGAUGGUCACUACCAUCCAGGACCACACAUUGCAGCAGAAUUAUUAAAGUUUCCCGACAUCAAUCUCACCAAAAAGCAAAUUCAAUAGUUCCUUGGAAUUGUUAAUUAUGUCAGAGACUAUUCCUAAAGUUGCAGUCCACACCAGCCAUCUAUCAUGCAUGCUCAAAAAGAGCUCUCCACCAUGGGGUUCGGCUCAGACAGCAGCUGUAAAGCAGCUUAAAAAGAUAGCCCAAUCACCUCCUCCACUCAAAAUUCCCACUACCGGACAACGCAUUCUCCAGACAGAUGCUAGUGAUGACUUUUGGAGUGCUAUCCUCUUGGAAAAGAUCGGUGACUCAGAGUCCUAUUGCGCUCAUACAAGUGGACAGUUCAAAGAUUCAGAAAAGAAUUAUCAUGUGAUUUAUAAGGAAAUUCUUGCGGUAAAAUAUGGAAUCAAGAAGUUUGAAUUUCAUCUCAUUAGCCACAAUUUCCUCAUAAGAAUAGACAACAGUUCUUUUCCAAAGAUCUUUGACUUCAAGAACAAAUUGCUUCCUAACAAGCAAUUACUCAACUUAAAGACAUGGUUUGCAAAGUAUGACUACACAGUCCAACACAUCAAAGGUGAUAAAAAUCUUAUCCCUGAUUUCCUCACCCGACCAUCUAUAAAAAGCCAUGUUCUCAUCUCUUCCAUCUAAACCAUCCCCAUAAUAGCCAUGUAUCGAUCACUUCCCUUCAAAGCUCUCACUCAAAAGGCUUUUCCUCUAAACCUCACUUUCCGAUCAGCCUUCCAAAUCCAAGACUUUACAAAGAAAUUCCUUUACAUGUAUUUCAUGAAUGUUCACAGAACCAUACCCGAAACGUUUCCCUCUCUAUGCUUAGAACAUCUGUUCCUCUCUGGUUUUACCAUUGUUCCCAGUCUCACCAUCUCUAAAGAUGAGUUAUGGUACAUGUGGUGUCUCACAGUCCUGUUUGCUACAAAACUUGUUCUUCCUGUUCGACCAACUCUUAGGCAUAUCUCCACACCAGAUCAUGUACCCACACUUCUCUGGACACUCCUUGAAUGGUUUUCACCACUCACUUAGUGGCGUAAACAAUUACAAAAUAUAUCUAACUUUCAUCAGUUAGAUCGAAUUCCAGAUCAAGAAGCAGAUAUGUUUACUUCGGUAUUCAUAGUCCACGGGCCCUAUUUCCAACAUCCUCAGACAAAAGACUACUGGACACAGGACAUGACGUAUGAAUGGAAAACAUUCCCUCAUCCUUUCCCUCUUGACCAUGAUCCUACAAUCAUCUCCACUCUCAAAGCCUUCUUGUUAGAACUCAACAAUAUUCAACCUGUCCCAACAAACAUUCACCACACCUCCAUUGGUCCUUCCCACACUCUUGAGAUUCUACCAGGCACUCAAAUAUGUACUCCAGGAUCCAGUUCCAAUCCUCAUGGCAUUCUUGUUCGAGAACAAAGACCUGACUACACCAAUGUUCUCUUCCAAGACGCUCAAGACCCUUGGGCAGACUUUCAAUCCUUAUUACAGACCCAAGACACUCAGUACACCGUCACUGAACCAGGCUCUUCCUCUAUUACACCUCAAGCACAACGACCAGCAAGCCCCGAAUUAGAUGAAGACAUCCUAAUUUACCAAGAGAUCCAAAGAGCAAAAGAAGAAUAUGAAAAUGAAACUGGUGACAUGUCCCCAUCCAGAUUUCCCUCAACUCCAUAAUUGCCUAACAUGGCUACAGAGUCAUCCGAAAAUCUCAGCUUUUCCUGCUUUCAAUAAAAGACAUGGGUCCUACCUUGUCUAAAGUGUGUUUUAGCUUUUAUGCUUUUGCUUUUGCUUUAAUUAUGGUUUGCUUUUGCUUUAUGCUUAAAGAAAAGAUAAGGGUCCUGUCUUAUCUUUAUCUUUCUCUUUACUUUAGCUUUCCAGCUCUAUUUAAGAGCUCUUCGGUCCUUGUAAAAUUCAUAUUGCCAUCAAUAAUAUUUCUAAGUUUUUCUUAAACUUCUAUGGCUUACUAAGUCUAUCUUCUUCUUCUAGGUAACGAAGAAAAUACUUGAGUUAUUAAACUAAGAGCGUUCAUCUCUAUUUUCUAUACUGAGUAUGCUCUACACUUGCCUUGCUUCAAGGAUCCUGUGUAUUAGAAAAGCCCUGAUUUAUUUAUAAAAUUGAUUUAAAAUAAAACUGUUUUCUCACAACGUUCACCCUCUUUGAAGGUCAGAGAUGACCUGUUUUCGGGUGGUAUCAUGAUCAAUGGUUUUUUCUUUUUUGGAUUUUAUAUCUCAGGGAUUAUAGGUAUAUCGGCUGGAAACCAGAACUUGUGGACUACUGGUCCAAAGGAUAGUCUAGCACUAUCAUAGUUCAAGUAUAACAACGCCACGUACCUGUUUCACCCAGUGGUAUCAGAGCCACUUGUUCUUUUAGCCAAUAAUGAUGAUAUAUAUAUUGCCAUUAUGUACUUAUGCUUUGCUUAAGUUUUGAUGAUAAAGAAUGUGCUUUGAUGAUUACAUUGUAUUUGAUGAAGUUUGAUCUUAUGGGAUCUAUGAUUGGUGAAUGAAUUCUUUAUUGAUGUAUUGUUGAAUAUGCAUUAUUUGCUUUAAAUGAUGUUGAAAGGGGGAGAAAUACAUGUACUUUGAGAUUUUUAAGCAUAUAAGAUUCUUUAAGUUAUAUUGAAAUGUCACAGUACAUCUUUGAUGAGUUUAGUUGUCUUGAUUUCUAAAAUGUGAUUAGUAUCUAUGGAGCUUGGAUAGUUUGAUAAUAUGCUCUUAUGACUUUUGCAUGCCUUACUUAGUCUAUUACUUGUUUUCUUGAUUAUUGUUAGGGGGAGUUGUCUUAGCAACUCUAUUUAGUUCUUGUUGUUUCUAUUUUGGAUAAUAUGCAUUUUGAACAUUUUUGUUGUCCAUAGGGGGGGAGACAAAGUAAAAUACCAUUUUGAUGAUAAGGGGGAGAAUAACAUGCACUUUCAGCAUUCUUUUGAAAAUAUGUGAUUAUGGUGAAAUAUGAUGAUGAUUUGAUUACAUGGUUGUUUUAUAUGAUGAUUUUAUGUUAUGAGUUGCUGAUUUGGUAAUUGAUGGAAUGAUGGUUCAUGAUCUUUUUAUGGUUGAUGGAUUGUGUGAUGAUUUGUGUAUAGAGUUGGUUUGUAUGAUGAUUUAUGAUAAUAUGGGAGUGAUAUUACUAAACUUGUAUUUUUGAGGUGAUGCUUGUUGUUAGGGGGAUAUAUGUCGAAAUUUCUACUCGGACAACAUGGGGCAACAAAUUUGUUGCUCUUUUUCUUUUCCACUAAGUUUUCUUUUUGAUAAUGAAGGGGGAGAAGAAUACAUGUAUUUAAAUUUGUUAAUUUAGCUGAUUGGAAGAUUGUUUAAACUUAUAAUAUACUCAAGGGGAGCUUACAUUUAAAGGGAGCAAUUUGUGCAAUCAUUCUUUAAAUACUUUUAAGGCUUGUCAUCAUCAAAAAGGGGGAGAUUGUUAACAUAUAUUAUUCAUAAUGUUGAUUUUGAUGAUAAAAAAUAAGAUUAAGAAUGAUUAAGUUUUCAAAAGCUCAUAUUAUUUUUCAUACAUUUUAAAUAAAUCAUUAUUUUAAUAAUAUAAAGGUUUUAUACUUAAAAGGAAAAAUGAUUUUAUGAAAUUUGUUGUUUUUUAAGUUCAUGUUCUAAUUGAAAAAGUUUUGAAAACUUUGAAAUCAACAAGUAUUGCUUGAAAUUCUAGAAAUGGACUUACUUGAAAAGUUACAUAAAGUUUGGGCUAUAGUAUAAUUACAAAAUGUUUUAGGUCAAAACUAUAAUUUUGAAAAAUAAUGUCACUAUAGCAAACGACAAACCGACAUCAAACAUAAUUGAAGAUUAACUUCUGGACACUAAGGCGAUCUGACAUCUUGAUAACGGCUAACCGACAUCAAAUAGAUUUGAAGAUUAGCUUCUGGACACUAAUGUCGAUCCGACAUCUGGUAACACAACGAUAACUUGCUCAAGUUAAAACGAUGAUCCAAUAAUGCUUAACGACAAUCCGACUCUAUGCAGAAAGUCAAUAACAACUAGUUUUUCAUAGGGAUGGCAAUGGGGAGGGGAGGGGAGGGGACCAAUCUCCCCAUACCCAUCCCCGAUAUUUUGCAUAUGUCCCCGUCCCCUCCCCGUCCCCGUCAGAAUUACUUGAGAGAAUCCCCAUCCCCUCCCCGAAUAAUAACAGGGGAUCCCCGAGGGUCCCCGGUCCCCGAAUAACUAAUAGUCUAAUACAUUAUUUUUAUUUUCGAUUUUAAAUUAAUCAUAUUAAAAUAAAAAAUUCAGAUAAAAAUAAAGUUCAAAAUAUAUCUUACAUUAAUAUUGAUCCAUUACAAAGUCACAUUCAAAAUAUAAAUUAUUAAAAUAAUUAUAAAACAAUGAAAAUAAUAUAAGUAAAGUAACUUAUAAGUGCAAAUAUUAAUAACUGUAUAAUAUAAUCACAAUGUAAAAUAAACUCAUACUGUUAUUGUAAGCUCGUAACCAACUUUGACAGCACAUUAAGGCCUCCAAUGUGCUUGGAUGAAGUUUGUUACGGUGUGGGCUCACAACUCUACCACCGAUGCUAAAAGCUGAUUCAGAAGCAACUGUUGUAAUUGGAAUUGUCAAAAUAUCUCUAGCAAUUCGAGCUAAUGUAGGAUACCUAUUAGCAUUUAAUAAUAUAAAUAUUUUGAUAUUUAUUAUUUUUAACAAUAUUUAUAAUUUUGUUAUUUAUUUAUUAGUAAUUUUAAAAAUAAAAAUAAAAUUAAAAAUUAAAAUGGGGAAAUGGGUAGGGGAUGGGGAUUCCACCUCAUCCCCGUCCCCUCCCCGCAUAAAAAAUUGGGUAAAAAAUUUUCCCCGUCCCCUCCCCGAAAAAAAAAUUGGGUAUAAAAUUAUACCCGUACCCUCCCCGAAUGGGGAAAAUCCCCGAGGGUACCCGUCCCCGUGGGGAUUUUUGCCAUCCCUAGUUUUUCAGCUCCAACUAUAAAAGGGUUACAUCAGAUCCAAAUCAAAGUGAAUCCAACGAACAUCAGAGAGCAUAUUAUUGAGAAUAGAAUAUUUCUUGAGCUCUAAUUUGUUCAUUCAUUCUUUAAAUCACACCUUGGCAUACAUUUGUAAACACAUAGAUUGUGUUUGAGAAAAUUCUUGUAUUUGAGAAAGUGUGAGUGUGGGAAACACUUGGGUUAAGAGAGUUGGGAUAAUCUCUUGUUGUAAGGGUUGAUGAACACCUGUGAAGUCAAUUUUAUAAGUUCUUGAAGCUUUGGAGGCUUGGAUAGUGGAAUCCUCAAGCCUUCACAAUAGGAUUUUACCAAAAAGCCUUGACUUGACCCUUGACCUUUAAAUUAAUUUUUAAAAUUAAAAAAUUCAACACUUAACUAUUAAAACACAGAAACCAUAAAUGUGGUCACAACUCAAUCCACUAAUAGUUGUUUCUAUUUCAUAUAAAUUUAGUGUUUUGCAUUUGAUUUACUUGUUGUUGUUAAAGCUAAAUAAAAAAUAAUUUAUUAAAUUCCUUACAGCCAGAGUCAACAUAAAAAUAGAAUAAUAAUAACAUAAUAUUAUUAAUAAAGAAUGAAGAAUUAGAGUCUAUUCUAAAAAAGUAUCUAAAAAUUAAAAAAAAAAAAGAAAAAACUUAUGGUCAAGAUCGGAUAAAACCUGAGCUUGACCUUGACGUGACAAGCCCUUAGUUUGAAGGGUUAGGCUUUCUAAGGGUAAGGACCUUUUAUUUUAAUAACAUGGUCGGGUUAGGCUAGUCCAACCUAGCCCACUGCCUAGCCUACUAAGGAAAAUUAAACAAAAACAAUAAAUUAUUUUAAUUACACCUCUAUUAUUUUAUAGAGUUAGGCUAUUAGAACCCCUCUAAUCUCCUCGUGAAAUCCCUUUUUCUGCUAUAGUUAUUUAUUUCCAAAAAUAUUCUUUUCUUCAAAUAUACUUCUAAUUUUUUACUUGAUUUUUUAUUGUUAAAUUACGCUCAAAGUAAUAUUGUGUUAUUUAUCAUUUCUUUUGCAAUCUUAUUAUUAACCUAUAGACAAAUUAAAAUUUGUUUUGAAUGUUAAUCAUUAGCUUAAAUUACACAUAUUUAAAUUAUAAUUUAAGAGCAAUCUUAAGUACAAAAAUAUUUUAUCAAUAAGAAAUACAAAAAGAAUAAUAGAUUGUUCUAAAUUUUAUGUAAUUUAUUUUAGUUCAAUAGGAAAUAAUGGUAGAAACUUAAAAAAAAAAAAGAUUGAUUAUGAAUGUAAGUAAUUUGUUGGGGAAAAAAAUCUGUGUUUAAGUCUUAUUUGUCCUUAAUUGUAAUUCUAUUCAAAGUGAGGUUUUUUAAGGAUAAUGAAAGGGUGCCAAUAGCUUUACUCUAAGUUAUAACCCCCUCAUAGUUAUUAUAAUGAUAAAGAGGUUUUACUGUAGAAAAUUUUUAUAAUAUAUGCCCAAAAUAGUCUUCUGCGUAAAUUCCUCUAUACAUGCGUUAUUUAAUGAAUUAUUUUUUUGUUAGAAAUUUUUUCUUUAAUGAUUCAUUAUUUUAAAUGUGUAAUUGUUUUAUAAUUGGAAGUUAAUUUUUUUUUAGGCAAAACCUGAAGGUUUAAGAGGUGGUGAUGAGAAAAAGAAAAAGAAAAAGAAGAAGAAAUUAGAGAAUAAAAUCGUUAAGGAGAGGAAAGAAAAAAAAAUUAAUGAUUUAUUAUCAAUGCCAUUUUAUUCAUUGGAUCACACAACUAAUGUCUAUAAUUGUGUUUAAAUUUGUGUCUAAAGGAGCUAAAAUUUUUAACUUCAAAAAAAUUUGUAGUUGUGGAUUGAUCUUGGAGCUAGCAUGGUACCUGCAAAAGACAAUCCAAUGCCCAAGCUAGUGCUUUUCUAAGGCCAUGAAGAAAAAAGAAAAAGAAAUUGGGAGAAAAUGAAAGUGGACUUUAUUUAUAGAAAAUGGGAUGACAAUUUUGAGGACACAUGUCACUAGUUCAGAUGAAUACAUGUGUUCUAGAUUCAUGUGUAGGAAUUUUGUACAUUAUUCUGUGUAUGUCCUUUUUCCCUUCCAUUUUGCUCGUGAUUAUGAUUUUCUUAUGUGAUAGAUCUAGAGCCAUGUUGAACCUAGCUCAUCCUUCUAUUUUUGUUUUCCUCUGUAAUUUACUUAGGACGUCUAUUCUAGAUGUCAUCUUAUCCGAAAUGAUCACUCUUGUGUUACUUGACGUGGUUCCUGUGACACGAUUCAAAAGUAUUACUACUUCCAAGUAUUAAAGUGUCUAGUUCCAGUGAGUCCGAGGUCGAACUAUAGGGAAUUUAAAAUCUAGUGGCCAAUUUGUUAAAUAAAGAAAAUUAAUUGCGGAAAAAGAAAUUACUAGGAAUCAAUUUAAAAAUAUGCUAAGGUUACCGGAUCUACUCUUGGAUUUCAAAUUACAGUUAUUAUGCCAUUUAAUUCUUAACUAACUUAAAGUGUGAUAAAUAUGGGACCAAUUAUCUAAUGUGCUAAAACUAUAUUAAAGUGUCGAAAUUAUAUCAAAAUACCAUAUAAAUCUAAAGUGAUCUAGAUCUAUAAAUUAACAUGACAUAAAAGAAAUUGGUAAGGAAGAAAAAUACAACAAAUAAAAACUUUAAGCCUCACUUGAGAGAGUAAUUAAUUCAAAAUUUGAAUCCUUGAGCUUUAUUCUUCACCCCAGCUUAGAAAAUUAGCCACUCAUACUGAGAAACAAAAUACUCAUUUUAUUUCACAGACUUCUGGAAUAAACUACAAGGAUAUUGAUUACACCAGAAAACAAGAAAAGAAAGAAAGAUUUCAUUAGCCUCACUCCGUUCUCUCCUCCCCAGCUCCCCCUCUUUGCAAAAGCUUCUUCUAUUUAUAGGCGGUAGUCAGCUUCAACUUCUUUUAUUCUAUUAUUAUUUCUUAUUAAUAUCACAUAAACAAACAAGCAAAACAUGGGUGAUGGUCAGGUGGCAUAAUGGCCUCCUGACCAUCACCAGCAUGAUUGCCCACUUUUUCUCUUUUUUUUUUUAUAUUUAUUAUUUUUAAUUAAUUACAUCUCUUCAAUAAUGCUUUCCAAAUAGCUCUAGCAAUUCUUUUUUAUUUUGCGCGUCUAGUUCCAACUCCUUUUUAUUCUUAAAAUAUAUCUGCAUAUAAAAUAAAAAAUAAAAAUUAACAUGUUACAAAUUAAUUUAAAAUAUAUUUGGGGAGUGUUAGAUAUUUAGAUAUGAGUGCAUAUCGAUAUGUAGUGAAAACUGAUAUUUAUCUAUAAAUGACACUUUUCGUGUCAAUCACCCCCCUACAGUUAUUGCUAGACCUAACAAUUUAAGUGAUAAAAAAUUAGCAAAUUUUCAAACCAAAUUGAAUUUUUUUAAAAAAAAAUUGUGUUUACUUCUUUCAUUGGAUUUGUGACAAUAAUCAAAUAAAAUUAUAAGCAUUAUCUUCAACUUAAAGAAAAUCACACCUACAUGAAUUAGUUAAAUAAAAUCAUGUAAAAUAAUCAAUUAUUAGAGCCAAAUUUAUCAAGCCACUUUUAAGAGUGAUAUGUCAAACCCCAAACCUCACGGUUAAGAGUCACUCCCUCAAGAAAAAAUAAACCCCAGAAAAACAGUCACUCUAAGAAGUGGUAGAUUGAAAGAAUAGUAAAACAAUAUCACACACUCUCACCAAGAUGAAAGAAUAAUGCCUCUAGCUUAGAAAAAAAUGAUCUCAACUCAAAGAAAUUAUUAGCCAAACUAAUUUAUUUCUAUUUUUAUGCAUCACCACAUCUUUUAGUCCAUAUUACCAGCUUUAACAUCAGACUAUAGUUCCCUAAAAUCAAGAAGGACUUUCAUUAGGAUAAAAUAUAUGUUUGAAAAAUAGGAGACUUUUUGAGAUUACAAGGUACUUUUCGCUUGGAUAAUUUUUCUUUUUUCUUUUUUUAUUACACACACACACACACACACACACACACAUUCAUAACACUGUUAUUAGGAAUACAUAAUCAUCCCUAUUUUCAAGCAUAAUUGGGUGGUGGAAAAUAUAAAACAUAAGGUGAUACUCCACAUUGGACUGGAACAAAAUGAUAUAUAUAUAUAUAUAUAUAUAUAUAGGCUCAAAGGGGUUAACUAUGGAUACUUUAUAAUAGGUUUGACUAGAAAGGCUCAAAUGGAUUAAAGAUAGCAUUUCCGUAAUCUUUUAGGGCUCUAAAUAAUCUUUCAUAUCUACUAGCUCAAUGGACUUUCAGAUGCGGCUGUAAAUUUUUUUUUAACUUUUUUUUUUACUUUGAGGAAAAAUAUAGAGAUCUUAUAUAAUAAAUUGUGAAGCUGUAUAGGUAAACAAGGUUACUCUCCACAGAUAGAAGGCUCAAAAACUCACUUGAACUUAUCAUGAUAUAUACAUUCCUUCAAAUGACUUAAUCUGUUUCACUCAUCAAAUUUCUCAAUUUACAUUUCAACAUGCAAAGUGAAAAACACGGUGUAACAUAACUAAAGGCCAAAGAUAAUACAAAUACCAAAAUUUAGAAGUUUUCAUGUUUCCAAUGUUAAAAGAUCAUACAGAGACGAAGAAAAAAAAACUUUUUUUACCUUUUUUCACUAAAGAAAACAUAAUAAAAGAAGAAGCUAAGCGAUCAUAACUAACUUGAUUGCAGAAAGUUAGAGGAGAUGAUUAAAAAAAAAAGAGAAUAAUUUUUUUUAGAAACAAAACUCUAAAAACUCAGAAGAUGCAUUUCUAGAGCCACUGCACUCCAUAUUCAGCCAUGUUCGACUCAUAUUUUAUCCAAAGUUAGUAUUUACAACAAAAAUUAGUAAAAGCAUCACUAGGACUGAGACAUUCCACACUGUCAACUAUUCCCUCCCCCCAACCUGAAGGAGACAUUGUCCUCAAUGAGUUAGAAGAAAGAAGUAGAGUUUAGAAGACAUUACCUGGCCACUACUAGAAAAUAUUUACAAAUGGAGAGUUAAGUCUAAUUUACAUUUCUUACGAGGGUUAUUGCCAUCAUCAUCAGUUGACCAAUCCAACGCCAAAGUCAUGGGAUCUGGCUUUGGUUUGUAAGCUUAUAAGAGAUCAAAUAACUCGUUAGCAGUAGGAGCACAAAUAAGGAGUUUUUUCAUUGAGGAUGGAAUGAAAUAAUUUUUGAUUGCAUGAUUAAGAAAUGCUAUUAAGCCAUCAUAAAAUUUAUUAACAUUUAACAAACCAAUGGGUUUUUUAUGGAUAUUCAAAUGAGCCCAAGAAGCAAAUGUAAUUAGCGCCUCUAAAGUUGUAAGAUCUCCUAGCAAGAAAAUGAAGGCAUCAGCAUGAUUUAAUAUUUCAGGUAUUCUUUCUUGCAUACUUGAGACAACUAACUCUUCUCCAAUUGGUGGACUAGGCAGACAUCCUAAAGGUUUAAAGGCUUUUGGAAUAAUCCCUAGCACUUGGCUUCCUUAAACAAAAAUGGCUUCUGAGACAAGUUUUGAUAACCCUCGAUCAUCUCUUCUAUAUACAAGAUGUAGUUUUCUCUACUAUAGCACGACCAAGAUCUAUGGCUGCCUGAACGAACUCCUUAUACUUUCCAUAGUGAAAUUCAAAAACCAUACAAAUGUUCUUAAGUUGUAUGUUUGAAGUUGCUGCCAAUGAUACAAUUCUAAAAAAAAAAUUGUGAGUGCUUGAAAAAGAGCUCCUAUUUAAAGAUCUUGGUGGCAGACAUAAUAAUACAUAGUUGUAAAGGGGUGGUGCGUUUAUCAGAUGAUGCGUAAAGCUUUUGGCUCCAUAAUUCAAAAAUAAACAGUGAAAAGAAAAAGAAAAUAGUAAUUAGACAUAAAAUCACACAAAUAAUAAUAAUAAUAAUGCAAAAUAUAAAAGAACAGUAAAAUAAAAGGAUAUUUACUAGUAGUUGUAAUUGUGGCUCACAUCUUCCUCUAGUUUUACGUCUAGUAACAACUCGAACACCCUCGAUGGGUUGAGGAUUGGCUUUUCAUCCAAUUUUCUUAUAAAGUGCAAACAAGGUCUUUUAAAGUCAGAUUCCCAAGACUAAAUUGUGCACUUUCUUUUUGGAAUAGUUUCCAUAAAUUAUGAAUCUCAUGUUGCACGUAUCAGCUUGGAUGCAUCUCCAGAGAUCGUAAGAUAUCAUCUAAUGAUUCUUUAUGCCAUCCUUAGCGAAUUUGAUUUUUUUUCAUGAUUUAUUGAAACCAUUCCCAAAGUUUUGAAACAUGGUUUAUUGCAAGUAAGUCUUAUACAGUAAGGACAUUUAAAGCCAAGCUGCAUAGAUCUUCUUUUUUUAGCAAAUGUGCUUUUACUAAAAUAAGGCAUGUAGGAAACAAAUGGAUCAGAAAACUCACUUGCUAGUUAGACCUUUGCUUCAAUUAACCAAUGAAUGUCAGUAAGAAUCCCAUUGAUCAUUAACAAAUGCAGUCAUUCACAACAAGCUUUGUAAAUCUUCUUAAAAGCAUUUUGAGGGAGAGAAGAAAAAUGCUUAUGCAAUUUAUGUUAUAUUUCUUCCAUGCCUGAUUUUGGGGUUUCAGUUAUUAUGGGAAACUGAACAUACCGACUUAAAAAGUCAUGGAGUAUCGUUAUCCGCCAUUUAUAUGGGAAAGUGAAUCGAAACAUAUCAAAUAAAUGAAUCAAGUCUGUAAAAUCAAGUAAAAAGAGAAGGCAAACAAAACAACAUGAAAACACACAAUGAAUAUAAUCAAACAUGGAACUCACCUUUAACCUUUUAUCGAAUUUACCUCAAGUUCCAAUUGGAGUUCGUAAAUACCAUCCUCAAUCUUUGACCAUUAACUUUAAAAGUGACACCGUUCUUUAGAUUCUCAAUUUCUUUGGCCCUUAUGGAUAUACAUUUUUUUACAACAAAUGGGCCACUCCAAUUUGACUUUAACUUAUCUAGAAAUAAAUGAAGAUGAGAAGCAACACUUUUUGACCAAUCUCAAAUGUUUUUCAAAAAAUUCUUUUAUCAUAAAAAACUUUUGUUCUUGACUUAAUAAUUCUAGAAUUCUAAUAUGCAUCAUUCCUUAACUCCUUAAGUUCAUUCAAUUACAAUUUACGCACAUUGCCAACAUCAUCAAGAUUUGAAGUAAAAGCUUUAAUAGCCCAAAAUGAUUUAUGUUCAAGUUCAAUCGGUAAGUGGCAAGGUUUACCAUAAACAAUCCGAUAGGGUGACAUUCCUAAAGAUGUUUAAAAUGCAGUACGGUAUGCCCAAAGUGUAUCAAUUAGUCGAAGAGACCAAUCUUUACGGUUUGGGUUAGCUGUUUUUUCUAAAAUUUGUUUUAUCUCCCUAUUUGCUAAUCCAACUUGACCACUUAUUUGAGGGUGAUAAGGGGUGGCAACUUUAUGUGUAAUUCCAUAUUUCUUCAUUAAUGACUCAAAUGGCAACUUUAUGUGUAUUCCAAAUUUGAUCAAAAAAUUUUCUUUUAAAAAGAGGAUUACAAUCUUGUGAUCAUUGUGCCAAUAAGGAAUCGCCUCAAUCCAUUUCAAAACAUAAUCAACAGUAACCAAAAUAUAUACAACUCCAAAUGAUAAUGGAAAAGGGCCCAUAAAAUCAAUUCCCCAAUAAUCAAAUAUUUCAAUGACAAGGAUGGGGUUUAAGGGCUUAUUCGCUUUGAAAUAGACCCUACCAUUUGACAAUUUUUAAACACUUUGCAGAAUUCAUGUGAAUCUUUGAAAAUUGUAACCCAAUAAAAUCCACACUGCAAUAUGCUUCAGAAUGACAGAAUUGAAUGACCCUACUUACCUCAUCUUCUGGUAUGCGUCUUUGAAAAUUUUGAUCAAAACAGUACUGACUCAGAGUCAGUGGAGGCGUUUGAUGAAUCAUAAGAGGAGGACGAAGAUGAAUUAUGUGUUUCAGGCUCAGAAGAGUCGGAGGAAUCUGAAGAUUGGAUCUGGACAGUAUGAUAAUGAUACUGGUCCAUAGGGCCUUAAGAAUUUUUUCUUGGCUUGGGAACUUUAGUCGCAUGGCAUUUUCACCUGUUGUAAGAUAAUUAAUAAUAAUAGCAUACCAAGGCAUUUUGUUUAAAGAAAACAAAAAUUCAUGAGGGAAAGAAUCAUUUAUGAGUGUUGUAUCAAUUGAAAACUCAUUUAUAAGUCUUGAAAGAUGAUCUACAACAACAUUUUUGGCGCCAUUUUUGUCCUUGAUUAUCAAGUUAAAUUCUUGAAGGAGCAAAAUCCAUCGUAUCAACCUUGGCUUGGCAUCCUAUUUAGACAUUAAAUAUCUAACAAUAUCAUGAUCAAAAUAAACAAUGGUAGAUGAACUAAUUAAAUAUGAACGAAAUUUAUCCAGUGCAAAUAUUACAGCAAGGAGUUCUUUUUCAGUUGUGGUGUAAUUCAUCUGUGCACUAUUCAAAGUUCUACUUGCGUAAUAGAUAACAAAAGGAUUACAUUCCUUUCUUUGUCCCAAAACACCACCAAUGACAUAAUCACUAGCAUCACACAUUAGCUCAAAAGGCAAAGACCAAUCAGGGGGUUGCAUUACUAGAGCUGAUGUCAAAAGACUAAUUAUCUUUCAAAAGCCUGUUGACAAUCUUUAGUCCAUUCAAAUGGCGUCUUUUAUUAGGAGGUUACAAAGUGGUCUAGAUAUGGCACUCAAGUCUUUUAUAAACCUCUUAUAAAACCCUGCAUGUCCUAAAAAGGAACGGAUUUCUCUAAUUGUAUUUGGUGAGGGUAAUUUUGAGAUGACUUCAACUUUGGCUUUGUCAAUUUUAAUUCCUUUUGAAGACACAACAUGGGCUAAGACAAUUCCAGAAGUGGUCAUGAAAUGGCAUUUUUCCUAAUUUUAAACUAGUCAUUUUUCUUUGCACCUUUCCAAAACUCUUUCUAGAUUAUCAAGACAUGUAUCAAAAGAAUUACCAAAUAUAGUUAAAUCAUCCAUAAAAGACUCUGAACAAUUUUCAACCAUGUCACUAAAAAUGCUUAGCAUGCAUAUAUGAAAUGUUGCAGGAGCAUUACAAAGUCCAAAAGGCGAGACUCUCCUAAAUGCAAAUGUUCCAAGUGGGAAUGUGAAUGUGGUCUUUUCUUGGUCUUCUAAGGCUAUAGGAAUUUGAUAAUAGCCAGAGUAGCAAUCAAGAAAGCAGUAGUAUGGGUGUCUUGCUACUCUCUCGAUAAUUAGGUCUAAAAAUAAAAUUUACCAGCCAAUUAAAUUUCAAUUAUUGGGCCUUAAUGGUUAUUUUAAAAGUCCAAGUUCAUGUCCCUUAUGUCUACCAAAUCAAAAAGUACAACAAAUAAGGCAAGUCCAAUUCGGUUUUAGGGACCGAUUUGCAGCAAUGCUUGGGCUAAAAUGAAAUUCUUCACAAGUUUCAUGGCAAUUCUAUGAUUACGAAAUGAAUUAUUAGAAUCAAACAAAGAAAUAUUAAUUGACAAAACAUAAAUAAUAAUUGAGAAAAUAAAAAAUAAAAUGACACUAAAUUUAAGAAACUCUUUGGCAACGACGCCAAAAACUUAACACAACUCAAAAGUGUUAUUAUUCCCAAGUAUAAGAGUGUCUAGUUAUAAUAUAACUAGAUGAGUUCGGGGUCGAACUACAAGGAAUUUAAAAUCUAGUAGCCAAUUUGUUAAACAAAGAAAAGAAAUUACUAGGAACUAAUUUAAAAAUAUGCUAAGAUUACGGAUCCACUCUCGGAUUUCAAAUUGUAGUUAUAACAACUCUCUCACAUUCGUAUUUUGCAUUCAUUUCACAAAUUAAUUAUUAUGCCAUUUAAUUCUUAGCUAACUUAAAGUGUGAUAAAUAUGGGACCAAGUACCUAAUGUGCGACAACUAUAUUGAAGUGUCGACAUUAUAUCCAAAUACUAUAUAAAUCUAAAGUGAUCUAGAUCUAUAAAUUAACAUGACAUAAAAGAAAGUGGUAAGGAAGAAAAAUGCAACAAAUAAAACUUUAAGACUCACUUGAGAGAGUAAUUAAUUCAAUAAUUUGAAUCCUUGAGCUUCACUUUCACCUCAGCUUAGAAAAUUAGCCACUCAUAUUGAGAAACAAAACACUCAUUUUAUUUCACAGACUUCUGAAAUAGAUUACAAGGAUAUUGAUUACCCCAUAAAACAAAAAAAAGAAAGAAAGAAAGAUUUCCUCAGCUUCACUCGUUCUCGCCUCCCCAUCUCCCCCUCUUUGUUUAUAGGUGGCCGUCAGCUUCAACUUCUUUUAUUUUGCUAUUAUUUCUUAUUAUUAUCACAUAAACCAACAAGAAAAACAUGGGUGAUGGUUAGGUGGCAUAAUGGCCUCCUAACCAUCACCAGCAUGAUUGCCCACUUUUUCUCUUUUUUAUUUUUUUUAUUAUUUUUAAUUAACUACAUCUCCUCAAUAAUGCUUUCAAAAUAGCUCAAGCAAUUCUUCUUUAUUUCCCGCUUCCAGUUCCCACUCCUCUUUAUUCUUGAAAUAUAUAUACAAUAUAAAAUUAAAAUAAAAUUAACAUGUUACAAAUUAAUUUAAAAUAUAUUUGGUGAGUGUUAAGAUAAUUUAGGAAUAAUGAGCGCAUUAAUUGACACUGUAAGUGAAAAACUGAUAAUUUUAUCCUUAUUAAAUGUACGCUUUUUAGUGUCAAUCACCUUAGGAAAUUGGGUACCACACCACUCGACCUUCAAGUGUAUUUUAAAAAGAAAAAAUACUUUGAUUGGGAUAGGUAGUCCUAGCUUUUGUUUGACUGGCCACUUGGCCUUUUCAAAGGAAGUAACUAUUCCUUUGGUGUUUGAAUAUAUUUUGGGAGGAGUGUUAUUAGUGAACUUUUCUCUUCGUUGAUUUAAGGAAAAAUAAAAUAUUUCCUCUGAACUAAAGUUCUAAGAUGAAAUGUUAGCUCUUUGAAUUUUUCCUUUAAGCUAAAGUUCCAAGAGGAAAUGGUAGUCAUUCUUUGAACUUUUCCCUUGAACUAAGGUUUUAAGAGGAAAUAUCAAUUUUUGUUUGUAUCGAUGGAAUUGAUUGGAAUCAUGUAAACCAUUCCAUUGACUUUUUCCUUUGAAUUGAAGCUUCAAGAGGAAAUGUCAGUUUCUUGAACUUUUUUUUCUUGAACUGAAGUUUUAAGGGGAAAUGCAAAUUUUCCCUAGGCAUUUUGAUUGGUUCGGAAAUGGUUUAUAGAAAUUUUGGUUUUUAUUAUAAAAUUUUGGUAUAUAGAUAUUAUCUACCUUGGUUUAACUUGAAUCCUUUUUGUCUUGCCUGGCAUAGGGUUGGUCACUCCUUAAUUUGGCUUUCUCUUGUUGGCUUUGGCUUUUAUUUUCCCUGUUUAUCCUUUGUCUUUAUUUUUUCCUUAGCUUUUAGUUUAGCUUGCUCGGCUCUGGCCUUUUUUUGGCUUGCCUUGGUCUUUGGGCCAUGGCAUUUGUUUCUCUUAGCUACCUAUUGCCUUAGCUUUUAUUUAGUCUUUGUUUGCCUUGCUUGGCUCUAGCUUUUUCUUAGCUUGGCUUGCUCUUCUUCCCUUGACUUUUAUUUACCUAGGUUUGUCCUUAAACUUUGUUUCCAUUGCAGAGCAUUGGCAUUUUCUUGGCUGGGCUUGCACUUAUGGCCUUGGUUUUUGUUUGGUUCGAUUUUCCUUUAGCCUUUGUUUACCUUAUUUGGCAUUGGCCUUGGCUUUUCCAUGAGUGCCUUUAAAAUUCUAGAUGGAUGUUGCCCUAAAGAUCUGGCUAAGCCAAUUGAUGUAUUUUCUGAUGUCGAACAUGUCUUAUUCUAGAUUUAUCUUUAUUUCUGGAGGCAGAUUUUUCUUCUCAUGUCUAUUUUUAUUCUUAUUGUAGUCCAUUCUUAAACUUAGAUUAUGUGCAUAUUUGAUUACUUGGAUAGGUUCUCUUUAUCCUCACACUAUUCUAAAGAAAUUUUAUUAAAGAAAUUUUCCUCCUUGUUGGUAUAGGAAAAAGUGAACUAUUCUCUAAAUUGAAGUUUUGGGAGAAUUUGAAUUAUUUCUUGAAUCAAUUUCGAAAGGAAUGAUUACAAAGCAAUGUUAUUAGGGAACUUUUCCUCCUUGUUAUCCUAGAAAAAAUUUCCCCCUUAUUAGUGUAAGGAAAAGUAAGUUAUUUCGUAAGAAUAUUAUUAGAGAACCUUUCUCCUUAUUGGCUAAGGGAAGUUACUUUGAAAUAGUAUUAUUAGGGAAGUUGUCCUCCUUCUUAGUCUAAGGAAGUUUUUCCUUCUUGUUAGUGUAAGAAAAAGUGAAUUGUUAUUGAGAAAUAUUAAUAAGAAACUUGCCAAGGCACCAAACUACACCCACAUGUCCAUAAGAAAGGAAAAUAUUCCGGGGGAAUAACAUCCAACCCAUUCCGAGGGAAUAACGCCCAAGGUAAAAUUCCCUAGGAGCUUAUGAAAAUGAAAAGAGAGGAAAAGAUUAUUCCAAUCUCGUAUUCCAUGAUCUAAAGAAACUAUGCCUAAAGUUAUGAGAAACCUUAAAUUCAUGUCGGCCAUCAUCUAUAAAUAGGGACAAUUUUAAUAAGAAAGAAAAAACAUUGGCCUCCAAGAACACUGUUCUCUUUUAAAGAAAGAAAAACUUAAUCUUAUUCAUUCUUCUUCUUCCCUUAAAUCUUAAUCAAACACUGACUUGGGUGUCAGGGUGCCUUUUUCAUGUAUCCACCUUGCUGGAUUCAAGAUCAACAAGCAUCACAAGUUCUCUACAAACCAAAAAUACAUAUGAAGGUAAAUUUCUGCCCCUUUAUUGGCGCUGUCUGUGGGAACGAAACUAGAUAAAAAUUUUGUCUCUCACUAAACCAAAUGAACACUACUUUAUCAUCAUCCUUUUUAGAUUAGAUUUGGUUGUGUAUAGUUGAAAAAAGAGGUAAAUACUCACACUUAUGAAAAAUGGGUUUAUGUGUGAGACUUAAACCUCAAACAUCCCUAAAAAGGCAUUAAAGCCAAUAAUCCAAGAGCAAAAAUGGAGAUCACUCCUUCAAAUGACUCGCUGGAAAAAAAAAAAAGCAAAGAAGGUGAAGAACCCAUUUGGUCAACAUAAAAUUUGACCAAAAAAAGAAAGUAAACGAUAAUCAAAACAGGUUAAAAUAGUCUCUACAACUACACCCAAGACUAAUUUAUUAUUCAUUUUAUUUUAUCUUCAUUUUCUUUUUAAUUAUGCUUAAUCCUGAUAGUUAUGCCCACUUAUAUGCAGGUUGUUAGGCCGACAUGGAUUAACAUAACUCUAUGUUCUGACGUAACAAUUGCGAUUCUGCAUUUAACAUAUUAAUACAUUUUAUUUUUAAUUUUCUUAUGCUCUGAUACCAGUCGGGGUCAGAGUACGUGGCAUUGUUAUACCAGAACUAUAGCAGUUAAAACUGCUCUUUGGACCAGUAGUCUGCAAGUUCGGGUUUCCAACCGAUAUACUCUAAUCCUUCAAAUAUCAAACCAGUGGGAGAAAACCACAACCCACGAUACCACCCAAGGAUGAGUCAUUUCCUAAACUCUUGGAGAGGGUGAACGUUGUGAGAGAAUAGUUUUGAUAAAACUGGUUUGAAGAUAAAUCAUGACUUUUCUAAUGCACAGGAUCCUUACUCAAAGGCAAGUGCAGAGCAUACUCAGUAUAGAGAUAGAGAUGAACGCUCUUAGAAUAAUUGCUCAAGUGUUAGCUUGCUUCCUAAAAGAAGAAAUGGAUUUAAAGAGACAUCGAAAGAUUAUGAACAAACAUUCAAAUAUUAUUGAAGAUGUUCUGCUUAAAACAAGGGCUUGAGAGCUCUUAUAUAGAGUAACUAAAAGCAAAAGAUAAGACAGGACCCUUAUUUUUAGAGCAAACGACAAAACUCUUAAAGAGAAAGCAUAAAGAAAAAGUACACACGUGAAAAACAUAAAAGCACACUUGAGACAUGACAGGACCCCUGUCAUCUUUUAUUAAAGCCAAGAUUCCUGGAAAGCUUCUGUAGCCAUGUGAAAACCUAGAAACUUUACGGAGUAGAGGGGUAUGUGAAUGGAGAUAUGUCUCCUGUCUUUUUUUCAUAUUGCUUUCGAGCUUUGCGUAUCUGUUGGUGGAUUAGAUAAUCUUUAUCGAGCUCAUCUUUUUCUGCUACAGCCGUAGCUGGCUGAGAGAUUGGCUCAUUAGGUAAACAUUGAGACUCUUGAGAUAGGAGAAGUGAGUGAAAGUCUGCUCAAGGGUCUUGAGCAUCUUGAAAAAGAACAUUCGUGUAGUCAGGGCCUUUUUCUCUGACGAGAAUACCCUUUGGACUAGAACUUGAUCCUGGAGUGUUUUCUUGAAUUUUUGGUAAAAACUCAAGGGAGUGAGAUGGUCCAAUGGACGUGUGACAAAUGUCCAUGGGAGGUGGUUGGACAUUUUUGAGUUCUAAAAGAAAAGCUUUAAGAACUAAGAUGAUAGGUGGAUCAUGAUUGAGUGGAAAUGUUUUCCAUUCAUAUGCCUGGUCUUGUGUCCAGUAAUCCUUUGUAACUGGAUGCUGAAAAUAUGGCCUAUGAAUGAUGAAAACUGAGGUAAACAGAUCUGCUUCUUAGUUAGGAAGCCUGUUUAGCUGGUGAUGGUCUGAAAUAUUUUGAAGUUGUUUACGCCACCAUGUGAGUGGUGAAAACCAUUCACGUAAUGUCUAGAGGAGAGAUGGUGCAUGAUCAGGAGUUGUGAUGUGUCUGAGGGUAGGUUGAACAGGGAGGACAAGUUUAGUGACAUACAGAACUGUGAGGCACCAAACAUACCAUAAUUCAUCUUCUGAAAUGGUUAAGUUUGGAUUGAGAGUGAAUCCUGUAAGGAAUAUGUGUUCUAGGUGAAGGGAUGGAAAACAGAGUGGUUCAGUUCUGUAGACAUUCAUGAAAUAUCUGAAAAGGAAUUUCCUGGCAAAAUCUUGGAUUUGAAAAGCUGAACUGAAUGAGAGAUUUAGGGAAAAGUCUUUUGGGUUAAGGCUUUAAAAGGAAGAGAACGAUUCAUGGCUAUUAUAGGUAUAGUCUGCAUGGAAGUGAUGAGAGUGGGCUUAUUUAUAGAUGGACGGGUGAGGAAAUCAGGGAUCAGAGUUUUAUCACCUUUUAUGUGCUGGACUGUGAAGUCAUACUUGGCGAACCAAGCUUUUAAACUGAGCAAUUGUUUGUCUGGAAGUAAUUUGCUCUUAAAAUCAAGGAUCUUCGGGAAAAAGGAGUUGUCCAUUUUGAUAAGGAAGUUGUGGCUAAUCAGAUGGAAUUCAAAUUUCUUGAUUCCAUACUUGACUGCUAAAAUCCCCUUGUAAAUGACAUGAUAAUUCUUCUCUGCAUCCUUGAACUGUCCACUUGCAUGAGCAAUAGGAUUCUGUUUCUCCAAUUUUCUCUAGAAGAAUGGCACUCCAGUAUUCAUCACUAGCAUCUGUCUGGAGAAUUCUUUGUCCAGCUGUGGGAAUCUUGAGUGGUGGUGGUGACUGAGAAAUCUUUUUAUUGAGAUCUGUGUCUGCUCAGGGCCCCAUGGUGGGGAUUGUUUCUUUAGCAUGCGUGACAAUUUGCUGGUGUGGACCGCAACUUUGGGAAUAAAGUCUCAAAUAAUUCACAAUUCCAAGGAACUGUUGAAUUUGCUUUUUAUUGAGAUCUGUGUCUGAGAACUUUGUCAAUUCUUGUGGAAUGUGUGGUCCUGGAUGGUAGUGACCAUAUUUUAACACCAUGCCUAAAAAGGCAAUAAAUUCCUUUCUGAUGCUGCUUUUCUUUUCUGAAAGCAUUAUGUCAUGUGAUUGCACGAUGUCAAAGAAAUCUAAAAGCAAUUUUUGGUGGGUCUGGUGGUUGGUGGAAAACAACAAGAUGUCAUCGAUAUACACCAGACCAUGAUGAAGUAUAGGAGAAAAUAUUUUGACCAUUGCUUUUUGGAACAUGGAAGGAGCAACUUUGAGACCAAAAGGCAUUACCGUCCACUGGUAAUGGGCAUUAGGAAUAUAGAAAGAUGUUUUAGGUCUAUCAGAGGGAGAAAUGUCGAGUUGCCAAAAACCAGCUUUAAGAUCGAAUUUUGAGAAAAUUCUGGCGGCUGGUGUUGUGCAAAUUUUAAUGUACUCGCAAGCGCACGAAUAUAUUGUAGUAUAGACUAAUGAUGAUGAGUGUCGAUCCCACGAGGAGGUGGAUCUUAAUUAUGUGUAGAAUUAAUUUUGUAAAUGGGUGGUUGGAUUUGUGGUGGAAAUGAUUUGGAAUAUGCUAAAACUUAAAUUAAAAUGGCGAGAAUAAAUUCUAAAAUUGGAAUUGAAAUGACAAGAAUAAAUUGAAGAGAAUUCUAAUGAGAUGACGUACUUGGGUAUCUGGAUCCGUAUCAACAUGCAUCAUGGGCUAAAUAAUCCGUAUUAAUGCCAAUUAAAUCAUGAGGGGGGAAUCCACACCUCAUGAACCACACUCUAAUCAAUAUGGUGCUAAGGGCUUAUCGUGCCAAAUAAUAAUAACCUUGUACUAGAGGGCCGGUGAAACCAAGGCGGUAUUAGACAAGAUUAGUAUUAUUUGUCGACGAGAAGUCAAAACAUCCACAAAAACUAGAGGGGAAGAGAAAAUAAAUUUACCAAAUUAAGCCCCUGACACAUGUUGAGAUUUCACCUUCAACCCAAGCUUGAAAGAAAAUUAGCCACUCAUAAUUGAAAUAGGGGCAAAAUGGGAAUUUAUUAAAAUACGAAGAAAAUACAAGAUGGAGAGGGAAUUAUAGAAAAUGGAUCCCAAAAAUAGAUUCAGAGCUAUCAAAUUAGGGGGGAGAGGCCCCCUUUUUAUAGAUACAUAGAGUAAAUCAUGGCCAUCGGAUUAAAAACACUUUGGACGCUCAAGAUUGCGCCAUGUCAUCAGUCAACAGUACGCGGUUUGACCACGUGGAUGAACAGUAACACGAUUUGACCCAGAUGAACAGUAAUGCGGUUUGGUUGAAAAUAAUCCUGUGUGAUGCAUGUACCGUACACGAGAUUUUUCGUCCACUGAUAUGCUGCCAUGUCACCAUCAACAGUACAUAAGAAUUUUAGCCCAACAGGAUCGUGAUACCUCAUCAGUCAAUGCCACAUCAUCGGUCAAUGCCACGUCAUCGUCCGUCUAUGCGAACAGUGUCGUGAACAGUAACGUAUACAGUACCGUACAUGUGAACAGUGCCAUUUUUCCUUUUAUGCUCCUCCUAAGGUUUUCGACCGUCCUGAGUUCAAAAGUGAUGUCCGUUUUGCCAUCUGAUCUCUAGUUUAUUGUGAAAUGACUAUGAUACUCCUAAAAUACAUAAAAUACUUAAUUAAAAUUAAAACAAACGGAAUUAAAUAAAAAGAAGGUUAAAUUCAUAAAAGUAAAGGUGUUAGUAAGACUUGAAAUAUAAAAUGACGGUUUUCUCCUUUAUAAAUAUGCAUUUUCUAACACUCAACACACCCCCCAACCAGCUUAUUGCUAGUCCCUAGCAAAUGAAGCGAAAAUAAAAUUCAAAUUCAAAUUCAAAAUAAUUUAUUUAUUUAUUUUAAUUUAGAAACACCCGUGUUUAUUCAAUCAGAUUAAUGAUAGCAAUCAAAUAAAAGUAUAAGCAUUAUCUCCAGUCUAAAGCAACAUCACACUCACAUCAACCAUCCACAUGAAUUAGCCCAGUAGACUUUGUUAUAUCUACUUUCAAGAAUGACAUGUCAAACCCCAAAAUCUCACUGGAAGUAGUGACACUCUCACAAAUAAAUUAAACCCACUAAAAAUAGUCACUCCAAUGAAUGGUAAUUGAGAGAGAAAAUAAUAAAGAAGUGAUAUCACAUGCUCUCACCAAGAUGAAAUAAAUAUGCCCUCAGCUUAGAAAUAAUACGAUCUCAAGUCAAACAAAAAUGCUAGUCAACCCACUUUAUUUAUCUUUUUUUUUUAUGCAUCACUACAUCUUUUUAGCCCAUAUAACUAGCUUCUACUUCAAACUAUAGUUCCCUAAAAUUAAGAAGGACUUUUAUUAGGAUGUAACGUAGGCUAGGGACAUGGCUAACAAAGAAGGGAAAUAAGGAAAACAAAGUGUAUGUUUGAGAAAAAUGCAGAGAAUUUUUUUUUUUUUGAAAGUUGCAAGGUGGAUUUCACCUAUUAUUUUUAUUUUUAUUCUUUUGAAACAACAACUUUUGUUUUUUUUUUGUUUUUUUUUUUGGCAUAACUUCACUGAACAAAAUAAUUAUUUACAUUUUUCUCAAACAUAAAUAGGUGAUGGAACUUAUAAGAUAUCGGGUAAUACUCCAAAUCGGAGUGGGUCAAGAUGAUAAGUUGACAAAGAAAAGUUUUUUUUUUUUAAAGGCUCAAAAGGGUUAACUAUGGAUAUUUAAUAAAAGGGAUGGCUAGAAAGGCUCAAACGGAUCAAAGAUGACCUUUCCAUCGUCUUUUAGAGCUCUAAAUAAUCAUCCAUAUCUACUAGUUAGAUGGGCCUCCCAAUGUAGCAACACAUAAUUAUUUUUUUUUUAGGGAUAAAUCAAAAGAAAUCUAGAGAUCGUAUAUAAAAUAAUAAACUGCUAAGCUGUAUAAAGAAUGGGCAAAAGGGUUACUCUCAAAGAAAAAUGAUAGGCUCAAAAACUCACUUGGUACUUAUUAUGACAUGUUCAUUCCUUCAAGCAACUCAUAUUUGUCUCCGACAUCAACAUGUAGAGUAGCAAACAUAAUGUAACAUCACUGAAUACCAAAGAUAAUACAAAUACUAAAAUUUGAAAUUAAUAAUGUCAUCCAAUGUUAAAACAAAUCACAAAAUUUUUUUUUUAACAACAUUCUACCCCCCAACCUAUUCUAAGCAUGAAAGGAAACUAUGCAUGCAGAAAUGUGAAAAUGAUGCAUAAAAAAUAAUUUGAAAAGUUACACGUAAAAUGAUAGAAAACGAAAAUGAUUUUUUUUUUAAAAGAAGAUGCGUUUCUAGAGGAACUACACUCCAUAUUCAGCCAUUUUCGACUCAAAAGUUGGAAAAUGUAUAUUUAUAGAGGAGAAAUUAAAAAGAAGAAGAAAAAUGAACAUCAAAACUUAAUAAAGAAAAAGAAAUUUUUUUUUUAAUUAAUUUUUUUUAAACAAUGAAGAUGCGUUUCUAGAGUCACUACCCUCCAUAUUCAGCCAUCUUCAACACAAAAAGUUAGCAAUAGUUAGUUUCUACAACAAAAAAUUAGUAAAAACUUAACCAAAAUUCCACAAUUGUCGACUAUUCCCUCCUCCCAACCAAAACGAAACAUUGUCCUCAAUGUUUGAAAGGAAAAAAGUAGAGUUUAGAAGACAUCACCUGGGUGGUGCAACACAAAAGAAAAUAUUUACAAGCGAAGAGUUAAAUCUAAUUUGUACUUCUUACUGCGGCUACUGUUACCAUCAUUAUUUGGGCGUUCCAACACAAAGGUCCAGGGGUCUGGCUCCGGUUUAUAAGCUUGUAACAGAUCAAGUAGCUCAUUAGUAGUGUGAGCACAAAUAAAAAGUUUUUUCACAUUAGAAGGAAUGAAAUAGUUUUUUAUUACAUGGUUAAGAAAUGCGAUAAAGCCAUCAUAAAAGUUAUUGAUAUUUAACAAAUCGAUGGGUUUCUGGUGGAUGUGCAGAUGGGCCCAAGAUGCUAGUGUGAUAAGUGCCUCUAGUGUUGCAAGAUCUCCUGGAAGGAAAAUAAAAGCAUCAGCAUGAUUAAGCAUUUCAGUUAUUCUUUCUUGCAUACCUAAGACGACUAGCUCUUCUCCAGUUGAUGAGUCAGACGAACUGCCCAAUGGUUUUAAGACUCUGGGGAUGAUGCCUAACACUUGACUUCCUCUUAUAAAAGCUGCUUCUGAGAUCAUUUUUGAUAACCCUCGAUUACCUCCUCCAUACACCAAGUGUAAUUUUCUCUCUGCUAUACUUUGACCAAGAUCGAUGGCUGCCUCAACGAACUCUUUAUGUUUGCCAUAUGUAAAUCCAGAAAGCACACAAAUGUUCUUGAAUUGUCUAUUGGGAGUAGCUGCCAUUGUGAUACUUCUCAAAAACAAUUUGUGAGUGCUUGACAAAAAAGAAAUCACAUUUAAGAAUCUUGGUGACAGUGGAUCACAGUUGUGUAUGAGGUAACAUGUCAGUGUCAAAUAACACGUAAAGCACGUGGCUCGCUAGUAAAAAAGAAAACAGUAAAAGGGAAAAAAGCAAACAGUAAUAAAAUUAUUAAAGAUAAUAAUGCACACAAUAAAACAAUAGUGAAAUAAAAUAACAGUAAAGUGAAAGGAUAUUUACAGGUAGUUGCGACUGUGGCUCACAUCUUCCUCUGGUUUUACGUCCAGAAACGGCUUGAACGCCCUCUAUGGGUCGAGGAUAGGCUUCCCAUCCAGUUUUCUUAUAAACUGACAAACAAGGUCGUUUAUAGUCAGAUUCCCGAGACUAUAUCGUGCAUGCUCUUUCUGGAAUAAUGGCCAUAACUGGAGAAUCGCUCCUUGCACAUAUCCACUGGGAUGCGUUUCAAGAGACAAAAGGAUAUCAUCCAAUGACUCCUUAUUCAAGCCAUCCCUAAUGAAUUGAAUCUUAUCUUCCUAACAUGGGUUUUUAUUGCAACUCAUUCUGGCACACUUAUGACAAGCAACAGAAAUUCUUCGAGCUCGUCGUUUUCUUGCAUAAUUUCCUUUACCACAACCAGGCAUGUAUGCAAUAAAUUUUGGAGGUAACUCACCUGCCGAUCGUACUUUAGCCUCGAUUAACCAACGGAUGUCAGCAUGUAUGUUAUUCCUCAUGAGUAAUCGCAUGCGUUCGGACCGAGCUUUAUAGAUCGUAAGGAGGGCAUUCUGAGGAAGUGAAGGGAAUCGCUUGUGAAGCUUCGCUAGAAUCUCGUUUCUGUCCAUACUUUCGCCUCAGAAUAUUAGUUAUUAUGGGAAACUGAAGUAACCGACUUGAUUGUCACGGAGUACCGUUAUCCGCCACUUCAUCGGGGUAACAAACUAAAGCACACAAACAGAGAAACAAAUUAAAACACACAAAGAAAAUUAAAAUCGUCCUCUUAUUGAAUUUACCUCAAGCUCCAAUUGGAUGUCGUAAACACUUCUCUCAAUGUCUCUGAGUUGGCUUUCUAAACCCUCAACAUAGGCUACUAACCCUGGUGGUUGUAGAGCCCAAAUGCGAUGUGUUUUACAAAAUUGAAUCUGCCUUUUGAGAUGCGUUUUGACACGUUGAAGUGGUUUAAGAAUGUUCAGGAGGAACGGUCUAAGUAAGGUACUCAUGAUUAAAAAUGAUAAGAGAAAACUUAAUAGUUAAACAAACACACUUAUGCAAAAUUAAUUUCAAUUAGCAAAAGAAUAAUAUAAAGAAAGAAAAAAAAUCAAAUCACCGAAAAAAAAAUCAAUUCAAAUCUGGUGGGUCACUCAAAUUUAUUUCGGUGUUUUCUCCAUGUGGUUGGUAUUCUAGAUAUGGCUUUAAUCUUUGACCAUUAACUUUAAACGUGACACCGUUCUUUGGGUCCUUAAUUUCAAUUGCCCCAUGUGGAAAAACAGUAUGUACAAUAAAUGGGCCAGACCAACGAGAGCGUAACUUACCUGGGAAUAGGUGCAAGCGAGAAUUGAAUAAAAGCACUUUCUGACCUGGAGUGAACGAUUUUCUCAUAAUUUGCUUAUCAUGGAAGACUUUAAUUCGUUGCUUGUAAAUCUUGGCAUUUUCGUAUGCAUCAUUGUGAAUUUCUUCAAGUUCUGCCAGUUGUAAUCUUCUUUCUGAGCUGGCUUGCUGCAUGUCAAAAUUGAAUUUCUUGAUGGCCCAAUAUACACGAUGCUCGAGUUCCACAGGUAGGUGGCAAGCUUUUCCAUACACUAGCCUGUAGGGUGACAUCCCAAUCGGGGUCUUGAAAGCCGUUCUGUAUGCCCAUAAUGCAUCAUCAAGUCUUAAUGACCAAUCUUUCCUGUCUGGCCUCACCGUUUUUUCUAAUAUGUGCUUUAUUUCUCGAUUGGAUAUCUCAACUUGGCCACUGGUUUGCGGAUGAUAUGGGGUUGCCACUUUGUGUGUGAUUGAAUACUUUGUCAAAAGAGCUUUGAAUGCUUUGUUACAAAAGUGGGCACCACCAUCACUGAUUAUUGCUCGAGGGAAUUCAAAGCGUGAGACAAUGUUGCUUUUCAAAAAUGCUAUCACCACCUUGUGAUCAUUGGUUCUACAUGGAAUUGCUUCUACCCAUUUCGAUACAUAGUCAACAGCAACCAAUAUGUAUUGAUGGCCAAAAGAAGGGGGAAAGGGUCCCAUGAAGUCGAUACCCCAUACAUCAAAAAUCUCAACCACUAAAAUUGGAUUUAGUGGCAUCAUAUUUCUUCGCGUAAUGCUCCCCAUUCGUUGACACCUAUCACAUGAAGAACAGAAAGUGUAAGCAUCUCGAAAUAUAGUUGGCCAAUAGAAACCACGUUGUAAAACUUUAGUUGCUGUUUUCUUAGCACUAAAAUGGCCUCCACAAGCUUGUUCAUGGCAGAAUGAAAGAAUAUUCUGAAUUUCAUUUUCUGGGACACAUCGUCUAACAAUUUGAUCAGCACAAUACUUGAACAAAUACGGGUCAUCCCAAAAGAAAUUCUUUAUCUCUGCAAAGAAUUUAGCCUUGUCUUGCUUGGUCCAAUGCUCUGGAAGUUUACCUGUAACAAGAUAAUUAAUUAUAUCAGCAUACCAAGGCAAUACUUCCGUACUCAUUAAUUGUUCAUCUGGAAAUGACUCAUUCAAUAUUAAUGACUCUGUAAUUGUGUCAAAAUGGAGACGAGAGAGGUGGUCUGCCACAACAUUUUCUGUCCCUUUCUUAUCUUUGAAUUCCAAGUCAAAUUCCUACAAAAGUAACGCCCAACGAAUUAGUCUAGCUUUUGCAUCUUUCUUUGUGAGAAGAUAUUUAAGAGUAGCAUGAUCUGUGAAUAUAAUUAUUUUACAACCAAUGAGAUAAGAUCGAAAUUUUUCUAAUGCAAACACUACUGCUAGCAUUUCUUUUUCAGUAGUUGAAUAAUUCAACUGUGCAUCAUUCAAUGUCAUAUUAGCAUAAUAAAUAACAUGGGGAAUUCGAUCAACUCUUUGUUCUAAUACUGUUCCUACUGCAUAAUCAGAUGCAUCACACAUGAGCUCAAAUGGUAAGCUCCAGUUUGGGGGCUGAAUGAUGGGUGAUGAUGUCAACAACUGUUUUAACUUUUCAAAUGCCACAAGACAUGAAUCAUUAAAGACGAAAGGUACAUCCUUAGCAAGUAAAUUGCAUAAGGGUCUAGAAACUUUGCUAAAAUCUUUAAUGAAAUGUCUAUAGAAACCAGCAUGCCCAAGGAAAGAUCUUACUUCUCUGACUGUUUUAGGUGGAGNNNNNNNNNNNNNNNNNNNNNNNNNNNNNNNNNNNNNNNNNNNNNNNNNNNNNNNNNNNNNNNNNNNNNNNNNNNNNNNNNNNNNNNNNNNNNNNNNNNNUGAGAUCCACCUUGGCUUUGUCAACCUCAAUACCUUUGCUCGAAAUGAUGUGACCGAGAACAAUACCUUGUUUUACCAUAAAAUGGCAUUUCUCCCAAUUUAAGACCAAGUUCUUCUCGAUACAUCUCUGCAAAACUAGUGUUAGAUGAUGUAAAUAUUGAUCAAACGAAUCAUCAAAGACAGAAAAGUCAUCCAUAAAGACUUCAAGGAAUCGUUCAACCAUAUCAGAAAAAAUGCUCAACAUGCAUCGUUGAAAUGUAGCAGGUGCAUUACAUAAUCCAAAUGGCAUUCUCCUAUAUGCAAAUGUGCCAAAAGGGCAAGUGAAAGUAGUUUUCUCUUGAUCUUUUGGUGCUAUGGGAAUCUGAUUAUAUCAUGAGUAGCCAUCUAGAAAGCAAUAAAAUUCAUGGCCUGCUAAUCUAUCAAGCAUUUGAUCAAUAAAUGGUAAAGGAAAAUGGUCUUUACGUGUGACAGAAUUCAACUUUCUAUAAUCAAUGCAUACACGCCAUCCUAUAGUUACUCUAGUGGGUAUAAAUUUAUUAUCAGCAUUCGUAACUACUGUGACUCCUGACUUUUUGGGGACAACUUGCACAGGACUGACCCAUGAACUAUCAGAAAUUGGGUAAAUGAUACCUGCAUCUAAUAGCUUAAGGACUUUAGUUCUAACAACUUCUUUCAUGUUAGGAUUUAACUGACGUUGCAUCUCCCUAGUAGUUUUAGCAUUUUCAUCAAGGUGAAUGUAAUGCAUGCAAUCUACUGGGUUUAUACCUUUAAUGUCUGCUAUGGUCCAUCCUAAUGCUCCUUUGUGCUCUUUUAAAACAUCCAAUAACUUACCUUUUUGUUCGUCAUUUAGGGAUGAUGAGAUGAUUACCGGCAGAGUAUUUUCUUCUCCCAAAAAUGCAUAUUCCAGAGUGUUGGGUAAUGGUUUGAGCUCGAGUUUCGGUGGUGAUUCUGAUGAUGGGAUGAGUUUCUUCUCUGAUGGUGCUAGUUGUUCAACUCUUGACUUUCAUUUAUUAGUGUCCAUAGAUGGUGCUGAGUCAAGCAGGGCGUUGACCUCAUCAACCGAUCUGUCAAUAUCAAAAUCAAAACCAAAGUGAGUUAAACAUGUUUGUAAAGGAUCAUCACUAAGGUUUGAAAGAAAAGUGUCAUCAACUAAUGUUUCAAUUAAAUCCACAUCAACAAUUCCAUCAUCUCCAUUGUGAGGUUGUUUGGCAAUGUUGAAGAUGUUCAACUCCAUAGUCAUGUUGCCGAAGGACAAUUGCAUAUUUCCAGUCCUGCAUUGAAUGUGAGCAUCCGCAGUUGCCAAGAAAGGUCAAUUACAAUGAAAUCAACAGGAAACUAAAACUUGUCUACCUGGAUAAGCACGUCCUCCACAAUACCAUGAGGUAUUUUCGUGGACCGAUCUGCAAGCUGUAACACUACCGGAGUUGGGUGUAAUUCUCCCAGUCUAAGUUUCAAAAAUACUGAGUAAGGCAACAGAUUUACACUAGCUCCUAAAUCCAACAAAGCAUUCUCAAUUGUGUGGUUCCCUAUACUACANNNNNNNNNNNNNNNNNNNNNNNNNNNNNNNNNNNNNNNNNNNNNNNNNNNNNNNNNNNNNNNNNNNNNNNNNNNNNNNNNNNNNNNNNNNNNNNNNNNNNNNNNNNNNNNNNNNNNNNNNNNNNNNNNNNNNNNNNNNNNNNNNNNNNNNNNNNNNNNNNNNNNNNNNNNNNNNNNNNNNNNNNNNNNNNNNNNNNNNNNNNNNNNNNNNNNNNNNNNNNNNNNNNNNNNNNNNNNNNNNNNNNNNNNNNNNNNNNNNNNNNNNNNNNNNNNNNNNNNNNNNNNNNNNNNNNNNNNNNNNNNNNNNNNNNNNNNNNNNNNNNNNNCAUUCACAGGUACAUUUUGAUUUUCUUUUAUCACCGGCAUCUCCACUUUAUUGUCGACUUCUUUUCCUUUUCGCAAGGUCAUGACGGCUUUGACUUCUCCAUGCUGCUGUGGUGAACUGGUACUUGCUUCAUGCACUCCUUUAGGGUUAGGCACUGGUUGACUUGGAAAUUUACCUUUCUCAACGGUCAUUGCCAAGGUCUGAACUGAAAAAGCAAGUUGUCCCACCAUCUUCUCAAGGCUUGAAACUGAUUGGGCUUGUGAAUUGAAGCCUGCUCUCAACUCAUUUCGUAGUCCAUCAAUGGUGCGGUUCUGUUGCUCAAUCGUAGAGUGAGUAAGAUUCUUGAAAUUUUGGAAUGCAUCCUCCCAUGGUCUGGGUUGAGAGUGGUUCUGGUUCUGAUUGUAUGAUCUGAAUGGUGGCUGAGAGGCUUGAGGAUUUUGAGGAAUUUGUUGCAUUGGUGGAGCUGGAGUUGCUGGUCCAUUCUAUUGGAGUCCUUGAGACCAUGAAAAAUUGGGGUGGUCUCUCCAUCCAGGGUUAUAUGUGUUGGAGUAUGGGUUGUAAUUAGAUGGUUUUCUCAUUACACCUAUGGCAUUGGCUUGAUCUGAGUAUGAGUCAUGGUCAUGUGGCUCUGUUGAUUUAGCAGUCGAUAACGAUGCUAUUUGUCGAGAGAGACCUUCAAUUAUCGCUUUGACUUCUUUAAUUUCUGAAGUUGACUCGCCAAUGUGAACCUCAUUUACUCCCUUAAUUCUUCUAGUAUUCCUGAGUGAUCGACUCCGUUGUUGGGAAUUAUCCGCUUGUCGCUGGAAGAAUUCCCAAAUCUUUGAUGCACUUUUUGACAUUAGCUCUCCUCCACUUGUUGCCAUUAGCCAUUCUUGCACAUUCGGUAAUAAUCCCUCCAAAAAGUAUUGGCAUUGGUGCCAUUUCUCGUACCCAUGAUGUGGACACUUCAAGAGUAGCCCAUUGAAUCGCUCCCAUGUUUCGAAAAACUGCUCGUCUUCUCUCUGUGUAAACUCUGAAAUUUCCCUGCGAAUAGCAUUGGUUUUAUGCACUGGGAAAUAUUUAUUCAAAAAUUUCGUUACCAUUUGUUCCCAUGAUGAAAUGCUAUUAGCAAGUAAACUAUUUAACCAUGAACGAGCUCUAUCCUUUAAAGAAAAUGGGAAUAGUCUAAGUUUAACAUCAUCGUCUGAAAAAUUUUCAUAUUUAAAAGUUUGACAAAUGGCAUGAAAAUCAUUUAGAUGAUUAUAUGGAUCCUCAUUUUCUAGGUCAUAGAAUGUUGGGAGACAAUUUAUCACACUAGGUUUUAGUUCAAAACUCCUAGCAGCUACAUUUGGGUAUCUUAUGCAUGAUGUGCUCAAAUUAGCUAAGGGACUAAAAUAGUCCUUAAAUGGCCUCUCAUGUGGUGCUUGUAAAUCCAUUCCAAAUUUAUUUUUAAUGUGCCUGUGUGUGCAAAGUGUUUUUUUCUAAUUCAAGGUCUAUAGGUUUAAGAUUAGGUAAUAAUGACCUACGACCAUGCAUGCAAAACAAAUAAAAUAAAAAUAAAGAUGGGAACAAAACAAAUAAAAAUAAAAAAGAGGGAGAAAUUACGAUACUAACCUUAUUGCACUAUUACAACCUUUCUAUAAAAAUACACAAAAAUAAAUACGUGAAAUAAAUUAACUAAAAAUAAAUUAAUAAGAUAAACAAAAAAAAAAUUCAAAGAAAAAUAAAUUGAAAUUAAAUUACAGAAUUUUAAAGAAGAGAAAAAGAAAAGAAAUACUAACCUUUAAAUGUAGAUUCACUUUUUUUUUCUUUUUCUUUUUUUUAAUAAAAAAAUACAAGAAAACAAAUAAAAGAAAUUAUUCAAAAAAAUUAAUUCUAUGAAUUAAAAUUACUUACCUCCCCGACAACGGCGCCAAAAACUUGUUGUGCAAAUUUUAAUGUACUCGCAAGCGCACGAAUCUACUAUAGUAUAGACUAAUGGUGACGAGUGUCAAUCCCAUGAGGAGGUAGAUUUUAAUUAUGUGUAGAAUUAAUUUUGUAAAUGGGUGGUUGGAUUUGUGGUGGAAAUGAUUUGGAAUAUGCUAAAACUUAAAUUAAAAUGGCGAGAAUAAAUUCUAAAAUUGGAAUUGAAAUGACAAGAAUAAAUUGAAGAGAAUUCUAUUGAGAUGACGUACUUGGGUAUCUGGAUCCGUAUCAACAUGCAUCAUGGGCUAAAUAAUCCAUAUUAAUGCCAAUUAAAUCAUGAGGGGGGAAUCCACACCUCAUGAACCACGCUCUAAUCAAUAUGGUGCUAAGGGCUUAUCGUGCCAAAUAAUAAUAACCUUAUACUAGAGAGCUGGUGUAACCAAGGUGGUACUAGACAAGAUUAGUAUUAUUUGUAGACGAGAAGUCAAAACAUCCACAAAAACUAGAGGGGAAGAGAAAAUAAAUUUACCAAAUUAAGCCCAUGACACAUGUUGAGACUUCACCUUCAACCCAAGCUUGAAAGAAAAUUAGCCACUCAUAAUUGAACUAGGGGCAAAAUGAGAAUUUAUUAAAAUACGAAGAAAAUACAAGAUGGAGAGGGAAUUACAGAAAAUGGAUCCCAAAAAUGGAUUCAGAGCUAUCAAAUUAGGGGGGAGAGGCCCCCUUUUUAUAGAUACAUGGAGUAAAUCAUGGCCAUCGGAUUAAAAACAGUUUGGACGCUUAGGAUUGCGUCACGUCAUCAGUCAACAAUACGCGGUUUGACCAUGUGGAUGAACAGUAACAUGGUUUGACCCGGAUGAACAGUAACGCGGUUUGGUUGAAAAUAAUCCUGUGUGAUGCAUGUACCGUACGCAAGAUUUUUCGUCCACUGAUAUGCUGCCACGUCACCAUCAACAGUACAUAAGAAUUUUAGCCCAACAGGAUCGUGACACCUCAUCAGUCAAUGCCACAUCAUUGUCCGUCUAUGUGAACAGUGUCGUGAACAGUAACGUAUACAGUACCGUACAUGUGAACAGUGCCAUUUUUCCUUUUAUGCUCCUCCUAAGGUUUUCGACCGUCCUGAGUUCAAAAGUGAUGUCCGUUUUGCCAUCUGAUCUCUCGUUUAUUGUGAAAUGACUAUGAUGCUCCUAAAAUACAUAAAAUACUUAAUUAAAAUAAAACAAACGGAAUUAAAUCAAAAGAAGGUUAAAUUCAUAAAAGUAAAGGUGUUAGCAAGACUUGAAAUGUAAAAUGACGGUUUUCUCCUUUAUAAAUAUGCAUUUUCUAACACUCAACAACUGAAUUUUUGGGAGAGGAAAUUUUUCAUCUCUGAGAAAAGCAUUUAGAGGCUGAUAAUCAAUUACCAAUCUCUUUUUUCCUCGAACUAACUCAGACCUUUUUUCAACAUAGAAGGCUUGACAUGCCCAAUAUGAAAUUGUUGGCUCAAUGAGACCUUGCCGAAGCAAUUGAUCACAUUCCUAUUUGGCUAAGAGAAGGUCAGAAGGUGGCAUUCCUGGGUGAGUUGCUUUUGUUGGAUUGAUAUCUUCAUUUAACUACUUGUCAUUUUUCCAAAGAGGGAAAAGAUGACUAAACUGAGAGUGAUUUUUAGGACAGAACUGAAGAAGUUUUUGAGUGAUUGGAGCAUAAAAGGGGGUUGUAUUGGAGAGAGUAUGCAGACAAAGAAUAUCUGUAUAAGGCAAAAACAUUUGUUUGAACUUGAUGCUAGUUGGUGUAAUGUGGAGGUUUCUUACCAGAUGUAGGAUAUCAAAUCCUAUGAGAAGAUCUUUGUCUGGUAAAUCUGAACCAAAGAUUUUUUGCCAUAUGAUACAAUUUGGAAAAAACUGAAUCCCAAUGGGUUUUUUUUGGUAAUCAGGGAUGUUUUGAAGAUUUCACUAUUGGCUGCUUUGAAGAAUUCAGUGUGAUUUUCCUAACAAAAAGGAGGAAGGACUGUGGGAUUGAGCAUACUGCGUUGUGCACCAGUAUUAAGAAAACCAAUAACAGGGAUGGGUUUAUAAAACUUGGAAGGAAGGACUGAAAUUUUUACUGAAGGAGCAGUAGGCUUAGAAUUGACCUAGUUAACUUCUUGAACAGUAGAAAUAACAGAAAUUUCAUCUAUCUCAGAAUCAUCUAUUGACUCUGUGAGGAUGAAGGUUGUAUGAUCAUCAUAUUCUGUCUGUUCAGGGAAAUUGGACACAACAUCUUCUUGAUCAACAAGGAUUGAAGAUUUUUGUAGAUGUUGAAUGAGACAAACAGCUUUGGCAGACUUGUUUGGACAAUUUCUGGCAAAAUGUCCUCUUUUCUUGCAAAUGAAACAACGGUUAUGUUUCUGUUUUCUGAAGUAUCUGUAAGGCUUUUUGUCUUUUCGGGAAGAUCUGUGAGGAUGCUUUUGGAAAUGACCUUUCUUUUUGGUUGGACAAGUGCAUUUUUUGUCAUCUUUGCACUGGAUUUUGAGGUAUGGUUUUUUGCAAGCUGAGGCAAAAGGUUGUUUGUUUUCAAUGAGGUCUUUGAAGAAGUCUUUUUGUUCACACAAUCUGUCAAGACACAACAUAGUCAACUGGAAGAUUUUUCCAAGAGAAAUGUUGGCUAUGUCUAGGUUGAAGGCUGUCAGCCGUCGUUGGAGCUCUGGUUGAAGUUCUGAUGGAAGAGAAGCAAUGAAAACAUGCUUCAAAGUUGGAUCGUUGAAUCCAUUUAACUUGUAGUAUAGCAUACUCAUUCUUUUGUAAUAAAUCUCCAAAUGGUUGCGCUUGAGAGAACAACAUUUCAUCUGGUGAAAUUCUUUUCUUGAUGCUUCAUUUACUAUAGCUGGUUCUCCACUGGUAUCAGAGCCACACUUCCUUUUGCGGUGGUAUCAUUAGUAAUUUGAAUAAUCUUAUUUGAUCUCCUAGAAGAAGAUUCAUCAACCAUGGAAACAAACACAUCUUCAACUUCUACAUCAUCCUCAUCUCAUAUUUCUCUUUCUUCUACGUUAUCUCUUCCCAAAUCCUGUUCUAAACACAUAGCCUCCAAAAUUGAGAAUCUUGUUGAAUAUUCUUAUAUUCCAGAAUCUGCUCAAAUCAAUGAGUCCCAGUUUUCCAUCAUGAGUCCUUACAAUCUCUAUAAACAAAAAACUUGUUUCACUAGAUGUAUUCGAACCCUCAUCUCCACUAAAAGACUACUCCCAAAAGAAUAUAUCCAGUCUUCUACACUGGAUCAGUGUGCUCUACAAGCCUCACAGAGUGAACAAUAUGAUACGAAUCCCACAAUGAAACUUUCAAUCCUACAAUUAAUUUGUAGUUUCAACUUCCCAAGAAAGUUCUAAACAGAUUUAUGGCAAACAAAAACCUUGACCCAAUGCUUAAGAAAACAUGAACCAAAGGUAUAGAGAAGGGUAUUGACGCCACACUCAAGAAAAAGAUGAGAAGGUGAGUGAUAAGUCUAAAUUUGGAACACCACAAGAAUGUAAAUUCUUGAUAAGUUCACUAGUUCUCAAAAGAACCAAAGAAAGAAUAAUCUUUCAAAUUCAAAAUAACAUUUUUCUCCUUACAUACCAAGGUUGCUGAAUUUAAAUAGGCUAAAAGGAACCCAAGAUCCUAAAAAUACAAAUGAAAACAUUGGAAUAACCCUCCAAGUAAGUUUGUCAAAAGAUGUUUCAAAAGUCUUCACCAACCCACCAUGAUCAAUGCUAUCUUUGACAAACUUAAUGCUAGCCUACUAUAAUUAAUGCUAUCAUUGACAAACUUGAAACAAAACAAACAAAUAAGUUGAAAAACAAAGGAUUCGUUGAAAAUCCCAAGUCUGAACAAGCUGUAAAGAAUUGGUCAUAACUCCUUCUAGAGAACUCCAAAUCUAGCUUUGUAAAAUUUAUUGGAAAGCUAACUUAAUUAUCUUUCCAACGGUAUAUAGCUUGCAUUUUAAUUCUGGCUCAAUCAAUACAGUUUUUAUUCCGAAUUUGACCUUUCUGCAUUUGAUACAACUUGUGUAUUUGGCUGCCCAAUGACUUGAAUAAUGCCCACAAUGCCUUGUCUUCUCUUCAAGCCCAAUUCAUGAUGUCUUGCAUCUUGAAUUGCAUUUUCAAUCCAUAUUUUCUCAAUUAAUCCAUUUAAAGCAGCUUGCAUCUUUUUGGCUCUUGCUCUUGUAAUUGGGCCUCCAUGAAUGUGCAAAGGAUCACUUGAAGUUUUAAUGGUCCCUUGAUGGUUCUCAUCACAAUAUGUCACUAUGGAAAUACCUUCAGAUCUCGUCGCCAACUGGAAACAAGAAGGAUACACACACCUCUAUCUUGGUGGUGUAUGAUUAAUUCUCACUCUUCAUGGUCGAAAAGGCUUACCUGUUAUAGCUAGAAUUGCUCUCCUAGACACCAGGUUCAAGGAGUACCAACACGCUCUUGUAGGAACCAUUCUGACAACCCUUCAUGCUGGCAAUGUCUUAUUAACCUUUUACCCCAAUUUCAAUCUCUCUCUUGAGGAUCCCAAUCUUCCAACAACCCUUAAAGUCCAGAUCCAGCUCCAAGGAGCAGAACAAACACCCACAUCUAAGAUUGCAACCCUCCAUCAUCAAAUAAUGUAUCGAUUACAAAAUCAUGCACUAGAUCUUCCUACACCAUACACAACUUCUGAUGCCUUGAUGAUAUUGGCGGACACAGACACAAUUCCAACCAUCAUUCAAAUCCCCAAACAAAUCCAGAAACAAGAUUUGCUCCAACUCAUGCCUCUUGAAUGGCUAACCAACUAUGAGCACUUUCACCAAAAUUCUAAACUAGUACAAACCACAGAAGCCAUAUUUGACAGACGACCAAAUGGCCAAGUCAAACUGUCUUUUCAAACUCCUGACUCCAAGCCCAUUUCAGACAGUCCCCAGCUUUCUUAUACUGCUAUGAUCACAGCAGCUCAAACUGGUCAAGAAAAGAAACUUCCUAUUCAUGGUUUCUCAUCAGAAGGGUAUCCAGUAUAUCCUGAUAAAAUCAAUGGUCAUUUUCUAUGGGAUGUUCCUGAAGCCCAUAUGUGCAAUCCGGAUUGUCCUUGCUUGGAUGAUACGGAUAUUGAUGAAGAAUUGGAAGUUAUGAGGAGAAAGACAAAGAAGAAGAAAAAAGCUUCUUAUCCAGCAUCAUCCUGUAAAUCCUUUGCUCCACAACCUCCACCAAAUCCCAAACCUCCUGUCCAACCAAUUAGAUCAUGUCUUAUGUUUUCAAGUCAUUCCUAUGAGGAAUCAUUUCCUCCACUUGAAAAAUAGAUAGACACACAAACCCGGGUCACAUCAAAACCUUUUGUUCAAUCUCCAAUUACAGCCACUGGGCAACCUGAAGAACCCAAACAACAUGAAGCUGUUUUGAAUUGGCAAACCAAAAAUGCCAAUGCUCAAAAUCAUACUCUUCACCAACUCGAUAAGAAAAUUGACCAUGUUGCCACUCAAGUCUCCCAGACUGAAACUAAAGUUGAUUCAAUCAACAGUCGUUUAGAACAGAUGUAUAUACAUCUUCAAGAUCAGAUUUUUGAACUAGAUGCCGAUCUCAGACGAAUGAUCAACAAUCAUAUAUGGGGUCCAGAGUUUAAUAAAAAAGAAGCUAAAAUCAGAAAACUCAAAGCUGAAUUGUCCAGGAUUGAUGCUGAAAAAACUCGACCUUCCCUUUUUACUCAACCACAACCUACACCAGUAUCUCCUCCAAUCUUUGACACCUAUGCAUCUUUCUACACAACAUCCCGACCUCAACAACAUGUUUAUAAUCAGUUCUUUGGUUUCUCCCACCUUCAACCAACUCCUCAACCAUCUUCACCCAAAAAAUCACGAUCUAAAGUCAAAAUCUCUGAACCACGUCCAAAGGCCACUUCCUCCUCCUCGACCUCUACAAUCCCUCUAGAAGAAUCACAACAAGACAUUCCCAAGCCUCUUAAAAAAGAUAAAAGCCCAAUGGACCAAUUCCAUUAUCAUACUGUCCAGACCGAAUCCUCAGAUUCCUCUGACUCUUCUGAGCCUGAAACAAAUAACUCAUCUUCGUCUUCAUCCUAUGACACAUCACAAGCCUCCAUUGACUCUGAGUCUGAAUAUGCUGACAUUACAAGCAUAUUAAUGGCCACUGAAACUACAGAUCCAAGUGCUUCUACUUCAACACCUAUUGUUGAUGACAAUCCUUCUGAUCAAGCAUCUCAAACAAACCCAGUACCACCACCAGUUCAUGACCACUCAACAAAACCAUCUUCAAUAUCUUGGUUUACAUUUGAUGACAUUCCCCGUCACAAAUGGGCUGCUAGACUUCAAGAAUUUGCUGCUUGGAUUGAUCUUCAAGGUACCAAGCCUAAUGCUCAACCUCAAGCCGUUCUUCGUGAAUUCAUGGCCCGCUCCAUAGGUUCUUUACGAGGCUAGUUAGAAAGCUUAGGAGAAUACAGACAGCUCCAAUUCAUGGAAUCUCCGAUUGGUACAACCCUCAAUAUUAUUCAUGAGCAAUUCAUCGGUGAAAAAACUGUUUCCACUGAAGCAGACAGAAAAGAAUACCAUCAGAUGAAAUGCUGUUCUCUUAAAAGACAUCUUCUGGAUGCUCAUUACAAAAGAAUGAGUAUUCUAUUCUACAAGCUAAAUGGGUUCAAUGAGCCAUCUCUUAAACAUGUCUUCAUUGCCUCUCUUCCUCCGGAGUUACAACCUGAUCUUCAAAGAAAACUCACAGUCACUAAUCUGAGCAUAGCUGAUAUCUCUCUGGGAAAGAUUUUCCAAAUGGCCAUGCUAUCUCUUGAUAAGAUCUGUGAACAGAAAGAAUUCUUCAAAGAUCUCAUGGGAGACAAAAAACCCUUCUCUGAAGCUUGUAAAAAACCUCAUCUCAAGAUGGAGUGUAAAGAUGAAAAGAAGUGUGUUUGUUCGACUAAAAAGAAAAAAACAUUUUCAGAAACACUUCCACAGAAAAUCAUCCUCCAAACAACCUUUUCGGUAUUUUCGAAAGAAAGAUGUUUCUCAGUACUGAAAGAGAAAAUCCAACCGUUGUUUCAUCUGCAAGAAACACGGUCACUUUACCCGAAAUUGUCCUCACAAAUCGACCAAAGCUGUUCGUCUUAUCCAACAUCUUCAACAUUCUUCCCUGUUAUCUGAAAAUGAGGAUGUCGAAUCAAAUUUUUCCGAACAGUCAACCCAAGAUGAUCAAACUGCCUUUCUUAUCGCAAAAUCUUUAGAUUCUGAAGAUAUUUCAAUCAUCUUUACAGUCCAGACUGUUAAUCAUGUUUCCACUAUUCCCAGACCUUCUCUCAAGAUGUCCAUCCUUCCUUCCAAAUUCCAUAAACCUAUUCCUGUCAUCGGGUUUCUUGACACUGGUGCGGAUACCAGUAUGAUUGAUCCUUCUGUUCUCCCCUCCGACUGUUGGGAACAUCAUUCCAAGCUCUUCCGAGCAGUUAAUGGUGAAAUCUUUAAAACCACUUUGAUUACCAAAAAACCCAUUGGUAUUCAAUUCUUUCCGAAUUGUAUAAUUUGAAAAAAGAUUAUAGCCUCCAAACUUCUAGAUAAGGAUUUACUUAUAGGUUUUGACAUUCUUCAUUUAGUUAAAAACCUAUUCCUCACUAAUUCUGGAGUUCGCUAUAAACAGAUGUUCUUGCCUUAUACAAAUACACUACGUCUGUAUACACUUUCUGAAACACAAUCUCCAUACAGUCAAAUCUCACAAAAGCUCUUAGAGUUCUGUCCAGAAAACCAUUCACAGUUCCAUCAUCCUGCACCUCUUUGGAAAAAUGAACAAUUUUUCAUUCACCUUCCUUUUAAACUCAACGAAGACAUAAACCCCACAAAAGCCUCACACCCGGGUAUGUCUCCUUCAGAUCUCUUGCUUGCUAAGCAAGAAUGUUCUCAGUUACUUCAACAAGGUCUUAUUAAGUCUACUGAUUCAGAUUGGGCUUGUCAAGCCUUUUAUGUUGAAAAACAAUCUGAAUUAGUUCAUGGAAAAAAGAGAUUAGUCAUUGAUUACCAGCCACUCAAUUCUUUUCUUAAAGAUGAUAAGUUUCCCCUUCCAAAAAUCCAGACCCUAUUUGUCCAUCUUCAAGGGGCUCGUAUCUUCUCUAAGUUUGAUUUAAAAGCUGGUUUUUGGCAACUUGGUAUUUUACCAGUUGACCAUCACAAAAAUGCCUUCUGCAUCCCUGAUGCCCAUUACCAAUGGACGGUUAUGCCUUUUGGUCUCAAAGUCACUCCCUCUUUAUUUCAAAAAGCCAUGACAAAAAUCUUUUGUCGUAUUCUCCACCAUGCAUUGGUCUACAUUGACGAUAUCUUGUUAUUUUCUUCUGACCAUGAGAGCCACCAGAAGCUCCUUUUGGAUUUCUUUCACAUUGUGCAGGCACAUGGCAUCAUGCUUUCCGAAAAGAAAAGCAGCACAGGAAAGGAAUCAAUUGACUUUCUUGGCAUGGUGAUUAAAGCCGGCCAGUAUCAGCCUGGUCCCCAUAUUGCAAUCAAAUUACUAAAGUUUCCGGACACACAUCUCAACAGAAAGCAGAUACAAUAAUUCCUCGGAAUUGUUAAUUAUGUCCGUGAUUUUAUCCCAAAAGUUGCAAUCCACACCAGCCAGCUGUCACAUAUGCUAAAAAAACAGUGCCCUCCAUGGGGCCCUGCUCAGACAGAAGCUGUCAAGCAGCUAAAGGUGAUAGCACAAUCACCUCCUCUAUUAUGAAUUCCCACAAGUGGACAACGCAUCCUCCAGACUGAUGCCAGCAAUGAUUAUUGGAGUGCCAUUCUUCUCGAAGCCAUUAAUGGCCUACGUCAUUUCUGUGCACAUGCAAGCGGACAGUUCAAAGACUCGAUCUACAAAGAGAUUUUAGCAGUCAAGUAUGGAAUUAAAAAAUUUGAAUUCCAUCUCAUCAGCCACAAAUUCCUUAUCAACAUGGAUAAUUCUUCUUUUCCCCGAAUCUUUGACUUCAAGAACAAAUUGCCACUCGAUAAGCAAUUACUCAGCCUCAAAACCUGGUUUGCUAAAUAUGAUUUCACUGUUCAACACAUAAAAGGCAACCAAAACCUCAUUCCAGACUUCCUCACCCGUCCAGCACUCAUCUCCUCGAUUCAAACCAUUCCAGUUAUAGCCAUGAAUCGCCAACUUCCUUUCAAAGCUCUCAACCAAAGAAAUUUCCCCAUGAACAUCUCUUUCCAAUUGGCUUACCAAUUGCAAGAUUUUGUAAAGAAGUUUCUUUACCGGUUUUUCUUUAAUGUUCAGACUAAAAAACCUAACCGAUUUCCUAAUCUUUGCAUGGAGCACCUAUUUCUCAUAGGCCUCACUCUAUCCUCUCUAUCCAUCUCCGAAGAUGAGCUUUGGUAUAUGUGGUGUCUCACCCCCUUGUAUGCUACAAAGCUAGUUUUUCCCAUCAAACCAGUCCUGACUCACCUUUAACCACUCCAGAGUUCUCCCCAAACCUUUCUAUGGACUCUUUUUAGAAUGGUAUUCACCCCUCACUUGGUGGCGCCAGCAAGUCCACCAUUUUGUAAUACGUUUCUCGGAAUUGGACUAAUGCAAAACAGAAGCUAACAUGGUGGACUAUAGCCAUUCAUCGUCCACAGGCCUUANNNNNNNNNNNNNNNNNNNNNNNNNNNNNNNNNNNNNNNNNNNNNNNNNNNNNNNNNNNNNNNNNNNNNNNNNNNNNNNNNNNNNNNNNNNNNNNNNNNNAUGGAACUUAACAAUGUUCCUCCACCUGCCACAAACAUUCACCACACCUCCAUUGGACCAUCACACACCCUUGAAAUAAUUCCAAAAACACAAGGCUGUACACCAGGUUCAAGUUCAAGUCCUCAAGGAAUCCUUGUCAUGGAACAACGUCCUAACUACACGAAUGUCUUAUUCCAAGACGCUUAGGACCCAUGGGAAGACUUUCAGUCCCUUCUCCAUAUUGACACUCCCCAUUAUACUGUCACCAACCCAGACUCUCCGGCUGCAUCUACCCCACAGCACAUGUCUGAAGCUAAUGAAGAAAAAUAUCAGCAAACUGAGGCGUAUCUCGACCAGAGACAGAGGCGUCAGCACAAGCGACAAUAUGAGACAGAAACAGGAGACGUGUCACCAUCACGCUAUCCAUCCACUCCAUAGACGUGUCACCAUCGCGCUAUCCAUCCACUCCAUAAUAAUUUCUUUGAGCCCUAGAAGAGGGUGAACUUUGUGAGAAAACACUUUUAUUUUCUCAAAAUUGAUUUUAGAGGAUAAAACAGGACCUUUCUGAUGCACAGGAUCCUUAGGCUUAAGGUAAGUGCAGAGCAUACUCAGUAUAGAAAAUUAAAGGCGAGCGUAUCAUUAUUAACCCAAAUAAUUUCUUUGAGCCCUAGAAGAGAGAAAAGAUCUAGAGAUACAUGAUGUAAGGAAACUUAAAUGUUUAUUUCUGAUUAACUCGUGCCUACAACGGAAGCAUAAGGUGCCUUAUAUAGAAAAUCAUCCAGGACAGGACCCCUUGAAUGAUUAUAAUCGACAAAUAGGCACAUGCUGUUAGAAAAGUAAAGCACACCUUUUUAGAAAGUAAAGCACACCAACUAAGACUUUUGCAUAAGACAAAGGAAAACAGAAAGUAAAGCACACCGACUAAGACUUUUUACAUAAACAUUCAAAGCAAACGGGAGACACAUGGGCUUAUUGCAUUAAAAGCAAUGUGAUGGGGACAAGUUGUCAUUAUGGAGUGGAUGGAUAGCGCAAUGGUGACACGUCUCCUGUCGCUUUCUCAUAUUGGCGCUUGUGCCGACGUAUCUGUCUCUGGUCGAGAUAUGCCUCAGCUUAAUAAUAUUUGUCUUCAUCAGUGUCAGUCAUGUGCGGUGAAGUAGAUGCAGCAGGAGAGUCUGGGUUGGUGACGGUAUAAUGGGGAUUUUCAGUAUGGAGAAGAGACUGAAAAUCUUCCCAUGGGUCCUGAGCGUCUUGGAAUAAGACGUUGGUGUAAUCAGGGCGUUGUUCCAUGACAAGGAUUCCUUGAGGACUUGAACUUGAACCCGGAGUAUAGCCUUGUGUUUUUGGAAUUAUUUCAAGGGUGUGUGAUGGUCCAAUAGAGGUGUGGUGAAUGUUUGUGGCAGGUGGAGUAACAUUGUUAAGUUCCAUGAGGUAGGCUUUGAGAACGGAGGUGACCGAUGUAUCAUGGAUGAGGGUAUAAGGAUGAGGGUAAGUUCUCCAUUCAUAUGCCAUGUCUUGUGUCCACUAGUCUCUUGUUUCUGGGUGCUGGAAGUAGGGCCUGUGGAUGAUGAAAAUUGUAGUCCACAUGUUAGCUUCCUGUUCUGGCAUGCUUUCUAAUCCAUGAAAGGUACACAUAUUCUGGAGUUGUUACCAUGUGAGUGGGGAAUACCAUUCGAGGAGAGUCCAUAGAAGGUCUGGUGAGAACUCAAGAGUGUUAAGGUGAGUCAGGACUGGUUUGAUGGGGAAAACUAGCUUCGUAGCAUACAAGGUGGUGAGACACCACAUGUACCAAAGCUCAUCUUCACAGAUGGAUAGAGAGGAGAGAGUGACGUUGGUGAGGAACAAGUGUUCCAUACAAAGGUUAGGAAAACGGUGUUGAGUGUUAGAAAAUGCAUAUUUAUAAAGGAGAAAACCGUCAUUUUACAUUUCAAGUCUUACUAACAACCCUUACUUUUAUGUAUUUAACAUUCUUGUAAUUUAAUUACGUGUGUUUUAUUUUAAUUAAGUAAUUUAUGUAUUUUAGGGGCAUUAUAGUCAUUUCACAAUAAAGGAGAGAUCAGACGGCAAAACGGACAUCACUUUUGAACUCAGGACGGUCGAAAACCUUAGGAGGAGCAUAAAAGGAAAAAUGACACUAUUCACAUGUACGGUACUAUUCACGUAUACGGGACUGUAUACGUUACUGUUCACGGCACUGUUCACAUAGACGGAUCGAUGACGUGGCAUUGACCGAUGAUGUGGCAUUGACUGAUGAGGUGUCACGAUCCUGUUGGACUAAAAUUCUUAUGUACUGUUGAUGGUGACGUGGCAGCAUAUCAGUGGACGAAAAAUCUCGCGUACGGUGCAUGCAUCACACAGGAUUAUUUUCAACCAAACCGCGUUACUGUUCAUCCGGGUCAAACCGCGUUACUAUUCAAAGUUGGGUCAAACCGUGUUACUGUUCAUCCGCGUGGUCAAACCGUGGACUGUUGACUGAUGACGUGGCGCAAUCCUGAGCGUCCAAACUGUUUUUAAUCCGAUGGCCAUGAUUUACUCCAUGUAUCUAUAAAAAGGGGGCCUCUCCCCCCUAAUUUGAUAUCUCUGAAUCCAUUUUUGGGAUCCAUUUUCUGUAAUUCCCUCUCCAUCUUGUAUUUUCUUCGUAUUUUAAUAAAUUCCCAUUUUACCCCUAGUUCAAUUAUGAGUAGCUAAUUUUCUUUCAAGCUUGGGUUGAAGGUGAAGUCUCAACAUGUGUCAUGGGCUUAAUUUGGUAAAUUUAUUUUCUCUUCCCCUCUAGUUUUUGUGGAUGUUUUGACUUCUCGUCGACAAAUAAUACUAAUCUUGUCUAGUACCGCCUUGGUUUCACCGGCCCUCUAGUACAAGGUUAUUAUUAUUUGGCACGAUAAGCCCUUAGCACCAUAUUGAUUAGAGCGUGGUUCAUGAGGUGUGGAUUCCCCCCUCAUGAUUUAAUUGGCAUUAAUACGGAUUAUUUAGCCCAUGAUGUAUGUUGAUACGGAUCUAGAUACCCAAGUACGUCAAUUUAAUAGAUUUUCUCUUCAAUUUAUUCUCUCAAUUGCAAUUCCAAUUUUAGAAUUUAUUCUCGCCAUUUUAAUUUAAUUAUUAGCAUAUUCCAAAUCAUUUCCACCAUAAAUCCAACUACCCAUUUACAAAAUUAAUUCUAUAUAUAAUUAAAAUCCACCUCCUCGUGGGAUCGACACUCGUCACCAUUAGUCUAUACUACAAUAGAUUCGUGCGCUUGCGAGUACAUUAAAAUUUGCACAACAAACGGUCAGGUUUUUUGGUCUGAACAUUAAAGAAAUACAUGUAAAGGAACUUCUUUGCAAAAUCUUGUAGCUGGUAAGCGGAUUGGAAAGAGAUGUUCAUGGGGAAGUUUAUCUGAUUGAGAGCUUUGAAAGGAAGUUGGCGAUGCAUGGCUAUUACUGGAACGGUUUGGAUUGAGGAAAUGAGUGAGGGUUUAUUUAUAGCUGGACGUGUGAGGAAGUCUGGAAUGAGGUUUUGGUUGCCUUUUAUAUGUUGAACAGUGAAAUCAUAUUUAGCAAACCAGUUUUUUAGACUGAACAGUUGCUUGUCAGGGAGCAACUUGUUUUUGAAGUCAAAGAUUCGGGGAAAAGAAGAGUUAUCCAUGUUGAUAAGAAAUUUGUGGCUGAGGAGAUGAAAUUUGAAUUUUUUAAUUCCAUACUUGUUUGUCAAAAUCUCUUUGUAGAUCACAUGGUAGUUCUUUUCAGAGUCUUUGAAUUGUCCGCUUGCAUGUGCACAUAAAUGACGCACGCCAUUGAUUUCUUCGAGAAGAAUGGCGCUCCAGUAAUCAUCGCUGGCAUCAGUCUGGAGGAUGCGUUGGCCAGAUGUGGGAAUUCGGAGUGGAGGAGGUGAUUGGGUUAUCACCUUUAGCUGCUUGACAACUUCUGUCUGUGUUGGGUCCCAUGGAGGGCACUAUUUUUUUAGCAUGCGCGACAGCUGGCUUCUGUGGAUUGCAACUCUUAGGAUGAAAUCACAGACAUAAUUAACAAUCCCGAGGAAUUGUUGUAUCUGCUUUUUGGAGAGAUUUAUGUCCGGGAACUUUAAUAAUUCAGUUGCAAUGUGUGGACCAGGUUGGUAGUGGCCAUCUUUAAUCACCAUGCCAAGAAAGUCAAUGGAAUCCUUGCCUAUGCUGCUUUUCUUUUCGGAAAGCAUGAUGCCAUGUGUCUGCACAAUAUUAAAGAAAUCCAAAAGGAGCUUCUGGUGGCUCUCAUGGUCAGAGGAAAAUAACAAAAUAUCAUCAAUGUAGACCAGAGCAUGGUGGAGGAUAGGACUAAAGAUUUUUGUCAUGGCCUUUUGAAAUAAUGAAGGAGCAACUUUAAGACCAAAGGGCAGAAUGGUCCAUUGAUAAUGGGCAUCGGGAAUGCAAAAGGCAGUUUUGUGACGGUCAACUAGUGAAAUACCAAGUUGCCAAAAACCAGCUUUUAAAUCAAACUUAGAGAAGAUACGAGCCCCUUGAAGAUGGACAAACAGAGAAGAUACUUCGGCACAAGCGCCAACAUGAGAAAACGACAGGAGACGUGUCACCAUCGCGCUAUCCAUCCACUCCAUGAUGACAACUUGUCCCCAUCACAUUGCUUUUAAUGCAAUAAGCCCAUGUGUCUCCCGUUUGCUUUGAAUGUUUAUGUAAAAAGUCUUAGUCGGUGUGCUUUACUUUCUGUUUUCCUUUGUCUUAUGUAAAAGUCUUAGUCGGUGUGCUUUACUUUUCUAACAGCAUGUGCCUAUUUGUCGAUUAUAAUCAUUCAAGGGGUCCUGUCCUUGAUGAUUUUCUAUAUAAGGCACCUUAUGCUUCCGUUGUAGGCACGAGUUAAUCAGAAAUAAACAUUUAAGUUUCCUUACAUCAUGUUUCUCUAGAUCUUUUCUCUUUUCUAGGGCUCAAAGAAAUUAUUUGGGUUAAUAAUGAUACGCUCGCCUCUAAUUUUCUAUACUGAGUAUGCUCUGCACUUGCCUUAAGCCUAAGGAUCCUGUGCAUCAAAAAGGUCAUGUUUUAUCCUCCAAAAUCGAUUUUGAGAAAAUAAAAGUGUUUUCUCACAAAGUUCACCCUCUUUGAGGCCAUAAGUGUUGUGUGUUUAGGUGAUAUCGUGAAAAACUAUUUUCAAAUAUGAUUUUUGGAUUUGGUAUUUGAUGGAUAAGUGUAUAUCGGCUGGAAACCAGAACUUGCGGGCUAUUGGCCUUAAGGACAGACUUCGUUAUGUUAUAGAUCUGGUGUAACAAUGCCACGUACAAUUACCCACUGGUAUUGCUCCUUCAUUAUUUCAAAAGGCCAUGACAAAAAUCUUUAGUCCUAUCCUUCACCAUGCUCUAGUCUACAUUGAUGAUAUUUUGUUAUUUUCCUCUGACCAUGAGAGCCACUAGAAGCUCCUUUUGGAUUUCUUUCAUAUUAUGCAGGCACAUGGAAUCAUGCAUUCCGAAAAGAAAAGCAGCAUAGGUAAGGAAUCCAUUGACUUUCUUGGCAUGGUGAUUAAAGAUGGCCACGACCAACCUAGUCCACACAUUGCAACUGAAUUAUUAAAGUUUAUGGAUACAAAUUUCUCCAAAAAGCAGAUACAACAAUUCCUCGGGAUUGUUAAUUAUGUCCGUGAUUUCAUCCCAAAAGUUACAAUCCACACAAGCCAACUGUCAUGCAUGCUCAAAAAAUAGUGCCCUCCAUGGGGCCCAACACAGACAGAAGCUAUCAAGCAGCUAAAGGUGAUAGCCCAAUCACCUCCUCCACUUCGAAUUCCCACAUCUGGCCAAAGUAUCCUCCAGACUGAUGCCAGCGAUGAUCACUGGAGCGCCAUUCUUCUUGAAGAAAUCAAUGGCAUGCGUCAUUUCUGUGCACAUGCAAGCGGACAAUUCAAAGACUCUGAAAAGAACUACCAUGUGAUCUACAAAGAGAUUUUGGCAGUCAAGUAUGGAAUUAAAGGGCAGAAUGGUCCAUUGAUAAUGGGAAUGCAAAAGGCAGUUUUGUGACGGUCAACUAGUGAAAUACCAAGUUGCCAAAAACUAGCUUUUAAAUCGAACUUAGAGAAGAUACGAGCCCCUUGAAGAUGGACAAACAGGGUCUGGAUGUUUGGAAGGGGAAACUUAUCAUCUUUAAGAAAAGAAUUAAAUGGCUGGUAAUCAAUAACUAAUCUUUUUUUACCACGAACUAAUUCAAAUAGUUUUUCAACAUAGAAGGCUUGACAAGCCCAAUCUAAAUCAGUGGGUUCAAUGAGACCUUGUUGGAGUAACUAAGAGCAUUCUUUCUUGGCAAGCAAGAAAUCUGAAGGAGACAUACCCGGGUGAGAAGCUUUUGUGGGAUUUAUGUCUUCAUUGAGUUUGAAAAGAAGAUGGAUAAAAAAUUGUUCAUUCUUCCAAAGUGGUGAAGGAUGGUGAAACUGUGAAUGAUUUUCUGGACAAAAUUCUAAGAACUUAUGGGCAAGAUGACUGUAUGGAGAUGGUGUUUCUGAAAGUGCAUACAGACGAAGAGUAUCAAUAUAGGGUAAGAACAUUUGUUUGUAGCGAACUCCNNNNNNNNNNNNNNNNNNNNNNNNNNNNNNNNNNNNNNNNNNNNNNNNNNNNNNNNNNNNNNNNNNNNNNNNNNNNNNNNNNNNNNNNNNNNNNNNNNNNAGGAAUAGGUUUUUAACAAAAUGAAGAAUGUCAAAACCUAUGAGUAGAUCUUUAUCAGGGAGUUUGGAGACUACAAUCUUUUUCCAAAUUAUACAAUUCGAAAAGAAUUGAAUACCAAUGGGUUUUUUGGUAAUCAAAGUGGUCUCAAAAGUUUCUCCAUUAACGGCUCUGAAAAGCUUUGAAUGAGGUUCCCAAUAGUCUGAGGGAAGAACAGAAGGGUCAAUCAUACUGGUAUCUGUACCAGUGUCAAUAAACCCGAUGACAGGAACAGGUUUAUGAAACUUGGAAGGAAGGAUUGACAUUUUGAGUGAAGGUCUGGGAAUGGUGGAAACAUGGUUGACAUUUUGAACUGUAGAAAUGACUGAAAUAUCCUCAAAAUCUGAAGAUUCUGUGAUGAUAAAAGCAGUUUGGUCAUCUUGUUCUGAUUGUUCAGAAAAGGUUGAUUCAACAUCUUCGUUCUCAGAUAACAGGGAAGAAUGUUGAAGGUGCUAUAUGAGACGAACAACUUUGGCAGGCUUAUAGGGACAGUUUCAAGAAAAGUGACCGCGUUUCUUGGAGAUGAAACAACGGUUAUGCUUUUUCUUUCUGUACUAGGGGACAUCCUUUUUUCUGAAAUACUGGAAAGGUUUUUUGGAGGAUGAUUUUUUGUGGAAGUGUUUUUGAAAAUGUUUUUUCUUUUUGGGCGAGCAAACACACUUCUUUUCAUCUUUGCACUCCAUCUUGAGAUAAGGUUUUUUACAAGCUUCAGAGAAGGGUUUUGCCUGCCAUGAGAUCUUUGAAGAAUUCCUUCUACUCACAGAUUUUAUCUAGGCAUAACAUUGCCAUUUGGAAAAUCUUUCCCAAAGAGAUGUCAGCAAUGCUGAGAUUAGUGGCUGUGAGUUUUCUUUGAAGAUCAAGUUGUAACUCGGAAGGAAGAGAUGCUAUGAAGACAUGUUUAAGAGAAGGUUCGUUGAAUCCAUUCAACUUGUAAAAUAGAAUACUCAUUCUUUUUAAAUGAGAUUCCAAAAGAUGUCUUUUGAGAGAACAGCACUUCAUCUGAUGAUACUCUUUUCUGUCUGCAUCGGUAGAUGCUGUUUUUUCACCAAUGAAUUGUUCAUGGAUGAUGUUGAGUGUGGUACCAACAUGUGAUUGCAUGAAUUGGAGUUGUCUAUAUUCUUCCAAGCUUUCUAAGCAAUCUCUCAAAGAACCCGUAGAUCGGGCCGUGAAUUCAUGAAGGACAGCUUGAGAUUGAGCAUUUGGCUUUGUUCCUUGGAGAUCAAUCCAUGCAGCAAAUUCUUGAAGUCUAGCAGACCAUCUGUGAUGAGGAAUGUCAUCAAAUGUGAACCAAGAUGCUGAAGAUGGUUUUGUGGAGUGAUCAUGAGCUGGUGGUGGCAUAGGUGGCACUGGUUCUGUGUGAGAUGCUUUAUGCUCAUCAUCAGAAGAACUAUCUUCAACAAUUGGUGUAGAAGUUGAAGCACUGGGAUCUUCAGUUUUAGUUGCCAUCAAUAUGCUCGUAAUGUCAGCAUAUUCUGAUUCAGAGUCAGUGGAGGUACUGGUUGAGUUUGUGGAUGAGGAGGAUGAGUGUGACUGACGGAUUGGACUCACAUACUGUUUCUGGUUCAAAGGAUUUAGGAGAUGAGUCGUAGACAGUUUGAUAAUGAUACUGAUCCAUUGGUCCUUUAUCUUUUUUAGGAGGGUCAGGAGUUACUUGUGGUGAAUCUUCGGGAGGUACCGGAGGAGUAGAUGAGGAUGAAGUUGGCUUUGUUUUUGGUUCUGAAAUUUUUACUUUGGACUUUGAUUUUUUAGGUCAAAAGGGUUUUGGUUGAGGAGUUGGUUGGAGAUGUGAGAAACCAAAGUAUUGGUUGUAAACAGGUUGGCGAGGUCUGGGAGGUGUAUGAAAAGGUGAAUAGGUUUCAAACACAGGAGAAGGCACAAGUGUGGAUUGUGUCUGGGUGAAAAGUGUUGGACGAGUCUUUUCAGCAUCAAUUCUUGCCAAUUCAGCUUUGAGCUUUCUAAUCUCUGCUUCUUUAUUGUUAAACUUGGGACCCCAGAUAUGAUUAUUGAUCAUUCGUCUGAGAUCGGUAUCUAACUCAGAGAUACGGUCUUGUAGAUGUAUGUACAUCUGAUCAAGAUGAUGGCUGAUUGAAUCAACUUUAGUUUCAGUCCGGGAGACUUGACUGGCAACUCGAUCAAUUCUUUUUCCGAGUUGUUUGAGGGUUUGAUUCUGAGCAUUGACAUUUUUGGUUUGCCAAUUUAAAAUAGCUUCAUACUGUUUUGGCUCUUCAGGUUGCCCAGAGGCUGUAACUGGGGACUCGACAAAGGGGUUAGAGACAACUCUGGUUUGAGUGUCUGUCUGCUUUUCAAGUGGAGGGAAGGACUCUUCAUAAGAUUGACCUGAAAAUAUUAGGCAUGAUCUUAUUGGUUGAACAGGAGGUUUGGAUCUGGUGGAGAUAGUAGAGGAAAAGAUUUGCAAGAUGUUUUUGAAUGAGAAGGUUUGUUCUUUUUCUUUUUCUUUCUUCGCAUGACUUCGAGUUCAUCUUCAAUAUCCAUAUCAUCCAAGCAAGGACAAUCCGGAUUACGCAUAUGGGCGUCAGGGACAUCCCAUAGAAAAUGACCAUUGAUUUUAUCAGGAUAUACAGGAUACCCUUUGGAGGAGAAACCAUGAAUUGGAAGUUUCUUUUCUUGAUCAGUUUGGACUGCGGUAAUCAUAGCAGUGUAAUAAAGCCUUGGAGUGUUCUGAACAGGUUGUGAUUCAGGUAUUUGGAAAGAUAGUUUGACUUGACCAUUUUGUCGUCUUUCAAACGUGGCUUCUGUUGUUUGAACUGGUUCAGAGUUUUGGUGGAAUUGUUCAUAAUUGGUCAACCAUUCAAGAGGCAUGAGUUUAAGCAAUUCUUGUUUCUGAAUUUGUUUGGGAAUUUGGAUGAUGGUUGGAAUUGUGUCUGUGUCAGCAAGGAUCAUUAAGGCAUCAGAUGUGGUGUAUGUUGAGUGUUAGAAAAUGCAUAUUUAUAAAGGAGAAAACCGUCAUUUUACAUUUCAAGUCUUACUAACACCUUUACUUUUAUGAAUUUAACCUUCUUUUGAUUUAAUUCCGUUUGUUUUAUUUUAAUUAAGUAUUUUAUGUAUUUUAGGAGCAUCAUAGUCAUUUCACAAUAAACGAGAGAUCAGAUGGCAAAACGAACAUCACUUUUGAACUCAGGACGGUCGAAAACCUUAGGAGGAGCAUAAAAGGAAAAAUGGCACUGUUCACAUGUACGGUACUAUUUACAUGUACAGUACUGUAUACGUUACUGUUCACGACACUGUUCACAUAGACGGACGAUGAUGUGGCAUUGACCGAUGAUGUGGCAUUGACUGAUGAGGUGGCACGAUCCUGUUGGGCUAAAAUUCUUAUGAACUGUUGAUGGUGACGUGGCAGCAUAUCAGUGGACGAAAAAUCUCACGUACGGUACAUACAUCACACAUGAUUAUUUUCAACCAAACCGCAUUACUAUUUAUCCAGGUCAAACCGUAUUACUGUUCAUCCGCGUGGUCAAACCGCGUACUGUUGACUGAUGACGUGGCGCAAUCCUGAGCGUCCAAAUUGUUUUUAAUCCGAUGGCCAUGAUUUACUCCAUGUAUCUAUAAAAGGGGGCCUCUCCCCCCUAAUUGGAUAGCUCUGAAUCCAUUUUUGGGAUCCAUUUUCUGUAAUUCCCUCUCCAUCUUGUAUUUUCUUCGUAUUUUAAUAAAUUCCCAUUUUGCCCCUAGUUCAAUUAUGAGUGGCUAAUUUUUCUUUCAAGCUUGGGUUGAAGGUGAAGUCUCAACAUGUGUCAUGGGCUUAAUUUGGUAAAUUUAUUUUCUCUUCCCCUCUAGUUUUUGUGGAUGUUUUGACUUCUCGUCGACAAAUAAUACUAAUCUUGUCUAGUACCGCCUUGGUUUCACCGGCCCUCUAGUACAAGGUUAUUAUUAUUUGGUACGAUAAGCCCUUAGCACCAUAUUGAUUAGAGCGUGGUUCAUGAGGUGUGGAUUCCCCCCUCAUGAUUUAAUUGGCAUUAAUACGGAUUAUUUAUCCCAUGAUGCAUGUUGAUACGGAUCCAGAUACCCAAGUACGUCAUCUCAAUAGAAUUCUCUUCAAUUUAUUAUGGUAAUUUCAAUUCCAAUUUUAGAAUUUAUUUUAAUUUAAGUUUUAGCAUAUUCCAAAUCAUUUCCACCACAAAUCCAACCACCCAUUUACAAAAUUAAUUCUACACAUAAUUAAAAUCCACCUCCUCGUGGGAUCGACACUCGUCACCAUUAGUCUAUACUACAAUAGAUUCGUGCGCUUGCGAGUACAUUAAAAUUUGCACAACAAGUUUUUGGCGCCGUUGCCGGGGAGGUAAGUAAUUUUAAUUUAUAGAAUUAAUUUUUGUGAAUAAUUUCUUUUAUUUUUUUCUUGUAUUGUUUUUAUUAAAAAAAAAAAAAGAAAAAAAAAGUGAAUCUACAUUUAAAGGUUAGUAUUUAUUUUCUUUUUCUCUUGUUUAAAAUUCUGUAAUUUAAUUUCAAUUUAUUUUUCUUUGAAUUUUUUUUGUUUAUCUUAUUAAUUUAUUUUUAAUUAAUUUAUUUCACGUAUUUAUUUUUGUGUAUUUUUAUAGAAAGGUUGUAAUAGCGCAAUAAGGUUAGUAUCGUAAUUUCUCCCUCUUUUUUAUUUUUAUUUGUUUUGCAUGCAUGGUCGUAGGUCAUUAUUACCUAAUCUUGAACCUAUGAACCUUGAAUUAGAAAAAAUACUUCGCACACACAGGCACAUUAAAAAUAAAUUUGGAAUGGAUUUACAAGCACCACAGGAGAGGUCAUUUAAGGACUAUUUUAGUCCCUUAGCUAAUUUGAGCACAUCAUGCAUAAGAUACCCAAAUGUAGCUGCUAGGAGUUUUGAACUAAAACCUAGUGUGCUAAAUUGUCUCCCAACAUUCUAUGGCCUAGAAAAUGAGGAUCCAUAUAAUCAUCUGAAUGAUUUUCAUGCCAUUUGUCAAACUUUUAAAUAUGAAAAUUUUUCAAAUGAUGAUGUUAAACUUAGACUAUUCCCAUUUUCUUUAAAGGAUAGAGCUCGUUCAUGGUUAAAUAUAUCUGCUAAUAGCAUUUCAUCAUGGGAACAAAUGGUAACGAAAUUUUUGAAUAAAUAUUUCCCAGUGUAUAAAACCAAUGCUAUUCACAGGGAAAUUUCAGAGUUUACACAGAGAGAAGACGGGCAGUUUUUUGAAACAUGGGAGCGAUUCAAUGGGCUACUCUUGAAGUGUCCACAUCAUGGGUACGAGAAAUGGCACCAAUGCCAAUACUUUUUGGAGGGAUUAUUGCCGAAUGUGCAAGAAUGGCUAAUGGCAACAAGUGGAGGAGAGCUAAUGUCAAAAAGUGCAUCAGAGAUUUGGGAAUUCUUCCAGCGACAAGCGGAUAAUUUCCAACAACGGAGUCGAUCACUCAGGAAUACUAGAAGAAUUAAGGGAGUAAAUGAGGUUCACAUUGGCGAGUCAACUUCAGAAAUUAAAGAAGUCAAAGCGAUAAUUGAAGGUCUCUCUCGACAAAUAGCAUCGUUAUCGACUGCUAAAUCAACAGAGCCACAUGACCAUGACUCAUACUCAGAUCAAGCCAAUGCCAUAGGUGUAAUGAGAAAACCAUCUAAUUACAACCCAUACUCCAACACAUAUAACCCUGGAUGGAGAGACCACCCCAAUUUUUCAUGGUCUCAAGGACUCCAACAGAAUGGACCAGAAGCUCCAGCUCCACCAAUGCAACAAAUUCCUCAAAAUCCUCAAGCCUCUCAGCCACCAUUCAGACCAUACAAUCAGAACCAGAACCACUCUCAACCCAGACCAUGGGAGGAUGCAUUCCAGAAUUUCAAGAAUCUUACUCACUCUACGAUUGAGCAACAGAACCGCACCAUUGAUGGACUACGAAAUGAGUUGAGAGCAGGCUUCAAUUCACAAGCCCAAUCAGUUUCAAGCCUUGAGAAGAUGGUGGGACAACUUGCUUUUUCAGUUCAGACCUUGGCAAUGACCGUUGAGAAAGGUAAAUUUCCAAGUCAACCAGUGCCUAACCCUAAAGGAGUGCAUGAAGCAAGUACCAGUUCACCACAGCAGCAUGGAGAAGUCAAAGCCGUCAUGACCUUGCGAAAAGGAAAAGAAGUCGACAAUAAAGUGGAGAUGCCGGUGAUAAAAGAAAAUCAAAUUGUACCUGUGAAUGUUGAGGACUCAUCACCGGAGGAGAGAGAAGAAACCAACCCACGAGAAUACAUUCCUAAAGCUCCAUUUCCUCAGAGGUUAGCUAAAGGAAAAAAGGAAAAAUCCACAGGUGAGAUUCUUGAAAUCUUCAAACAGGUAAGUGUUAACAUCCCUUUACUUGAUGCUAUUAAACAAGUUCCAUCUCAUGCCAAGUUUCUUAAAGACCUUUGUACUAAAAAGAGAAAUAUGCAUGUUCAAAAGAAGGCAUUUUUAAUAGAAAAUAUUAGUUCUAUACUCCAACAUAAAAUUCCUUUAAAAUANNNNNNNNNNNNNNNNNNNNNNNNNNNNNNNNNNNNNNNNNNNNNNNNNNNNNNNNNNNNNNNNNNNNNNNNNNNNNNNNNNNNNNNNNNNNNNNNNNNNNNNNNNNNNNNNNNNNNNNNNNNNNNNNNNNNNNNNNNNNNNNNNNNNNNNNNNNNNNNNNNNNNNNNNNNNNNNNNNNNNNNNNNNNNNNNNNNNNNNNNNNNNNNNNNNNNNNNNNNNNNNNNNNNNNNNNNNNNNNNNNNNNNNNNNNNNNNNNNNNNNNNNNNNNNNNNNNNNNNNNNNNNNNNNNNNNNNNNNNNNNNNNNNNNNNNNNNNNNNNNNNNNNNNNNNNNNNNNNNNNNNNNNNNNNNNNNNNNNNNNNNNNNNNNNNNNNNNNNNNNNNNNNNNNNNNNNNNNNNNNNNNNNNNNNNNNNNNNNNNNNNNNNNNNNNNNNNNNNNNNNNNNNNNNNNNNNNNNNNNNNNNNNNNNNNNNNNNNNNNNNNNNNNNNNNNNNNNNNNNNNNNNNNNNNNNNNNNNNNNNNNNNNNNNNNNNNNNNNNNNNNNNNNNNNNNNNNNNNNNNNNNNNNNNNNNNNNNNNNNNNNNNNNNNNNNNNNNNNNNNNNNNNNNNNNNNNNNNNNNNNNNNNNNNNNNNNNNNNNNNNNNNNNNNNNNNNNNNNNNNNNNNNNNNNNNNNNNNNNNNNNNNNNNNNNNNNNNNNNNNNNNNNNNNNNNNNNNNNNNNNNNNNNNNNNNNNNNNNNNNNNNNNNNNNNNNNNNNNNNNNNNNNNNNNNNNNNNNNNNNNNNNNNNNNNNNNNNNNNNNNNNNNNNNNNNNNNNNNNNNNNNNNNNNNNNNNNNNNNNNNNNNNNNNNNNNNNNNNNNNNNNNNNNNNNNNNNNNNNNNNNNNNNNNNNNNNNNNNNNNNNNNNNNNNNNNNNNNNNNNNNNNNNNNNNNNNNNNNNNNNNNNNNNNNNNNNNNNNNNNNNNNNNNNNNNNNNNNNNNNNNNNNNNNNNNNNNNNNNNNNNNNNNNAGUUCAUGGGUCAGUCCCGUGCAAGUUGUCCCCAAAAAGUCAAGAGUCACAGUAGUUACGAAUGCUGAUAAUAAAUUGAUACCCACUAGAGUAACUACAGGAUGGCGUGUAUGCAUUGAUUAUAGAAAAUUGAAUUCUGUCACACGUAAAGACCAUUUUCCUUUACCAUUUAUUGAUUAAAUGCUUGAUAGAUUAGCAGGCCAUGAAUUUUAUUGCUUUCUAGAUGGCUACUCAGGAUAUAAUCAAAUUCCCAUAGCACCAAAAGAUCAAGAGAAAACUACUUUCACUUGCCCUUUUGGCACAUUUGCAUAUAGGAGAAUGCCAUUUGGAUUAUGUAAUGCACCUGCUACAUUUCAACGAUGCAUGUUGAGCAUUUUUUCUGAUAUGGUUGAAUGAUUCCUUGAAGUCUUUAUGGAUGACUUUUCUGUCUUUGGUGAUUCAUUUGAUCAAUGUUUACAUCAUCUAACACUAGUUCUGCAGAGAUGUAUCGAGAAGAACUUGGUCUUAAAUUGGGAGAAGUGCCAUUUUAUGGUAAAACAAGGUAGGUAUUGAGGUUAACAAAGCCAAGGUGGAUCUCAUUUCUAAUCUUCCUCCACCUAAAAUAGUCAGAGAAGUAAGAUCUUUCCUUGGGCAUGCUGGUUUCUAUAGACGUUUCAUUAAAGAUUUUAGCAAAGUUUCUAGACCCUUAUGCAAUUUACUUGCUAAGGAUGUACCUUUUGUCUUUAAUGAUUCAUGUCUUGUGGCAUUUGAAAAGUUAAAACAGUUGUUGACAUCAUCACCCAUCAUUCAGCCCCCAAACUGGAGCUUACCAUUUGAGCUCAUGUGUGAUGCAUCUGAUUAUGUAGUAGGAGCAGUAUUAGGACAAAGAGUUGAUUGAAUUCCCCAUGUUAUUUAUUAUGCUAGUAUGACAUUGAAUGAUGCACAGUUGAAUUAUUCAACUACUGAAAAAGAAAUGCUAGCAGUAGUGUUUGCAUUAGAAAAAUUUCGAUCUUAUCUCAUUGGUUGUAAAAUAAUUAUAUUCACAGAUCAUGCUGCUCUCAAAUAUCUUCUCACAAAGAAAGAUGCAAAAGCUAGACUAAUUCGUUGGGUGUUACUUUUGUAGGAAUUUGACUUGGAAUUCAAAGAUAAGAAAGGGACAGAAAAUGUUGUGGCGGACCACCUCUCUCGUCUUCAUUUUGACACAAUUACAGAGCCAUUAAUAUUGAAUGAGUCAUUUCCAGAUGAACAAUUAAUGAGUACGGAAGUAUUGCCUUGGUAUGCUGAUAUAAUUAAUUAUCUUGUUACAGGUAAACUUCCAGAGCAUUGGACCAAGCAAGACAAGGCUAAAUUCUUUGCAGAGAUAAAGAAUUUCUUUUGGGAUGACCCGUAUUUGUUCAAGUAUUGUGCUGAUCAAAUUGUUAGACGAUGUGUCCCAGAAAAUGAAAUUCAGAAUAUUCUUUCAUUCUGCCAUGAACAAGCUUGUGGAGGCCAUUUUAGUGCUAAGAAAACAGCAACUAAAGUUUUACAACGUGGUUUCUAUUGGCCAACUAUAUUUCGAGAUGCUUACACUUUCUGUUCUUCAUGUGAUAGGUGUCAACGAAUGGGGAGCAUUACGCGAAGAAAUAUGAUGCCACUAAAUCCAAUUUUAGUGGUUGAGAUUUUUGAUGUAUGGGGUAUCGACUUCAUGGGACCCUUUCCCCCUUCUUUUGGCCAUCAAUACAUAUUGGUUGCUGUUGACUAUGUAUCGAAAUGGGUAGAAGCAAUUCCAUGUAGAACCAAUGAUCACAAGGUGGUGAUAGCAUUUUUGAAAAGCAACAUUGUCUCACGCUUUGAAUUCCCUCGAGCAAUAAUCAGUGAUGGUGGUGCCCACUUUUGUAACAAAGCAUUCAAAGCUCUUUUGACAAAGUAUUCAAUCACACACAAAGUGGCAACCCCAUAUCAUCCGCAAACCAGUGGCCAAGUUGAGAUAUCCAAUCGAGAAAUAAAGCACAUAUUAGAAAAAACGGUGAGGCCAGAUAGGAAAGAUUGGUCAUUAAGACUUGAUGAUGCAUUAUGGGCAUACAUAACGGCUUUCAAGACCCCGAUUGGGAUGUCACCCUACAGGCUAGUGUAUGGAAAAGCUUGCCACCUAUCUGUGGAACUCGAGCAUCGUGCAUAUUGGGCCAUCAAGAAAUUCAAUUUUGACAUGCAGCAAGCCAGCUCAGAAAGGAGAUUACAACUGGCAGAACUUGAAGAAAUUCGCAAUGAUGCAUACGAAAAUGCCAAGAUUUACAAGCAACGAAUGAAAGUCUUCCAUGAUAAGCAAAUUAUGAGAAAAUCGUUCACUCCAGGUCAGAAAGUGCUUUUAUUCAAUUCUCGCUUGCACCUAUUCCCAGGUAAGUUACGCUCUCGUUGGUCUGGCCCAUUUAUUGUACAUACUGUUUUUCCACAUGGGGCAAUUGAAAUUAAGGACCCAAAGAACGGUGUCACGUUUAAAGUUAAUGGUCAAAGAUUAAAGCCAUAUCUAGAAUACCAACCACAUGGAGAAAACACCGAAAUAAAUUUGAGUGACCCACCAGAUUUGAAUUGAUUUUUUUUUCGGUGAUUUGAUUUUUUUUCUUUCUUUAUAUUAUUCUUUUGCUAAUUGAAAUUAAUUUUGCAUAAGUGUGUUUGUUUAACUAUUAAGUUUUCUCUUAUCAUUUUUAAUCAUGAGUACCUUACUUAGACCGUUCCUCCUGAACAUUCUUAAACCACUUCAACGUGUCAAAACGCAUCUCAAAAGGCAGAUUCAAUUUUGUAAAACACAUCGCAUUUGGGCUCUACAACCACCAGGGUUAGUAGCCUAUGUUGAGGGUUUAGAAAGCCAACUCAGAGACAUUGAGAGAAGUGUUUACGACAUCCAGUUGGAGCUUGAGAUAAAUUCAAUAAGAGGACAAUUUUAAUUUUCUUUUUGUGUUUUAAUUUGUUUUUCUGUUUGUGUGCUUUAGUUUGUUACCCUGGUGAAGUGGCGGAUAACGGUACUCCGUGACAAUCAAGUCGGUUACUUCAGUUUCCCAUAAUAACUGAUAUUCUGAGGCGAAAGUAUGGACAGAAAUGAGAUUCUAGCGAAGCUUCACAAGCGAUUCCCUUCACUUCCUUAGAAUGCCCUCCUUACGAUCUAUAAAGCUCUGUCCGAACCCAUGCGAUUACUCAUGAGGAAUAACAUACCUGCUGACAUCCGCUGGUUAAUCGAGGCUAAAGUACAAUCGGCAGGUGAGUUACCUCCAAAAUUUAUUGCAUACAUGCCUGGUUGUGGUAAAGAAAAUUAUGCAAGAAAACGACGAGCUUGAAGAAUUUCUGUUGCUUGUCAUAAGUGUGCCAGAAUGAGUUGCAAUAAAAACCCAUGUUCUUUAGGAAUGGUGUCUGAUAACAGGGAAGAUAAGAUUCAAUUCAUUAUGGAUGGCUUGAAUAAGGAGUCAUUGGAUGAUAUCCUUUUGUCUCUUGAAACGCAUCCCAGUGGAUAUGUGCAAGGAGCGAUUCUCCAGUUAUGGCCAUUAUUCCAGAAAGAGCAUGCACGAUAUAGUCUCGGGAAUAUGACUAUAAACGACCCUGUUUGCCAGUUUAUAAGAAAACUGGAUGGGAAGCCUAUCUUCGACCCAUAGAGGGCGUUCAAGCUGUUUCUGGAUGUAAAACCAGAGGAAGAUAUGAGCCACAGUCGCAACUACCUGUAAAUAUCCUUUCACUUUACUGUUAUUUUAUUUCACUAUUGUUUUAUUGUGUGCAUUAUUAUCUUUAAUAAAUUUAUUACUGUUUGCUUUUUCCUUAUUACUGUUUGCUUUUUUCCCUUUUACUGUUUCCAUUUUGACUAGCGAGCCGCGUGCUUUUCGCGUUAUUUGACACUGACAUGUUACCUCAUACACAACUGUGAUCCGCUGUCACCAAGAUUCUUAAAUGUGAUUUCUUUUUUGUCAAGCACUCACAAAUUGUUUUUGAGAAGUAUCACAAUGGCAGCUACUCCCAAUAGACAAUUCAAGAACAUUUGUGUGCUUUCUGAAUUUACAUAUGGCAAACAUAAAGAGUUCGUUGAGGCAGCCAUCAAUCUUGGUCGAAGUAUAGCAGAAAGAAAAUUACACUUGGUGUAUGGAGGAGGUAACCGAGGGUUAUCAAAAAUGGUCUCAAAAGCAGCUUUUAUCAGAGGAAGUCAAGUGUUAGGCAUCAUCCCCAGAGUCUUAAAACCAUUAGGCAGUUCGUCUGACUCAUCAACUGGAGAAGAGCUAGUCGUCUCAGGUAUGCAAGAAAGAAUAACUGAAAUGCUUAAUCAUGCUGAUGCUUUUAUUUUCCUUCCAGGAGAUCUUGCAACACUAGAGGCACUUAUCACACUAGCAUCUUGGGCCCAUUUGCACAUCCAUCAGAAACCCAUCGGUUUGUUAAAUAUCAAUAACUUUUAUGAUGGCUUUAUCACAUUUCUUAACCAUGCAAUAAAAAACUAUUUUAUUCCUUCUAAUGUGGAAAAACUUUUUAUUUGUGCUCACACUGCUAAUGAGCUACUUGAUCUGUUACAAGCUUAUAAACCGGAGCCAGACCCCUGGACCUUUGUGUUAGAACGCCCAAAUAAUGAUGGUAACAGUAGCCGCAGUAAGAAGUACAAAUUAGAUUUAACUAUCCGCUUGUAAAUAUUUUUUUUGUGUUGCACCACCCAGGUGAUGUCUUCUAAACUCUACUUCUUUCCUUUCAAACAUUGAGGACAAAGUUUCGUUCUGGUUGGGGGGAGGGAAUAGUCGACAAUUGUGGAAUUUUGGUUAAGUUUUUACUAAUUUUUUGUUGUAGAAACUAACUAUUGCUAACUUUUUGUGUUGAAGAUGGCUGAAUAUGAAGGGUAGUGACUCUAGAAACGCAUCUUCAUUGUUUAAAAAAAAAUUAAUUAAAAAAAAUUUCUUUUUCUUUAUUAAGUUUUGAUGUUCAUUUUUCUUCUUCUUUUUAAUUUCUCCUCUAUAAAUAUACAUUUUCCAACUUUUGAGUCAAAGAUGGCUGAAUAUGGAGUGUAGUUCCUCUAGAAACGCAUCUUCUUUAAAAAAAAAAUCAUUUUUGUUUUCUAUCAUUUUACGUGUAACUUUUCUAAUUAUUUUUUAUGCAUCAUUUUCACAUUUCUGCAUGCAUAGUUUCCUUUCAUGCUUAGAAUAGGUUGGGGGGUAGAAUGUUGUUAAAAAAAAAAAUUUGUGAUUUGUUUUAACAUUGGAUGACAUGAUUAAUUUCAAAUUUUAGUAUUUGUAUUAUCUUUGGUCUUCAGUGAUGUUACAUUAUGUUUGCUACUCUAUAUGUUGAUGUCGGAGACAAAUAUAAGUUGCUUGAAGGAAUGAACAUGUCAUAAUAAGUACCAAGUGAGUUUUUGAGCCUAUCAUUUUUCUUGGAGAGUAACCCUUUUGCCCAUUCUUUAUACAGCUUAGCAGUUUAUUAUUUUAUAUACGAUCUCUAGAUUUAUUUUGAGUUAUCCCUAAAAAAAAAAAAAUGUGUGUUGCUACAUUGGGAGGCCCAUCUAACUAGUAGAUGUGGAUGAUUAUUUAGAGCCCUAAAAGACGAUGGAAAGGCCAUCUUUGAUCCGUUUGAGCCUUUCUAGCCAUCCCUUUUAUUAAAUAUCCAUAGUUAACCCUUUUGAGCCUUAAAAAAAAAAAAAACCUUUCUUUGUCAACUUAUCAUCUUGACCCACUUCGAUUUGGAGUAUUACCCGAUGUCUUAUAAGUUCCAUCACCUAUUUAUGUUUGAGAAAAAUGUAAAUAAUUAUUUUGUUCAGUGAAGUUAUGCCAAAACAAAAAAUAAAAAACAAAAAAAAAACAAAAGUUGUUGUUUCAAAAGAAUAAAAAUAAAAAUAAUAGGUGAAAACCACCUUGCAACUUCCAAAAAAAAAAAAAAUUCUCUGCAUUUUUCUCAAACAUACACUUUGUUUUCCUUAUUUCCCUUCUUUAUUAGCCAUGUCCCUAGCCUUUGUUACGUCCUAAUAAAAGUCCUUCUUGAUUUUAGGAAACUAUAGUUUGAAGUAGAAGCUAGUUAUAUGGGCUAAAAAGAUGUAGUGAUGCAUAAAAAAAAAAGAUAAAUAAAGUGGGUUGACUAGCAUUUUUGUUUGACUUGAGAUCGUAUUAUUUCUAAGCUGAGGGCAUAUUUAUUUCAUCUUGGUGAGAGCAUGUGAUAUCACUUCUUUGUUAUUUUCUCUCUCAAUUACCAUUCAUUGGAGUGACUAUUUUUAGUGGGUUUAAUUUAUUUGUGAGAGUGUCACUACUUCCAGUGAGAUUUUGGGGUUUGACAUGUCAUUCUUGAAAGUAGAUAUAACAAAGUCUACUAGGCUAAUUCAUGUGGAUGGUUGAUGUGAGUGUGAUGUUGCUUUAGACUGGAGAUAAUGCUUAUACUUUUAUUUGAUUGCUAUCAUUAAUCUGAUUGAAUAAACACGGGUGUUUCUAAAUUAAAAAAAAAAUUAAAUUAUUUUGAAUUUGAAUUUGAAUUUUAUUUUCGCUUCAUUUGCUAGGGACUAGCAAUAAGUUGGUUGGGGGGUGUGUUGAGUGUUAGAAAAUGCAUAUUUAUAAAGGAGAAAACCGUCAUUUUACAUUUCAAGUCUUACUAACACCUUUACUUUUAUGAAUUUAACCUUCUUUUGAUUUAAUUCUGUUUGUUUUAUUUUAAUUAAGUAUUUAUGUAUUUUAGGAGCAUCAUAGUCAUUUCACAAUAAACGAGAGAUCAGAUGGCAAAACAGACAUCACUUUUGAACUCAGGACGGUCGAAAACCUUAGGAGGAGCAUAAAAGGAAAAAUGGCACUGUUCACAUGUAUGGUACUAUUCACAUGUACGGUACUGUAUAUGUUACUGUUCACGACACUGUUCACAUAGACGGACGAUGACGUGGCAUUGACCAAUGAUGUGGCAUUGACUGAUGAGGUGUCACGAUCCUGUUGGACUAAAAUUCUUAUGUACUUUUGAUGGUGACGUGGCAACAUAUCAGUGGACGAAAAAUCUCGCGUACAGUACAUGCAUCACACAGGAUUAUUUUCAACCAAACUGUGUUACUGUUCAUCCGCGUGGUCAAACCGCGUACUGUUGACUGAUGACGUGGCACAAUCCUGAGCGUCCGAACUGUUUUUAAUCCGAUGGCCAUGAUUUACUCCAUGUAUCUAUAAAAGGGGGCCUCUGCCCCCCAAUUGGAUAGCUCUGAAUCCAUUUUUGGGAUCAUUUUCUGUAAUUCCCUCUCCAUCUUGUAUUUUCUUCGUAUUUUAAUAAAUUCCCAUUUUGCCCCUAGUUCAAUUAUGAGUGGCUAAUUUUCUUUCAAGCUUGGGUUGAAGGUGAAGUCUCAACAUGUGUCAUGGGCUUAAUUUGGUAAAUUUAUUUUCUCUUCCCCUCUAGUUUUUGUGGAUGUUUUGACUUCUUGUUGACAAAUAAUACUAAUCUUGUCUAGUACCGCCUUGGUUUCACCGGCCCUUUAGUACAAGGUUAUUAUUAUUUGGCAUGAUAAGCCCUUAGCACCAUAUUGAUUAGAGCGUGGUUCAUGAGGUGUGGAUUCCCCCCUCAUGACUUAAUUGGCAUUAAUACGGAUUAUUUAGCCCAUGAUGCAUGUUGAUACGGAUCCAGAUACCCAAGUACGUCAUCUCAAUAGAAUUCUCUUCAAUUUAUUCUGGUCAUUUCAAUUCCAAUUUUAGAAUUUAUUUUAAUUUAAGUUUUAGUAUAUUCCAAAUCAUUUCCACCACAAAUCCAACCACCCAUUUACAAAAUUAAUUCUACACAUAAUUAAAAUCCACCUCCUCGUGGGAUCGACACUCGUCACCAUUAGUCUAUACUACAAUAGAUUCGUGCGCUUGUGAGUACAUUAAAAUUUGCACAACAGUGUAAGGUGUAGGAAGAUCUAGUGCAUGAUUUUGUAAUCGAUACACUAUUUGGUGAUGAAGAGUGGCAAGCUUUGAUGUGGGUAUCUGGUCUGCUCCUUGGAGCUGGAUCUGAACUUUGAUGGUUGUGGGAAGGUUGGGAUCCUCAAGAGAAAGGUUGAAAUUUGGAUAGAAGGUUAAGAGGAAACUACCAGCAUGGAGUGUGGUCAGAACGAUUCCUAUAACAGCAUGUUGGUACUGUUUGAACCUGGUGUCCAGGAGAGCAAUUAUGGCUGUAACAGGUAAGCCUUUUCGGCCAUGGAGAGUCAGAAUCAAUCUAAUACCACCAAGAUGAAGAUGGGUAUACCCUUCUCGUUUCCAGUUUGCUACAAGAUCUGAGGGUAUUUCUAAAGUGACAUACUGUUCACUUGGAGAGGCUUGUAAAGCACACUGAUUGAGUCUAGAAGACUGGAUGUACUCUUUUGGGAGUGGUCUUUUUGUGGAGAUGAGGGUUCUAAUACUUCUAGUGAGAGAAGUUUUUUGUUUGUAGAGGUUGUAGGGACUUAUGAUAGGAAACUGUGAUUCAUUGAUUUGGGCAGAUUCGGGAAUAUACGAAUAUUCGACAAGGUUUUCAAUUUUAGAGGCUACAUGUUUGUGACAUGAUCUUGGAAGAGAGAGACUGGAGGAAAAAGAAAUAUGGGAUGAAGACGAUGAAGGUGUUGAGGCUGAAGAUGAAGUUGUUUCCAUGUUUAGGUAAUCUUCUUCUAGGAGAUCAAAUAAUUAUUUGGAAUUCCUAAUGAAGUGUGGGUUACCUGUUAUAAUUUCAAUCAAAUAAUCAGAGCCACACUUCACGCUUCCAUUCAUCUUCUUAUUUCAUUCUAAUAUGAUGAUAUCCACUUUUCAGAUCAACUUUAGAAAAUACACAAGACCCAUGUAAUUCAUCAAGCAUACCAUCUAGCCUAGGAAUGAGAUGUCGAUACUUUACCGCUAUGUUGUUGAAAAGGGAAGGAUACACGCACCUCCAUCUUGGAGGAGUUUGUUUGAUUCUUACCCUUCACAGUUUAUUAUACACGAACCUCUAGUUGUAAAGCAGCUUACCUAUACAACUUCACAGUUUAUUAUACAAGAUCUCUAUAUUUUCUUUAAAGUCAACCAAAAAAGUGAAAAAAAUUAUGCAACUGCAUCUGAAAGUCCAUUGAAUUAGUGGAUAUGAAAUAUUAUUUAGAGUUCUAAAAGAUGAUAAAAAGGCCAUCUUUAAUCCAUUUGAGUCUUUCUAGCUAUCCCUAUUAUAAAGUAUCCAUAAUUAACUUUUUAAGCCUACAUAUUAAAAAAAAAUCAUUUUCCUUUAGUAACCUAUUAUCUUUUCCCACUCGAAUGUGGAGUAUCACCUUAUCAUGUAUUCGUGAAAAUGGUGUAUAAAAAAAUAAAAAAAAUAAAAUAAUAAAUAAUAUGAAAAAAAAAGAAAAAAAUCCAAGUGAAAAGUACCUUGGAAUCUCCAAAAGUCCUCUAUUUUUUAAACAUAUAUUUUGUUUUUCCCAUUAUCUUUUCUUUGUUAGCCUAUAUUAUUUUUUUAGGAACUAUAGUCUGAAGUAGAAGCUAGUAAUAUAGACUAAAAGAUGUGGUGAUGCAUAAAAAUGGAAAUAAAUUAGUUUGGCUAGUAAUUCCCUUGACUUGAGAUCAUUUUAUAUCUAAGCUAUGGGCAUUAUUUUUUCAUUUUGGUGAGAGCGUGUGAUAUGUUUAUUAUUCUCUCAAUCUACCACUUCUUAGAGUAACUAUUUUUUGGAGUUUAUUUUCUUUUGACAAAGUCACUCUUAACCUGUGGUUUUGGGGUUUGACAUGUCAUUCUUAAAAGUGACUUAACUAAUGUAGCUUCGAUAAUUAAUCAUUUUGCAUGAUUUUCUUUAGGCCAAAGAUAAUGUUAUACUUUUAUUUGGUUGUUGUCAUUAAUUUGAUGAGAGAAGUAAACACAAAAUUAAAAAAAAAAAAGAAAAAGAGAUUUCAAUUUGGGUUUGAAAUUUUGCUAAAUUUUUAUUGCUUAAAUUGCCAAGGCCUAACAAUAAACUGGUUGAAGGGUGUGAUAUUGACACUAAAAAGUGUAUAUUUAAUAAGUCUAAAAUUAUCAGUUUUUCACUUAUAGUGUUAAUUAAUGUACUCAUUAUUCAUAAAUUAUCUUAGCACUCUUCUAAUAAUUUUUUAUGUUAAAAUUAAUUUGUAGUAUGUUAAUUUUUAUGUUGUAAAUAUUUCAGGAAUAAAGAGGGAAUUAGAACUAAAAGCGAGAACAAAGAAGAAUUGUUAGAACCAUUUGGAAUACAUUAUUGAGGAGACGUAGUUAAUAAAAAAAUAAAUAUUUCAAAAAAAAAGGCAAAGUGAGCCAUGACUAUUGUGAUAGUCAAGUGGCCAUUUUGCCACCUGACUAUCACACACACACACACACACACACACACACACACAUAUAUAUAUAUAUAUAUAUAUAUAUUAUAAAAAUAAAAUAAAAUAAUAAUAAAAUAAAAGAAGAGGAUGCGUUUCGGACGCAAGUAGAGAAGGCGGGUAGGAGAGAAGAGAAGAGAGGAAGCUAAGACUAAGGUUUAUAAAAAUUUCUUCUAUUGUGUUGUUCAUUCUCUUGUAAUAUAUUUCAGAAGUUUGUUAAAUAAAAUGAGUGUUUUUUUUUUUCAAUAUGAGAGGCUAAUUUUCUAAGAUAGGGUGAAAGGUGAAGCUCAAAGGUUCAGAUUAUUGAAUUAAUUACUCUCUUAAAUGAGUCUCAAAGUUUAUUUAAUCUGUUGUAUUUUUCUUUCUUACCAAUUUCUUUUGUGUCAUAUUAAUUUAUAGAUCUAGUUAUCACACUAAUUGUUAGUUAUGAAUUAAAUGACAUAAUAAUUAACCGGAAAAAAAAAUGCAAAAUACAAAUAUCAGAGAGUUGUUAUAACCAUAAUUUGAAAUCCAAGAGUGGAUCUCGUAACCUUAGCAUAUUUUUAGAUUGAUUCCUAUUAAUUUCUUUUCCUACAUUUAAUUUUCUUUGUUUAAUAAAUUGACUACUAGAUUUUAAAUUCCUUAUGGUUCGCUCUUAUACUUGGGAGUAAACAACACUUUUGAGUCGUAUCACAUUUUCCUAGUAUGUUUAGCAUUUUCGUCAAUGUGAGUAUAAUACAUGCAAUCUACUGAGUUUAUAACUUUUAUGUCAACUAUGGUCCAUCCUGAUGCUUCUUUGUACUCUCGUAAAAUACCCAACAACUUAGUCUUUUGCUCGUCAUCAAAAGAAGGUAAAAUGAUUAUUGGCAAAGUAUUUUCAUCUCCCAAGAAUCCAUACUCUAAAGUGUCGGGUACCAAUAUGAGCUCGAGCUCUGAUGGUGAUUCCAAUGAUGGGCUAGGUUUCUUCCCCAAUGGUGUCAAUUGCUCUAUUCUUGACUUUCAUUUAUUGGUAUCUAUGGAUGGUAAUAAAUCGAGUAAAGCAUUGACCUCAUCAAAUAAUAUGUCAAUAUAAAAAUUUAAACCAAAGUGGGUUAAACAUGUUUGUAAAGGAUCAUCACUAAGGGUAGAAGGAAAAGUAUGAUCUAUUAAUUCUUUAUCUAAAUCCACAUCAACAAUUCCUUCAUCUCUAUCAUGAAUAUUCAACUCUAUGGUCAUGUUACCAAAAGAAAAUUGCAUAUAUUAUAGUCUUGCAUUGAAUGCGGGCAUUAGCAAUUGCCAAGAAAGGUUGACCUAGAAUAAUAAGGAUGUGCUCUUUGAAUCCUGUACUGGUUGAAUGUCAAUUACAACAAAAUCAACAAAAAAAUAAAACUUGUCUGCCUGAAUAAGCACGUCCUCCACAAUACCGCAAGGUAUUUUCAUGGAUUGAUCUAUAUGCUGCAACACAACUGGGGUUGGCAGUGAUUCUCCUAAUCUAAGUUUCACAAAUACUAGAUAGGGCAAAAGAUUUCCAUUAGCUCAUAAGUCAACCCAAAGCAUUCUCAAAUAAGUGGUUACCAUUACUACAUAAGAUAGUGGGGGAGUCUGGUCUUCGAAUUUUGGAGGAAUUUUAUGUUGAAGAAUGGAACUAAUGUUCUAUGUUAAAAAGGCCUUCUUUUGAACAUGAAUACUUUGCCUUUUAGUGCAAAAGUCUUUAAGAAACUGCUCAUAAGAGGGCAUUUAUUUUAUAACAUCAAGCAAAAUGUUAAUACGUGUUUGUUUAAAGAUCUCUAUAAUCUCACUCAUGGAAUUUUCCUUCUUUACUUUAACUAACCGCUAAGGGAAUGUAGCUUUAAGGAUAUAUUCUCGUGGGCUUUUUUCAUCUUUCUCCUUUGGUGAUGAGUCCUCAGAGUCUAAAGGUUCAACAUGAAUUGUCUUUUUCACCAGCAUCUCCGCUUUGUUGUCGAUUUUUUUACCUUUUUGCAAGGUCAUGAUGGCUUUGACCUCUUCGUCCCACUGGAGUAAUGCUAUUUGGCGAGAAAGUCCUUCAACUAGUUCUUUGAUUUCCUUUAUCUUUUAUCUUGACUCGCUAAUGUGGAUUUCAUUUACUCCUUUGAUUUUUCUCACAUUCCCCAAUGAUCGACUUCGCUAUUGGGAAUUAUCCACUUGUCACUGGAAGAAAUCCCAAAUUUCUUAUGCGUUUUAAGGCAUUAUCUCACCUCCACUUGUUGCCAUUAGCCAUACCCAUGAUGUGGACGCUUUAAAAGUAGCUCAUUGAAUCGCUUCCAUGCUUCGAAAAAUUGCUCAUCCUCUCUAUGAGUAAACUCUGAUAUUUCCCUACGAAUAACAUUAGUUUUAUCCACAAGGAAAUUUUUUUUAUAAAAUUUAGUUUCAAUUAAUUCCCAUGAUCGGAUACUAUUAGCAGACAAUGUAUUGAACCAAGAACGAGCUCUAUCCUUUAGAGAAAAUGAAAAAAGUCCUAGCUUAACAUCUUCAUUUGAAAGUUCAUCUUCAUCUGUUCAAAGGCCACUUCAUCGUCAUUUGAAAUCCACUCCUGAACCUCUUCAUCUUCAUCUGUUCAUCUUCAUUUGAAAUCUUCAUUUGAAAUCUUUAAGUCAAAGGUCACAUCAUCUUCGUCUGUUCCUUCGCUACCACUAAAAGAUUCACCAAAAGCCACUCCUAAACCUCCCAAAAAAGACAAAAGCCCAAUGGAUCAGUAUCAUUAUCAUACUAUCCAAAACACAUCUUCUGACUCCUCUGAGCCCAAAACAGUCUAUGAGUCAAACCCAUCAGCGUCCAAUCCGUCAUCCUCUUCCUCAUCCACAAACUCAGUUGCAACCUCCACUGACUCUGAAUCCGAAUAUGCUGACAUUACAAGCAUAUUAAUGGCCACCAAAACUGAAGAUCCAAGCACUUCAACUGCCACACCUAUUGUUGAGGACAGUUCUUCUGAUGCUGAAAAUAAAGCAUAUCUAACAAAACUAGAGCCAUCAAUGUCUCCACCAGUUUUUGAUCACUCAACAAAACCAUCUUCAGCAUCUUGGUUUACAUUUGAUGACAUUCCCCGUCACAAAUGGCCUGCUCGACUUCAAGAAUUUACUGCAUGGAUUGAUCUCCAAGGAGCGAAGCCCAAUGCUCAACCUCAAGCUGUCCUUCAUGAAUUCAUGGCCCGAUCCACGGGUUCUUUAUGUGAUUGGUUAGAAAGCUUGGGAGAAUACCGUCAGCUCCAAUUCAUGCAAUCCCCAAUUGGUACAGCACUCAAUAUUAUUCAUGAACAAUUCAUCGGUGUAAAAACAGCGUCUACUAAUGUAGACGAAAUGUUGUUCUCUCAAAAGGCAUCUUUUGGAAUCUCAUUACAAAAGGAUGAGUAUUAUAUUUUACAAGCUGAAUGGGUUCAAUGAUCCAUCUCUCAAACAUGUCUUCAUAGCCUUACUUCCUUCUGAGUUACAACCUGAUCUUCAAAGAAAACUCAUAGCCACUAAUCUCAGCAUAGCUGAUAUCUCUCUGGGAAAGAUUUUCCAAUGGCAAUGCUAUGUCUCAACAAAAUCUGUGAGCAAAAAGAAUUUUUCAAAGAUCUCAUGGAAGACAAAAAAUCCUUUUCUGAAGCUUGUAAAAAACCAUAUCUCAAGAUCGAGUGUAAAGAUGAAAAAAGGUGUGUUUGCCCGACCAAAAAGAAAAGACAUUUUCAGAAACACUUCCACAAAAAAUCAUCCUCCAAAAAACCUUUCCGGUAUUUUAAGAAAAAAGAUGUUUCUCAGUAUAGAAAGAAAAAGCACAACCGUUGUUUCAUCUGUAAGAAACGCGGUCUCUUUGCUCGAAACUAUCCUCACAAGUCUGCCAAAGCUGUUCGUCUCAUAUAGCCUCUUCAACAUUCUUCACUAUUAUCUAAGAAUGAAGAUGUCGAAUCAAAUUUUUCAGAACAGUCAGAACAAGAUGAUUAGACUACCUUCAUUAUCGCAGAAUCUUCUGAUUUUGAUGAUAUUUCCGUCAUUUCUACAGUUCAAACUGUCAACCAUGUUUCAGCCAUUCCUAGACCUUCUCUAAAAAUGUCAAUCCUUCCUUACAAAUUUCAUAAACAUGUUCCUGUUAUUGGGUUUAUUGACACUGGUGCCAAUACCAGUAUGAUUGAUCCUUCAAUCCUUCCCUCUGAUUGUUGGGAAAAACACUUGAAACUUUUCCGAGCAGUUAAUGGAGAAACUUUUGAAACCACUUUAAUUACCAAAAAACCCAUUGGUAUUCAAUUCUUUCCGAAUUGCAUAAUUUGGAAAAAGAUUGUAGCAUCCAAACUCCCAGAUAAAGACUUACUCAUAGGUUUUGACAUUCUUCAUUUGGUUAAAAACCUAUUCCUCACUAGUUCUGGAGUUCGCUACAAAUAAAUCUUCUUACCUUAUACAGAUACAUUACAUCUGUAUACACUUUCAGAAACACCAUCUCCAUACAGUCAUAUUUCACAAAAGUUCCUAGAGUUUUGUCCAGAAAACCAUUCACAGUUCUACCAUCCUUCACCUCUUUGGAAAAAUGAACAGUUCUUCAUUCACCUUCCUUUCAAACUCAACGAAGAUAUAAAUCCUACAAAAUCAUCACACCCAGGUAUGUCUCAUUCCGAUCUCCUACUUGCUAAGCAAUAAUGUUCUCAGUUGCUUCAACAAGGUUUUAUUGAACCUACUGAUUCAGAUUGGGCUUGUCAAGCCUUUUAUGUUGAAAAAAGAUCUGAAUUAGUUCGUGGUAAAAAGAGGUUAGUUAUUGAUUACCAGCCGCUUAGUUCUUUCCUUAAAGAUGAUAAAUUUCCCCUUCCAAAAAUCCAGACCUUGUUUGUCCAUCUUCAAGGGGCUCGUAUCUUCUCUAAGUUUGAUUUAAAAGCUAGUUUUUGGCAACUUAGUAUUUCACUAGUUGACCGUCACAAAACUGCCUUCUUCAUCCCUGAUGCCCAUUAUCAGUGGACUGUUAUGCCUUUUGGUCUUAAGGUUGCUCCUUCAUUAUUUCGAAAGGCCAUGAAAAAAAUCUUCAGUCCUAUCCUUCAUCAUGUUUUGGUAUACAUUGAUGAUAUCUUAUUAUUUUCCUUUGACCAUGAGAGCUACCAGAAGCUCCUUUUGGAUUUCGUUCAUAUUGUGCAGGAACAUGGAAUCAUGCUUUCUGAAAAGAAAAGCAGCAUAGCAAAAGAAUCAAUUGACUUUCUUGGCAUGGUGAAUAAAAAUGGCCAUUAACAACCUGGUCCACACAUUACAACUGAAUUAUUAAAGUUUCCGGACACACAGCUCAACAAAAAGCAGAUCCAACAAUUUCUCAGAUUGUUAAUUAUGUCCGUGAUUUCAUCCCUAAAGUUGCAAUCCACACAAGCCAGCUGUCCCACAUGCUCAGAAAAUAGUGCCCUCCAUGGGGACCAGCACAGACAAAAGCUGUCCAACAACUAAAGGUGAUAGCCCAAUCACCUCCUCCUCUCCGAAUUCCCACAACUGGACAACGCAUUCUAUAGAUCGAUGCCAGUGAUGAUUACUGGAGUGCCAUCCUUCUUGAAGAGAUAAAUAGUGUACGUCACUUCUGUGCACAUGCAAGCGGACAAUUCAAAGACUCUAAAAAGAAUUACCAUGUGAUCUACAAAGAGAUUUUGGUGGUAAAGUAUGGAAUCAAAAAAUUUGAAUUUCAUCUAAUCAGCCAUAAAUUCCUCAUCAACAUGGAUAAAACCUCUUUUCCUAGAAUCUUUGACUUUAAAAAUAAGCCGCUCCCUGACAAACAGAACCUCAUCCCCGAUUUCCUUACUCGUCUGGCUAUAAAUAAACCUUCACUUAUUUCCUCUAUCCACACCAUCCCAGUCAUAGCCAUUAAUCGUCAACUUCUUUUCAAAGCUCUCAACCAGAGAACCUUUCCCAUGAACAUUCCUUUCCAUUCAGCCUACCUUUACCGGUAUUUCUUUAAUGUUCAAAGCAAAAAGCCUGAUCGUUUUCCUUCCCUCUGUAUGGAAAACCUGUUUCUCACAAGUCUUAACCUCUCUUCCUCAACCAUCUGUGAAGAUGAGUUAUGGUACAUGUGGUGCCUCACUACCCUAUAUGCUACAAAACUGGUCUUCCCUAUCCAACCAGUCCUCCGCCAUCUCACCACUCCUGAAUUCUCACCAGACCUUCUGUGGACUCUCCUUGAAUGGUAUUCCCCACUCAUGUGGUGGCGUAAACAACUCAAAAAUCUGUGUACUUUUCACGGAUUAGACAAAAUGCCUGAACAAGAAGCCAACAUGUUCACUAUAGUCUUCAUCGUUCACAGACCCUACUUCCAACACCUAGAAACAAGAGACUUCUGGACACAAGAUAUGGCCUAUGAAUGGAAAACUUAUCCCCAUCCUUAUAUCCUCAUUCAUGAUACAUCUGUUACCUCUAUUCUCAAGUCAUACCUAAUGGAACUCAACAAUGUUCAGCCACCUGCCACAAACAUCCACCACACCUCUAUUGGACCAUCACACACUUUGGAAAUUGUCCCAAAGACACAAAAUUGUACUCCAGGUUCCAGCUCAAGUCCUCAAGGAAUCCUUGUCAUGGAACAACGUCCUGAUUACACCAACGUCUUAUUCCAAGACGCUCAGGAUCCAUGGGAAGAUUUUCAAUCUCUUCUCCCUACUAAAAAUUCCCAUUACACUGUCACCAACCCAGACCCUUCUACUCCAUCAGAACCAAAAAAGAUGACUGAUGCUGAUGAAGAAGCCUAUCUGCAAGCUGAAGCGUAUCUUGACCAGAGACAAAUCCGUCGUGCCAAGCACCAAUAUGAGAAAGAAACUGGCGAUGCGUCUCCAUCACACUACCCAUCCACUCCAUGACACGCAUGGGAAUCUUUAGCUUUUGCUUUAAUAAUUAGACAAGGGUCCUGUCUUGUCUAAAGUAUGUUUUCUUCUUUUUCUAGUUUGGCGUAGUGUGCUAUAAUAAUUAUGCUUUUGUAAACGAUAAGGGACCCACCUUAUCCCAUUGAAAGUACGUGACUUGUUAUCCGACAGUGCAGACCAGACUAGUGCCUAUUCAGGGUCACCUCUGGAAUUUACGUCGUCGGUUUCCCGUCGAUAUACUCAAAUGGGGAAUCAGAAAAACUUUUAAAUAAUUUUUUAUCUCGAGUUAUAUAACCCAAAACAGACUUUCUUUUAGUCUAAAACUGGGUACCAAACUAGAUAAGAAAUCAUCAUAAGUUUUCUGAUGCACAGGAUCCUUGCUAGAGGCAAGUGCAGAGCAUACUUCCUUAAGUUUCAAAAUGAACAAAUUUAAUUCUUUAUUCUUUUUCUUUCUCUAGAGAGCUUCAUUUGCAGAGAGAGGAGAGAGGUUUAGAGAUUCACAGUGAUAAAAACACAUGAGAGUUUAUUGCUUCAAACUUCUAUAUCUUACAAGCAAGGGGAGAAUCCUUUAUAUAGGAGAAUUCUCAGGAAGAUAGGAUAGGACCCCUCUCUUUUACAAAAGCAAAAGCAAAAGACACAUCAUGACAUAGCUUUAAUUAUUACAAAAUGACAAAGUGUUCUUUAAUAAUUAAAGCAUGACUUUGACAAAAGCAAAAGCUUAAAGUAAAAGCAAACUUUAAUAAUUAUACAAGACAAAAGCAUAAAGCAAGACAUAAUGAUUACAUCAAGACAAACUACUUUAUGGAGAGCGGAGAUUCAUGUAGUCGUCUUCUAAUGAGCUUUCUGUUUCAUAGGGAUUAUCACAAGGGGUUGGUGGGAAAAAGGUUUUGGAGAGCUUUGGAUGCUUAUAGUGGGGACCACGGCUAGGUGGAUAAGGAGAAUCUUUUCGGCAUCCUGGUUUGGAGGGUGAUGACUGGGACUUAGGACUAGGCAUUUGAGUGGCCUUGUCAACUUUGGAGGGUUGAGAUGAUGAUCCUGGUUCAUACAUGGUUGGUUGUGGAAAUUGUUGGAGAUCUUGACUGAGGGGAAGGAAUUCUUCCCAUGGGUCUUGUGAGUCUUGGUAAAGGAAGUCGGUGUAGUCUGGUUUUUCUUCUUUAAUGAUGAUGCCUGUGGACUUUGGUUUAGAUAUGACGGAUGGAGUGGGGAUCAUGAUGAGAUCGUGUUGUGGUCCUAAGGAGGUGUGGAAGAUGUCUUUGUGUGGUGGAGUUUGGUGGUUUAAUUGACAAAGAUAAUUGUGUAGGUUGGAUUGGAUUUCAUUGUCAAUGACAGCUGGGUGAGGGGCAGUAAACCAUUCAUAUACCUGGUCUUGAGUCCAAAAGAGAUUUGUGUCUGGAUGUUGGAAGUAUGGCCUGUGGAUGAUAAAAACUGAGGUAAACAGUUGUGCUUCAGAGGCAGGCAUACGUUCAAGAUUGUAAAUCUCUGACAGGUGUUGUAGCUUUUUUCUCCACCAUGGGAUGGGGGAAAACCAUUCAAGUAGUGUCCAGGUAAGAGAGGUGGCUUUGUCCGGAUUAAGAAGAUGUUCCAAAGUGGGAGUGAUUGGUAGGACUAACUUGGUGGCAUAAAGGAUUGUUAGGCACCAAAUGUACCCAUAACACAUCUUCAAUGGUUUCUCUGGAUGGAUCAAGGGUUAAACUUGUAAGGAACAGAUUUUCUGGGUGGAAGUAGGAAAAUGGAAAAGGUUCUGUGACAAGGUAGGCUUUCAUGAAGGAACGAAAAAGAGCUUGUUUUGCAAAUUCUUGGAUGGCAUAAACAGAGGAAAAGUUUUUGUUAAAGGGAAAAGUUUUCUUGGUGAGAGCUUCUGGGGGUAAUGAUGUAGCCAUGGAGAUGAUCGGAAAGUGGUAUGUAGUGGAAAACAGGGUGAGAGGGUUUUCUGGUUUUGAGAGUCCGGAUAGCAUAUCAGGGAUGAGGUUCUGGGAUCCCUUUAUAUGCUUGACCGAAAAAUCAUAUUUGGAAAACCGAUCUUUUAAUCUGAGUAACAUUUUUUCGAGAAGAGUUUUACCUUUGAAAUUGAGAAUAUUGGGGAAGGCUGAACUGUCCAUUCGGAUGAGAAAAUGGUGUCCAAUCAGAUGAUACUCAAACUUUUUGAUGCCAUUCUUUACCGCUAAGAUUUCUUUGAACACGCUAUGGUAAUGCUUCUGUGUGUCAGAAAAUUGUCUGCUAGCGUAAGCGAUAAAGUAUUCUUUUCCAUUGAUUUCUUCAAGGAGGAUGGCACCCCAUGAUUCAUCACUUGCGUCUGUCUGUAAUAUGCGCUUUCCAUCAGUAAUCAACUUUAAAGGAGGCGGAUUUUGCGUAAUUUGUGUGGUUAGCAUUCCAUUCUGGGGGCUUCUUUUUUAAUAAAGCUGAGAGGUGGCGAGUGUAGUGGUCCACAUGUGGGAUGAAGUCUCUGAUAUAAUUGAUGAUGUCGAGAAACUGUUGAACUUGCUUUUUGGAAAGUUGCUGAUGGGCAAUAUGCAUUCCUGGCUGAUAAUGGCCAUCUUUUAUGAUCAUACCAAGGAAUUCAAUAUUGUCGGUAGCAAUGGUGCUUUUCUUGGCCGAUAACAUAAUUCCAUGAUUUUGGACAAUAUCAUAGAAUUGAGUUAACAGCUGGUGAUGUUCAUCAUGUGCUCCUGAAAAAAGCAAGAUAUCGUCAAUGUAAAUCAAUGCAUGAUGCAGGAUGGGCUGAAAGAUAUGGACCAUGGAUUUUUGAAAAAUGGAUGGGGCAGUUUUGAGGCCGAAAGGAAGGACUGUCCAUUGAAAAUGGGCAUUUGGGAUACAGAAUUCAGUUUUGUAACGCUCAGAGGGUUCAAUGCCUAAUUUCCAGAAGCCUGAUUUUAAAUCAAAUUUUGAAAAGAUCUGGGUAUUUUUGAGAAAAGUAAACAUGCUUUGUCUAUGGGGCAAGGGAAACUUGUCAUCUUGCAAAAACAUGUUUAACGGCUGGUAGUUAAUGACUAGGCAUUUCUUUCCUCGAACAAUUUCAGAAUACUUUUCAACAUAAAAGGCUUGGCUAGCCCAUUGAGAAUUCGUGGGCUCAAUUAGACCUUGGGCUAACAAUUGGGAACAUUCUUGUUGGGCUAGGAGUAAGUCAGAAGGACUCAUUCCUGGGUGGGUAGCUUUGGUUGGGUUAAUAUCUUCAUUGAGUUUGAAAGGUAACUUAAUGAAGAAAGAUUUAUUUUUCCACAGUGAGUUUGGAUGGGUGAACUCAGAAUGGGACUCUGGACAAAAACUCAAAAGUUUGGUGGAAAUAUCCUGGUAGGACUGGGGGGUUUCAGACAGAUUGUAGAGUUUCAGAAUGUCUGUGAAAUGUUUGAACAUGGACUUGACUCGAAUUCCAGUGGGAAUGAUUUGGAGAUGUUUGAUCUAGUGAAUGAUGUCAAAACCUAAUAAGAUAUCCUUAUUAGGAAGGGUUGAACCAAUAACCUUGGUCUAAAUGAUACAGUUGGGGAAGAUUUGAAUACCAAUGGGUUUUUUGGUAAUCAGAGAAGUGGUGAAUAAUUUGCCAUUGACAGCUUUGAAAUGUUCUUCAUAUUCUAUCCAGUAUUCUGGUGGAAGAAUAUGUGGGUUUAACAUACUUCGUUGGGCACCGGUGUCUAUGAGACCAAUUGCUGGAACGGGCCUUUGGAAUUUUAAGGGCAAGAUCUGGAGUUUGAUGGAUGGUAUGGGAACAGUAGUGUCAAGAGACAGUAACUGUUGGUGAAAAAUGACUUGGGACUGAUCACUAUCUGAAUCAUCAGAGGAGUUCUGCAGUGCGAACACUGUUUCAUCAUUGGGUUCAUCUUGUUCAGAGAAGUAGAAUUCCAGUUCAUCCUUUUCUGGAGAGUAAUCUGUAAUGGCUUGGAGAUGCUCAACUAACCGAAUAGAUUUUUCCCGUUUGUUGGGACAAUCUUUGGCAUAAUGGCCUUUCUUGCAGAUGAAACAUCUGUUUGAUUUUCUCUGUUUAAAAUCUCUGGAAGAAGAUGACUUCUUUCGGAAGAAUCUGUAAGGCUUUCUGGAUCUGCGAGGUCUGGAUGAAUGAUCUAGAUUUUUGAAUUUCCUAAAAUGCCUUUUCUUUUUAGGACUGCAAUCACAAUCUUUUUUCUUCUGACAUUUGAUCUGCAAAUAAGGCUUUUUGCAAGCACUCCAGAAUGGUUCUUUAUCUUUCAAUAGUUCUUUGAAAAACUCUUUUUGCUCGCAAAGUUUGUCAAGACAGGUUUUGGCAAGCUGAAAGAUUUUGCCGAGAGAGAUGUUGUCAAGAACAAGAUUGGAUGCGGUGAGUUGUCUUUGUAUGUCUGGUUGGAGUUCAUCUGGUAGGGAGGCCAGAAAGACAUGCUUUAAUGUUGGCUUAUUGAAUCCAUUAAGCUUAUAGAACAGCAGGGACAUUCGCUUGUAAUGGAAAUCAAGAUCCUUAGCAUUGAGGGAACAACAUUUCAUGUUGAGAUAGUCUCGGCGUGCAGCUUCAAAGACUGCAGAGGGUCUCCAAGGAAUUGAUCAUGGAGAACAGCAAGAGCACUUGAGACUUCUGGUAGAUCAGCAAACUGUAAUUGGCGGUAGCGACCUAAGGAAUCAAACCAAUCUCUUAGAGCACCCGUAAAACGAGUAGCAAACUCUCUAAGGACUGAUUGAGUUGUGGCUCCUGGAUGUAGCAUCUGAAGGUCAAUCCAGGCAGACAUUUCAUGAAGGCGAUCACGCCAUUUAUGAGAUGGAAGAUCAUCAAAUGUGAACCAUGGGCCAUUGGAAGAUUUUUGACUAGGUGGACUAGUUUGGGCUUGAGCUGGAGGAGGUUGGUUUGUGGCAGAAGAUUCAGGCAUCUCUUGGUCAAUGUCUGAGGGAAUAUCAACAUAUGGUUCGGUAUGAGAAAUUUGGCCUUGAGGAGGUUGAUCAGGUUGGGCCAUCAAGAUUCUGGUGAUAUCAGCAUAGGACUUUUCAGAAUCACUAGUGGAUACUGAAGAUUCUGUGUCAGUCUCAGUAUGGCUAUCAGAAACAGCUAGAUUUGAAUCAGAAGUUUGGUCAUCUGUAGUAGGAGAGUGGUUGACUGUAUGGGCACUAAACUGGUGCAUUGGUUGUUUAUCUUUGGAUUGAGAAGGUGGUUGGGAUAAAGGAGGUGAUGGAGGUACUGGUGGGGGUGCUGGCGUCGGCGUAUAACCAGGGGAUUGUUGGCCAGGGAUGGAAAUGGAGGACGGAUGUAAUAUGACGGGUCGUGGUUGGGGUUUAGGCUUUGGUUUAGGUUUAGGUGGUGGUGGCAAUGGAUUAUCCCGAAAAAGAGUAUGAGUUAUACCAAAUAACUUGGAAGGAUCAUACUGUCUGAUGGGGGAAAGCAUAGAGGUAAAAGGAUGAUAAGUUGGACCUAUGGAAGGGAUAGGAGGUGAUGUGGUAAAAAGGGUAGGUCUUUGUUUUUCAGAUUCAAUCUGAUCAAGUUCAGCGUUUAAGCGUCUGAUUUCCCUUUCCUUUUGGUCAAAUUCUGGGCCAUAGUAGUGCUGGGCAAGCAUAGUUCGUAGUUCAGAAUCGAGUUGAGUAAUUCUAGACUGGAGAUUGUGGUGGAUCUGCUGCAUCUGUGCAGCGAUGGAGUCAACUUUUGUCUCAAGUUGUUCAGUUCGUACAUUGAUGUUCUCAACUUUGGAGUUGAUAUUCAAUAAAGUAUCAUUUUGAGCUCUGGCAUUUUGAGUUUGCCAGUUGAGAAUUGAUUCAAAAGGUUUGGGAGGUUCUAGGUGGCCGGAUGAGGUAAUUGGUGAAGAGACAAAGGGUUUGGACAUGACAUUUCGUUGGGAAUCGGUAUGGGUUUCUAAAGGAGGAAAAGAGGAAAAAUAGUCUGAGACGAAAACAUCAUACAAGUCAGUGGUGGUGUUGGAAGUGGGAUUGGUGAUGUAAGGUGGCAAUUUUGGCAGAACAAAUUUGUUCAGCACCUUGGAUCUGGACUUGAACCUUCAAGGUUGUGGGCAAGUUGGGAUCUUGAAGAGAAAGGUUGAAGUUUGGGUAAAAGGUGAGUAAAACACUACCGGCCUGAAGAGUUGUGAGGACAGUGCCAAUAACAGCAUCUUGGUACUGUUUAAACCGGGUAUCAAGCAUAGCAAGGCGAGCUGUAACCGGUAACCCUUUUCUUCCAUGAAGAGUAAGGAUUAAUCUGAUGCCUCCAAGAUGAAGAUGAGUAUAACCUUCUCAAUUCCAGUUGGAGAGCAACUCGGAGGGAAUCUCCAGAGUGACAUAUUGCUCAGCAGAAGUGGCCUGGAGAGCAGACUGAUCCAGGCAGGAAGACUAGAUAUAUUCUUUAGGGUGAGGGCGUCUGGUAGAGAUGAGGGUGCGGAUACUGCGGGUAAAGGAGCUAGGUCGUUUGUACAACUGAUAAGGGCUAAGAAGAGGGUAAGAGGACUCACUGAUUUGGGCUGAUUCAGGGAUAUAGAAAUAUUCGACAAGGUUUUCAAUCUUAUUGGUGGUAUGAGAAGUGCAAGAUCGGGGCAAAGAAAGAGUAGAAGAAAGAGUAACAGGAGGGGAAGAUGAAGUGGAAGCCAUGAAUGAAAAGUUCUCUCUGCGCCUGAAGUUCUAGAGAGCAAAAUAGAAAAAGCCUUAAAUUAUACCAUUUUGGUCAGGAAAACGUGGAUUUACAAAACAUGAAAGUUUCAAGGAUGGGUAUGGCUAUAUAAGGAUCUCUCUAUCCCUUUGUAAGGGAGGAGUUAAUCAAAAAUAAAAUUCAGGUUUUCUUUACAUCAUGUUUCUCUAAAACCAUUUCUCUCUUCUAUGAAUCAAAGAAAUUGUUUGGGUUAAUAAUGAUACGCUCACCUUUAAUUUUCUAAACUGAGUAUGCUUUGCACUUGCCUUAAGCCUAAGGAUAGGUCCUGUUUUAUCCUCCAAAACCGAUUUUUGUAAAAUGAAAUUGUUUUCUCACAACAUCCACCCUCUUUGAAGGCCAAGAGUGCCGUGUUUUCGGGUGGUAUCGUGAAAAACUGUUUUCAAAUAUGAUUUUCAGAUUUGGUAUUUGAUGGAUAAGUGUAUAUCGGCUGGAAACCAGAACUUGCGGGCUAUUGGCCCUAAGGACAAACUUUGUUCUGUUACAGAUCUGAUGUAACAAUGCCACAUACAACUACCCACUGGUAUCAGAGCCACACUUAAAGUAGAGGUAGUAUCAUUAGUAAUGUCAAAUAAUUUUAUUUGAUUUCCUAGAAGAAGAUUACACAAACAUGGAAACAUCUUCAUCUUCAAUUUCAAUUCCUUCAUCGUCUUCAUCUCAUAUCUCUUCCAAAAUCAUGUUCAAAACAUAUAGCCUCCAAAAUUGAAAAUCUUGUUGAAUAUUCCUAUAUCCCUGAGUCUGCCCAAAUCAAGGAAUCUCAGUUUCCCAUCAUGAGUCCUUACAAUCUAUACAAACAAAAAACUUUUUUCACCCAAAGUAUCCGCACCUUGAUCUCCACUAAAAGACCACUCCCAAAAGAAUAUAUUCAGUCUUUUAGACUGGAUCAAUGUGCUUUACAAGCCUCUCAGAGUGAGCAGUAUGUCACUCUAGAAAUACCUCCAGAUCUCGUAGCAAACUGGAAACGAGAGGGGUAUACGCAUCUUCAUCUUGGUGGUGUUAGAUUGAUUCUGACCCUCCAUGGUAGAAAAGGCUUACCUGUUACAGCUCGAAUUGCUCUAUUAGACACCAGGUUCAAACAAUACCAACAUGCGUAAUCAGAACUGUCCUAACUACACUCCAUGCUGGCAAUGUCUUAUUAACCUUUUACCCAAAUUUCAACCUCUUUCUUGAGGAUCCCAACCUUCCCACAACCCUUAAGGUCCAAAUCUAGCUCCAGGGAGCAGAGCAAACAUCCACAUCAAAAAUUGCAACCCUUCAUCACCAAAUAGUGUAUCGAUUACAAAAUCAUGCACUAGAUCUUCCCACACCAUAUACUACAUCUGAUGCCUUAAUGAUACUAGCAGACACAGACACAAUUCCAACCAUAAUUCAAAUUCCCAAACAAAUCCAGAAACAAGAAUUGCUCAAACUUAUGCCUCUUGAAUGGUUAACCAACUAUGAGCAUUUCCACCAAACCUCUGAACCAGUUCAAACAAUAGAAGCCACGUUUGAAAGAUGACAAAAUGGUCAAGUCAAACUAUCUUUUCAAACAUCUGAAACUAAGCCUGUUUCAGACACUUUACAGCUUUCCUACACUGCUAUGAUUACAGCAGUUCAAACUGGUCAAGAAAAGAAACUUCCUAUUCAUGGUUUCUCAUUAGAAGGGUUCUCAUUUUCUAUGGGAUGUUCCUGAAGCCCAUGUGUGCAAUCUAGAUUGUCCUUGCUUGGAUGACACAAAUGUUGAUGACGAAUUGGAAGUUAUGAGGAAAAAGAAAAAGAAAAAAACUUCUCAUCCAAACCUCUUAUUCACCAAAUAAGAUCAUGCCUAAUGUUUUCAAGUCAAUCUUAUGAGGAAUCCUUUCCUCCUCUUGAAAAAUAGACACACACACAAACCAGAGUUAUCUCAAAACCUUUUGUCCAAUCCCCAGUUACAGCCUCUGGGCAGCCUGAAGAACCAAAACAGUAUAAAGUUGUUUUAAAUUGGCAAACCAAAAAUUCCACUGCUCAGAAUCAAACUCUUCCACAACUCGGAAAGAAAAUUGAUCGAGUUGCCAGUCAAGUCUCCCAGACAGAAACUAAUGUUGAUGCAAUCAGUAAUCGUCUUGAUCAGAUGUACAUACAUCUACAAGAUCGUAUCUCUGAGCUAGACACCGAUCUCAGACGAAUGAUCAACAACCACAUAUGGGGUCCAGAGUUUAAUAAAAAAGAAGCGGAGAUCAGAAAGCUCAAAGCUGAGUUGGCACGAAUUGAUACUGAAAAGACUCGUCUGUCAUUUUUUACUGAAACACAAACCGCACCAGUAGCCCCUCCAAUGUUUGAAACUUAUGCACCUUUCUACACAGCAUCCAGACCUCAACAACCUGUUUACAAUCAGUUCUUUGAAUUCUUGGAAAAUAGCAUGAAAAUCAUUCAAAUGAUUUUAUAGGUCUUCAUUUUCUAAGCGAUACAAUAAUAAAAGACAAUUUAGUAGAGUAUGUUUUAACUCAAAACUCCUAGCAGUUACAUUUGCGUAUUUUAUGCAUGACAUGGUCAAAUUAGUUAAUGGACUGAAGUAUUCCUUAAAUGGCUUCUCUUGUGGUGCUUGUGGUUGUUGCUCCAAAUCCAUUUCAAGUUUAUCCUCGAUUUUAACUUUUGAUGCAAUGUGUCUAUGUGAGCGAAGUGUCUUUUCCAGUUCAAAAUCUAUAAGCUCUAGAUCAUGUGAUUGUGAUAUUGUGACCUUUGACCGUGCAUACAAAGAACACAUAAAAAUUAAAAAAAACUAAUAAAAAUAAAGAGAGGAGAAGUUACGAUAUUGACCUUAUCACCUUGGUACGUAGCGUUGUUAUACCUGAACUAUGAUAGUGCUAGACUAUCCUUUGGACUAGUAGUCCGCAAGUUCUGGUUUAUAGUAAAAAAAAGUAGAUACCUUGAAAAUGGGUAAACUCAUCACUAGAUUCUCUAUCCUCUCAUUUUGAGUUAAUCUAAUUGGUUUAUAUUUUUUAUAUUUAUAGUAUAACUAGGUGGUUAGAAACCCUUUAUUUUUUCACUCCAAUCGGUCUUUUGAUUUUGAAAAAAAAACAACUAUAUCGAUCAAUAUAUUGCUUCUUCUACACAUUCAGCUACAACCCAUAAUAGGGACUCGCAAAUACUUAGGACUCAUUAAAUAAAUCAAUAAUCCCUCACGCACUCAAAACCUGCACACAAAAUUAUUUACACAAUGUUUACAAAGAAACUUAACUCUAUAAAUUAAAAUGACUAACCUCCCCAACAAUGGCGCCAAAAACUUGUUGUAUAAAUUUUAUUCUACUCGUAAGUGCAUGAAUCUAUUGUAGUAUAGAUUAAUGUUGACGACUAUGGAUCCUACGAGGAGAUAGAUUUGAUUAUGUGUAAGGUUGUUCUGCUAUAGCUUCCUCUUCUGGUUCAUUUGUGUCAGUAGCUUCUUCACCAACUUUUACUGGAGCCUUUGUAGCGUUGGUAUCAAAACUGUAUUGCUGGAGCAAUGAAUCAGGGAAAUUACGGUGGGUACUUUUCAUAUAUACAACAAAUUGGUGUAGAUGGCUUUCCAGGUGCUGUAAAUAGCUCCAAAACCAAUUGUUUUCCUUUUGCUGAGCUUCAGCACAUUGAGUGAUGCUGGUGCUCAGUGCUUGGAUUCUCUGUUCUAACCCAAUAGCUCUUUUUGCCCCUGUUACAGUGGCUGGUUCAGAUGGGGCUCUAGCAACUUCACCAGUAAUUCUCUCGAUGGUGCAUGCAGUAAGGGCACCAUCAUUCUUGGCAUGCUCAUCUUUUGCACCGAGACGAACUCCCGAUACUACACAGAUGCUGGUGAUGAGCGAAGGAAAUAGCAAGACAGCUGCUUUGUGGUUUUUCAUGGCAUAGUCUUGAAUUUCUUUUUCGAUAAUGCUUCCCACAUCUAUGGGAAGCCCUCUAACAAGAACAUACAACAGUACCAACAUUUCUUAUGAAACAGUAGUGGUGUGGGUGGUUGGCAUAAGUCUGGAUUUCAGAAAUUUCACCCAUACCUUAGCAUUGAGUUUUAAAUAUAUCCUAUUAGCCCAAGAUGCACCCUCUACUAUAAGUGUUGUGAAAAUUUUAUUCCAUCUUUGCGGGGUUAAUUUGUCAAGCAACUUGGCAUACUCGCAAUUAAUUUCAGCAGGUAAAUUAUAGAAAGCAUUUAUAACUCAAGAAUCUAAUGGACAAGCGAGUUUCUUACCCAAAUAUUGUGCUGACCACGGCUUACUAAAUUGGCGUAAAAUUCUUUCACUACUGGCAACACAGGGUCUCGAGCGUGGUUAUAAAAUUCUAGCCACCCGCGCUUUGCUGCAGCAUUGUAUAAACCUUUUUUCCUCCAGAAUCUUUCGCGGUUCAAUGAAUUCCUCAUAUUUUUCUUCCACAUGGUAACUUUGGAAUCGUGAGGGAUCUUUUAGUCAGCUGGCUGUCCUUUUGUACCUUGGCAUUGGUAGAGCAGUAAGAAUUCGAUGGUAAUAUACCCAAUAGUAAAAUGAGAAAAAGAGGUUACAGAGUACUGGAGUUGUAACUGCGAAGGGGAGAGAAAAUAGUGUUAGAGGUCAAUAUGCACAGUGAUGCCCUUAUAUAGGUGGGAUUAAAUGAAAACAAAUUCGGUAAAAAGAGAUAAAUUAGGGAAGAAUAUUUUUUAAAAAUUCAUUAAGCAUAUCCCAUAAAAAUAGGUCAGAGAAAUUAAUGUAUUAAUUUAAGAGAUAUUCUUCCUCAAUUUCUAUCCAAAUCCAUCCACCCAUAUGUCACAUAUUAUCUCCAACGGUAAGUGAGAGGCUCCAUGAUUAAGUUACUGUAACAAAAAUAUUGUUUGCUGCAGCACUCAAUUGUUUGCUCUAGCAAUGGUUACAUACUCUCCUCAAAUAGCUGCUGACACGUGGCUUGCCUCUGUACUAUGUACAGCCCUAAUUAUUAGUAUUGAAUCCAACUUCAAUAAGUACGUGAGUUGGCAAAAAAAAAAAAAAAUUUUUUACAUAAAACAAGAAAAAUAAGCAUUAAACAAUCCUAAAUAAGGGAAAUAAAAAAAAUAACAAUAAAUAAUAAUAAAUAAAAAAAGAAUAAAAUAAAAUAAGAUGAAAAAUGGUUAACAAAACCAAGGAGGAUCCAUCUCAUUUGAAGUGACUGCCUCCGCAAUGGGUUGCCUCCCACUAAGCGCUUGAUUUAAAAUCCUUCAGCCUGACCUUACUUGAGUGCUUAUACUCUCAGUUCUCUAAGGAGUAAGACCUCCUUUGAACAAUCUACUGCUAAAUGCAUGUAAUGCUUAACUCUGUGCCCACUGACUUUGAAUUCCUAGCCUGUCUUUUUAUCUAAGAGAUCAACAGCCCCAUGAGGAUAAAUUCUGAGCAGCUUGAAGGGUCCAGACCAUCGAGAUUUCAGUUUUCCUGGAAAUAAUAAUCUUAACCUCAUAUUAUAGAGCAGUACUAGUUGACCAAGGCUUAAUUUCCUGUGUUGGAUAUGUUUGUCAUGCUAGUGUUUUGUCCUCUCUUUAUAGAUUCUUGCAUUUUCAUAUGAAAACAAUCGUAAUUCAUCAAGCUCACAUAGUUGAAGUUUCCUUUGCUCUACUGCAGCAUGUAUAUCCCAUUUUAAUUGCUUCAGUGCCCAGUAUGCUUUGUGCUCUAGUUCAAGUGGCAGGUGGCAAGCUUUCCCAUACACAAUUCGGUAGGGAGACAUGCCUAAUGGUGUCUUGUAUGUUGUUCUGUAAGCCCAUAGGGAGUCAUGGAAGUGCAAGGACCAAUCCUUUCUUGAUGGAUUCACCACUUUUUCUAAGAUCUUUUUAAUCUCUCUAUUAGACACUUCUGUCUAACCAUUGGAUUGUGGGUGAUAUGUUGUUGCUACUUUACCAUAGCUGCAGCAAAUACUUUGUUGUAGAAAUGAGUACCUUCAUCACUAAUAAUUGCUCGUGGAGUGCCAAACUAGGAAAAGAUGUUUUUCUGAAGGAAGUUCACUACUGCUCUAGCAUCAUUUAUAGGUAAUGUUGCAGCUUCUACCAAUUUGGAGACAUAAUCCACAGCAACCAGGAUAUAUAAGUUCCCAAAGGAUGGUGGAAAAGGACCCAUGAAGUCUAUUCCCCAUACAUAAAAAAUCUCCACUUCCAUAAUGUCCGUCAAUGACAUUUCAUGUCUGUGAGUUAUGUUUCCUGUCCUUUGACAUCUGUCACAACAUUUAGCAAACUCAUAAGCAUCUUUAAAAAUAGAAGGCCAGUAAUAACCUGAUUGCAGAACCUUAGCAGCUGUUCUGUGACCACCAAAAUGUCCUCCAUAUGCUGCAGCAUGGCAGGAUUCCAGUAUAUGAGGAAUUUUUUCCUCUGAAGCACAUCUUCAUAUUACUUGAUAUGAGCAUAGCUUAUACAGAUAUGGGUCAUCCCACUGGUAGCUUCUAACAUCAUGAAGAAAUUUCUUUUUCUGAUGAAACUUCAACUCAGAUGGUAGCGAUCCACUUACUAAGUAGUUAGCAAAAUCUGCAUACCAUGGAGAUCUUGAUUGCUAUAGCAUCUGUGCUUGCUGUAUUACUAACAGUUGUUCAUCAAGAAAAGUUUCAGUGAUGUCUUUUUUUGUCAAUGUGCUUGUGUAUACUUCUAGCCUAGACAGAUGAUCUGCUACUUGAUUCUUAGUCCCCUUUCUAUCUUUAAUUUCCAAAUCAAACUCCUGAAGCAAUAAGAUCUAUAUUAUUAAUCUUGGUUUAGCAUCCUUAUUUGCGAUUAGGUACUUGAUGGUUGCAUGGUCUGUGUACACUGUCACUUUAGUACCCACCAAGUAAGCUCGAAACUUAUCGAAAGCAAAUAAUACUGCCAGUAACUCUUUCUCUAUAGUGGUGUAAUUAAUCUGAGUUUGAGUAAGAGUCUUGUUAGCAUAGUAUAUAGAGUGGAAAAUCUUAUCCUUCCUCUGCCCCAAUAGAAUGGUCACUAGCAUCACACAUCAAUUCAAAUGGUAGAGUCCAAUCUGGUGAUAUAACCACUAGUGCAGUGAUCAAAGCUUUCUUUAAUUCCCCAAAGGCUUGAAGACAGUCUUUAUCAACAUGAAAAGGCUUGUCAUGUUCUAGCAAUGAGCAUAGUGGUUUAGCUACUUUGGAAAAGUCUUUUAUGAAUCUUCUGUAAAAUCUAGUAUGACCCAAAAAACUUAUAAUCCCCUUGAUUGAAGUGGGAGUUGGCAGUUUAUCUAUCACUUUUAUCUUUGUUUUAUCUACCUCUAUGCCAUUCUUGGACACCUUAUGACCUAACACUAUGCCUUCUUGCACUAUGAAGUGGUAUUUUUCCUAAUUGAAUACUAAGUUAGUCAUCUCAGACCUUUUAAGAACUUCUUCCAAGUUGUGUAAACAAUCAGUAUAUGUCUCUCCAAAGACUGAGAAAUCAUCCAUGAAGACUUCCAAUGUUUACUCCACCAUAUCUAAGAAAAUAGACAUCAUACAUCUCUGAAAAGUUGCUGGAGCAUUGCACAAACCAAAGGGCAUCCUUCUGAAGGCAAAAGUUCCAUAAGGGCAUACAAAUGUAGUCUUUUCCUAAUCCUCUAGAGCUAUAGCAAUUUGGUUGUAGCCUGAAUACCCAUCUAGGAAACAAUAGUAUUGUUUUCCAGCAAGUCUGUCCAAUAUUUGAUCUAUGAAUGGAAGUGGGAAGUGAUCCUUCCGAGUAGCUUUGUUGAGCUUUCUGUAAUCCAUACAUACCCUCCAUCCAGUCACUGUUCUUGUAGGAAUAAGUUCAUUCUUCUCAUUUGCUAUCACUGUUAUUCCUCCCUUCUUUGGAACACAUUGAACUAGGCUUACCCAUGAACUAUCUGAUAUUGGGUAUAUGAUCCCAGCAUCCAACCAUUUGAUGAUUUCUUUCUUCACAACUUCCUUCAUAAUGGGGUUUAACCUUCUCUGUUGCUCUACUGAGUUACUGUAACAGUCUUCUAACAAAAUUUUAUGCAUGCAUAUGGAUGGGCUGAUCCCUUUAAUGUCUUUCAUGGUCCAUCCAAUAGUUUUUCUAUAUUUCCCAAGCACAUCUACCAGGCGCCGUUCUUGACUUGCAUCCAAAGUAAAUGAAAUGAUUAUAGGGAGUGUGUUGUUUUUACCAAGAUAAGCAUACUUCAAAUGUGAGGGUAACAAUUUUAAUUCAAGACUAGAAGGUGAUUCAAUAGAUGGUAAAGUUCUCUUUACUUCCCUGUUUGAAAGAUUUAGAUGUUCAACAAAUCUGUUAUGUCUAUUAGAUUGUCUUCCUUCCAUCCAAUUUAUCUGGUUUGCUGCAACAUCUUCUUUUUCAAAGUUCUCAAAGGUGGCAACUUUGAUGACCUCAUUACUGCAGCAUUUGUCGAUUCUGUCUGCUAUAAAAAAAUCCACAACACUCAGGAAAUUGCAAUCUUCUGUCUCAUCAGGGUUCUUCAUAGCCUCUAAUACAUUGAAUGUGACUUGUUGGUCAUUCACCCUCAUUGUUAGCUCUCAUUUUUGCACAUUUAUCAGAGUUUUUCCGGUUGCUAGGAAAGGUCUUCCAAGUAUAAUGGGUACCUCUUUAUUAGCCUUAAAGUCAACCUUCACCAGUACAUCCUCAAUUUUUCCUUUAGGAUAUGCAUGAGAUCUGUCAGCUAAUUGCAGAGUGACUGUUGUUGGCCUACAUUCUCCUACUCCCAAUUGCUUAAAUACAGAUAAUGGCAUCAGAUUAAUGUUGGCUCCCAAAUCACAGAGUGCUCUACCAUUGUACCUAGGUCCAAUGGAACGUGGUAUUGUGAAGCUUCCUGGAUCCUUCAAUUUUUGAGGAAUCUUACUUUGGAGCAUAUGACUGCUUUCCUAUGUUAAAGCAACAAUUUCAAAUUCUCCCAACCUUUUCUUUCUUGCUAGGAUGUCUUUUAGAAAUUUCACAUAAUUAGGCAUUUGCUCCAAUGCUUCCACAAAAGGUAUGUUGAUGUGUAAUUGCUUUAGCACUUCCAAGAAUUUACUAAACUGCUUGUCUUGUUUUUGUUUCUGGAAUCUCUGUGGGAAAGGAGAUGGAUGCCUAAAUUGCUGGGUAGCUUCAGGAGGUAUUAAUCUCUGCUCAUUUGGUUUAUUGUAAGUUGUUACCAUUGGUGUUACAACUUCUUCUUCAACAUUUAUUGGUUGAUUCCCUUCCAUAGUUGCUGCAGCUUGACCACUAACACCAGUAAUAUGCUCUCAUCUUGAGGUGGUUCUUGUGAGGAGUUAAGUUCCAACCUUUUUUUAGUCACAUCAACAAGGAUAUCAACAUUCUUUUCAGAUCUUAAGUUGAUUACUUUGCAGUGUUCCUUUCCCUCUCUUCUUGGAUCUUCUGUGUUGCUAGGCAGGCUUCCCUGAGAUCUGCUACUCAUUGCUGUGGCAAGCUGUCCAAUUUGGUUUUCCAGGUUUCUUAGUAAUACAGCUUGACUUUGCACAAUUGCUUCAUUUUUCGCAAUGUAUCUUUUAAUCAGUGUUUCCAAUGAAGCAAGUGGAUUAUGGCUGGUGUGUUUUUGCCCUUAAUUCUACUGAUGAAAACCAGGUGGUUGAGUAUUUCUGUUCUGUCCACCUAGUGCUGGAACAGUUUGAUUCUGAUUGCUCCAUGAGAGGUUUGGGUGUGGCUUCCAUCCAGAGUUGUAAGUAUUUGAGUACGGGUUGUUUUGAGACUGUCGGUUGAAAUUACCCACAUAGUUUACUGAUGCUGGAUUUCCAAGACAGUUGUCAAAUACAUGUUCUUCACCACAAUACACACAAGACAGUUCAGCAACUUCCUUUACUACUGUUGGAGCAGAAGUCAUGGCUUUCACCAUGUUAGUCAAUAAGAUUACUUGUGUUGAUAAUAUUGUAAUUGCAUCUAUAUUAUGUACCCCCGCUGCUCCUCUUGCUGCCGGCUGUCUAGUUGAUGGCCACUGAUAAUUAUUGUUGGCAAUUCUCUCCAAAAUUUCAUAAGCUUCAGUGUAAGAUUUAGAUAACAAAGCUCCAUUUGCUGAAGCAUCAACCAUCAAUCUAUAUGCAACAAGGAAUGCCAUAAUGAGGACACCUUCUGAGUAGUUCUUUAAAUCUCUCCCAAGCCUCAUACAAACUCUCAUCUUCAAGUUGAUGAAAAGAAGUGAUCUCAUUCCGCAAGUGAUCUCAUCUCAGGAUCAAAUUGGAAUACAACAGAUCUGUCUUUGUGCAUGCAAGUGUUGAUAUGUCAAUAAAUAGAACAAAUUAGAUUAAGUUGGCACUAUCAAGAUUUACUUCACACUUCGAAAAUAAGCAAUCAAUCCCCGGCAACGUCGCCAAAAACUUGUUAGUGGAUUUUUACUCAAUUGCUAUUGAUGCCAAUAUGCAAGUGUACACAACAAGUAAUAAAGUGAUGAAUAUUCUAGAUUGUCUCCACAGGGACUGAUGUUACUAGAAAUGUUAUCGCAAUCACAAUAGUGCAAUCUACCUUUAUUUCAAGAUGAACCUAGUUAAAGUUGAUCACUACCGAAAUUAACAAUUGUAAGGAAAUAAAACAAAUAACAGCAGUAUGAAAUAGAUUAGAUAAAUUGCGUAAAAGAAUCGAAUGAUAAUGAAGUAGCUGAAUGAUCAAACUCUCUUCAUGGGUUGACUGCUUUUCCUUAAAUUAACAUCAGUUGCUACAACAAUUCCUAUAGCAUUGGGCAGAAUCACUUUGCAUCCUCAGCUGUCGCGUGUUGGACUUCUCAUACCCUUAAGUAUCCUAACAAUGACCAAUUGCUAUUCUACCUAAGGUAUGGCAUUAUAAACAUCUACUCUUUACCCUGCAAGGUGCAUGUCUAGUUUUUCAUAAAUCUUAACUUCAAGUAUAGCCCUUACGGGAUUCAAGAAAAACUUAAUCCAUGAAACUCAAAUUAAGAUCAAGUAUUACUCCGAUAAUAUCCACUAAGACAGUCCCUUUUGCGGCUCUAUCUUAACUCGAACCAUUAAAUAACUAGUCUAAUAAUAACUAUUAGAGUAACAUGCUACAGCAAUCGUACGGCAACUCAUAAGGACAGUCAAAUACCCAUUUAGAUUGUUUGUCACUCAACUACAGGCAAAUUUAGUUCAAACUUUGAAAAAGAAAAACAAAUAACAAAAUAUUGGUCAUGAAAUACAUCGGUCUAAUUUAAGAGUAAAGAAAUAAACAAGUAAGGAACGAUGAAAAUUGAAUCCAAAUAACUCUGCUGGAUUCUUCACUGAUGCAGACUUGGUUCCCUUCAAUUCUGAUUAUUUUCUUCUCUUCCUCUCGAUUUUUCCAAUGUUAAUUCCUUUUCGUCGUUUUAUGUGAUGCGCACCCCUUUUUAUAACUGAAAACUAGGGUAAACAAAACCCUAGGGCGCGCAUGAGUCAGAUUAGGAAACUACAGAUCGCAAUUCUGCAGAUAUCCCACGCUAAGUUUUUCUGUCGUUAUUCCAGGAUUGCUACAGCAAUGGUUGCUCCAGUAACGGCUACAACAUUGCACUGCUCCAGAUUUUGUUUCACUUCUUUUGUGGCCAUAUUCUUCCUCCUUUUUGCUAGCCUACUGCAUCAACAUCCCUUCCAUGAAUUAUAAGCUUCUGGAAACCUACAAUUAUGCACAUGAUUUGAGCACGAAUUACUUUAAAGCAAGUAAAACUUAUUAAGACUAAACUAAAAUGAAUGUUUAUGCAAAACAUAACAAGAAUGCAAUAAAAACACAUCAUUUACUCUUUAAGUGAUCUUGAUUUAAGUCUAGAAUUGCCAUAAUAACUCUCAUUUCAUAGAGUUAUCAAAAACCCUAGGUUUGGCCGAGGUUAUUUCUCUAAAAUUGAGUCCUCAUUCACUUCUUAUUGCUGAAAUUACUCAGCCACAUUGAUUUCAAAACCAUUUACGUGUUAUUUAAUCAGUUCAUCUUCACCCAAAACACAAUAUUUUUUAUUCAAAGUAAGAUUUUAGUUUCCACGGCAGGUGGUGAAACUUAUGCUGCAAGCAGCAGGUGCUGCUUAUUCUACAUAAGCAGGCAACAACUAUUGCUUAUGCAGCAACUGCUGCUACUGUUACUGCAUAAACAGCAACUGUUGUUGCUGUUGCUUAAAUUCCAGCAGUUGCAGCAGGCAUAAGCAAUAGUAGUUUGAGAAUUAUAUGACCUAGUGAUUUAUCAUGUAUUUUCUUAUUGAUAACCUUGUGAUUUAUCAUGUAUUUUCUUACUGAUGUUUGCUUAAUUAUCUUUUCCUUUUUUAGUGAUCUCCAUAAUCAAGAACCAAGAUAUCAAGUUUUGUUAAUCUUUUAAUUUAAUAGUAUUUUAAGAAUUAUUGGCUUCCAUCUUACAUUAAAAUAAUCACCCAAUGAAAAAUCAUUGUUUUAACAUUAAAUUUCAUUAUUUUAACAUUAACAAUUCCACCAUCAUCCAAAUUCCCAAACAAAUCCAGACACAAGAAUUGCUCAAGCUUAUGCCUCUUGAAUGGUUGACCAACUAUGAGCAUUUCCACCAACAUUCUGAACCAGUUCAAACAACAGAAGCCACGUUUGAAAGAUGACAAAAUGGUCAAGUCAAACUAUCUUUUCAAACACCUGACACCAAGCCUGUUUCAGACACUCCACAAAUUUCCUACACUGCUAUGAUAAUAGUAGUUCAAACUGGUCAAGAAAAGAAACUCCCCAUUCAUGGUUUCUCAUCAGAAGGAUAUCCAGUAUAUCCUGACAAAAUCAAUGGUCAUUUUCUAUGGGAUGUUCCUGAAGCCCAUGUGUGCAAUCCAGAUUGUCCUUGCUUGGAUGAUACGGAUAUUGAUGACGAACUAGAAGUUAUGAGGAGAAAGAAAAAGAAAAAGAAAAAACCUUCUCAUCCAAAAACAUCUUGCAAAUCCUUUCCUCCACAACCUCCACCAGAUCCCAAACCUCUUAUUCACCAAAUAAGAUCAUGCAUAAUGUUUUCAAGUCAAUCUUAUGAGGAAUCCUUUCCUUCGCUUGAAAAACAGACAGACACACAAACCAGAGUUAUCUCAAAACCUUUUGUACAAUCCCCCAGUUACGGCCUCUGGGCAACUUGAAGAGCCAAAACAGUAUGAAGCUGUUUUAAAUUGGCAAACCAAAAAUGCCAAUGCUCAGAAUCAAACUCUUCAACAACUCGGAAAGAAAAUUGAUCGAGUUGCCAGUCAAGUCUCCCAGACAAAAACUAAAAUUGAUUGAAUCAGUAAUCGUCUUGAUCAGAUGUACAUACAUCUACAAGAUCGUAUCUCUGAGCUAGACACUGAUCUCAGGCGAAUGAUCAACAACCACAUCUGGGGUCUAGAGUUUAAUAAAAAAGAAGCAGAAAUCAUAAAGCUCAAAGCUGAAUUGGCAAGAAUUGAUACUGAAAAGGCUCACCAUCACUUUUUACUCAAACACAAACCACACUAGUACCCCCUCCAGUGUUUGAAACUUAUGCACCUUUCUACACACCAUCUAGACCUCAACAACCUGUUUACGAUCAGUUCUUUGGAUUCUCACACCUUCAACCAAGUCCUCAACCAAAGUCAUCUUCACCUAAAAAAUCAAAAUCCAAAGUCAAGAUCUCAUAACCAAAGUCAAAGGCCACUUCAUCUUUAUCUGUUCCUCUGGUACCACCAGAAGAUUCACCAAAAGCCACUCCUGAACCUCCCAAAAAAGACAAAGGCCCAAUGGAACAGUAUCAUUAUCAUACUGUCCAAAACACAUCUUCUGACUCCUCUGAGCCAGAAACAGUCUAUGAGUCAAACCGAUCAGAGUCCAACCCGUCUUCCUCUUCCUCUUCUUUUCCUCUUGUUAGUCAUUAUCACCUCUAUAAACGUCCACACUCUUUUACUCACAAUAUCCGAACCCUUAUUUCCACCAAAAGACCGCAUCCAAAAGAAUAUAUCCAGUCAUCCAGAUUGGAUCAGUGUUCCCUUCAGGCUACCACCGCUGAACAAUAUGUCACUCUGGAAAUUCCCCCAGAAUUGAUUUCCCCUUAGCAAAGAGAAGGUUAUACUCAUCUCCAUAUCGGAGGAGUCAGACUAAUCCUAACCUUACAUGGAAGGAAAGGAUUACCAGUCACAGCCAGAAUUGCUAUGCUGGAUACUAGGUUCAUACAUUACCAAGAUGCUGUUAUUGGUACUGUCUUAACCACUCUUCAUGUUGGAAGUGUUUAACUCACUUUCUAUCCCAAUUUCAACCUUUCUCUUCAAGACAUUAAUCUCUCUACUGCCUUGAAAGUCCAAGUGCAAAUUCAAGGUGCAGAACAAAUCUCUUCAGUAAAAAUUGCAACUCUUCACCAUUAAUUGGUCUAUCGACUCUAGAACCAUGCCUUAGAUCUUCCUUCACCUCAGCACCACUCUGAUGCCCUCAUGGUGUUAGUAGAAUCAGAUCAGAUACCAACCAUCAUUCAAAUUCCAAGACAGAUCCCUAGACAUGAACUCAUAAAACUCAUGCCCUUGGAAUGGAUUUCAAAUUAUGAGAAGUUCCACACCAAUACUUCUCCUAUCCAGACAAUAGAAAGUAUGUUUGAAAGAAUAUAUGAUGGAACUGUCCGAAUGACUUUUCGACCUCUACCCGCAGCACCGGAGGAGCCUCCACGACUCUCAUUCACUUAUUCAGCCAUGGUUACAGCUGUUCAGACCGCUCAAGAAAAGCUGCCAAUUACAUGAUUCAAUUCAGAAGGAUAUCCUGUCUACCCUGCCAAACUUAAUGGCCACUUUCUUUGGGAUUCACCAGGAUCAGGAAAUUGUGACCCAGAUUGUCCCUGUUGGGAUGAUUAGGAAGAAGAUUCUGUUAAACCGCAGCGGCAAAGAAAACCAAAAAAGAAAAUACCUAAAACUCCGUGCUCACACAACCAACCUAAACCACCUCAUAAUCCUCCACCACCACCAGCUCGGAUUGUAAAAAAUUGCAAGACUGAAUUUCUUCCUCAUAUCCAAAAUUCCAAACCACCCAUACAGCCUAUGGCUUGUAUGAUGUUUUCAUCCACCUCCUAAGAUUAUUCCUCCAAUUUCCCUGCUCUAGAAACCCAGACUGAUCCACAACGAAAGGUCAUAACCAAACCCUCUAUUCCUUCAGCCAUAACUCCCAUAGGUCACUUAGAAGACCCCAAACCUUUUAAGGCUGUUCUCAAUUGGCAAACCCAAAAUGCCAGAGCUCAAAAUGAAACCUUGGUUGAUAUCCAUAAGAAGGUUAAUCAUAUCAGUUUACGAACUAAUCAUAUUGAGUCUAAGAUGGAUUCGAUCACUUCCCAGAUGCAGCAAAUUUAUCAAAAUCUUCAAUCCAUAAUCUCUCAACUAGACUCAGAAUUAAGUACCAUGCUGAGUCAUAGAUACUAUAGCCUAGAAUUUGAUUAGAAAGAAAAGGAGAUCAGAAAAUUGAAAGCAGGACUUGAAUAGAUUGAGUCAGAAUGGCAAAGGCCAAUAUUAUUUACCACCUCUCCACCAUUACCUACCAUCAGCCCAGCCUUUCAUCCCUUUGCACCUAUGCUUUGUCCCAUAAAACUACAAGACCCGUCCAAAUUAUUUGGCAUGACACAUACUUUAUUUAGAAAUAAUCCUCUGCCAAAACCAUCUAGAUCUAAACUUCAUCCUCGACUAAGACCAGAAAAACAACCUUUUCAACCACCUUUGUCCAUCCCAGAACAGCAACCGUCUCUUUAUACCCCACUUCCUCCUCAACCAACUCCAACUCAGGCCAAAGAUAAAUCCCCAAUGCAACAAUAUAGUGCAUAAAUAAUCCCAGAUCCAUCCGAUACAGACCAAACUUCUGAUUCAAAUCUAGCUGUUUCAGAAGAUCCAUCUGAAUCUGAAACAGAAUCUUCCUUAAAAUCUGCCAUUUCAUCUAGUGAUUCUGAAAAAUCUUAUGCUGAUAUCACUAGAAUUAUGUGAACAAAAACAGUUCUUCAACGAACUGUUAAAAGACAAAGAGCCUUACAGAUCAAUUGCAAGAAAAAGAAAGAUUCAAAAAUCCAGAUUGUUUCCUAGAUCAAAAUCCAGGCAAAAAUCAUACAGGUUUUUCAGGAAAAGAUCUAGUUCUUUCAGAGAAUAGAAAAGGAGAAAGUCAAGCCGAUGCUUCAUUUGCAAAAAGAAAGGCCAUUAUGCUAAAGAUUGCCCCAACAAAAAAGAAAAAGCAAUCAGACUUCUUGAGCAUUUACAGGCCACCACUGAUUAUUCUCCUCACAAAGAUGAAAUCGAGUUCUACUUCUCAGAACAAGAGGAGCCUACUGAUGAAACAGUGUUCGCACUAUAAAACUCAUCUGAUGAUUCUGAAAAUGAUGAGUUUCAAACUAUUUUUCACCAACAACUUUUGUCUCUAAACACUACCAUACAUAUUCCUUCCAUAAAACUCCAAAUCUUACCUUCCAAAUUCCAGAGACCAAUUCCCGCCAUUGGACUUCUUGAUACCGGGCCCAAAGAAGUAUGUUAAACCCAGACAUACUUCCUUCACAGUCAAUGGAAAUUUCUUCACCACCAAGUUGAUUACCAAAAAACCCAUUGGUAUUCAAAUCUUUCCAAAUUGUGUUAUCUGGACAAAAGUCAUUGGUUCCCAUCUGCCUAAUAAGGACAUCUUGUUAGGAUUUGAUAUCAUUCACCAGAUACAACACCUCUAAAUCAUUCCUACUGGAAUUCGAGUCAAGUCCAUGUUUAAACCAUUCACUAAUGUUCUUAAGCUUUAUGGUUUGUCUGAAACCUCUCAGCCUUUCCAAGUCUCAUGCUGACUUUCACCAUCCAAAUCCUCUGUGGGAAAAUCCACAUUUCUUUGUUCAAUUGCCUUUCAAGUUGAAUGAAGAUGUCAAUCCAACCAAAGCCACCCGUCUAGGAAUGAGUCCUUCCGACUUAGUCCUAGCCCACAAGGAAUGUUCUCAGUUGCUGGCCCAAGGUCUUGUUGAACCCACUAGUUCUCAAUGGGCUUGUCAAGCUUUUUAUGUUGAAAAGCAUUCUGCGAUUGUUAGAGGAAAAAAAUGAUUAGUCAUUGACUAUCAACCUCUAAACAUGUUUUUACAAGAUGACAAAUUCCCUUUGCCAAAAAGACAGAGCAUGUUCACCUAUCUAAAAACUGCUCAACUUUUUUCAAAAUUUGAUCUUAAAUCCAAAUUUUAGCAACUUGGAAUUAAACCUUCAGAACAUUACAAAACAACCUUUUGCAUUCCCAAUGCCCACUAUCAAUGGACAGUUUUACCCUUUGGUCUUAAAACAGCCCCAUCUAUUUUCCAAAAAACCAUGGUCCAAAUCUUCCAACCGAUUCUGUAUAGUGCAUUGAUUUACAUUGACGAUAUUUUGUUAUUUUCAGGUACACAAGAUGACCAUCGCCAUUUGUUAAAUCAAUUCUUUGAUAUUAUUCAAUCUCAUGGAAUCAUGUUACCAGCUAAGAAAAGCACAAUUGCUACCAAUAACAUUGAAUUCCUUAGAAUGACUAUCAAAGACGGCCACUAUCAGCCAGGAAAGGACAUUGCUCAAGAGCUCAUCCACUUUCCAGAUCAGCAUCUUUCCAAAAGGCAAAUUCAGCAGUUCCUUGGUAUUAUUAAUUAUAUCAGGGAUUUUAUUCCUCAUGUUGAUCAUCACACCCGCCAGCUGUCAGCCUUGCUAAAGAAGAAUCCACCUUCGUGGAAUAACAACCACACACUUGCUGUCACAAUGUUAAAGCAAAUUGCGCAAAAUCUACCACCAUUAAAGCUCAUCACCGAUGGCAGGCGAAUAUUACAGACUGAUGCAAGUGACGAAUCAUGGGGGGCCGUCCUCCUUGAAGAAACAGGUGGCAAAGAACUCUUUAUUGCCUAUGCCAGUGGACACUUCUCUGACACACAAAUCCAUUACCAUAGUGUGUUCAAAGAAAUUUUAGCUGUCAAGCAUGGUAUUCAAAAGUUCGAGUAUCAUCUUAUCAACUAUCAUUUUCUUAUCAGAAUGGACAACUCAACUUUUCCCAAUAUCAUGAAUUUCAAAGGGAAAAAUGUUCCAGAAAAGAUGUUGCUUAGGCUAAAAGACUGGUUUUCAAAAUAUGAUUUCUCUGUGAAGCAUAUAAAAGGAGACCACAACCUUAUUCCUGAUAUGCUCUCAAGACUUGCUAAACCAGAUAAAUCCUUUUUUUUUCAUAUCCUCAAAACACCAUUUUCCUGUCAUCUUCAUGGCCACUUCACUCCCCUCACAAGCCCUUACCUAAAAAACCUUUCCCCUUGGGAAAACUUUCACCACAGUCUUUGCCAUACAAGAGUUUGCAAAGAAAGUUGUAUUUAAGUUUUUCACGAAAGCCUAUCUCUUAUCAGACUCAUUUUCAUUUUCCACUUUCCAUCCAGAAAACUUGUUUCUUACUGGAUUAACCCUGGAUCCUUCCAGAGACAUUUCAGAAGAUGAAUUAUGGUACAUCUGGUGCCUAACUGUCCUCUAUGCCACCAAACUGAUUGUUCCAAUAACAGCCACCUUAGAACAUUUGUUCAAUCCAGACAAAUCAACCUCACUCAUCUGGAUGCUUCUUGAAUGGUUUUCUCCAAUUCCAUGGUAUGAAACUUCAACAAUUGUCACAAUUUCAUAACUUGGAACGUAUGCCAGCAUCAGAAGCAAAAAUAUUCACAUCUGUGUUCAUUAUUCAUAGACCAUACUUCCAACACCCAGAUACACACUUCUUCUAGACUCAAGAUCAAGUUUUUGAAUGGUUCACCACACUUCACUCAUCCAUCCUUGAACAAGACGAUAAAGUUCAAAAGGAACUCUAUAAUUUCCUUUGUGAACUGAACCACCAACCUACUCCACACAGAGACAUUUCUCACACCUCCCUCGGUCCACAGCAUGAUAUCAUCAUGAUCCCCACUCCUUCAGCAAUUUCAAAACCUAAAUCCACGGGUAUUAUCAUCAAUGAAGAAAAACCAGACUUCACUGAUUUUCUAUACCAAGAUGCACAAGACCCAUGGGAAGCAUUCUUGCCAUUAAGUCAACAUCUUCAAAACCUCCAACAAACUCCACCAACACAUGCCUCAGACGAUCCAACAAAUAAAGCCAGUUCUAGCACACCAACCGGCUCCAAGGAACACCCAUCCUCUUCUUGGCGCAAAAUAUUUUUCCCUUGGCCACCCUGUCGCCCAGAUCAUCAACAUCCACCAGAAACUCCAUAUCCAUCACUCAAAGUCCUCUUUUCAAAAGAUAAAGAUAAGACCGACAGCUCAUCUGAUGAAGACUAUAUGAAUCUCUCAUCUCCGUGAUUCAUGCAAUUUGGCAUCAUUUACUUUUUAAAAGUUUGUAAUAAUUAAAGCAUGAGUCAUGAUUUAAUUUGGCUUUAUUGGUUUUACUUUUCCACAAGCUUGUCGCUCGUAAUUAUGUCUUUGCUUUUAGAAAAGUGAUAGGGGCCCUGUCCUAUCCUUUUCCUUGGUUUUCCUCCUAUAUAAGCUCAGCUUCUCUUUGUUAGAAGCAUAGCGGAAAAUAAUAAAAUCUAUAGUUUUCUAUAAUCAUGAGUUUCUAAUUUCUCUUUUUCUCUCUGUCAAUGAAGCUCUAAAGUUUUUAAAAAUAAGAAGAAAACUUACAUAUGUUCAUUUUGAAACUUAAGGAAGUAUGCUCUGCACUUGCCUCUUGUAAGGAUCCUGUGCAUCAGAAAACUUUUGAUGAUUUCUUAUCUGGUUUGGUACCCUGUUUUAGACUAAAGGAAAGUUUGUUUUAGGUUAUAUAACCCAAGAUGAAAAUGUUCCAAAGUUUUUUGAUCUCAGAGGUAUAUCAGCUGGAAACCCGAACUUGCGGACUAUUGGUCCAAAUAACAGUUUUAACUGUUAUAGUUCUGGUAUAACAACGCCACGAUCUAGACAAGUAUUGGUGUGGAACUUCUCAUAAUUUGAAAUCCAUUCCAAGGGCAUGAGUUUUAUGAGUUCAUGUCUAGGGAUCUGUCUUGGAAUUUGAAUGAUGGUUGGUAUCUGAUUUGAUUCUGCUAACACCAUGAGGACGUCAGAGUAGUGUUUAGGUGAAGGAAGAUCUAAAGCAUGGUUCUGGAGCCUAUAGACCAAUUGAUGGUGAAGAGUUGCAAUUUUUGCUGAAAAGUCCUUACCCUGAUCUCCACCGAAAGACCUCUCCCAAAAGAAUAUAUUUAGUCUUCUCGACUGGAUCAGUGUGUUUUACAAGCCUCUCAAAGUGAGCAGUAUGUAAGAUCUCGUAGCCAAUUGGAAACGAGAAGGGUAUACGUAUCUCCACUUUGGCGGUGUUAGAUUGAUCCUCACCCUCCAUGGCAGAAAAGGUUUACCUGUUACGGCCAGGAUCGCACUAUUAGACACCAAGUUCAAACAGUACCAACAUGCUGUUAUAGGAACUGUCCUGAUCACACUUUAUGCUGGCAGUGUCUUGUUAACCUUUUACCCAAAUUUCAACCUCUCUCUUGAGGAUCCCAACUUUCCCACGACCCUUAAAGUCCAAAUCCAGCUCCAAGGAGCAGAACAAACACCCACAUAAAAAAUAGCAACUCUUCAUCACCAAAUAGUGUAUCGAUUACAGAAUCAUGCACUUGAUCUUCCCACACCACACACCACAUCUGAUGCCUUAAUGAUUCUCACAGAUCCAACAAUUCCUCGGGAUUGUUAAUUAUGUCCGUGAUUUCAUCCCUAAACUUGUAAUCCACACAAGCUAGCUGUCCCGCAUGCUCCGAAAACAGUGCCCUCCAUGAGGAUCAGCAUAAACAAAAGUUGUCCAACAACUAAAGGUGAUAGCCCAGUCACCUCCUCCUCUCCGAAUUUCCACAACUGGACAACGCAUUCUACAGACUGAUGCCAGUGAUGAUUACUGGAGUGCCAUCCUUCUUGAAGAGAUAAAUUGUGUACGUCACUUCUGUGCACAUGCAAGUGGACAAUUCAAAGAAUCUGAAAAGAAUUACCAUGUAAUCUAUAAAGAGAUUUUGGCGGUCAAGUAUGGAAUCAAAAAGUUUGAAUUUCAUCUAAUCAGCCAUAAAUUCCUUAUCAACAUGGACAACUCCUCUUUUCCUCUAAUCUUUGACUUCAAAAAUAAGUUGCUCCCUGACAAACAGUUGCUCAGCCUCAAAAAUUGGUUUGCUAAAUAUUAUUUUACUGUCCAACACAUAAAAGACAAACAGAACCUCAUCCCAGACUUCUUUACACGACCGGCUAUAAAUAAACCCUCACUUAUUUCCUCCAUUCACACCAUCCCAGUUAUAGUCAUGAACUGUCAACUUCCAUUCAAAUCUCUCAACCAGAGAAUUUUCCCCAUGAACAUUCCUUUUCACUCAGCCUACCAAAUCCAAGACUUUGCAAAGAAAUUCCUUUACCGGUAUUUCUUCAGUGUUCAAAGUAAAAAGCUUGAUCAUUUUCCUUCUCUCUAUAUGGAAAACUUGUUUCUCACAGGUCUUACCCUGUCAUCCCUCAAUAUAUGUGAAGAUGAGUUAUGGUACCUUGUAUGCCACAAAACUGGUUUUUCCUAUUAAACCAGUCCUCAUUCAUAUCACCACUCCUGAGUUCUCAUCAGAUCUUCUCUGGACUCUCCUUGAAUGGUAUUCACCACUCAAGUGGUGGCGAAAGCAGCUUAAAAAUCUGUGUACUUUUCACGGAUUAGACAAAAUGCCAGAACAAGAAGCCAACAUGUUCACUACAGUCUUCAUCGUUCAUAGACCUUACUUCCAGCACCCAGAAACAAGAGACUUCUGGACUUAAGAUAUGGCCUACGAAUGGAAAACUUAUCCCCAUCCUUAUACCCUCAUCCAUGAUAUAUCUGUUACCUCUGUUCUCAAGUCAUACCUCAUGGAACUCAACAAUGUUCAGCCACCCACCACAAACAUCCACCACACCUCUGUUGGACCAUCACACACCUUGGAAAUUAUCCCAAAGACACAAACUUGUACUCCAGGUUCUAGUUCAAGUCCUCAAGGAAUCCUUGUCAAGGAACAACGUCCUGAUUACACUAACGUCUUAUUCCAAGAUGCUCAGGAUCCAUGGGAAGAUUUUCAGUCCCUUUUCUCUACUAAAAAUUCCCAUUACUAUCACCGACCCAGAUCCUCCUGCUCCACCAGCCCCAAAAAAGGUGACUGACACUGAUGAAGAAGCCUAUCUGCAAGCUGAAGCUUAUCUUGAUCAAAGACAGACCCGUUGUGCUAAACGACAAUAUAAAACUGGCGAUGUGUCUCCAUCACAGUACCCAUCCACUCCAUAAUUGCAGACACGCAUGGAAAUCUUUAACUUUUGUUUUUUUUCAAAAAGUUUGCUUUAAUAAUUAUGCUUUUGUAAAAGAUAAGUGUCCCACCUCAUCUCUCCUUCCUCGAGAUCUCGAUAUAAGGAUCUCUCUAUCCCUUUGUAAGGCAGAAGUUAAUUUGAAAUACAAAAUCAGUUUUCUUCACAUCAUGUUUCUCUAAACUUUUCUGGUUGGACAGAUACACUUCUUUUCAUCCUUGCACUCUAUCCUGAGAUAGGGUUUUUUACAAGCUUCAAAAAAGGAUUUUUUGUCUUCCAUGAGAUCUUUGAAGAAUUCUUUUUGCUCACAGAUCUUGUCAAGACAUAGCAUUACCGUUUGGAAAAUCUUUCCCAGAGAGAUAUCAGUUAUGCUGAGAUUAGUGGCUGUGAGUUUCCUUUGAAGAUCAGGUUGUAACUCAGAAGGAAGAGAGGCUAUGAAGACAUGUUUGAGAGAUGGCUCGUUGAACCCAUUCAGCUUGUAAAAUAGAAUACUCAUCCUUUUGUAAUGAGAUUCCAAAAGAUGUCUUUUGAGAGAACAUUUCAUCUUAUGAAACUCUUUUCUGUCUGCAUCAGUAGACACUAUUUUUUCACCAAUAAAUUGUUCAUGAAUGAUAUUGAGUGUUGUACCAAUUGGGGAUUAACACGUUCUGCAUGAAGAGUUGUGAGGACAGUGCCUAUAACAACAUCUUGGUAUUGCUUAAAUUGGGUAUCAAGCAUAGCAAGUCGAGCUGUGACCGGUAACCCUUUUCUCCCAUGAAGGGUAAGGAUUAAUCUGAUGCCUCCAAGAUGGAGAUGAGUGUAGCCUUCUCUUUUCCAAUUGGAAAUUAACUCUGAAGGUAUUUCCAGAGUGACAUAUUGCUCAGCAGAGGUUGCUUGAAGGGUACAUUGAUCCAGGCGAGACGACUGGAUAUAUUCUUUAGGUUGAGGCCGUCUAGUAGAUAUAAGAGUACGAAUACUUCGGGUAAAGGAACUGGGGCGUUUGUACAGCUGAUAAGGGCUGAUGAGAUGGUAGGAUGACUCACUGAUUUGGGCUGAUUCAGGGAUGUAGGAAUAUUCUACAAGGUUUUCAAUCUUAUUGUCGGUAUAGGAAGUGCAGGAUUUGGUUAAAGAAAGAGUAGAAGAAAGAGUAAUAGGAUUGGAAGGAGUUGAAGAUGAAGUGGAAGCCAUGAAGGAGAAAGGCUCUCUGCUCCUGAAGUAUUAAAGAUCAAAACAGAAGAAAGACGUAAAUCAUACCAUUUUGGGCAUAAAAAACUAGAGUUUAGAAAACUGAAAAGUUUCAAGGAUGAGUAGGCUCUGAUACCAAAUUAUAAAACGUUUGCAUCAUAAAAUGUUUCUGCAUUUCUUUUCAGGUCAUAUAACCUAAAACAUACUUUCCUUAGUCUUUAAAACAGGGUACCAAACCGUUUAAGAAAUCAUCAUAAGUUUUCUGAUGCACAGGAUCCUUACUGGAAGGCAAGUGCAGAGCAUACUUCCUUAAAGUUUCAAAAUGAACAAAUUUAAUUCUUUAUUCUUUUUCUUUCUCUAGAUCUUCAUUUGCAGAGAGAGAAAAGAGUUUAGAAAUGCAUAGUUUUAUGGAAACACACGAGUUUUAUUUCGAAAAAACUUCUAUAUCUUACAAGCGAAGGGAGAAUUCUUUAUAUAGGAGAAUUCCCGAAGAAGAUAGGACAGGACCCCUAUCUUCUACAAAAGCAAAAGUAAAAGGACACAUCAUGACAGCUUUAAUGAUUACAAAGGACAAAGUGUGCUUUAAUAAUUAAAGCAUGACUUUGACAAAAGUAAAAGCUUAAAGUAAAAGCAAGCCUUAAUAAUUAUAUAGGACAAAACCAUAAUUAUUGCAACAAGACAAACUACUUUAUGGAGAGUGGAGAUUCAUGUAGUCGUCUUCAGAUGAGCUUUCUGUUUCAUCUGGGUCAGUGUCACGGUUAUAUUUUGGGAAAAAGGUUUUGGAGAGCUUUGGAUGCUUAUAGUGGGGACCACGGCAAGGUGGAUAAGGGCAAUCUCUUCGGUAUCUUAGCUUGGGGGGUGAUGACUGGGACUUGGGGCUUGGCAUCUUAGUGGCCUUGUCAGCUUUGGAGGGUUGGGAUGAUGAUCCUGGUUCAUACAUGGUGGGUUGUAGAAACUGUUGGAGAUGUUGGCUUAGAGGAAGGAAUUCUUCCCAUGGGUCUUGGGAGUCUUGGUAAAGGAAGUCAGUGUAGUCUGGUUUUUCUUCUUUGAUGUUGAUUCCUGUGGACUUUGGUUUGGAUAUGGCGGAUGGAAUGGGGAUCAUGAUGAGGUCAUAUUGUGGUCCUAAGGAGGUGUGAAAGAUAUCCCGGUAUGGUGGAGUUUGGUGGUUCAAUUGACAAAGGUAGUUGUGCAGGUUGGAUUGGAUUUCAUUGUCAAUGACAGCUGGGUGAGGUGCGAUAAACCAUUCAUAUACCUGGUCUUGAGUCUAAAAGAGAUUUAUGUCUGGAUGUUGGAAGUAUGGCCUGUGAAUGAUAAAUACUGAUGUAAACAAUUGUGCUUCAGAGGCAGGCAUACGUUCAAGAUUGUAAAUCUCGGACAUUUGUUGUAGCUUCUUUCUCCACCAUGGUAUUGGGGAGAACCAUUCAAGUAAUAUCCAGGUAAGAGAGGUGGCUUUGUCUGGAUUAAGGAGAUUGUUCAAAGUGGGAGUGAUUGGUAGGACUGGCUUGGUUGCAUAAAGAACAGUUAGGCACCAGAUGUACCGUAACUCAUCUUCAGUGAUUUCGCUGGACGGAGAAAGGGUUAAACCUGUAAGGAACAUAUUUUCUGGGUGGAAGGUGGAAAAUGGAAAUGAGUCUGCCAAAAGGUAGGCUUUCAUGAAGAAGCGGAAAACAACUUUCCUUGCAAACUCUUAGAUAGCAAAGACAGAAGAGAAAGUUUUGUCAAGGGGAAAAGUUUUCUUGGUGAGAGCUUCUGGUGGAAGUGACGUGGCCAUAGAGAUGAUCGGAAAUUGGUAUGUUGUAGAGAUCAAGGUUAGAGGGUUUUCUGGUUUUGAGAGUCUGGAUAGCAUUUCAGGGAUGAGGUUCUGGGACCCCUUUAUAUGCUUAACCGAAAAAUCGUAUUUGGAAAACCAAUCUUUUAAUCGGAGUAACAUCUUUUCUGGCACAGUUUUACCUUUGAAAUUAAGAAUAUUGGGGAAGGCUGAACUGUCCAGUCGGAUGAGAAAAUGAUGUCCAAUAAGAUGAUACUCAAAUUUUUUGAUGCCAUUCUUUACCGCUAAGAUUUCUUUGAACACGCUAUGGUAAUGCUUCUGUGUGUCAGAAAAUUGUCCACUAGCGUAAGCGAUAAAGUAUUCUUUGCCGUUGAUUUCAUCGAGGAGGAUGGCACUCCAUGAUUCAUCACUUGCGUCUGUCUGCAGUAUGCGCUUUCCAUCAGUAAUUAACUUUAAGGGAGGCGGAUUUUGCUCAAUUUGCUUGAGGGUAGUGACAGCAGUUGUGUGGUCAGCAUUCCACUCUGGGGGCUUCUUUUUCAAUAAAGCCGAGAGGUGGUGAGUAUAGCGGUCCACAUGCGGGAUGAAGUCCCUUAUGUAAUUGAUAAUGCCGAGAAACUGUUGAACUUGCUUUUUGGAAAGUUGCUGAUCUGGAAAGUGAAGCAAUUCUUGGGCAAUGUGCUUUUCUGGCUUAUAAUGGUUGUCCUUUAUGAUCAUACUAAGGAAUUCAAUGUUAUCUGUGGCAAUGGUGCUUUUCUUGGCAGACAGCAUGAUUUCAUGACUUUGGACAAUAUCAUAAAAUUGAGUUAACAGCUGGUGAUGUUUAUCAUGGGAUCCUGAAAAAAGCAAGAUAUCAUCAAUGUAAAGUAAUGCAUGAUGCAAGAUAGGGUGAAAGAUUUGGACCAUGGAUUUUUGGAAAAUGGAUGGGGCAGUUUUGAGGCCGAAGGGAAGGAUUGUCCAUUGAUAAUGGGCAUUUGGGAUACAAAAGGCAGUUUUGUAACGCUCCGAGGGUUCAAUGCCUAAUUGCCAAAAACCUGAUUUUAAAUCAAAUUUAGAAAAGAUCUGGGCAUUUUUGAGAAAAGUAAACAUGCUUUGUCGUCGGGGCAAAGGAAAUUUGUCAUUUUGCAAAAACAUAUUGAGUGGCUGAUAGUCAAUGACUAAGCGUUUCUUUCCUCUGACAAUUUCAGAAUGCUUUUCAACAUAAAAGGCUUGGCAAGCCCAUUGAGAACUUAUGGGCUCGAUUAGACCUUGGGCUAACAGUUGUGAACAUUCUUUUUGGGUUAGGAGUAAGUUAGAAGGACUCAUUCUUGGAUGAGUAGCUUUGGUCAGGUUAAUGUCUUCAUUGAGUUUGAAAGGUAACUUAAUGAAGAAAGACGGGUUUUUCCACAAUGGAGUUGGAUGGAUGAACUCAGAAUGGGACUCUAGACAGAAACGCAAAAGAUGGGACGAAAUAUCCUGGUAGGACUGGGGAGUAUCAGACAAAUUAUAGAGUUUCAAAAUGUAUGUGAAUGGUUUGAACAUAGACUUGACUCGGAUUCCAGUGGGAAUGAUUUAGAGGUGUGUGAUUUGGUGAAGUAUGUCAAAUCCUAACAAGAUAUCCUUAUUAGGAAGGGUUGAAUCGAUAACCUUGGUCCAAAUGACACAAUUUGGGAAGAUUUGAAUACCAAUGGGUUUGUUGGUAAUCAAAGAGGUAGUGAAAAAUUUGCCAUUAACGGCCCUGAAAUUUUCUUCGUACUUUGUCCAGUAUUUAGGUGGAAGGAUAUUAGGGUUUAACAUGCUGCGUUGGGCGCCAGUAUCUAUGAGACCAAUUGCUGGAAUGGGCCUUUGGAAUUUUGAGGGCAAGAUAUGGAGUUUGAUGGAGGGUCUAGGAAUAGUAGUGUCAAGGGACAGUAAUUGUUGGUGGAAGAUAACUUGAGACACAUCAUUGUCUGAGUCAUCAGAGGAAUUUUGUAAUGCGAACACGGUUUCAUCAUUGGGUUCGUCUUGCUCAGAGAAAUAGAAUUCUAGUUCAUCCGUCGUAGGAGAGUAGUCUGUAGUGGCUUGAAGAUGUUAGACUAGCCGGAUGGAUUUCUCCUAUUUGUUGGGACAAUCUUUAGCAUAAUGACCUUUCCUCUUGCAGAUGAAACAUCUGCUUGAUGAUUUUUUUCUGAAGAAUCGGUAGGGCUUUCUGGACCUGCGGGGUUUGGAUGAAAAUUUUAGAUUUUUGAAUUUCCGAAAAUGCCUCUUCUUCUUAGAACUACAAUCACAAUCCUUUUUCUUAUUACAUUUGAUCAGUAAAUAGGGCUUUUUGCAGGCACUCCUGAAUGGUUCGUUAUCUCUCAACAGUUCUUUGAAAAACUGUUUCUGCUCGCAAAGUUUGUCGAGGCAUGUUUUGGCAAUCGGGAAGAUUUUGCCAAGAGAAAUGUUGUCAAGGUUGAGAUUGGAUGCGGUGAGUUGCCGUUGUAUAUCGGGUUGGAGCUCUUCUGGAAGAGAAGCCAGAAAGACAUGCUUUAAUGUUGGCUCAUUGAAGUCAUUAAGCUUGUAGAACAGCAAGGACAUUCAUUUGUAAUGAAAGUCAAGAUCCUUAGCAUUGAGUGAGCAGCAUUUCAUAUUGAGAUAGUCUCGUUGUGCAGCUUCAAAAACUGCAGAGGGGUCUCCAAGGAAUUGAUCAUGAAUAACCACACGGGCACUUGAGACUUCUGGUAAUUGAACAAACUGUAAUUGUCUGUAUUGGCCUAAAGAAUCAAACCAAUCUCUUAGAGCACCCGUAAAACGAGUAGCAAAUUCUUUAAGGACUGAUUGAGUCAUUGCUCCUGGCCUUAGCAUUUGGAGGUCGAUCCAAGCAGACAUUUCAGUAAGUCUCUGUCGCCAUUUAUGAGAGGGAAGAUCAUCAAAUGUGAACCAUGGACCAUUUAACGAUUUUUGACUUGUUGGACUGGUCUGGGCUUGGGUUGGAGGGGGUUGGUGUGUUGCAGAAGAUUCAGGUAUGUCUUCGUCAACUUCUGAAGGAAUAUCAACAUAUGGUUCUAUGGGAGAGGUUUGGCCGUGAUCAGGUUGAUCAGGUUGGGCCAUCAAGGUUCUGGUGAUAUCAGCAUAGGAUUUUUCAGAGUCACUAGUGGAUACCGAAGAGUCUGUAUCAGACUCGGUAUGGCUGUUGGAAAUAACUAGAUUUGAAUCAGAAGUUUGAGCAAAAGUUUGAUCAUCGGGAGUAGAUGAUGGAUCUACGGUGUGAGCACUAUACUGGUGCAUAGGUUCUUUGUCUUUGGACUGAGUUUGAGGUUGGGAUUGAGGUGGUAGUGGAGGUGCGGGCGGUAGGGACUGUUGUCCAAGAAUGGACAUGGAUGGCUGAUGAAUUUUGACGGGGCGUGGUUGAGGUUUAGGCUUUAGUUUAGGUUUAGGUGGUGGUGGUAAGGGAUUGUCCCUAAAAAGGGUAUGAGUCAUGCCAAAUAACUUGGAAGGGUCAUAUUGUUUGAUGGGGGAAAGCAUAGAGGCAAAUGGAUGAUAAGUUGGACCUAUGGAAGGGAUAGGAGGUAAUGUGGUAAAAAGGGUUGGUCUUUGUUUUUCAGAUUCAAUUUGAUCAAGCUCAGCUUUUAAGCGUCUGAUUUCCCUUUCUUUUUGGUCAAAUUCUGGGCCAUAGUACCUUUGGGCAAGCAUGGUUCGUAACUCUGAAUCUAGUUGAGUAAUUAUGGAUUAAAGAUUAUGGUGGAUCUGCUGCAUCUGUAUAGUAAUGGAGUCAACUUUCAUCUCAAUCUGUUCAGUUCGUAAAUUGAUUUUUUCAACUUUUGAAUUGAUAUGCAACAAAGUAUCAUUCUGGCCUCUGGCAUUUUGGGUUUUCCAAUUAAGGACUGAUUCAAAAGGUUUGGGAGGUUCUAGGUGGCCAGAUGAGGUAAUAGCUAAAGGGAUAAAAAGUUUGGAUACUACAUUUUCGGUGGGAAUCUGUGUGAGUUUCUAAUGGAGAAAAUGAGGAAGAGUAGUCUGAAGAGGUGGAAGAAAACAUCAUACAAGCCAUUGGUUGUACGAUAGGCAUUGAAUUUGGGAUAGGAGAUGGAACCUCAGGUUUGCAAUGCUUUGCAAUCCAUUUGAGUUCUGCUUUGUAGAUGGGUAAUGGAGUUGGUGGAGGUGGAGGAUCUCUUGGUGAUUUGGGUUCACAGUGUUGACAUGAGACUGGAGGUUUUUUCUUUUUGGGUUUCUUUUUGGUGGCAUAAUCAUCAUCCUCUUCCCAGUCAUCCCAACAGGGACAAUUUGGGUCACACAUGCCGGAGCCUGGGACAUCCCAUAGGAAAUGUCCAUUUUGCUUUGCUGGAUAAACAGGGUAUCCAUCAGAAUUGAACCCUGUAAUGGGCAGAUCUUCCUAUGCUGUCUGAAUAGUUGUGAUCAUGGAAGAAUAGGUAAAGGAGAGCCGAGGGGGCUCUUGUGGAGCACUUGGAGGUGGUUUAAAAGUCAUUCAAACUGUUCCAUCUUGUCGUCUUUCAAACAUGCUUUCAGAUGUCUGAAUUGGAGUUGUAUUGUUAUGGAACUGCUCAUAAUUGGAAAUCCAUUCAAGAGGCAUAAGCUUAAUAAGCUCAUGACGGGGAAGUUGUCGUGGGAUUUGGAUGAUUGUGGGAAUUUGGUCAGAUUCUGCUAACACCAUAAGGGUGUCAGAGUGGGGUUCUAGAGUGGGUAGAUCUAAGGCAUGAUUUUGAAGCCUAUAGACCAGUUGAUGGUGUAAAGUGGGCUUGCCAAGCCUUUUAUGUUGAAAAGCAUUCUGAAAUUGUCAGAGGAAAGAAACGCUUAGUCAUUGACUAUCAGCCACUCAAUAUGAUUUUGCAAGAUGACAAAUUUCCUUUGCCCUGACGACAAAGCAUGUUUACUUUUCUCAAAAAUGCCCAGAUCUUUUCCAAAUUUGAUUUAAAAUCAGGCUUUUGGCAAUUAGGUAUUGAACCCUCGAACCGUUACAAAACUGCCUUUUGUAUCCCAAAUGCCCAUUAUCAAUGGACAGUCCUUCCCUUCGGCCUCAAAACUGCCCCAUCCAUUUUCCAAAAAUCCAUGGUCCAAAUCUUUCACCCUAUCUUGCAUCAUGCAUUAAUUUACAUUGAUGAUAUCUUGCUUUUUUCAGGAUCCCAUAAUGAACAUCACCAGCUGUUAACUCAAUUUUAUGAUAUUGUCCAAAGUCAUGAAAUCAUGCCGUCUGCCAAGAAAAGCACCAUUGCCACAGAUAACAUUGAAUUUCUUGGUAUGAUCAUAAAGGACGGCCAUUAUCAGCCAGGAAAGCACAUUGCCCAAGAAUUGCUUCACUUUCCAGAUCAACAACUUUCCAAAAAGCAAGUUCAACAGUUUCUCGGCAUUAUCAAUUACAUAAAGGACUUCAUCCCGCAUGUGGACCGCUAUACUCACUGUUGAGUGUUAGAAAAUGCAUAUUUAUAAAGGAGAAAACCGUCAUUUUACAUUUCAAGUCUUACUAACAACCCUUACUUUUAUGUAUUUAACCUUCUUGUGAUUUAAUUACAUGUGUUUUAUUUUAAUUAAGUAUUUUAUGUAUUUUAGGGGCAUUAUAGUCAUUUCACAAUAAAGAAGAGAUCAGACGGCAAAACGGAUAUCACUUUUGAACUCAGGACGGUCGAAAACCUUAGGAGGAGCAUAAAAGGAAAAAUGGCACUAUUCAUAUGUACGGUACUAUUCACGUGUACGGUACUAACUACGUUACUGUUCACAACACUGUUCACAUAGACGGAUCGAUGACGUGGCAUUGACCGAUGAUGUGGCAUUGACUGAUGAGGUGUCACGAUCCUGUUGGGCUAAAAUUCUUAUGUACUGUUGAUGGUGACGUGGCAGCAUAUCAGUGGAUGAAAAAUCUCGCGUACGGUACAUGCAUCACACAGGAUUAUUUUCAACCAAACCAUGUUACUGUUCAUCCGAGUCAAACUGCGUUACUAUUCAUCCGAGUCAAACCGUGUUACUGUUCAUCCGCGUGGUUAAACCGUGGACUGUUGACUGAUGACGUGGCGCAAUCUUGAGCGUCCAAACUGUUUUUAAUCCGAUGGCCAUGAUUUACUCCAUGUAUCUAUAAAAAAGGGGCCUGCCCCCCUUAAUUUGAUAUCUCUGAAUCCAUUUUUGGGAUCCAUUUUCUAUAAUUCUUUCUCCAUCUUGUAUUUUCUUCGUAUUUUAAUAAAUUCCCAUUUUGCCCCUAGUUCAAUUAUGAGUGGCUAAUUUUCUUUCAAGCUUGGGUUGAAGGUGAAGUCUCAACAUGUGUCAUGGGCUUAAUUUGGUAAAUUUAUUUUCUCUUCCCCUCUAGUUUUUGUGGAUGUUUUGACUUCUCGUCGACAAAUAAUAAUAAUCUUGUCUAGAUACCACCUUGGUUACUUACACCAGCUCUCUAGUAUAAGGUUAUUAUUAUUUGGCACGAUAAGCCCUUAGCACCAUAUUGAUUAGAGCGUGGUUCAUGAGGUGUGGAUUCCCCCCUCAUGAUUUAAUUGGCAUUAAUACGGAUUAUUUAGCCCAUGAUGCAUGUUGAUACGGAUCCAGAUACCCAAGUACGUCAAUUUAAUAGAUUUUCUCUUCAAUUUAUUCUCUCAAUUGCAAUUCCAAUUUUAGAAUUUAUUCUCGCCAUUUUAAUUUAAUUAUUAGCAUAUUCCAAAUCAUUUCCACCAUAAAUCCAACUACCCAUUUACAAAAUUAAUUCUAUAUAUAAUUAAAAUCCACCUCCUCGUGGGAUCGACACUCGUCACCAUUAGUCUAUACUACAACAGAUUCGUGCGCUUGCGAGUACAUUAAAAUUUGCACAACAAGUUUUUGGCGCCGUUGCCGGGGAGGUAAGUAAUUUUAAUUCAUAGAAUUAAUUUUUGUGAAUAAUUCCAUUUAAAUUGUUUUCUUAUAUUUUUUCUUAAAAAAAAAAAGUGAAUCUACAUUUAAAGGUUAGUAUUUCUUUCCUUUUUCUCUUCUUUAAAAUUCUGUAAUUUAAUUUUCAAUUUAUUUUUCUUUGUAAUUUUUUUUUGAUUUAAUUUUUAGUUAAUUUAUUUCACGUAUUUAUUUUUGCGUAUUUUUAUAGAAAGGUUGUAAUAGCGCAAUAAGGUUAGUAUCGUAAUUUCUCUCUCUUCUUUAUUUUUAUUUGUUUUGUUCUCAUCUUUAUUUUUAUUUUAUUUGUUUUGCAUGCAUGGUCGUAGGUCAUUAUUUCCUAAUCUUGAACCUAUAGACUUUGAAUUAGAAAAAACACUUCGCACACAAAAGCACAUUAAAAAUAAAUUUGGAAUGGAUUUACAAGCACCACAGGAGAGGCCAUUUAAGGACUAUUUUAGUCCCUUAGCUAAUUUGAGCACAUCAUGCAUAAGAUACCCAAAUGUAGCUGCUAGAAGUUUUGAACUAAAACCUAGUGUGCUAAAUUGUCUCCCCACAUUUUAUGGCCUAGAAAAUGAGGACCCAUAUAAUCAUUUGAAUGAUUUUCAUGCCAUUUGUCAAACUUUUAAAUACGAGAAUUUUUCAGACGAUGAUGUUAAACUCAGAUUAUUCCCAUUUUCUUUAAAGGAUAGAGCUCGUUCAUGGUUAAAUACUUUACCUGCUAAUAGCAUUUCAUCAUGGGAACAAAUGGUAACGAAAUUUUUGAAUAAAUAUUUCCCAGUGCAUAAAACCAAUGCUAUUCGCAGGGAAAUCUCAGAGUUUACUCAGAGAGAAGACGAGCAAUUUUUUGAAACUUGGGAGCGAUUCAAUGGGCUACUCUUGAAGUGUCCACAUCAUGGGUAUGAGAAAUGGCACCAAUGCCAAUACGUUUUGGAGGGAUUAUUGCCGAAUGUGCAAGAAUGGCUAAUGGCAACGAGUGGAGGAGAGCGAAUGUCAAAAAGUGCAUUAGAGAUUUGGGAAUUCUUCCAGCGACAAGCAGAUAAUUCCCAACAACGGAGUCGAUCACUCAGGACUACUAGAAGAAUUAGGGAGUAAAUGAGGUUCACAUUGGCGAGUCAACUUCGGGAAUCAAAGAAGUCAAGGAGAUGGUUGAAGGUCUUGCUCGACAAAUAGCAUCGUUAUCGACUGCUAAAUCAACAGAACCACAUGACCAUGACUCAUACUCAGAUCAAGCCAAUGCCAUAGGUGUAAUGAGAAAGCCAUCAAAUUACAACCCAUACUCCAACACAUAUAACCCUGGAUGGAGAGAUCACCCCAAUUUUUCAUGGUCUCAAGGACUCCAACAGAAUGGACCAGUAGCUCCAGCUCCACCAAUGCAACUAAUUCCUCAAAUUUCUCAAGCCUCUCAGCCCCCAUUUAGACCAUACAAUCAGAACCAGAACUACUCUCAACUUGGGAGGAUGCAUUCCAAAAUUUCAAGAAUGUUACUCACUCCACGAUUGAGUAACAAAAUCGUACAAUUGAUGGACUACGAAAUGAGUUGAGAGCAGGCUUCAAUUCACAAGCUCAAUCAGUUUCAAGCCUUGAGAAGAUGGUGGGACAGCUUGCUUCUUCAGUUCAGACCUUGGCAAUGACUGUUGAGAAAGAUAAGUUUCCAAGUCAACCAGUGCCUAAUCCUAAAGGAGUACAUGAAGCAAGUACCAGUUCACCACAACAGCAUGGAGAGGUCAAAGCAGUAAUGACCUUGUGAAAAGGAAAAGAAGUCGACAACAAAGUGGAGAUGUCAAUGACAAAAGAAAAUCAAAUUGUUCCUGUGAGUGUUGAGGACUCAUCACCAGAGGAAAAAGAAGAAACCAACCUACGAGAAUAUGUUCUGAAAGCUCCAUUUCCUCAGCGGUUAGCUAAAGGCAAGAAGGGAAAAUCCACAGUUGAGAUUCUUGAAAUCUUCAAACAGGUAAGUGUUAAUAUCCCUUUGCUUGAUGCUAUUAAACAAGUUCCAUCUUAUGCGAAGUUUCUUAAAGACCUUUGUACUAAAAAGAGAAAUAUGCAUGCUCAAAAGAAGGCAUUUUUAACAGAAAACGUUAGUUCUAUACUCCAACAUAAAAUUUCUUUAAAAUGCAAAGACCCAAGCUCUCCCACUAUCUCAUGUAGUAUAGGAAACCACACAAUUGAGAAUGCUUUGUUGGAUUUAGGAGCUAGUGUAAAUUUGUUGCCUUAUUCAGUGUUUGUGAAACUUGGACUUGGAGAAUUACACCCAACUCCAGUGGUGUUACAACUCGCAGAUCGGUCCACGAAAAUACCUCGUGGUAUUGUGGAGGACGUGCUUAUCCAGGUAGAUAAGUUUUAUUUUCCUGUUGAUUUCAUUGUAAUUGACACUCAACCAAUACAGGAUUCAAGGAAGCACAUCCCCAUUAUUCUAGGCCGACCUUUCUUGGCAACUGCGGAUGCUCACAUUCAAUGCAGGACUGGAAAUAUGCAGUUGUCCUUCGGCAACAUGACUAUGGAGCUAAACAUUUUCAACAUUGCCAAACAACCUCACAGUGCAGAUGAUUGAAUUGUAGAUAUGGAUUUAAUUGAAGCAUAAUUUGAUGACACUUUUCUUUCAAACCUUAGUGAUGAUCCUUUACAAACAUGUUUAACUCACUUUGGUUUGGAUUUUGAUAUUGACAGAUCGGUCGAUGAGGUCAACGCCCUGCUUGACUCAGCACCAUCUAUGGACACUAAUAAAUGGAAGUCAAGAGUUGAGCAACUAGCACCAUCAGAGAAGAAACUCAUCCCAUCAUCAGAAUCACCACCGAAACUCGAGCUCAAACUAUUACCCAACACUCUGGAAUAUGCAUUUUUGGGAGAAGAAAGUACUCUGCCGGUAAUCAUCUCAUCAUCCCUAAAUGACAAACAAAAAGGUAAGUUGUUGGAUGUUUUGAAAGAGCACAAAGGGGCAUUAGGAUGGACCAUAGCAGACAUUAAAGGUAUAAACCCAGUAGACUGCAUGCAUUAUAUUCACCUUGAUGAAAAUGCUAAAACUACUAGGGAGAUGCAACGUCGGUUAAAUCCUAACAUGAAAGAAGUUGUUAGAACAGAAGUCCUUAAGCUAUUAGACGCAGGUAUCAUUUACCCCAUUUCUGAUAGUUCAUGGGUCAGUCCUGUGCAAGUUGUCCCCAAAAAGUCAGGAGUCACUGUAGUUACCAAUGUCGAUAAUGAAUUGAUACCCACUAGAGUGACUACAGGAUGGCGUGUAUGCAUUGAUUAUAGAAAGUUGAAUUCUGUCACACGUAAAGACCAUUUUCCUUUACCAUUUAUUGAUCAAAUGCUUGAUAGAUUAGCAGUUCAUGAAUUUUAUUGCUUUCUAGAUGGCUACUCAGGAUACAAUCAGAUCCCCAUAGCACCAAAAGAUCAGGAGAAAACUACUUUCACUUGCCCUUUUGGCACAUUUGCAUAUAGGAGAAUGCCAUUUGUAUUAUACAAUGCACUUGCUACAUUUCAACGAUGCAUGUUGAGCAUUUUUUCUGAUAUGGUUGAACGAUUCCUUGAAGUCUUUAUCGAUGACUUUUCUGUCUUUGGUGACUCGUUUGAUCAAUGUUUACAUCAUCUAACACUAGUUCUACAGAGAUGUAUCGAGAAGAACUUGGUCUUAAAUUGGGAGAAAUGUCAUUUUAUGGUAAAACAAGGUAUUGUUCUCGGUCACAUCAUUUCGAACAAAGGUAUUGAGGUUGACAAAGCCAAGGUGGAUCUUAUUUCUAAUCUUCCUCCACCCAAAAUAGUCAGAGAAGUAAGAUCUUUCAUUGGGCAUGCUGGUUUCUAUAGACGUUUCAUUAAAGAUUUUAGCAAAGUUUCUAGACCCUUAUGCAAUUUACUUGCUAAGGAUGUACCUUUUAUCUUUAGUGAUUCAUGUCUUAUGGUGUUUGAAAAAUUAAAACAGUUGUUGACAUCAUCACCCAUCAUUCAGGCCCCAAACUGGAGCUUACCAUUUGAGCUAAUGUGUGAUGCAUCUGAUUAUGCAGUAGGAGCAGUAUUAGGACAAAGAAUUGAUCGAAUUUCCCACGUUAUUUACUAUGCUAGUAUGACAUUAAAUGAUGCACAGUUGAACUAUUCAACUACUGAAAAAGAAAUGCUAGCAGUAGUGUUUGCAUUGGAAAAAUUUCGAUCAUAUCUCAUUGGUUGUAAAAUAAUUAUAUUCACGGAUCAUGCUGCUCUUAAAUAUCUUCUCACAAAGAAAGAUGCAAAAGCCAGACUAAUUCAUUGGGUGUUACUUUUGCAGGAGUUUGACUUGGAAUUCAAAGAUAAGAAAGGCACAGAGAAUGUUGUGGCGGACCACCUCUCUCGUCUCCAUUUUGACACAAUUACAGAAUCAUUACCAUUGAAUGAGUCAUUUCCAGAUGAACAACUAAUGAAUGUGGAAGUAUUACCUUGGUAUGCUGAUAUAGUUAAUUAUCUUGUUACAGGUAAACUUCCAGAGCAUUGGACCAAGCAAGACAAGGCUAAAUUCUUUGCAGAAAUAAAGAAUUUCUUUUGGGAUAACCCGUAUUUGUUCAAGUAUUGUGCAGACCAAAUUGUUAGACGAUGCGUCCCAGAAAGUGAAAUUCCGAAUAUCCUUUCAUUCUGCCAUGAACAAGCUUGUGGAGGCAAUUUCAGUGCUAAGAAAACAGCGACUAAAGUUUUACAAUGUGGUUUCUAUUGGCCAACUAUAUUUCGAGACGCUUACACUUUCUGUUCUUCAUGUGAUAGGUGUCAACGAAUGGGGAGCAUUUCGCGAAGGAAUAUGAUGCCACUAAAUCCAAUUUUAGUGGUUGAGAUUUUUGACGUAUGGGGUAUCAACUUCAUGGGACCAUUUCCCCCUUCUUUUGGCCAUCAAUACAUAUUGGUUGCAGUUGACUACGUAUCCAAAUGGGUAGAAGCAAUUCCAUACAGAACUAAUGAUCACAAAGUGGUGAUAGGAUUUUUGAAAAGCAAUAUUGUUUCACGCUUUGGAUUCCCUCGAGCGAUAAUCAGUGAUGGUGGUGCCCACUUUUGUAACAAAGCAUUCAAAGCUCUUUUGACAAAGUAUUCAAUCACACACAAAGUGGCAACUCCGUAUCAUCCGCAAACCAGUGGCCAAGUUGAGAUCUCCAAUCGAGAAAUAAAGCACAUAUUAGAAAAGACGGUGAGGCCGGACAGAAAAGAUUGGUCAUUAAGACUUGAUGAUGCCUUAUGGGCAUAUAGAACGGCUUUCAAGACCCCGAUUGGGAUGUCACCCUACAGGCUAGUGUAUGGAAAAGCUUGCCACCUACCUGUGGAAAAGCUUGCCAUCAAGAAAUUCAAUUUUGGCAUGCAGCAAGCCAGCUCAGAAAGAAGAUUACAGCUGGCAGAACUUGAAGAAAUUCACAAUGAUGCAUACGAAAAUGCCAAGAUUUACAAGCAACGAAUGAAAGUCUUCCAUGAUAAGCAAAUUAUGAGAAAAUCAUUCACUCCAGGUCAGAAAGUGCUUUUAUUCAAUUCUCGCUUGCACCUAUUCCCAGGUAAGUUACGCUCUCGUUGGUCUGGCCCAUUUAUUGUUCAUACUGUUUUUCCACAUGGGGCAAUUGAAAUUAAGGACCCAAAGAAUGGUGUCACGUUUAAAGUUAAUGGUCAAAGAUUAAAGCCAUAUCUAGAAUACCAACCACAUGGAGAAGACACCGAAAUAAAUUUGAAUGACCCACCAGAUUUGAAUUGAUUUUUUUUUUCUUUUCGUUGAUUUGAUUUUUUUUUCUUUCUUUAUAUUAUUCUUCUGCUAAUUGAAAUUAUUUUUGCAUAAGUGUGUUUGUUUAACUAUUAAGUUUUUUUUAUCGUUUUUAAUCAUGAGUACCUUACUUAGAUCGUUCCUCCUGAACAUUCUUAAACCACUUCAACGUGUCAAAACUCAUCUCAAAAGGCAGAUUCAAUUUUGUAAAACACAUCGCAUUUGGGCUCUACAACCACCAGAGUUAGUAGCCUAUGUUGAGGGUUUAGAAAGCCAACUCAGAGACAUUGAGAGAAGUGUUUACGACAUCCAGUUGGAGCUUGAGGUAAAUUCAAUAAGAGGACGAUUUUAAUUUUCUUUGUGUGUUUUAAUUUGUUUUUCUGUUUGUGUGCUUUAGUUUGUUACCCCGGUGAAGUGGCGGAUAACGGUACUCCGUGACAAUCAAGUCGGUUACUUUAGUUUCCCAUAAUAACUGAUAUUCUGAGGCGAAGGUAUGGACAGAAACAAGAUUCUAGCAAAACUUCACAAGCGAUUCCCUUCACUUCCUCAGAAUGCCCUCCUUACGAUCUAUAAAGCUCAGUCCGAACGCAUGCGAUUACUCAUGAGGAAUAACAUACCUGCUGACAUCCGUUGGUUAAUCGAGGCUAAAGUACGAUCGGCAGGUGAGUUACCUCCAAAAUUUAUUGCAUACAUGCCUGGUUGUGGUAAAGGAAAUUAUGCAAGAAAACGACGAGCUCGAAAAAUUUCUGUUGCUUGUCAUAAGUGUGCUAGAAUGAGUUGCAAUAAAAACCCAUGUUCUUUAGGAAUGGUGUCUGAUAACAGGGAAGAUAAGAUUCAAUUCAUUAGGGAUGGCUUGAAUAAGGAGUCAUUGGAUGAUAUCCUUUUGUCUCUUGAAACGCAUCCCAGUGGAUAUGUGCAAGGAGCGAUUCUCCAGUUAUGGCCAUUAUUCCAGAAAGAGCAUGCACGAUAUAUGUGUGAAGAUAAUUAUUAUUUUUUAAUAUACCAUAUAUCUUUUUAAAUUGAAUCACGGAAAAUUAAAGACCAAAAAAAUCAAUCAUGACAUGACAUAUUCAAUCAAAAUAGGGCCAUAUAUGUCAUUUACUCAAAUCAACUUGGGUAUAUAGUGGACCUUGUUGAAACAUUUUGGGGCACGGUGACAAAUGUCAAAACAUUUAAGUACUAGCAGAAAAUAACUUUUGUUGAGUUUAAAAUUUUUUGAAAGUAACUAGAGAUAUGAGAUCAGAUGACUUUGACAGUGAUAGAUGAGAAAGCAUAAGGUCUACUCGUGUUGAGUGUUAGAAAGUAUAUAUUUAUAAAGGAAAAAAUCGUCAUUUUACACUCUAAGUUUCACUAACAUCCUUACUUUUAUGUAUUUAAGUCUGUUGUAAUUUAAUUAUGUGUGUUGUAUUAUAAUUAAGUAUUUUAUGUAUAAUUAAGUAUUUUAUGAGAGAUCAGAAAGCAAAACAGACAUCACUUUUGAACUCAAGACAGUGGAAAACCUUAGAGGAGCAUAAAAGGAAAAAUGACACUGUUCAUAUGUAUGGUACUAUUCACAUAUACAGAACGAUGACAUGGCAUUGACCGAUGAUGUGCCAUUGACCGAUGAGGUGUCACGAUCCUAUUGGACUAAAAUUCUUAUGUACUAUUGAUCGUUGACGUGGCAGCAUGUUAGUGGACUAAAAGUCAUGCAUACAGAAUUAUUUACAACCAAACUGUGUGGUCAAACCGUAUACUGUUGGCAAGUGGCGCAAUCCUAAGCGUCCAAAUUAUUUUUAAUCCCAUGGUCAUGAUUUACUCAGUAUAUCUAUAAAAAGGGGGCUUCCCGCCUAAUUUGACAUCCCUGAAUUCAUUUUUGAGUUCCAUUUUCUGUAAUUCCUUCUCCAUCUUGUAUUUUCUAUGUAUUUUAAUAAAUUCUCAUUUUAUCCCUAGUUCAAUUAUGAGUAGCUAAUUUUCUUUCAAGCUUGGGUUAAAGGUGAAGUCUCAACAUGUGUCAUGGGCUUUAUUUGGUAAAUUUACUUUCUCUUCCCCUCUAAUUAAUGUGGAUGUUUUGACUUUUCGUCGACAAAUAGUAAUAAUCUUGUCUAGAUACCGCACUGGUUUAACCGACUCCCUAGUACAAGGUUAUUAUUAUCUGGCACGAUAAGCCCUUAACACCAUAUUGAUUAGAGUGUGGUUCAUGAGGAGUGGAAACCCCUCUCAUGAUUUAAUUGGCAUUAAUAAGGAAUAUUUAGCCCAUGAUGCAUGUUGAUGCAAAUCCAGAUACCGAAGUGCAUCAUUUUUAAUAGAUUUCACUUCAAUUUAUUCCCACCAUUUUAAUUUAAAUUUUAGGAUAAUCAAUUUAAAUUCAACCACCCACUUAGAAAAUUAAUUCUACACAUAAUUAAAAUCCACCUCCUCAUGGGAUCGACACUCGUCACCAUUAAUCUAUUCUAUAAUAGAUUCGUGCACUUCCGAGUUCAAUAAAAUUUGCACAACAACUCACCACUUGUUACUUAACUCUCUAUCACAGCCUUUGUUACAUCUUAACAUGCAUGUAUCUGAUACAUGCAAAGUAAUAAAAAAAGAAAAAAAGCUCUUUAAUUGUUUAGCUACCCAGUUGCAGCCAAACAUUAUAAAAUUAAAAAAAAAAGUAAAUGGAAGCAACCUGUUGUCCUCAAAUAGAAAAAUAUAUAAUAACAUAAUAAAAUAAUUUUGUUAAAUUUAAGUAAUUUCAGGUUUGAUGGUAUUGCCUUUCAUGUUUAUUAUGCUUGAAUAUACUUAAUUAAAUCAUUACAAGUUUAUGAUCCUAAGUUUUAUGGUUAUUGCAGUAAGUUUCAAGUUAGCAUUGGUUUUAUGAUUAAUGGUUCUUAUGUUAAGAUUUAUAGUAAGUGUUUCAUAUUUAUUGUCUAUGAUUUGCAUGAUUUAUAUUAUUACAUGUUUAUUGCACAGAUUUUUAGGUUACCAUUGGUUUCGUGUUCAAUGGUUGACUAUUCAAGAUUAAUAGUUAAGUUUUCAGGUAAUUAUAAGAGGUUUCAUAUUCAAUGGCUAAUAUUCUCUUGUUUAAUGUCCAGAUUUCAUGUCUAGUGCUUGUAGUUUUGGUUCAUUGGUUUUAGUUUCAUGUUGAAUUAUAUAGUUUCAAAUUAAUGGUGUUAGUUUCACCAAUAACUAUUAUUAUUUUAUGUUAAUAGUCUAAUGUGUCAUGGUAGCAUUAAUUUCAUCUUUUAUGAUUUCUAUUGCAAAUUGAAUGAUCUUGUUUCAAGUUAAUUAUCAAAUGUUUCAAGUAAAAAUGGUAGUUAUUGCACGCUAAUAUUGAUCGACUCCAAAUAGAUAAUAGUUGCAUCUUUGAUGAAGCUAGUUUCACAUUUAAUGCUUAUAAUUUCGAGAUUUUGGUGUUUGUUUCAUGUGUAUAUUAGAAGGUUUCAAAAUCAAUGCAAAUAACUUCACUAGCAAUGACAAAUGUUUCACUAUAAUGUUUUAAGGUUUUACGUUAGCAAUAAAUUCAUUUUUACUGAUGCAGUUGGAGGUUAAAUGCUCUUAUUUUCAUGUAUGCAUUAAUUAUGUUCCUACUAAAUGCUCAAAGGUUUUAGGUACAAUGCUUCUAGUUUCAUAUGAAUGGUUAAAUGAUUCAAAUUAUAGUCAGUAUUUCAAGUCUAAGACAACGAGUUUCAGAGUAGUGAACCCAAUUUCAUGUGGACAUUCAAUGGUCUAUAUAACGCCCUUUUCAAAAUAUGAUGAGAUCUACAUUUAAUGGUGUUGGUAUUAGGUAUAAUGGUUAUCGCUUCAAGUUUCUGUUAUAGGUUUCAAAUAUGGAUAUAACGAUUCUGGGUCUCAUGGUAAUUGGAUUCAACUGUAAUGGUUAAAAUUUCAAAUUCAAUGGCAAAAAUACUUCAUGUUCAUCGGAAUCUUAUUAUAGAGGUGAUUUAAAUAUAAAUAUAUUACCAAAUAUUGUAAUUGCUACAAGUUCACAAUGAAUUAUAUUGGUAAGGCAUAUGUAUAUGAUGGUCAAUCUAAACAAGUGCAAGGACUCCCCUUGCCAACAUUAAAAUAGAAAAUAUGACACAAUCUAAUAUGUUCUUUAGUGACUUAUGUUAGUCCUUCACCUUAUGCUAUAAGUACUUAUCAUUUAAAUUUAAUAUUCUAUGAGUCUUAUAGGCAAAGAAAAUUAAAUAUCUAAUAAUGCUAUAAUGUUAGGUAUCAAAAUUAUUUAUUUGUAACUAUUUACAUAUAACAAUAAUUUCAAUAACCAUAAUGUGAAUUCUAUAACAAAAAUAUUACUUGUUAUAUUUACUUAAGUGAGUCAUUUCCAUAUUACUUGCACUCUAACAGGCCACCAAUUAGGCUAUCAUUUUAAGUUAAUAUCAUAUCAUUUAAAAAUACACAAAAAUUAUGUUACCAAUAAUGUAAAAUUACAAUACGAAAUAUCUAUUUUAGUCACAUAAAUAUAUAAAAAUACCAAGUGCCAAUCAAUUAUCUUUGUUUACAUAGAUCAAGAGUUCUUUUAGAUGAUGUAGAUAUUGCAGAGGCUGAAGCACUUCGCUUUAACGUAUGACUCACUAGUGAAACUAGUUUGUCUCCAUUAGUGGUAGAGUCAGAUUCAUUAUGAAUUACUCAAUUUGUUUUAGUAACGUACAAAGUCCAGAGAAUAAUUUCAGUACAACAUCACUUCAGGCUUUGGCAUUAGCUAAAUUUUCUCUAAAGUGUUCUAGAUCUUUCGUUUGGUUAGAGGACUAUCCAAGCCUCUUAAAAUGUUAUCUUUAAUUUUAACCUCUAAAAUAUGAUACCUACUUUCAUCAAAAAAAUAUGAUUGAAUGUAUAAAUAUUUAGCUUCAUGUUGUUAAUUAUUAUAUCAACCAAUCAUAAUUGUCUUAAUUAUUAUUGAAAUUCUAAUUAAUAAUGUAUGCCUUUAAUUUGAUGAUUGAAUCUUGAAAAAUGCCAAACACAAUGAAAGGGUUUCGGCUAGGUUAUGGUGGAAAUUGGGAUUUUUCAGAUUUGAGCAAAAUUUGAGAAAGUGAACUAAUUAAAUUGAAGAUAUAAGUAUGCUAAAGUAAUGUAUGGAUUCAAUUUGAUAAAAAUGUAGAACUAUGUUUGGCUAAAGAAGAGUUUUAACUUUGGAAUUUUUUAAUUUUGUGUGAAGAAUAGUGUUCGAGUUGUUAACAUAUAUGUUUCCAUAAUGUUGAUUUUGAUGAUAAUAAACAAGAUUAAAAAUGACUAAGGUUGAUGAAGUCUUUAAUCGAAUCAAAAUACUUAGGUUGUAUAAUGAAUUGAGCAAAGAAUAAACUUUCUGGAAAUAAAAAGAUAACUAUUGAUAACUAAAUGCCACAUUGAUUAUACAAGGAUAAAUGAAAAAUUGAUUCUAGAAGAAAAUGGUGUGCCAUUUUUUACAAAAUGAUAAGCUGAUAGCAUUCCAAAGAGCAAGCCCAUUACAAACAGUAAACUGUUUAUGGUUGAUGAUAAACCGAUAGCAUCCCAGAGAGCAAGUCAGUUGGAAACGGUGAACUAUUUAUGGUUAACGAUAAACUGAUAAUAAUCCAGAGAGUAAUCACCUUGCAAACGGUGGACUAGCUAGCCAAUAAUUUUGUGCAGGUUUCUGGAAUGAUAACGACAUUCCAACUUCUCAAAAUGGUGAUCCAACUAUUCAAAAUUAUGGCAUAACAGUCACUUAUUCAAGUCAAAAUGGCGAUCCGACAAUGGCUAACGGCGAUCUUAAUUAUGUGCAGAAAGUCAAUAACGGCCAGUUAGCUCCAACUAUAAAAAGGCUCAAUCAAAUUCAAACAAGUUUAGAUUCAACAAUUAUUGUUGAGCUUGCUAUUGAGUAUGCAACCUCUCUUGUCCUUAAAACUUGUAUUCUUUUAUCAAAUCAUACUUUGAGCUUUAAUUUGUAAACACAUACAUUGUGUGAGGAAAAUUUCUUUGUAAACUUAAUUUCAAUAACAUAAUUAAUGAUUGUAAGUGUGGGAAACACUUAGAUUAAGAGGUUUGGGAUAACCUCUUGUUGUAAAGGUUUAUUGACACCUUGUAAGUUAAUUGUAAAGAUUUUGAAGUCUUAGGGUGUAAGGCUUGUAUAGUGGAAUCCUCAACCCAACAAGCUUGGAGGCACAUAAAAAUAUUGUGUUUGCUUUCUUUUCCUUUAUCUCUUUACAUUUGCUAAUUGUUAAAUUUAUCUUUAUCGAAGUCUCUAAGGCAUUAGUUUGAGUUGUUUUGUGAUUUUAUUUGUUUAAGUUUUUAAAAUCAAAUUCACCCCCUCUCUUCGGGUGCUUAGUUAGUAUUUCACGAGUGAGGAAUAAUGAAUGUUUAAGUGAUAAGUAAUGGUUUUGAAUUAUCAAAUGAGCUAAAAACACACAAGAGGAUGAUGACUUUUAGUGAGAUUGAGAUGGAGUUUCAAUCUUAGAGACAGAGAGUGAGUAAGAGUCAAAACUAAUUAGCUCGUUUCUUAGAGCGGCUGUUUGCUAUAACUUAGCAAAGUUACUACCAUCCAAGUGAUUAGUAGCUACAAAUGAGGUGACUAGCUGUUUCACUUAAAUUUCUUGCACCAAUUUUGAUUUUUCAUAUGUCAUAUCUUGAGUUAUAUGUGUCCAUUUUGGAUGUAUGAUAUAUUGUUUUGACACUUGCGACAAAACAAAGUAAAACCAAAAUCACUUGCACCAUUCUCCUCUGUGGUUUAGUCUAAAAUUUUGCUUGUUUCCUAGUCAUUUUUUAGGUUUAUUUUCUUAUUUUUCUUGUUGCUUUUCAAGGUUUUUAUCUUCUUUUUUAAAGAUAUCUGAUUUGAGUGUCGUUUGUUUUGUUUUCCUUAUUUAGGUUAGAAGAAUUUCAUUAUAAAAUUAACAUUUCAGAUUUAUCUAUUUUGGUAAAUUCAUGAUAUUUAGGGUUAGUAUUUUAUUAUAAAAUAAUAAAUCUAAUUUUAUUAAUUCAGACUUUUAAUCAAGAAUGUUGAUUUUUGCCCUUCACAUGAUUUGUUAUCAUUAAAAUCAAAGUUUGUAUGACAUUAUAGGUCAAUAAUUAUCUUUAUUAUAAUUAUUACUGUUAUUGUACAUAUAAUCACAAUUUUAAUUGUAUUGAGUCUUAAUCCAAAGCUCACACCUUAAGAUUUCAAUUAAGCCAAUAUUCAAAAUUUUAAAGUGAAAUUAUUCAAUUGAGUCCAAUAGUCAAAAUCUUAAAUCUAAUGAAAUCAAAUGCUUAGCCCAAAUAUAAUUUUUUUAAUGUUAUAAAUUAAUGAAAUAGUAAAACAAACCAUUCACCAACCAAAAACCUUUUAUUAAUGUGACAUUCAAUAUUUGAGCAUUUUCAUUAUAAUUAUUAAUAAAUUUUGCUUCCUCUUUUAAGCUAAGUUUCAACCAAUUGUCACGAAUAGGUCCUUUAACUUACAAGCAAAACAAAAAUUUAUUAGUCCACUUUCACACCUUCCUCCUUCAACUUUUUGGAUUUUGUCUUGCUGUAGAUAAAACUAACAUAAAUUUACUAUACAUUAACUAAAAUUACUACAUUAUUUAAGUAAAAUAAACAAAAAAUGUUGAAAAGGAUCGACUAGUAACUUACAAGUAAUAUACGUACGAAUACUUGCCCGAACCAGGUGGUUGGAACACUUCCAGAACAAAGGAAAUUUAGUUCCCAAGAUUGAAUCUAAACCAAGAAUUGAAUGGAAGACACCACAAUCAGCUAUGGAUGGUUUGAUUGAUAAGUCAAAAGUUUGAACGCCACAGAAAUCCAAUAAGUUCAAAGAGUUUGUAAAGAACCAAAGAGAAUUAACUCCCUUACCAAUUGCAUCAAAAACAUUCUCUCUUGUUUAUUGGAUUCGAGUACAUUAUAUAGGAUUGGUUACAAGAAUUUUUGGAAAUAAAUCUUAAACCAAAAAUCAAAUAUGAAUCUAAAUCUUCCCUAAUAGGAAAGAAUCUAAAUCAAAUUAGAAUCCUAAUCUAAGUAAAUAGGAAAGAAUCUAAAUCAAAUCAGGAUCCUAAUUGGCUUCAAUGCCUUACAUCAAUUAAAUGGAAACUAGGCGAUUAAAUUAGAAAUAAUUGAUUUCUUUCCCUAAUAGCCUCCUCAAGAAAUGGGAAAUUAUCUGAAAAAGGAAAAUAAUAUAUUUUCCCGCCAUAAUGUGCAAGCCAACUCCCUAUUUCAUGGAAGUGAUUAUUUGGAAACUUCAAGAGCCUAAAUCAUGCAUUUAUCUUGUGCGAUUCCUUCAACAGGCCUCCAUGAAUUUGAUUGAGCCCAAGUUGCUUGAAUCAAUCCAUUAAGCGUUUCUUUGAAUUUCUUUGCUCGAGCUCUUGUAAAGGUCCGACGGGAACUUGAGUAGGAUUUGAAUAUGCCUCAUCCCAUGUGCUUGUGAUAGUUUUACCCUUAUUCUCAUUAUUCCCCUCCUCUUAAAGAGGAUUUAUCCUCACAUACAUCAAAAGGACUCAAAUUAGAAACAUUAAAAGUAGUUAAAAGUAGCACUUACAUUAUACUCACCUGGCAAAUCCAGUUUGUAUGCAUUGUCAUUGAUCCGUGCCAAAACUUGGAAUGGGUCAUCCCCUCGAGGUAAUAACUUAGAUUUCCUUUGUUCUGGAAAUCGUUCCUUGUGUAUGUGUAACCACACCCAAUCGCCAGGUUCAAAGACUAGCUUAUGUCGCCCUUUUUUAGCUUGUGUAGCAUAUUGCUCAGUUCUCCGCUCAAUGUUGAACUUCGCCUUCUCAUGUAUAUGUUUAACAAUUUCAGCCUUUUUCUUGCCAUCUAAGUUAACAUGCUCAGAAACAGGUAAUGGAGUUAAAUCCAAUGGGGUUAAAGGAUUAAAAUCAUAAACAAUUUCAAACAGUGAAUACUUAGUAGCAGAAUGAAUGGAACGAUUAUAAGCAAACUCAACAUGUGGUAAACAACCUUCCCAAGUUUUGUUGUUCUUUUCAAUGAUAGCUCGCAAUAGAGUAGAUAAAGUUCUAUUCACAACUGAUGGUCACUCAACAUGUGGUAAACAAUCUUCCCAAGUUUUGAUGUUCUUUUUAAUGAUAGCUCGCAAUAGAGUAGAUAAAGUUCUAUUCACAACUUUUGUUUGACCAUUAGUUUGAGGGUGAUAAGUAGUUGAAAACAACAACUUAGUUCCUAACUUAGCCCAUAAGGUUUUCCAAAAGUAACUUAAAAACUUAGCAUCCCUAUCAGAAACAAUUGUCCUGAGCAUACCAUGUAACCUUACAAUCUCCCUACAGAAUUGGUCAGCAACAUUAGAAGCAUCGUCUGUUUUGUGGCAUGGAAUGAAAUGUGCCAUCUUUAAAGAUCUAUCUACAACCACAAAAAUUGAGUCUUUCCCUUGUCAAGACCUAGGUAAACCUAGAACAAAAUCCAUUUACCACAUUAGUCCAAGGUGCACUAAGUAUUGGCAAAGGGGUGUAUAAGCCAUAAGGUUGCACUUUCGAUUUGGCUUGCCUACAAGUGACACAUUUACCACAAAGUCUUUCAACAUCUCAUUUCAUAUGUGGCCAGUAGAAGUGUUCCUAUAAAACUGCUAGAGUCUUUACAACUCCAAAAUGCCCCAUUAACCCUCCUCCAUGGGAUUCUCUCACUAAUAAAUCUCACAAAGAACAGUUAGGCGCACAUAGUUUAUUUUCUCGAAAUAAGUAGCCAUCAUGCUUAAAGUAUUUAUUAACUGCGGUCUUUUCACAAGCUUGGUAUUCAACACUAAAAUCAUGGUCAUCAACAUACAAUUCCUUAAUAUGUUCAAAACCAAGUAGUUUAGCAUUAAGUGUUGAGAUUAAGACAUAUUUGCGGGAAAGCGCAUCUGCAACAAUGUUUUCCUUUCCUUGCUUUGUAACGAAUAACAUAUGGAAAUGUCUCAAUGAAUUCUACCCAUCGAGCAUGUCUUUUGUUCAGCUUGUGUUGGCCUUUAAGGUGUUUCAAGGACUCAUGAUUUGUGUGAAUCACGUACUUCUUAGCCAUAGUAGUGUUGCCACGUUUCUAAUGCUCGAACCAACGCAUACAACUCCUUAUCGUAAGUAGGGCAGUUUAAUGCUGCCCCACUCAACUUUUCACUAAAGUAAGCAAUUGGUUGUCCCUCCUGCAUUAAGACUAUGCCAAUAUCAAUACCUGAGAUAUCACAUUCAAUUUCAAAUGUUUUAUUAAAGUUAGGCAAAGACAAUAAAUGAGCAUUGAUCAGCUUGUGCUUGAUUAUUUGAAAUGCCUUCUCUUGCGCUUCUCCCCACUUGAAUCUAACAUCUUUUUUUAUUACUUCAGUAAGCGGUGCGGCUAAUGUGCUAAAGUCUUUCACAAAUCAUUGAUAGAAACUAGCAAACCCAUGAAAGCUUCUCUCAUUACUUGCACUUGUGGGACUCGGCCAUUCUUUGAUUGCACAUACCUUUUCCUCAUCAACUUGUAUACCCUGUGCACUCACAACAAAUCCUAGAAACACAAAUUUGUCGGUGCAAAAAAUACACUUCUUCAGAUUAGCAAACAACUUUUCUUUUCUAAGCACAUCUAAAACUUCUUCAAAUGCACUACAUGAUCAUUUAUGUUUUUGCUAUAAAUGAUCAUCAAAAUAAACAACAACAAACCUGCCAAUAAAAGCUCACAAGACAUGAUUCAUAAGUCCCAUAAAAGUGCUCGGGCAUUAGUUAGACCAAAAGGCAUGACUAACCAUUCAUACAAACCAUAUUUUGUUUUAAAAGCGGUUUUCCAUUCAUCUUAUUCUUUCAUUCUAAUCUGAUGAUAUCCACUUUACACAAGACCCAUUUAAUUCAUGAAGCAUGUCAUCUAGCCUAGGAAUGAGAUGUCGAUACUUUACCGUUAUGUUGAUGGCUCGACAGUCAACACACAUCCUCCACGUCCCAUCCUUCUUAGGAACUAAUAAAAUGAGAACUGCACAUGGACUCAUGCUUUCUUUCACGUACCCUUUUUCCAUCAAUUCAUUAACCUGCCUUUGAAGUUCCUUGGUCUCCUCUAGAUUGCUCCUAUAGGCUGGGUCUAUUUGGAAUGGCUGCACUAGGUACAAAACCAAUCUAAUGCUCAAUCCUUCGGAUUGGAGGUAAACCAUGUGGUACUUCCUCAGGAAAGACAGUUUGAUACUCUUGCAAAAGAUAAGUAAUAGAACUAGGCAAACUAGGGUCAAAUUCAUUAGUGUUCAAAAUUGUCUCUUUGUACAAAAGUACAAUCAUCGGCUGAUGUAAAAACAACGCUUUUUUUUAUCUCACUCACUCUCACGUAGAAAUUCUUUUGUUUUCCAUAUUAUUUUCACUCGAUGGCCGUAUUGUUCUUUGGUUUUUCUCCCACAUUUUCCUCGGCCUCUUUUUUGAAUUUCACUCUCUAUUUCUUUUGCUCACUCUCUCUCUGUAGGCUCACUUAGUCUUCAUAAACCUGAUUUGGUGUCAAUGGAAUGAGAGUGAUGUUGUGUUGAUUAAAUACAACAUCACAAAGCACCUUAUCUUCAUACUUGUCAAUUCGAAAAGUCACUAGUACUUGCUUGUUCACUUUCACCUCACCACUGUCAUUUAACCAUUGUAGUUUAUAUGUAAGUGUCGGAACAUUAGUACUAACUUUUCUACCAUGAUAGUACUAGCAACAUUAGUACAAAUUCCUCCAUCUAUAAUCAUACUAUAUACUUUGUCUUGAACAUAGCACCUAGUAUGGAAAAUGUUUUCCUAUUGCACUGCUUCGUCUUCCUUUACUUGCACACUCAAAGCUCUCCUCGCUACUAAAGUCAAUUCCCCAAGAUCUAUAUACUCUUCAUCUUCGACAUCCUCUAAUUGUGGCAUCUCAUUUUCUUCCGUUUCAUCUUCAGUUACAAUCUUACCAUUGUCUCACAACACCAUAACUCUUUUAUUCACACAUUCACUUGCGAUAUGCCCCCUGCCUUGACAUUUAAAACACUUAAUGUCACGAUACCUUGUGAAUUGUGCUUGGAGGGCUCGAAUCCUAGCUUAGGUGUAGUAGAUGCUUGUGGCCUCUGGUCUCAUUUCACAUAGCUCGACUUCCAAGGAGUGGAACUCGAGCUUGGGGUUGCACGGCUAUUACCCCUCCUCUUGAGUUACUGCUCAAUCUUGAUGGCUUUGUAGACCAUCUCCUCAAUCUCCACAUAAUGUUGCAACUCAACCUUAUCUGCAAUCUCUCAAUUAAGACCAUUUAAGAAUCAUGCGAUGGUAGCUUCUCUAUCCUCCUCCACAUUUGCUCUAAUCAUGGCAAUCUCCAUUUCUUUAUAAUAAUCCUCCACGCUUAGGCUACCCGAUGUAAGGCGUUGUAAUUUUUUGUACAAAUCUCGAUAAUAGUGGCUAAGUACAAAACGCCUUCUCAUCAAUUAUUUCAUUUCAUCCCAUGUCUCAACUGGACACUCCAUAUUUCACCUCAUAUUUCUCCAUUUCUUGUUGAAUACUCCUAUGUUCCUGAAUCUAUUCAAAUCAAUGAAUCCUCUUUACCUCUCAUCAGUCCCUAUCACUUGUAUAAAAAAUCAUCCUUUACUUCCACCAAAGGAUGAUACCACCUCAACAUGUUUCCCUAAACCUCUCUCUCUCUUUUAGGAAUCAAAGAAAUUAUUCGAAUUAAAAAUGAUACGCUCACCUCAAAAUUUCUAAACUGAGUAUGCUCUGCACUUGCCUCAAGCCUGAAGAUCCUGUGCAU